rnacentral:lncRNA from 1 species
CACACACAAGCAAAUAAAAGCAAGCAAGGAGCAGGUGAACAUCGACCGUUUGAAACCAACAUGCAAGAAACACACAUAUCCAACGAACUAGAGGUCUUGCAUACACGAAAAGACCUCCCGCGCGCGCUCACUAGCAGGCCUUUUCCCUGACGCAUUGCACAUUAUCUUGGUCACUUUUGCCCUGAUCCUUCCACACCUUCUUCAUCUUGCAGAGGCAGGAGUGGCCUCCAAAGGCUAUGCAGCAGUCCACUCCAACCUUAAUGACCUUGCCCCCCGAAAGAUGCCUGUCUGCAAUGGCAUUUUUCAUACCUUCUCCAAAGCUCUUGAAGCACGCAUUCACGACGUCCUGAUCAACACCGUCGCACACUGGCGCACCGCCGGCGGCAGGUACCUGGCCCACAGCAACGGCGCACAUCAGCGCGACCAGCGCCGCCACGGCAACGAGCCUCGGGUGCAUUGCUGCUGCCAUGACGAGAUGGAUGCAGGAUAUAGCUGAUCGAAGGUCGCUGCAAUCACUCACUGCUUAUGCCUAGUGUGGGUUGUUUUCGUGUAAGAGGUCUGCUGGAGCUUUUAUAGAGCUACUCCCUCCGUUCCGAAUUAUUUGUCGCAGGUAUGAAUGUAUCUAGAUGUAUUUUAGUUCUACAUACAUCUAUUUCUGCGACGAGUAAUUUGAAACGGAGGGAAUAGAUACUAGGCGUGCGCAUUUGUAGUCGUAGCUGGACUCGAUUAGACAGCACGUGGCCAAUGGCCGAGUGGGUGGAAUACAACGUGCCUAUUACGCCCAUCCAUCCAUCCAUCGGGUGCGCGGCGCGGCAGGGGAUAACGAUCUAUUCCAUCACAAAAGUCAUACGUGACGUGACAGGAACGGGCACCCAUCCAUCUAUGAACCUAUAUACCUUUCUUCUUACCCCACGCACAAGUCACGUCGCAGCAUGCAUCGAUCGAUACAAUCCCACCCAACUCAAGACAGAACAUAUCAAAUCAGAUCAGACCACAUAAGAUCAGAACAGUGAGCGUGAUAUGUUCAUACGUAACUCCCGUGACUCCCGUGUCGUCCCCCCNNNNNNNNNNNNNNNNNNNNNNNNNNNNNNNNNNNNNNNNNNNNNNNNNNNNNNNNNNNNNNNNNNNNNNNNNNNNNNNNNNNNNNNNNNNNNNNNNNNNNNNNNNNNNNNNNNNNNNNNNNNNNNNNNNNNNNNNNNNNNNNNNNNNNNNNNNNNNNNNNNNNNNNNNNNNNNNNNNNNNNNNNNNNNNNNNNNNNNNNNNNNNNNNNNNNNNNNNNNNNNNNNNNNNNNNNNNNNNNNNNNNNNNNNNNNNNNNNNNNNNNNNNNNNNNNNNNNNNNNNNNNNNNNNNNNNNNNNNNNNNNNNNNNNNNNNNNNNNNNNNNNNNNNNNNNNNNNNNNNNNNNNNNNNNNNNNNNNNNNNNNNNNNNNNNNNNNNNNNNNNNNNNNNNNNNNNNNNNNNNNNNNNNNNNNNNCGCCGCCGCCUAGGCGUUCCCUUCCCCGCCGCCCUUCCCCUCGCUGCCGCCAACGAGCGCCACCGGGCAAAGCCCUCGUGGCGUUGGCGACGACGGGGCUGCUCGUCACCUGUUUUGCAAGGUGGGAUGCGGUGCUCCUUCUUCUCAACAGCGUCGUGGGGCAGCAGGUCACUUCUGUUCCCAGCGCCUUCCUCUGACGCCCUGCUAGCUCGACGGCGUGGCAUCCCUUUCGGUGGUGCAGUGUCCCUGGCAUGGCCCAUGCCUCCUGGCGGCGGAUCUGGGUACUCCCAGAUUGGAUCGGGGACGGAGGCUUUGGAGAUGGGAGUGCCGGUGGCCCUGCGGGAUGGCGGUGGUGGUGCAUCUGGUGGGCAGGCUCCGCCGGUGAGUUCGAUCGUGGAGGUACCGGCGGCGGCGUGUGCUCAGCCUGGUGGUGGCGGCCGCCGUGCAUGGGAGUUGGAUUCCUUCGAAUAGAUCUGGGUGAAAACUUGCUUUCGGCUACUGUCAAGGCCGGCGGUGGCGGCGCUAUCUGCAUCGUUCCUUUCUUGAAGGCAUCGCCGUGGAGAAGUUCAAGGCCACUCUCUGCUACCUCCGGGGAAAACCCUAAAUCGGAUGAUCGGAUGACGGCGGCGCUCUGGUGUCGUUCCCCCCUUCGGGGCAUCUUUCUUGGAGGUACACACGUGAUCGAGGGACCAGAGGACGGAUUCUUUGGUGAAGCGGUGUGUCAUCUCACUCAUUGAUGGCGGCGGGUCUCGGCGGCAUGGUGCUGUGGUGAGUCGGCGUCCAAUGCGCGGAGAUGGACUCGCGCAGGAGGGUGACGCAGUCUGGUGUCAUGGUGGCGUCGACGGCAACUAGACCGGGCAAGGAAGAUGCAGCAGUACAUCUCUGAAGAUGGAUUGGUGGCAGGUGGCUGCGGCGGCCCCAUACCCGGCAGGCAUCCUGGAUGGAACUUCGGGUCUUAAUGUUAGGUUUGGCUGCAAGGUCUGUUUGGUAUUAAGCCUAGACUAUCAGCAUCCCUUCAUCAAUUGGAUAGGAGUAGCGACAAAUGUUCACUGGACGGUGGCUUUAGUCUUACUGUUGUAUUAUUUUGUAAAGUUUUGUGUGAACAAUUAAUAAAGUGGCUGCAUACAUCGUUCAGAUGCAGAGGCCCGGGAUCUUCCUCCUUUUCUAAAAAAAAAUCCACUGCAAGCCCUGUCACACACUACAAACUGCCAAAGCUUCUGAAAUGUCGGUUCAUCUUCCAAAAUGCUCAUCACAAGUUCACAGCAGUCAAAUUUCAGUGUCACGUUCCAAGUUAGGCCGGGACAGCAGCCACACUACACCGACCAGGUUCUUAAUCUAGACACGGCUAGAGCUCAUGAAAGGAACAGCACAUGCGGACACAAUUCAUGAGCAUCGAUCGACUAGUUAUAAUGUCUCGUCCUGUAGGCAAGACGGUGGCAUCAGCGCCCAAGUCCACGCUGCCUGCCGCUGGAAUCACAGAAAAACACAUGGAGCCCCGAGGAUAGGAUGGGAACGCCGCUCUGGCAUCGGCUCCGUCGAAUCCGUCUGUGCAAACGUGACAAUGAACUAAUAUUCAGACGGCUCAAAUGCACAGUUCACAUUUGUCCCGCUAGUAAUAAUAUUGAUUUGAACUGAAUUUGAGACAUGUAACUGUAAACAUUUCCUUUUGUGCGUUUUGCAGUUUAAUUUGCAAUGUAAGUUGGAAUAACAGAGCAAGGCAGAGGCAUGUCGACAUAAAUAAAUAGUACUAUGAGUCUAGGCAAAGUGACAAACUUCUAAUUUAGGUCAAUCUAAGAGAAUAUUAACUUAGAACUUGCGUCAGCCAAGGAAAAACAGAAUCAUGAGUCUUGGCAGCCACAAUCAACAAACUGUGUGUCUGCCUCUGUGUGUGCCAUCUACGAUCCAACAGAGAUUAAUGCUUAUUUAUUCAGCAUGCAUUGGCAGACUUAGAAAGAGGCAGCUGAAAUGUUCGAGCUAUCACGGCCCACCUGGGAGCAUAUAUACAACUGAUCUUAUGCGGCCGAUUCGAAUCAAACAGCUUGUGAACACAGUUUGUUCUUGCUAUAAAAAGAAGAGAGUGACUCAGGCUCUUAUUUGUGACCGUAGCAGUUAGCCUGAAGAACUUUGAUCAUGCAAAUGUGUUACCUUUGUGCGGCAGACCUUUUUAUAUGACCCAGCUAGUCUAAAGAACUUCUAAUUUAGGCCAGUUCAAAUAAAAAAAGUUACUCCCUGCGUCUCAUAAUAUAAGAACGUUUUUGACACUACACUAGUGUAAGAAACGUUCUUAUAUUAUGGGACGGAGGGAGUAGAACUUACAUCACCUCAGGUAGUCUUGGCAGCCACAACCCACAAACUGUGUGUGUCCUCACCAUCCCACAGAGUAAUAAUGCUUAUAUUUGACAUGUAUUGGGAGACUCGGAAGAGGCAGGUGAAAUGUUCAAACUAUCUUAAAGAAUAGAAAAAAAGAAAAACGGUGUGCCCUGCCUUUAACUGACCUUACGAGGCAUAUUCAAAGCAAACAGCCUGUGAGCGCAAGCUGUUCUUGCUAUACAGAGCAGUGAGUCAGGCAAUUAUGCGGAUUUAUCUCAAAACCACAAUGAAUAUAAGAUGUGUAGAUGCUGAAAGUGUAAAACAGAACAUCCUUUUCUGCAUCUUCAUGUUUAUAAUAGAAAAGGCAGACAAGAUGAACCGUGCUUGGAUGAAACAAAUUUUCAUGAGGUGAGCGAAAAAUCGAAAGGUAAACUGGAUCUAUGCUAGUAUAUUCCUUCUACUCCUCGAACAUAAAGUCUUCAUAAAAAAUAACUGUUGUGAUAUAGCAUUUCGGUGAUUUUAAUUAUUUCUAAAAUAACAAUGGAUGCAUAAGCUACGUGAAAGAUCUUUUAUCUUGUCAGCUUCUUUCCAAAUGGCGAUUGGAACAAACAAAACAACAAAUCUCAAUCAUGUUCCUGAGCUUGAUGAGCACAAGAAUGAACAAACAAAGCACAAGAAAAACAACCAGUGCUAAAUCAUGUAAACAAGAAUGACCAAUCAUAAUAUUGAAUUAUUAAGCAUUAGACAAGCUGUGUGAAAACUAUGAAGAGAAGGACAUAACUAGGAUGCAAUGGGAAAUUUACCACUUCAUAUCAUCAGUGAAGAGAACUAUGGCGGGAGGUUGGAAUAUAUCCACGUCUUGGAGAUGGAAAACAUGGCAGGCCCAGAAGAUGCAGUACAAGUUCCCUCAAGCUGCAACGUCUUGACAUCAACUGAGAUAUAUUCCAAAUCUGGCGUCUGCGCUGUCAAGCCUGUGAACCGCAUGGCUCCAAACUUUUCUAGGAGCAAGUACCUCCCACUCGCAGUUUUGAUAUGAUACAGGCACCCAGAACCUGUAUGAAAAUGCUCUCCUAUCAUUAGUAGAAAAAUGGUCAAAUGUUCAGCUCAUUAGUCCCGGUUUGUAUUUGAGCCGGUACUAAUGUGAUCAUUAGUGCAGGUUUCAACGGCUAGGCGGGCCGCUCUUAUUAGUAUCGGUUCGUGGCACGAACCGGUACCAAAGAAAGUGGUGGCAGGAUGUUGUCAGUCUGGCCCCUCCAGCACCUUUAGUACCGGUUCCUGCCACGAACCGGUACUAAAGGUCGUCCUAUAUAAACCCUUCGUCCACCCGAGCUCGCUCUAUUUUUCUCCUUUCCCCUCUCCUCUAUGUUCUUCCCCUCUACCUCGAGCUCAUCACACAUUUUGCCCAAAUUUUGUCAAGAUUUGAAGGCCCCCAUCCAUUCAAGUGAUCACAAAGGUAAGCAACUUUGUCCUUUCAUCUCUCAUUGCUAGAUUAGCUCUUGCAAUGCUUUAUAUAGUCAUUAAUUUGUGGGUUUUAGUAAUUUGGGAGGAAUUAUAUGUGGUAGCUAGUUUAUUUGAUCUAUAUGCAAUUUGAGCUCAAAAUAACUCUUAGUUUGUAUAUAUAGGUGUUGUUUACUUAGUGCUUUCCCGUCUCCGUCCUAACCACCAUCGAUCGUCCGCACCGUCCUGUCGCCGGCACCAUCUUGUGGGGUGAGCCUCUUGUUCUUAUCUUUUUAUAUAAUAAAGUCAUGUUUGUGUGAUUUAGAUAUAUAGUUACUUGUAUAAUUAUCUUACCAGUACGUUGUCUGUUAUUCAUAGUGCCAUGGUUUUGAUAUCCGUCCCCGUCGGCCCUCGUUCGGGUUAUGAUUCGGAUGUGGUAUAUUUUCUUUUAUAACUAUUUUGUUGCAUUUCGUGUUUAUAACAAAUUAUGCCCAUCAAGUUGACAUAGAUAUUUUUAUGUAGGAGAUAUGUGAACCGGAAAUUCCAACCGACCCAAUUGUCGAGAGGUUAAAUUUAGAUGAAAGAGAAAACGAGUAUUUGAAACCAUCGCACGUGGCCUAUCACUCUAUGUAUGUAUAACCUUCCUCCUUGGUUGUGCAUGAAGCGGAAGUUCAUUAUGAUGUCAGUGCUCAUACAAGGCCCUAAGCAACCCGGCAACGAUAUUGAUGUGUACCUAAGGCCAUUAGUUGAAGAACUCUUACAACUGUGGAAUAGAACAGGUGUACGUGCGUGGGAUGAGCACAGACAGGAAGGAUUUGACCUAAAGGCGUUGCUGUUCGUGACAAUCAAUGAUUGGCCUGCUCUCAGUAACCUUUCAGGACAGACAAACAAGGGAUACCGCGCAUGCACGCACUGUUUGGAUGAUACCGACAGUAUAUAUUUCAAUAAUUGUAAGAAGAAUGUGUACCUGGGACAUCGUCGAUUUCUUUCGAUCAGGCAUCCCGUAAGAAAGAAAGGCAAGCAUUUCAAAGGUGAGGCGGAUCACCGGACGAAGUCUCGCCACCGUACUGGUGCUGAUGUCACUAGUGCAGAACCAGGCUAUAGCACCGGUUUGUAAGGCCCUUUAGUGUCGGUUCUGUAACCGACAUUAAAGGGUGGGGACUAAAGGUCCCCCCCUUUAGUACCGGUUCUGCACCAACCGCCGCUAAAGGGCCACCACGUGGCACGAGCCAGCGCCUGGGGAGGGGAGCCCUUUAGUAGGAUUUUUUUAUUUUUUUUGGAAAACAGCCCACCUACUGGGCCGGCACGGCCUGCAUACGACUAGAAACCCAGCCUCUAGUUGGGCCAGGAUGCAGGCCCGUACGACCCAGUAGGCCCCACAGGGCAGAAGACUUGCAAUAGGCCCACAAAGGCCUGCUUAGAGAGGAGCUCGACACGGUAGCCGCGGCGGGGCUUAUAAACCGGUGCGAGCUCCUCUCAACUAGCGAGGUGGGACUAAACAUUGUGCAUGGCGGGUGGCAGCGCACCCCUUUAGUACCGGUUGGUGGCACGAACCCGUACUAAAGGGGGGGGGUCUUUAGUACCGGUUGGAGCCACCAACCCGUACUAAAGGCCACCACCUCUUUAGUACUGGUUCGUGGCACGAACCGGUAAUAAAGGUUCGCCACGAACCAGUACUAAUGAGCGCCGCCCGCCUAGCCGUUAGAACCGGCACUAAUGGUCACAUUAGUGCCGGCUCAAAUACAAACUGGGACUAAUGAGCUGAACAUCAGACCCUUUUUCUACUAGUGUCUACAUGAUAUGAUCAAGGACUUGAAGGUAAUCUUUGAAAAGGGUCCUGGUGGACAACUUGUUCCGAAUGACGCUGACGAACGCACACCCAUGUGGAAGAAGAAAUCUAUAUUUUGGGACCUGCCCUAUUGGAAAGACCUAGAGGUCCGCUCUUCAAUCGAAUCGACGUGAUGCACGUAACGAAGAAUCUUUGCGUGACCCUGCUUGGCUUCUUGGGUGUGUAUGGGAAGACAAAAGAUACACCGGAGGCACGGGACGACCAGCAACGUAUGCACGGAAAAGACGGCAUACAUCAGGGUCAUGCCAACUACGCUCUUACCAAAGAAGAGAAGGAAAUCUUCUUUGAAUGCCUGCUCAGUAUGAAGGUACCGUCUGGCUUCUCGUCGAAUAUAAAUGGAAUAAUAAAUAUGGCAGAGAAAAAGUUUCAGAACCUAAAGUCUCAUGACUGCCACGUGAUUAUGAUGCAACUGUUUCCGGUUGCAUUGAGGGGGCUUCUACCGGAAAACGUUCGAUUAGCCAUUGUGAAGCUAUGUGCAUUCCUCAAUGCAAUCUCUCAGAAGGUAAUCGAUCCAGAAAUCAUACCAAGAUUAGAGCCUUCGACUGCUGCCGAACAUGAAUCACUUCCAUUUCCGACUCCGUCUAAGAUCUCUAUCACGGCAUUUCUUGCAUCCACUUUGUCUAAAAUGUAUCAACUUGUUUCUCCUUCAACCUGCCUCAGAGUCAAUCCAUGAUUGACAUGGUGUGCCACAUUACUUUAUUUUAAAGCAUGUGCGUAUAAAAACAAAUAGAACUUUGUAUAUAUUUGUAUGUUUGGCCGCCAAGAAGUCCUAAGACUUGAAGAUUGAUUGGGAAGUGAAAGGAACAACAAAAAAGCAUGAACACCAACAAGUGAUGCACUGUCUAUUCCAAUGUCACACUCUCAAGAACAUCCACGCAAUUUUACACUAGACGGAACAUAUCAGAUCAGCUAAUUAAGGUCGGCUAACCAAACCCAACCAGGCGCUUCAACUCAUCACUGCAAGCCCUGACACAUACAAGUGCAAAAGCCUCCUAAGUGGCUGCUUAAACUGUAGCCAUGUUACUACAUCGUGCAAACGCUGAUCACAACUGUUUAAAUCUCAGUGCUACUCCCUCCGUUGUAAAAUAGAUGACUCAACUUUGUACUAACUUUAGUACAAAGUUAGUACAAAGUCGAGUCAUCUAUUUUAGAACGGAGGGAGUACAUUCUAAAAUAGGCGGGGACAGCAGCCAUACGAGCGACGUCGGUUACACAACACUGACCGAAUUAUAAACCUAGACACGGCUAGAGCUCAUGAACAAUGUCGAACACAAUUCACGAGCACCAACAAUCGAGUCGUCAACCCUAGAUUAGUUAUGAGUCACAUCCCAUAGACAAGGCGAUGGCAUCUGCGCCAAGUCCACGCUGUCGGAAUCACAAAAAAAGACAUGGAGCUCCGAGGAUGGGAAUGUUAGUCUCUGGCUACACGGCCCCGUCGAAUCUGUGCAAAAGAGACAUAAAAUCAAUAUCCAUACAAUAGAACAGAUUUGAGCUCAAAUCACAUUCAAGAGCAAGCAAAAUGGAACAGAUUGUGGAGGCUACAUAUAGUACAUGGUGUUAAAAUGCACAAGCAUCUGUUCCGCAGGUAACAGUAUUGAUCUGAACUGAAUUCGAGAUAUGAACUGCUAACAUUUCCUUUUCCUUUUAUGCGUUUCGCAGCGUAAAGUUGGAAUACGCAGCCAAGAAGAGGUAUGUAUAUACAUAAAUAGAUGAGUCUAACAAGUGACAGGCUUCUAACUUAGGUCAAUCUAAAAAGUUAACUUAUAACUCACGUCACCCAAGGGGAAAAAACAGGAUCAUGGGUCUUGGUAGCCACAAUCAACAAACUGUGUCUGUAUGCCCUCUACGAUACCAUAGAGACUAAUGCUUAUAUCAGCAUGCAUUGGCAGACUCACAAAGAGGCAGGUGAAAUGUUCGAACUAUCACGGUCCAUAUAGGAGCAUACAACUGAUCUGAUGAGGCUGAUUCGAAUAAACAGCUUGUGAACACAGUCUGUUCUAGCUAUAAAAAGCAGUGAGUGACUCAGGCUCUUAUUUGUGACCGUAGCAGUUAUGGAGAUUCGUUUCAAAAUAAUAACAGAGAUAGCUGUGAAGAUGACUAAAAGUCUAAAAGAAAAAAAAACUAGGGCCGAGAAGGGGACCAUACUCAUAUAAGAAUUUGCAGCACAGAUUGUACAUAAUCGAGAGUUUACAAGCAAAAUGGAACGAAUUAUCAGGGGCCACAUACAUAGUAUACGGAAUUACAGGCUGAACCACAGAAGAAAAAUAGCACCUGUCCCAGUCAUAAUAUUGAUCUCAACUAAAUGUGAAACAUGUUACUGGAAACAUAAAUAAGCUGAGUCCUGGAAAACUAGGAUCAUACAAAAGUGGUACCUUUGUGUUGCAGGACUUCCUAUAUUACCUAAGUAGUCUAACAAACUUCUAACCUAUGUCAGAUUGAAUAAAAAACAUAGAAGUUACAUCACCAAAGGAAAACGAAUCAAGGGUCUUGUCGGUCACAAUCAACAAACUGGGUGUGCCCCCUACCAUCAUACAGAGAUUAAUGCUUACAUUUGGCAUGUAUUGGAGACUCGGAAAGGAGCAGGUGAAAUGUUCAAACUAUCUUAAAAAGGAAAGAAAAACUGGGUGCCCCGACUAUAACUGACCUUAUGAGGCUGAUUCAAAUGAACCAGCUUGUGAGCACAAGUUGUUCUUGUUAUACAGAGCAGUGCGUCAGGCUCUUAUUUGUGACCGUAGCAAUUACUCAGAUUUAUUUCAAAACCACAUUGAAUAUAGAUGUGAAGAUGACUAAAAGACUCUCUCUUCUGCAUCUUUAUAUUUAUAAAAGAAAAGACAAACAAGAUAAGCCGUGCUUGCAUGAAACGAAUAUUCAUGAGGUGAGCGAAGUAAACGGAAGGUAAACUGGAUCUAUACUAGUACUCCUUCUACACCCUGAACAUAAAGCAUUCAUCAAAAAUAAUAGUCGUGAUAUAGCAUGUCAAUGAUUUCAUUGGGCCUAAAAUGACAAUGGAUGCAUGACCUAUGUGAAAGAUCUUAUCUCUUAUUAUAUUCCCUCCAAACAGCGGUUGGAACAAACAAAACAAGAAAUCAGAAUCGUGUUACCGAGCUUGAUUAGCUUACCCACAAGCACAAGAAAAACAACCAGUGCUAAAUCGUGUAAAAAAGAAUGACCAAUCAUAAUAUUAAACUAUUAAGCAUUACUCAUUAGACAAGCUGCAUGAGAACUAUGAAGAGAAGGACAUAACGAGGAUGCAAUAGGAAAUUUACCACUUCAUAUUUUUGGUGAAGUCAAUGAUGGUGGGAAGUUGGUAUAUAUCCACGUCUUGAAAAACGCAAACCCGGAAGAUUUGGUACAAACCCUCGCAAGCUCCAAUGUCUUGACAUCAACUGAGAUAUAGUCCAAAUCUUGAUGUGGAACUGAGUCUACGAACCGCAUGGGUCCAAACUUUCCUAGGAGCAAGUACCUCCAGGUUGCAGCUUUGAUAUCAGGCCGGCAGCCUGAACAUAUUGGGAUUGUCUUCUCCAGCUGCCACUGGGUAGAACUCUCACAUUUGUUGCCCUUUAUGUAAUAACAGAGAUCAAACUUUCCAGCUUGAAGAUGGAUACCGAACAGGCCAAGCCUGGCUUCCCCUGCCUCCACAAUGGCCAGACCUAGCGGACACAAUUCUUUUGGUGGGAGGUCACAACUAGAGAACUCCAUUCUCCGGGUGUCAAACACGAGCAAAUCUUUCUUCCCCAUCACGGUGGACUCCCAGUAGAAGCAGCCAUAAGCGUAAUGACGACGCCCAUAAAAGCGACGGUCAAUCGGUGACACCAUGGUCGACUCGCCCUGUCCAAGGAGCAACUCAUUGCAUUCCUUGGACGCAACAUCUCGCCACUGUCUAGUGGUUGAAGAGUAGACGAACGGUGCCAGCCUAGUUGUGAAAUGUAUCAUGCAUCCACAUCACACCGAAUGCCGUCUCGGCCUCCUGGUCAAGGGGAACAAGGAAAGCCUCGCACCAGGGUUCGUGCGCCGUGGCCGGAAACCCUAAGAGAUGGGAGUGAGCUGCUGCCUACUGGAGCUGAGAGAAGAAGGGUGUGCUGUGUAGUCUGUGCUGCCGAGGCGCUGGAAGGGAACGCGAUGGAUGGAUCGCUGCUUCCGUCUUGGUCGCACUGAAACAAGAAGUAUGGUCAAUCAUCAAGACGAGAAAAAUAAAAAAGAUGGAGCGCACGCACGUCGCGAUCGAGCGUUUUUUGCGUGUCGGGCUGGGGCUGGGAACCGGCCGCGCCGGGGCUAGCUAGCUAUGUCCACUACUUGUUUUUUUUUCUUUUCUUUUCUGAUAAUGAGGGGUUUCCUUGCUUUGCUUUGCUUUGCGUGAUGGAUGGCACGCACGCGCUGGAACGGAACGCGGACUGUAUUCAUCGUCGUCGUCGCGCUGAAACAAGUAGUACGUGCACAUAUUCCCUCAAACAAAAAAAAAUUAGCAGUACGUGCACAUGUAUGCAUGUCUCCCUCUAUCGUCAAUCAGUCAAGACGAAAAAUAAAAUAAAAUCAAGCGCACGCACGGCCGGCGUCGUCCACUCGGCCUCGGCCAUAACGUGAUGCAUGCGUGCGCGCCUCUCUCACGUCACGCCGUACUCUAAUAUAGUACUUCCCUCUAUAAAGAAAUACAUUUUUUAGAGACUCUGUAAAGAAAUAUAAGAGCAUAGGGAGGGAGUAAUACUUCAAUUAAAUUGUGUGAAGAAUGAUUUGAUCGAACCGUAAUUUUCAUUAAUGAUUCAUGAGGAUUAUAUACAUAGGGAACCGUCGCCACGAACGGACGCGUCCGAUCGUAGGGGUCGUGGGAAUGUCGAACGGGUGCCUGUGGCAACCCACGUCCGUUUACACAAGGGAGGAUUAUCCCUAAUAACAGAAUUAAUUUAAAUCCUAACAAACUGGUCACGGUUAGUUCUGCACGGUCAGCCAAUUCAAGCGUACGUACCUGGCUCACCGUGGGAAAGAAAAAACAUGAACCUUUCCCUUCUCUUUUGGAUUUGGACGGCACACAACCAAGGAUUUUCUUUUCCGAUAUAGUUAUAUCCUCUUAUUCCAAACGUUGCCACACGGCCGAAGACCGCGAACUGAAGCACGCCAUUCGAUGCCAUCGCCGCCAAACAAUUUGUCACCAAGAUGCCACAACACACGGUGCCCGUCAUAACCCUCCGUCCGGUGGUGACCACAACAAAUAUAUAUCCUCUAAAUCACCACACGAGUUACAAACCUUUUAGCCCUAAUUUCAACUCGUCGUAUUAUAAGGAAAAAAAAUACAUUUUCAAACUUUAGCUCGAGUUACAAAUCUUGCGUCCAAACAAAAGAUCCCAGGCCCAAAAGGAACAAAACCUCGUUUCUCAACACACCCCACACACAAAACACGCUAUUCGUCAAAACCCUCCCACGGUCCGCGAAUAUCCUCUAAAUCAACGCACAUUUUUCAAAACUUUUAUCACACGUGAAUUUCGAGUUUGGGUCUGUCGUCCCGCCAUAAUUUUACAUCCGGCCGUCAAAAUCACGUCAAAGGGGAAGUCGAGUUCAAAUGAAAAUGAAAAUGGGAGAGAGAGUAGAGGCAACCCAAUCCAAUCUACAACCCCCGAGAUUCACUCGUCUCCCUUCACCGUGCGUGAUUCAUGAGCCCAAAAUGUGAUAUUUCGGGUCGUGCCCGUCCCACUCAGAAGAUUGAGUUUGAGUCUGUCGUCCCGCCAUAAUUUUACAUCCGGCCGGCCGUCGAAAUCACGUCAAAGGAGAAGUCGGGUCCAAAAAUAUUUCGCGGCUCUCGAGUUCAAAUGAAAAUGAAAAUGAAAAUGGGAGAGGCAACCCACCCAACCAACAUCCCGUGACCGACUCGUCUCCCUUCCACUCUUCAUCUCCCCCGAUUCGCUCCUCCCCUCUCUCCCCCAUCGCCGCCGCACCCAUCCACCGGUGACCUCGCUCAUCCCGAGCGCGGCCGGCGACCUCGCUCCCGGGUCCCGCCCUCUCCCUCUACCCCCAUCUUCUCCUUCAACCCUAGGCGGCUAGGCCCCCCCAAAUCGAUCGAGAUGGUCAGGCGACGGCGCUUCCUGGAUCCGCGCCGUCGGCAAUGGAGGUCGGCUCCGUCUCCACUACUUCCUCCGUCUGUGUGGUUCUCCACGGCCGGCUUCUCUUCACCGACUCACGCAUCCAGCAAUGGAGGCCCAACCUAAAGGUAUGCGCUUCCGAUCUGAACAUCCCCCGCUCUGUCUCGCUCUGCGGAUAGGGAUCAGGUGACAUGCACCUUUGCAUGUCACCAUGUGACUUGCGGCCCAAAUUCAAAUUUAAACAUUGCGAAAAAAUCUGAAAAAAAUCAUGCAUGUUCACAGCACAUAUUAAGAUAAUCCAUAAAAAAUUCAGAUCAAAAUUCAGAACAUACAUCAAGAAGCAAAAAAGAGAAACUCAGAUGUGAAUAGUAUACAGAGAACCAUUCGCAACUAUUCAUGACAGAUUUCUCUUUUUUGCUUCUUGAUGUAUGUUUCGAAUUUUGAUCUGAAUUUUUUUAGGGAUUAUCUUAAUAUGUGCUGUGACCGUGCAUGAUUUUUUUCAGAUUUUUUCACAAUGUUUAAAUUUAAAUUUGGGCCGCAAGUCACACGGUGACAUGCAAAGGUGCAUGUCACCAGAUCCCUGUCCGCUCUCGCACGUCCCUCCCUCACUCACUUUCCUUUAUGUCGACAGCCGCCGCCACCGCCGCUCGCCAUCCCGUCGGCCCUUCUUCCACUGGACCACUCCAUCCCCCGGUCUAGUCAUGUGCGUGCCUCCUCCGACGUCCGUCUCGAUCUGUUCUGUGCUCGCCGGCGCCGUUGAAGGACGAUCCCGUCCUCCCCGGAUGGGUAGGUCUUCUCUUCCCUCUCCUCCUUCUCCAAUCUCCACCCUUCCCCCAAUCCGUGGGUUGAUUUGUUUUCAUAUUUCGUCAGCGUUCACAUCACCGGGUUACUCAAGUUUCAGUUGGGAGCUCGACCAAGAUCCAAUCUCCGGUAAUGGAGGAGCUGGCUGCUACUCGGCUGACUCUGUUGUUUGGUUCACUCUCAAAUACUACUAUCUAUCUUUUUGGUUCAGAAACUGCAUGCAUCUUUCCACUAGUUUUGAAGGAAAUAUGCCCUAGAGGCAAUAAUAAAGUUAUUAUUUAUUUCCUUAUAUCAUGAUAAAUGUUUAUUAUUCAUGCUAGAAUUGUAUUAACCGGAAACUUGAUACAUGUGUGAAUACAUAGACAAACAGAGUGUCACUAGUAUGCCUCUACUUGACUAACUCGUUGAUCAAAGAUGGUUAUGUUUCCUAGCCAUAGACAUGAGUUGUCAUUUGAUUAACGUGAUCACAUCAUUAGGAGAAUGAUGUGAUUGACUUGACCCAUUCCGUUAGCUUAGCACUCGAUCGUUUAGUAUGUUGCUAUUGCUUUCUUCAUGACAUAUACAUGUUCCUAUGACUAUGAGAUUAUGCAACUCCCGUUUACCGGAGGAACACUUUGUGUGCUACCAAACGUCACAACGUAACCGGGUGAUUAUAAAGGUGCUCUACAGGUGUCUCCGAAGGUACUUGUUGGGUUGGCGUAUUUCGAGAUUAGGAUUUGUCACUCCGAUUGUCGGAGAGGUAUCUCUGAGCCCUCUCGGUAAUGCACAUCACUUAAGCCUCGCAAGCAUUGCAACUAAUGAGUUUGUUGCGAGAUGAUGUAUUACGGAACGAGUAAACAGACUUGCCGGUAACGAGAUUGAACUAGGUAUUGAGAUACCGACGAUCGAAUCUCGGGCAAGUAACAUACCGAUGACAAAGAGAACAACGUAUGUUGUUAUGCGGUUUGACCGAUAAAGAUCUUCGUAGAAUAUGUGGGAGCCAAUAUGAGCAUCCAGGUUCCGCUAUUGGUUAUUGACCGGAGACGUGUCUCGGUCAUGUCUACAUAGUUCUCGAACCCGUAGGGUCCGCACGCUUAAAGUUAGAUGACGGUUAUAUUAUGAGUUUAUGUGUUUUGAUGUACCGAAGGAGUUCGGAGUCCCGGAUGAGAUAAGGGACAUGACGAGGAGUCUCGAAAUGGCCGAGACGUAAAGAUCGAUAUAUUGGACGACUAUAUUCGGACUUCGGAAAGGUUCCGAGUGAUUCGGGUAUUUAUCGGAGUACGGGAGAGUUACGGGAAUUCGCCGGGGAGAAGUAUUGGGCCUUAUUGGGCCAUAUGGGAAUAGAGGAGAGAGGCCAAAAGGAAGGAGGCGCGCACCCCCCCUCUGGUCCGAAUUGGACAAGGGGUGCAGCCCCUUUUUCCUUCUCCCUCUCCCCCUCUUUCCUUCUCUCCUACUCCAACAAGGGAAGGAGGAGUCCUACUCCCGGUGGGAGUAGGACUCCCCCCUUGGCGCGCCCUCCUCCUAGGCCGGCCGCCUCCCCCCUUGCUCCUUUAUAUACGGGGGCAGGGGGCACCCCAAAGACACAACAAUUGAUCAUUGAUCUCUUAGCCGUGUGCGGUGCCCCCCUCCACCAUAUUACACCUCGAUAAUAUCGUAGCGGUGCUUAGGCGAAGCCCUGCGUCAGUAGAACAUCAUCAUCGUCACCACGCCGUCGUGCUGACGAAACUCUCCCUCGACACUCGGCUGGAUCGGAGUUCGAGGGACGUCAUCGAGCUGAACGUGUGCUGAACUCGGAGGUGCCGUGCGUUCGGUACUUGAUCGGUCGGAUCGUGAAGACGUACGACUACAUCAACCGCGUUGUGGUAACGCUUCCGUUUUCUGUCUACGUGGGUACGUGGACAACACUCUCCCCUCUCGUUGCUAUGCAUCACCAUGAUCUUGCGUGUGCGUAGGAAUUUUUUUGAAAUUACUACGUUCCCCAUCAGUGGCAUCCAAGCCUGGUUUUAUGCGUAAAUGUCAUAUGCACGAGUAGAACACAAGUGAGUUGUGGGCGAUAUAAGUCAUACUGCUUACCAGCAUGUCAUACUUUGGUUCGACGGUAUUGUUGGAUGAAGCGGCCCGGACCGACAUUACGCGUACGCUUACGCGAGACUGGUUCUUCCGACGUGCUUUGCACAGAGGUGGCUGGCGGGUGUCAGUUUCUCCAACUUUAGUUGAACCGAGUGUGGCUACGCCCGGUCCUUGCGAAGGUUAAAACAACACCAACUUGACAAACUAUCAUUGUGGUUUUGAUGCGUAGGUAAGAACGGUUCUUGCUCAGCCCGUAGCAGCCACGUAAAACUUGCAACAACAAAGUAGAGGACGUCUAACUUGUUUUUGCAGGGCAUGUUGUGAUAUGAUAUGGUCAAGGAAUGAUGCUAUAUUUUAUUGUAUGAGAUGAUCAUGUUUUGUAACCAAGUUACCGGCAACUGGCAGGAGCCAUAUGGUUGUCGCUUUGUUGUAUGCAAUGCAAUUGCCACGUAAUUGCUUUACUUUAUCACUAAGCGGUAGCGAUAGUCGUAGAAGCAAUAGUUAGCGAGACGACAAUGAUGCUACGAUGGAGAUCAAGGUGCCGCGCCGGUGACGAUGGGGAUCAUGACGGUGCUUCGGAGAUGGAGAUCACAAGCACAAGAUGAUGAUGGCCAUAUCAUAUCACUUAUAUUGAUUGCAUGUGAUGUUUAUCUUUUAUGCAUCUUAUCUUGCUUUGAUUGACAGUAGCAUUAUAAGAUGAUCUCUCACUAAAUUUCAAGAUAAACGUGUUCUCCCUGAGUAUGCGCCGUUGACAAAGUUCGUCGUGCCCAGACACCACGUGAUGAUCGGGUGUGAUAAGCUCUACGUCCAUCUACAAUGGGUGCAAGCCAGUUUUGCACACGCAGAAUACUCAGGUUAAACUUGACGAGCCUAGCAUAUGCAGAUAUGGCCUCGGAACACUGAGACCGAAAGGUCGAGCGUGAAUCAUAUAAUAGAUAUGAUCAACAUAGUGAUGUUCACCAUUGAAAACUACUCCAUUUCACGUGAUGAUCGGUUAUGGUUUAAUUGAUUUGGAUCACGUGAUCACUUAGAUGAUUAAAGGGAUGUCUAUCUAAGUGGGAGUUCUUAAGUAAUAUGAUUAAUUGAACUUAAAUUUAUCAUGAACUUAGUCCUGAUAGUAUUUUGCAAAUUAUGUUGUAGAUCAAUAGCUCGCGUUGUUGCUUCCCUGUGUUUAUUUUUGAUAUGUUCCUAGAGAAAAAUUAUGUUGAAAGAUGUUAGUAGCAAAGAUGCGGAUUGGAUCCGUGAUCUGAGGAUUAUCCUCAUUGCUGCACAGAAGAAUUAUGUCCUUGAUGCACCGCUAGGUGACAGACCUAUUGCAGGAGCAGAUGCAGACAUUAUGAACGUUUGACUAGCUCAAUAUGAUGACUACUUGAUAGUUUAGUGCAUCAUGCUUAACGGCUUAGAAUCGGAGCUUCAAAGACGUUUUGAACGUCAUGGACCAUAUGAGAUGUUCCAGGAGUUGAAGUUAAUAUUUCAAGCAAAUACCCGAGUUGAGAGAUAUGAAGUCUCCAACAAGUUCUAUAGCUAAAAGAUGGAGGAGAAUAGCUCAAGCAGUGAGCAUGUGCUCAGAUUGUCUGGGUACUACAAUCGCUUGAAUCAAGUGGGAGUUAAUCUUCCAGUUAAAAUAGUGAUUGACAGAAUUCUCUAGUCACCAUCACCAAGUUAGUAGAACUUCAUGAUGAACUAUAGUAUGCAAGGGAUGACGAAAGUAAUUCCCGAGCUCUUCGUGAUGCUGAAAUCGACGAAGGUAGAAAUCAAGAAAAACAUCAAGUGUUGAUGGUUGAAGAGACCACUAGUUUCAAGAAAAGGGCAAAGGGAAGAAGGGGAACUUCAAGAAGAACGGCAAGCAAGUUGCUGCUCAAGUGAAGAAGCCUAAGUCUGGUCCUAAGCCUGAGACUAAGUGCUUCUGCUGCAAAGGGACUGGUUACUGGAAGCGGAACUACCCCAAGUAUUUGGUGGAUAAGAAGGAUGGCAAAGUGAACAAAGGUAUAUUGGAUAUACAUAUUAUUGAUGUGUACUUUACUAGUGUUUAUAGCAACCCCUCGGCAUUUGAUACUGGUUCAGUUGCUAAGAGUAGUAACUCGAAACGGGAGUUGCAGAAUAAACAGAGAGACUAGUAAAAGGCGAGGUGACGAUGUGUGUUGGAAGUAGUUCCAAGAUUGAUAUGAUCAUCAUCGCACACUUCCUAUACUUUCGGGAUUAGUGUUGAAACUAAAUAAGUGUUAUUUGGUGUUUGCAUUGAGCAUGGAUAUGAUUUGAUCAUGUUUGUUGCAAUAUGGUUAUUCAUUUAAAUUAGAGAAUAAUUGUUAUUCUGUUUACAUGAAUAAAACCUUCUAUGGUCAUACACCCAAUAAAAUGGUUUGUUGGAUCUCGAUCGUAGUGAUACACAUAUUCAUAAUAAUGAAGCCAAAAGAUGCAAAGUUAAUAAUGAUAGUGCAACUUAUUUGUGGCACUGCCGUUUAGGUCAUAUUGGUGUAAAGCGCAUGAAGAAACUCCAUACUGAUGGGAUUUUGGAAUCACUUGAUUAUGAAUCACUUGAUGCUUGCGAACCGUGCCUCAUGGGCAAGAUGACUAAAACGCCGUUCUCUGGAACUAUGGAGAGAGCAACAGAUUAGUUGAAAAUCAUACAUACAGAUGUAUGUGGUCCGAUGAAUAUUGAGGCUCGUAGCAGGUAUCAUUAUUUUCUGACAUUCACAGAUGAUUUGAGCAGAUAUGGGUAUAUCUACUUAAUGAAACAGAAGUCUGAAACAUUUGAAAAGUUCAUAUAAUUUCAGAGUGAAGUGGAAAAUCAUCGGAACAAGAAAAUAAAGUUUCUACGAUCUGAUCGUGGAGAAGAGUAUUUGAGUUACGAGUUUGGCCUUCAGUUAAAACAAUGUGAAAUAGUUUCACUACUCACGCCACCUGGAACACCACAGUGUAAUGGUGUGUCCGAACAUCGUAACCGUACUUUAUUAUAUAUGGUGCGAUAUAUGAUGUCUCUUACCGAUCUACCACUAUCGUUUUGGGGUUAUGCAUUAGAGACAGCUGCAUUCAUGUUAAAUAGUGUACCAUCUAAAUCUGUUGAGACGACAUCUUAUGAACUGUGGUUUGGCAAGAAACCAAAGUUGUCGUUUCUUAAAGUUUGGGGUUGCGAUGCUUAUGUGAAAAAGUUUCAUCCUGAUAAGCUCAAACCCAAAUCGGAGAAAUGUGUCUUCAUAGGAUACCCAAAGGAGACAGUUGGGUACACCUUCUAUCACAGAUCCGAAGGCAAGACAUUCGUUGCUAAGAAUGGAUCCUUUCUAGGGAAGGAGUUUCUCUCGAAAGAAGUGAGUGGGAGGAAAGUAGAACUUGAUGAGGUAAUUGUACCUGCUUCCUUAUUGAAAAGUAGUUCAUCGCAGAAACCAGUUUCUGUGACGCCUAUACCAAUUAGUGAGGAAGUUAAUGAUGAUGAUCAUGGAACUUCAGAUCAAGUUAUUACUGAACCUCGUAGGUCAACCAGAGUAAGAUCCGCACCAGAGUGGUACGGUAAUCCUGUUCUGGAGGUUAUGUUACUAGACCAUGACGAACCUACUAACUAUGAAGAAGCGAUGGUGAGCCCAGAUUUCGCAAAAUGGCUUGAGGCCAUGAAAUCUGAGAUGAGAUCCAUGUAUGAGAACAAAGUAUGGACUUUGAAUUACUUGCCCAAUGAUCGGUGAGCCAUUGAGAUUAAAUGGAUCUUCAAGAGGAAGACGGACGCUGAUAGUAGUGUUACUAUCUACAAAGCUAGAAUUGUCGCAAAAGGUUUUCGACAAGUUUAAGGUGUUGACUACGAUGAGAGUUUCUCACUCGUAUCUAUGCUUAAGUCUGUCCGAAUCAUGUUAGCAAUUGCCGCAUUUUAUGAAAUCUGGCAAAUGGAUAAACAAAACUGCAUUCCUUAAUGGAUUUAUUAAAGAAGAGUUGUAUAUGAUGCAACCAGAAGGUUUUGUCAAUCCUAAAGGUGCUAACAAAAUAUGCAAGCUCCAGCGAUCCAUCUAUGGACUGGUGCAAGCAUCUCGGAGUUGGAAUAUACGCUUUGAUAAGUUGAUCAAAGGAUAUAGUUUUAUACAGACUUGCAGUGAAACCUGUAUUUACAAGAAAGUGAGUGGGAGCACUACAGCAUUUCUGAUAAGUAUUGGUGAAUGACAUAUUGUUGAUCGGAAAUAAUGUAGAAUUAUUCUGCAAAGCAUAAAGGAGUAUUUGAAAGGAGUUUUUCAAAGAAAGACCUCGGUGAAGCUGCUUACAUAUUGAGCAUCAAGAUCUAUAGAGAUAGAUCAAGACGCUUGAUAAGUUUUUUCAAUGAGUACAUACCUUAACAAGAUUUUGAAGUGGUUCAAAAUGGAACAGUCAAAGAAAGAGUUUCUUGCCUGUGUUACAAGGUGUGAAAUUGAGUAAGACUCAAAGCCCGACCACGGCAGAAGAUAGAAAAAGAAUGAAAGUCAUUCCCUAUGCCUCGGCCAUAGGUUCUAUAAAGUAUGCCAUGCUGUGUACCAGAUCUAUUGUAUACCCUACACUGAUUUUGGCAAGGGAGUACAAUAGUGAUCUAGGAGUAGAUCACUGGACAGCGGUCAAAAUUAUCCUUAGUGUAAUAAGGAUAUGUUUCUCGAUUAUGAAAGUGACAAAAGGUUCGUCUUAAAGGUUUACGUCGAUGCAAGUUUUGACACUAAUCUAGAUGACUCUAAGUCUCGGUCUAGAUACAUAUUGAAAGUGGGAGCAAUUAGCUAGAGUAGCUCCGUGCAGAGCAUUGUAGACAUAGAAAUUUGCAAAAUACUCACGGAUCUGAAUGUGACAGACCCGUUGACUAAAAUUAUCUCACAAGCAAAACAUGAUCACACCUUAGUACUCUUUGGGUGUUAAUCACAUAGCAAUGUGAACUAGAUUACUGACUCUAGUAAACCCUUUGGGUGUUGGUCACAUGACGAUGUGAACUAUGGGUGUUAAUCACAUGGUGAUGUGAACUAUUGAUGUUAAAUCACAUGGCGAUGUGAACUAGAUUAUUGACUCUAGUGCAAGUGGGAGACUGAAGGAAAUAUGCCCUAGAGGCAAUAAUAAAGUUAUUAUUUAUUUCCUUAUAUCAUGAUAAAUGUUUAUUAUUCAUGCUAGAAUUGUAUUAACCGGAAACUUGAUACAUGUGUGAAUACAUAGACAAACAGAGUGUCACUAGUAUGCCUCUACUUGACUAGCUCGUUGAUCAAAGAUGGUUAUGUUUCCUAGCCAUAGACAUGAGUUGUCAUUUGAUUAACGUGAUCACAUCAUUAGGAGAAUGAUGUGAUUGACUUGACCCAUUCCGUUAGCUUAGCACUCGAUCGUUUAGUAUGUUGCUAUUGCUUUCUUCAUGACAUAUACAUGUUCCUAUGACUAUGAGAUUAUGCAACUCCCGUUUACUGGAGGAACACUUUGUGUGCUACCAAACGUCACAACGUAACCGGGUGAUUAUAAAGGUGCUCUACAGGUGUCUCCGAAGGUACUUGUUGGGUUGGCGUAUUUCGAGAUUAGGAUUUGUCACUCCGAUUGUCGGAGAGGUAUCUCUGGGCCCUCUCGGUAAUGCACAUCACUUAAGCCUUGCAAGCAUUGCAACUAAUGAGUUUGUUGCGAGAUGAUGUAUUACGGAACGAGUAAAUAGACUUGCCGGUAAUGAGAUUGAACUAGGUAUUGAGAUACCGACGAUCGAAUCUCGGGCAAGUAACAUACCGAUGACAAAGGGAACAACGUAUGUUGUUAUGCGGUUUGACCGAUAAAGAUCUUCGUAGAAUAUGUGGGAGCCAAUAUGAGCAUCCAGGUUCCGCUAUUGGUUAUUGAUCGGAGACGUGUCUCGGUCAUGUCUACAUAGUUCUCGAACCCGUAGGGUCCGCACGCUUAAAGUUAGAUGACGGUUAUAUAUGAGUUUAUGUGUUUUGAUGUACCGAAGGAGUUCGGAGUCCCGGAUGAGAUCAGGGACAUGACGAGGAGUCUCGAAUUGGCCGAGACGUAAAGAUCGAUAUAUUGGACGACUAUAUUCGGACUUCGGAAAGGUUCCGAGUGAUUCGGGUAUUUAUCGGAGUACGGGAGAGUUACGGGAAUUCGCCGUGGAGAAGUAUUGGGCCUUAUUGGGCCAUAUGGGAAUAGAGGAGAGAGGCCAAAAGGAAGGAGGCGCGCACCCCCCCUCUAGUCCGAAUUGGACAAGGGGUGCAGCCCCUUUUUCCUUCUCCCUCUCCCCCUCUUUCCUUCUCUCCUACUCCAACAAGGAAAGGAGGAGUCCUACUCCCGGUGGGAGUAGGACUCCCCCCUUGGCGCGCCCUCCUCCUAGGCCGGCCGCCUCCCCCUUGCUCCUUUAUAUACGGAGGCAGGGGGGCACCCCAAAGACACAACAAUUGAUCAUUGAUCUCUUAGCCGUGUGCGGUGUCCCCCUCCACCAUAUUACACCUCGAUAAUAACGUAGAGGUGCUUAGGCGAAGGCCUGCGUCGGUAGAACAUCAUCAUCGUCACCACGCCGUCGUGCUGACGAAACUCUCCCUCAACACUCGGCUGGAUCGGAGUUCGAGGGACGUCAUCGAGCUGAACGUGUGCUAAACUCGGAGGUGCCGUGCGUUCGGUACUUGAUCGGUUGGAUCGUGAAGACGUACGACUACAUCAACCGCGUUGUGUUAACACUUCCGCUUUCGGUCUACGAGGGUACAUGGACAACACUCUCCCCUCUCGUUGCUAUGCAUCACCAUGAUCUUGUGUGUGCGUAGGAAAUUUUUUGAAAUUACUACGUUCACCAUCAAGUGUAAUUUGUACAUGUUUGUCUGCUUCUGUUUUCUGUCAAUCUCCAGCGUUAGAAAAAAAAGAAAAGAAUCUUGAGAUAAAUAAUCACUCUUAUAAGUCAAUGGAAGCACUCGUUCUUUACUUACUCCAAGUUACUGAUUAUAACCUUUCACAGAUCCCUGCUUUGUAUGGUAUAGGCAGACAUAUAUUAUUUCAUAGUCUGAUCUGUCCCCUUUUUUUGGUUUUCCUUGAGAUUGUACAACAGUUGCAUCAAGCAAGAUAAACCAAUGUGUGGUGUGCGUGCCAAGGCGCUGGGCGCGCGCAGGGGCAUGGGAUGCCGGUGACAGUGACCAACACCCCCUACAUGGGCAUCAACGACCUGGACACCUCCGCGAGCCUAUGCAAGCUGCCGGUCUACCUAUAGCUGACAUGCCAACACCACUCAAAAGUAACCAAUUCAUCCGCUCAGAGGUGGUUAAGAUGUAAGUGCUGGCUGCUGCCCGUCUGAUAUUGUAGAUGAUGGUACGCAUGUACUGUACAUGUUUGGCCCACUCUGAAAUUUCUGUCAGUUUGGUUCAGAAGCUGCGAGUGUCUUUCCACUAGUGUAAGUUGCCUCUGCAAUUCAACAUUGUUUGUCUGUUUCUGUUUUGUGUCAAUCUCCGGUGUUGGCAAAGAAAUCCUUUAAAGAACUGCAAUGGAAGCACUCGUUUCUUUACUUACUCUAUAUGGCACUCGUUUUUAUCUUUCAUAGAUCUUUGCUUCGCAUGGUGUAGACAUGUAUUAUUAGCUACUCCCUCCAUUCCUAAAUACAAGUCUUUUUAGACAUUUCAAUAUGGACUACAUGCAGAGCAAAAUGAGUGAAUCCACACUUUAAAAUUGUCUAUAUACAUCUGUAUGUAGUUCGUAUUGAAAUAUCUAAAAGGGCUUAUAUUUAGGACCGGAGGGAGUAGUAUUGAAGCAUUAUUUCAUAGUCUGAUCUGUACCCUUUGGUUUUCGUUCUGAUGGUACAACAGUUGCAUGGAGGAUGAUAAACCCACGUGUGCUGUGCGUGGGGAGUACAUCAGCAGUGAGUGGCCGAUUCUUCGUCGACUACGGCAUAGGUAAGACACUGGUUUACCUGCCCUGCUCUCUCUCUCUGUCUCUCAUGCUCAAUGAUUUCCAAACAGCUUCAUCCUUGAUUUGUAGUGCAUUUGAAUGAAUUUCUGAAUGUAUAAUCAUUAAUUUGCUUGAGUUGGUGAUGGCACCGGUGUCAUGCGCCAAAAAGAAAAUCUCCUUUCGUGCUUCGGGACUAGUUUUUUCCCCUGUUGGCUGAUGCAUUCCAUGGGCCUACUGUUUAUGUUUGUAAGGGAGAUGGCGAAAGAUGGGAGUAGUAGCUUUUAUGAAGAUGUUGGCUUUUAGAAAUCCUGGUAUUGAUUUGGGGAAAUAAGAACCUCCGUGUCCUGCUAUAUGAGUAGAGGAUGACUCACCAAAGCACCCAAGUUGGUUAGAAAGCUUGAUUCAAUAAAGUGAUCUGUUUUAUUUCUACUUCUUUGGUAUUGCUACAUUCUUGUCACGAUUGGUAACUAAAAGUGUCCCCUUUUUGGUUAACUGAAGUGAUUGCAAAGGAGCUGGGCGUGCAGGGGCAUGGGAUGCCCGUGACAGUGACCAACACCACCUACAUGGGCAUGAACGCCCUCCAUGGCACCGCUGGCCUGGGCAAGCCGUGCCGGUCUACCGUAGCUCGUGGAGGUUGUCAAGAUGUAUGUCCACAUGCCGACACUGCUCAGGGUGAUUCAUGCAUCAACGCCUUUCAGAUCCUAAAGCAUACAUAUUUGUAUGAUUUAAAUACUUGAUCAUUAACUAAUUCAACUGGGCUGUAUGGAUCCAUCAGGUACCUUCUUGAUACUGGCGUUGAUAUAAAUCAGAAACGUUUGAGCAUCACUAGACUUCGACGCUUCCCGCCUUGCCCGUCCGGUGGUCGCUUCUUGUUUGAAUCUGUCAUAGGUAAGUCACUCAUUCCUUUCCUCUGCUCUCUCAUGCCACUGGUUCAAGUAUGGCAAUGCAAGAAAGGUAGUUUAAAAAAAAUCAAUGUAUGUGUAGUACUUUGAGAGUUUAUAUGCUUGUUACAAUGCCACUGUUUUAAACACAAUCAAUUUUACAGCUCAGACUUCUUUUCGUUGUAAUUAAUGGUGGGUUUCUUUUCUGUUUGUUUGGUGCAGGAUUUGGCGUUGGGGUCCAAUUUCAACGCUGGGGAGAGCUGGUGCCAUGGCGGGCUACUAUGUUGUUGGGGUUCAUUUUCCAACGAUUGUAGUCUUGCAGAGGUUAUGCCUAGGUGCCGUGUGCAGUAGGGUGCUGCCUUGCCCAACACCAUCCCCUGCAUGUGUUCCUCCGUGGACCUCGUCAGAUAGUGCGAGGUUAGCAGGAACUACUCUCCUUCCCUGAUUUCGAGGUUGCAGAUUCAUAACCAGUAGAGUUAAUUGCCAACUAAUCAGCCUACUAUUUUGAACCGAAACUCACAUUUCCUUGAGUUUGUGCUAUGUAUCUGUGGCUAAAUUGUUGGUGGUCAAACUAACAUGGUGAACUUGAACAAUCCCGUUGUUGACAAUUCUAGGCUGUUGUAUGAUGCCUAGUUGGCUUUGCAUAGCUCCUAGAGUCAAAUAUUAUGCUCGAGCUCAUGCCAAUAUUAAUUGUUGUAUGGUUAUCUAGAAACUGCAGUUUACAUAUAUAGGUAGCUGAUAAGUUCUGUAAAAUAUAAGCCAGGAUGCCAUGCGACAAAGUCGGUCUUGCAACCAAUGUUAAUUUGGGAAUCUUCUGAUCUGAACCAAGAGAUGUUAUUAUUGUUGCAUAUUUGACGCCCUUACUGUUGCUUAUUGUUAUUGCUCUGAAAAAUUAACUCAAACGAUUAUCUAGUGCAAUUCAAAUAGCAACCAAACUUCGGCUUUAAGUUGGUACAUACUGUGUUGAGCUCUGCUUUCAUUGUUACUGAAAGCAAAUUGGUCGACCAUUCUAGGAGGUUGGAAGUUGGCGGCUACAUAUUUAUGCCUUAAUUAGGUAGUCCAUUUUUUAGUUUCACUGCGUUUAAGGGGUCGCUCGCUAGUCUACUAAAUUGUCCGUAGUCUGGCAUCUCUAUGUUAAUAAAUUGUCUAUUUUUCAUAGAUAGGAGCUAUUCAGUGUGACCAAGUAGAUAGGAGAAUCAAGAGCUACUAACUUGUCCUCCGUCCGUCCCACAAUAUAAGAUUGUUUCUUGAAAAACGAUCUUAUAUUGUGGGACAGAGGGAGUAUUCAUUUAGUUUUCUACUCUCUCUGUAAAGAAAUAUAAGAGUGUUUCAUAGUCUGAUUUUUACCAUUUGGUUUUCAUUCAGGGGCAUGGGAUGGUACAACAGUUGCAUCAAGGAUGAUAAACCAACAUGUGGUGUGCGUGCAAAGGAGCUAGGCGUGCAGGGGCAUGGGAUGCUGGUGACAGUGGACAAAAGCCCCUACAUCGGCAUGAGCGACCUGGACGUCUCCGCGGGCUUCUGCAAGCUGCCGGUCUACGGGUAGCUCGUGGAGGUAGUCAAGGUGUACGUUGACAUGCCAACGCCGCUCAGAGUAACUAAUUCGUCUGCUCAGAGUUGGUCAAGAUGUAAGUGCUGGCCGCUGCCCGUCUGAUUCUGUAGAUGAUGGUACGCAUGUACUGUAGACGUUUGGCUCCACUGGGAAAUUUCCGUCAGUUUGGUUCAUAAGCUGCGAGUUUCUUUACACUAGUGUAAGUUGCAUGUGCAAUUCAACAUUGUUUGUCUGUUUUUAUUUUGUGUCAAUCUCUGUUGUUGGCAAAAAAUAAGGAAAAGAAAAGAACUUGAGAUAAAUAAUCCUUUAAAGAAUUGCAAUGCAAGCACUCGUUUCUUUACUUACUCUAGGUCACUCGUUUUUAUCUUUCAGAAAUCGCUGCUUCGCAUGGUGUAGACAUAUAUUAUUAUCUACUCCCUCCGUUCUAAAAUAGAUGACCCAACUUUGUACUAACUUUGAGUACAAAGUUGGGUCAUCUAUUUUGGAACGGAGGGAGUAGUACUGAAGCAUUAUUUCAUAGUCUGACCUGUACCCUUUGGUUUUCGUUUUGAUGGUACAACAGUUGCAUGGAGGAUGAUAAACCGACGUGUGGUGUGCGUGGGGAAGUACAUCAGCAGUGAGUCGGUGCCGUGCCCCUCCAGUGGCCGAUUCUUCAUCGACUACGUUAUAGGUAAGACACUGGUUUUCGUGCCCUGCUCUCUCUCAUGCUCUCUGAUUUCCAAACAACUUCAUCCUUGAUUUGUGGUGCAUUUGAAUGAAUUUCUGAAUGUAUAAUCAUUAAUUUGCUUGAGUUGGUGAUGGCACACGCGUUGUGCACCAAAUAAAAUAAUUUCCUUUUGUGCUUUGGGACUUGGCUUUUUAACCCUGUUGGCUGAUGCAUUCCAUGGGUCUACUGUUUAUGUAUGUAAGGGAGAUGGAGAAAGAUGGGAGUAAUACCUUUCAUGAAGAUGUUGGCUUUUAGAAAUCCUGGUAUUGAUUUGGGAAAAUAAGAACCUCCGUGUCCUGCUAUAUCAGUAGAGGAUGACUCACCAAAGCACCCAAGUUGGUUAGAAAGCUUGAUUCAAUAAAGUGACCUAUUUUAUUUCUACUGCUCUGGUACCGCUACAUUCUUGUCACGAUUGGUAACUAAAAGUGUCCCCUUUUUGGUUAACAGAAGUGAUUGCAAAAGAGUUGGGCAUGCAGGGGCCUGGGAUGCCCGUGAGAGUGGCCAACACCACCUACAUGGGCAUGAAUGCCCUCCAUGGCACCACCGGCCUUGGCAGGCUGUGCCGGUCUACGAGUAGCUCGUGGAGGUGGUCAAAAUGUACGUCCACAUGCUGACACCUCUCAUGGUAAUCAAUCCAUCGACACCUUUCAGAUCCUAAAGCAUGCAUAUUUGUAUGACUUGAAUACUUGACCAUUAAGUAAUUCAACUGGGCUGUGUGGAUCUAUCAGGUACCUUGUUGAUUCUAGCGUUGAUCGAAAUGAGAAACGUUCGGGCAUCACUAGACUUCGACACCUCCCAUCUUGCCCCUCUGGUGGUCGCUUCUUGUUCGAAUCUGGCAUAGGUAAGCCACUCAUUCCUCUCCUCUACUCUCUCAUUCCACUGAUUCCAUCUCUCCGCUAGUGUAAGUUGCUUGUGCAAUCCCAUGUUGCUUGUGCAUCUUUCCGCUAGUGUAAGUUACUUGUGCAAUCCCAUGUUGUUUGCCUGCUUCUGCUUUGUGUCAACCUCCAGUGUUGGAAAAAACCCAGAAACUUGAGUUAAAUAAUCACUCAAGUCAAUGGAAGCAGUUGUUCUUUACUUACUCUAGUCACUCAUUUUCACCUUUCACACAUCCCUGCUUUUCCCUGGUAUGGACAGACAUAUAUUAUUUCAUAGGCUGAUCUGUACCAGUUGGUUCUCCUUCAGAUUGUACAACAGUUGCAUCAAGGAUGAUAAACCAACGUGUGGUGUGCGUGCAAAGGAGCUGGGCGUGCAGGGGCAUGGGAUGUCGGUGACAGUGGCCAACACCCCCUACAUGGGCAUCAACAGCUGCGAGUGUCUUUCCACUAGUGUAAGUUGCUUGUGCAAUUCAACGUUGUUUGUUUGUUUCUAUUUUGUGCCAAUCUCUAGUUUUGGCAAAAAAAUAUGAAAAGAAAAGAACUUGAGAUAAAUAAUCCUCUAAAGAACUGCAAUGGAAGCACUCGUUUCUUUACUUACUCUAAGUCACUCGUUUUUAUCUUUCAGCGAUUGUUGCUUCACAUGGUGUAGACUUGUAUUAUUAUCUACUCCCUUCGUUCCUAAAUAUAAGUCUUUCUAGAGAUUCCAAUAUAGAUUACAUACGGAGCAAACUGAGUGAAUCUACACUCUAAAAUACUCCCUCCGUUCCACUGUUAAGAUUGUAAUAGUCAUUUUUGUUAACUAGCUUAAGCGAAACACGCAUGGAUAAUUGUUAAGGCACAAAUAAUGUUAAUUUUUGAUGUAUUCAGUAUCCUGUGACCAAAUCCCAGUGGGUCUAUGUACAAUGACGUCGUGCUGAUCCGAGGGUAUUUGUUUGCAGAGAGUAAACCUUACAAAGCUUGGAACACAUGCACUAUGGACAUACUGGAAGCACUUCAAUCUUAUAAGCACCAUCCUAGCCUAUGUAGUAAUUCUUGAUCGGCAAAAAAUCAAUGUCAAGUUUUUUAUUCAAUCCUGAUAGUGUAUGAUACUGGAUGGUGAAAAACUUUGCAUUUGUUUGUAUGGGUAUGUCCGUGUGGAUGAACCAAAAAGCUUGGAGUCAUUAUUAAUGUUGAACCGAGAAGCUAGGUUAAUACAUUUUUACUAUGGUUCACUCUUUUUAGUAUGCUUACACCAAGUACGCCCUGACUUUGCGUUGGAGCAUGUUUGGCAUUCUGUCGAUUUUUUUAUGCUGGGGGUCAUCAUCAAUUGAUUAUUCCUAAAGUCACAGAAGUGUUGUUGACAUUGACAUAGUGUCCAGAACACAAUUUUGACCACAAAUUUGUACUGUAUGAUAGUUGGAAUUGAGAUUGGGUUAAAUUGGUCUGUACCGUGUCAUAUGGUCAGGGUAGUACAUUUAGCGCAUAAGCAGAAUUGUCUAAUUUUUCAGCCCUAAUAAGACAGCUUCAAAGAACUGAACUUUUAGCUUAUCAAGUAAAGCUAUUACCUGCCUGGGUGAUUCUUCCUCUUGUUCGAUAGGAUUGGAUAACAAGAUAUCUUGUGCCUAUCUGAAUGUUUGGCAAACCAUCUCUUUGGUUUCCAUGCCUUGAGUACUAAUGAUUUUGGCUUUCGCUAACAUUUCUAGCGUUGCUGCUGGGCAAUACCGUCCGGUUCCAUGGCGCCUUUCGCUCGGGCAUGUCAAACAUGGAUGUCAUCAGAGGGGGCAGCACUUACGGUGUCGUAGUCUUUGCUGGUGACAGUAGCUUUUCCGUUGCCAAGGAUCACGGCAAGUACAUGCGGUGCCGUCGUGAAGAAUCUCGCCUAGGCCUGAUUCUGAGCAAAUAUUGUGCAUUCUUUCCUCAGAUUGUUAGUUGGGGUCAUGUAAUUAAGUUAGAGGUUCCUUUGUAGUCCUGCUGUUGGAGUCCAGUGGUUAUGUAAUUAAGCAAAUGAAGAUGUUGAGACAAUAUUGUCCGUCUGUUGAAACUGUUGAAUUUAUUGUUUGUUGAAGUUCUUCUGGAUUGCUCUGAGGUUAGAACUCCUGCAUUUCAAUCAGACGCAACAUCGAAUAACAUCACCUGCCAAAGAAUUUGCCGUGGGAUAAUAACAUAUGCAACCUUUUUUCUGAAUUUUUAAACAUCAUGUUUUAUACUUUGUUUCUUGAAUUUAAAAGUUUUAUUUUUCCACAUAGUACUGCCCUGUCUGGAAGGUGGCAUUUCCCCAAAGUCAUGUAGAAAUGGAACCUUCAUUAUGAAAUGUCUGCUUUUUCUCAGCACAUACUUCCUCCAUCCCCAAUUACUUGUAGCACAAAUCGAUGUAUCUAGUUGUAUUUUUUGUUCUAGAUACAUCCAUUUUUAUCCUUUUCCAUGACAAGUAAUUGGGAUGUAGGGAGUAUUUUAUAACAGUUUUCUAGACAACACAGUCCAUGGUGAUUAUUUAUACAGUGAUUCUCUGCUCAAUGUACACCGUUAUAUUAUUGGAUAUAUAAUUGUAAAUCUUUGCAAUAAACAAAUAAGUUAAAACUGUUAUUGAUAUUAUGCAUCUCAAGCUGUUCACCUUUUGCGGAUGCUUUCAUUUUAAAAUUUUGAAAUAUCCACACUGGAACCGAGUCGUCGUUGGCUUCGGCUCGAUUCAGACUCAACUCCCCUAUUUGUGACUCCGUCUAGGCAAGUCUCCGGUUGGGGGAAUGUCAGCUGCUCCCAUCCUUGGGGUGGUCCCCAUACUCCAAGUUCUAAAAAACUCUAUUUUAAAUAUUAAAAAAAUCUAUUUUAAAUAUAUAAAAAAAACUGAUUUUUUUAUGAAUGCUCACAAGAAAUGUAAUAUAAGUCCUAAAAAUUUCAGGUCCAAACUCUAAAUAAAAAUUGAGAAACGAAAAUGUAAAAUCUAGCAUGAAUAGUGUCAAAAAAGGCAAAAGCAACCUUUGACACAAUCCACAUCUCCUUUUUGUUUCUCAACGUACAUUUCGAGUUUGGACCUGAAAUUUUAGGUGUUGUAGUCACAUUCCUCGUGAGCAUUCAUAUUCUUUUUUGAAUUUUUUAAAAUAUUGAAAUUUGAUGUUUUGUAGUUGGAGCAUGGUGAGCACCCCAAGAUGGGGGCACCUCAUGUUUUCCCGUCUCCGAUGGUGUGGUCGAGAGAAAAAACAAGAGUGAGCUUGUUUUGUGAAGAAAUCGGUAAAGAUUUUGUUGAUAGAGUGAGGCAGUUUUGUCGAGAGAGGGAUUUUCUUUUGUGGGUAAACUUCCGGUCUAUUCAUUUUUAAUCAUGGUAGUACAACGAACACUAGAAAUAAUAAAAUUACAUCUAGAUCCGUAGACCAUCUAGCGACAACUAAAAGCACUGAAGCAAGCCGAACUGAAGGCGCGCCGCUGCCAUCACCCCACCCUUGCUAGAGCCGGGCAAACCUUGUUGUAGUAGACAGUCGGGAAGUCGUUGUGCUAAGGCCCCAUAGAACCAACACACCAGAAUAGCAACCGUCGCCGAUGAAGAGUGUAGAUAAGAAGGAUCCAACCUGAACACAUGAACAAAGACGAACGACGAACAGAUCCGAGCAAAUCCACCAAAGACAGAUCCAACGGAGACACACCUCCACACGCCCACCGACGAUGCUAGACGCAUCACCGGAACGGGGGCUAGACGGGGAGACCUUUAUUCCAAUGAUGCGUGGUUGGUUUGACCGUUCCACAUGGUCAACCACCAAAGAGGCAUCUGAUCCUCCAUAGAGUUUAUCUUUUCUAUAAGCGGAGAUCGUUACAGUUAAAAUAAAAUAGAUAGACCAAUUCAGUUGAAUAUGCUUUAAUUUUUUUCAAGAGCAUGCAAAACACGUGCUAUAAUUUUAUAGAAGGCAGAGGGUAAAGUAAAAGACAUAAAACAAGCUUCCACCAUAGACCGCUGAGAAGCGAACACCACACCAACUCAACACACACAAUACAACUCCAAGCAAAAGAGCCUGCACUGAACUACAAAGAAAGCCACGUCUCAACCAAUGCGGUCACCACAAAAGAGUAACAACUCCAAAAAAACUCUCCUUGCCUACGCCCAACUGCCCUUGAUUGCCUAAAAUAGGUGGCAGGUGGAUGGCGAGCCUCACACAACUGAAAGCCAUCAUGUAGGAAUCACCCGUGACAACGUACAUAUCGCCCUCGACGACCAAAUCCAGAGGAGCAGCGAGCACCAAAUGAACGCAAACCAGGACCUCCAAGCCAUGUCUCGAAAACAAUGCUCUCAACAUAGGAACGACAUCAAGGAUGCCGCCGGUACCAACCCAGAACCGGACCUAGGCUUUCGCCUGGAGUCAACCAUUCAAGUGAGCGAGGGCGAGGUGUCGACCCACCACAACGACGCCUCCAAGGAGGGAAAAUAACACUCAUUGUCAUCGUUGGCACCGGUCAAAGCCGGGUAGUACUUUCGUCUGAAUUGUCACAAACCUGCAACUCAACCCAUCAGAGUGAGGCAGACCGUGCAUGUAUGCUCACUCCUCCGCCACCAGAGCACCUCGCCAAAGAAACCACAUUGCCACGCCUCACCAUCACGACUAUCAGAGAUGUCAAUCACCAUCACACCGAGCCACCACCGCAAUCGCCUGCAACCACCACGGUGCCCAUCAGCUAGCAAGGCCCUAUGCCGUGGACCACGAACUAGGCCCCAACCACCACCAAGGCCGCACCAUCGGCAUAUUACACACCUCCACCGUCACCAAACGAGCAACGCUGUCGCCGGAGCUUCACCGCACCUCACUGCCAAGACCUCAAACGGAAGAGCGCCACAUCAUCGCCGGAGAGAAGGGAGACCGCACCCGGGAGAGGCCCUGCCGCAACCGGCACUGCCAGGGCUUCACCCGACAGUGACCCUCGGCGGCGGCGAGCGGGCAGGCGGAAGGGAGACAAGGGGCUGGCGGCUAGGGAACUAGGGACUCCCCUGUGUCACCUCGAGGAGGGACGCGGGUGCCGGGAGAGAUAUGAUUUGAUUUUUAAAUUCUUUGGUUCCAACAUAUGAUUUGCUAUGUAGUACUUCCCAAAGUGCGCCCUCGCGACCAUUGUAAACCACGGACAAUAUGCCCCCCUCAAUCACAUUUACUUCUUUUUUAGCAACACACAUGCACGUUUCCCGGGGGUAUAUUGGGUCAGUCGUAGCAUGACCACCAUGGGCAAGAAUGCAAGAAAUCCCAAUGAGCAAAGGAAGCAAAGAAAUGCACAUAAAAUAAUAGAUCAAAUUCUAGAUGUUACUAGUUUGAGAAGACGAUUGACACAUACAGGACCAGGCGCCAUGUCGGUCUGUGUUGCGUGGUCCAAGAUUGUCAAGGGCAAGCAGAGAUGUGGCAACACACGAUCAUGGAGUAAGACAAGAUUGACCACGCCAAUCAUACAUAUGUGGAGGUGUUGGUUGGUGACGAAGAGUGGUAUCAGUAAACCAAAAAAACUCUCUCAGAGCAAGCUGAGCGCGGAUGGUUUGGUUACUUGUGGUGGAAUUGGAUCGUCGUCCGCAUAUGGGUAAGCUUGGUGUGUAUGUUGGUGCCGCGCCCAUAACCGGCCCGCUGGUCCCCAUGAUCGUAGGAUAGGUGGAACAUGUGUUGGCACUCCAUGAGGUGAAUGUGGCUCCACGGUCGCACUCGAUGAUGACACAACUUAGAGGAUAUUGGCCGCAUAGCAACAAACAUCGACAUUUUAUAUCCUUGGUUUGAAUGAACCGUCACUUCAGCGCAGUGGUCAGCUCGUGACAUCUCAAUACAUCUUGUCGCACCGACACCAUCAACGACAAGUCCGUACGACCACCGGUUAGCGGCGAUGGACACUUCUGGAUGGCCUCUGUAGUCUUUGUCGGUGGCCAUGCAUGGAGAACAAUGAUGGGGUGAACAAGGCUGCCCUGGAGAGGAGGGCAACAACGAGGCCCAUGCCAUUGUUGAUCCUACCUUAGAUCUAGCUCUCUUACCAACAUAUGUUAUGUACGAGUGACUAGUGAGUGAUUGAGUGUGUGUCCUCCUCACAUAAACGAGAUGGCGGUAUUUACAAAUGCAGGAACUAGCUUACGAUAAAGAUGAUAUUCAUUCCUCUCGCAUCUUUGUGUUGCACAUGCGAAAUAGUAUUGGCCAAAUUUGAGUCUAGCUUGAACCACAAACAUAUUACACAUCAACUCGUCAAUUGUUAAUAGGUGGCCUGAACAAGGGAUUCAUGAGAUACAAUAUGUAUAUUAAACCAUCUGUGCACGUUUUCAGCCACUGGCCAUUAUCAGGGAUCAUAAUCACAUGAAAUGACGAGGAAUAGUGCAUGGAGUAUUCAUGGAAAAUCAAAUGAAGAAACGUGAGCACAGAAUAAUAUAUAGACCAUUUAUGGCUAUUUGGGUCCUACACGAGGGUGAGUGACCUAGCCUAGAAGUGCCUUAUCUGAUGUGAUGGUGUGGUAGCAAUGCAGUGAAUGAUGUGACCAAUGGCCCAUAGACUCUGAUGAUGUCAGGCUAUCGGCUGCAUGGCGCCCAUGAUGAGGAGCAUAGAUGGACUGUCUUGGCUUCGGCUCGGUUCAGACUUAACUCCCAUGUCGCUGCCACGGCUCCGUCUAGUCAGGUCUCCGGUGGUGGGGUUGAGAGAGAAUCAAGAGUGAGCUUGUAGGGAGAGAGAGAGAUUGUGGAGAGAGUGGUGAAGAUUUUGUGUGGGAUAUAUAUAUAUAUAGAGAGAGAGAUGAUGUGUGGUUUGUUUGACCGCGCCACAUGGUCAUCCACCAAAGAGUCAGCUUGUAUUCUAUGGCACCUGACCAUUUUGUGGCUUGGGCCGGCAAUGCUGACAUGUUAGCGGGGAGGCUGCAAAGGGCUGUGAAGAAAGUUGGAUCAAUUUCCUUGCAUNNNNNNNNNNNNNNNNNNNNNNNNNNNNNNNNNNNNNNNNNNNNNNNNNNNNNNNNNNNNNNNNNNNNNNNNNNNNNNNNNNNNNNNNNNNNNNNNNNNNNNNNNNNNNNNNNNNNNNNNNNNNNNNNNNNNNNNNNNNNNNNNNNNNNNNNNNNNNNNNNNNNNNNNNNNNNNNNNNNNNNNNNNNNNNNNNNNNNNNNNNNNNNNNNNNNNNNNNNNNNNNNNNNNNNNNNNNNNNNNNNNNNNNNNNNNNNNNNNNNNNNNNNNNNNNNNNNNNNNNNNNNNNNNNNNNNNNNNNNNNNNNNNNNNNNNNNNNNNNNNNNNNNNNNNNNNNNNNNNNNNNNNNNNNNNNNNNNNNNNNNNNNNNNNNNNNNNNNNNNNNNAUAUAAGUGCUUAGGCAUGGAACAGUCAGGACUAAGGUGGAGUAUAUGCUUGGAAUCAUCCAUGGUUUCUUACUAUGGUCCAAAGCAGCGACGGAGGCAUUAAUUUUUUUUAAGGUGUGGCAGAGUUUAUACAGAAGAAACUUUUUAUAACAAAAUCGUAAAGAAAACCAAUUAAUUAGUCUAUCAAGUAUCAACAACGGGAAAGCACUAGACAGACUAAUUAGUGGAUUACUAGAGUUUAUUUCGGCCACUGGCAACAAAAAGUUAGCUUUUCAGUUAUAUGUCCUCUCUUCCUUUUCUUCGACGCCAUCUGCACAUUCAACCCGCGACCUAGUCGGUCGCUGCCUGGACGGUCUCCACCUUGCCUCGUCAGCCGAUGGCCCCAGCCCACCGCUCUCUGGUCUUUGCUCAUUGACACUGUCAGCUUGAGGCCCUGCCGGUGCAUCCGUCUGUCUGUGCCCUGAUGCGGAGCCGCCUCCGUGCAAGACGUCCUAAGAAUGACGCCUUAAAAGUCCAUACAUGUGUCUCCUUCAGCGAGUGGCUCUGUUCACUCUCGACGUGUUGCCCAUGGAGAACAUACCUACAUGAUCAUCGGACACACCCAUUACUUUAUGUGAAGAGAGUAGAUACUGAAAUUUGCAAGUAUACCUUUUACCAUGACCAUGGCCGGAUUAUGGCUUGUGGUGACCGUAAUAAGAACAUCAAAUAUAUAUUUGAUAUUUACAGUAAUAAAUAUUUACUAGUGAUUAGGUUCCUAAGAAGUAAUUGAACGUCUGAGGCGACGCCAGACACGGAGACGAGCAAGUGAUGGGUUAGGGUCUGCGGGAAGUAGUAGAACGCAGCGUGAAGUGAUGUUAGACAUGUAGCCGAUCAAUAGCUUUGUUCAUAGGUUUCAAGGUGAAGUGGACGCUCGCGAGAAGCGGUACCGGGAACAGUGAAGUGCAAGGGUUCCUUCGGUUACGGGUUAGGGGGAGCGGAUUUGGAGCACACAAGUGCGGGGCAACGUAUCCCCUCCUCUUCUCCUCCCCCCCUCCCCGCGUGCUUUUCUUGUUGUCUUCCAAUUUUCAAACCUUUAUAUCUUUUGAAUGAACAGUCCAAAUCAAGUUUAGUUUUCAAAUUCGUGUUUAUCGUGACUAGGGCUUUUAGAUGAGAUCCAUUUUGAAUACCUUUUGAAUUUUUUUGAAAAUAAAUGUUGAGUUUCAACUCUUGAAACUUAGUACGAGCGACCUAUAAAAUCAUGAUUUUGGUGCCUACAAACCACAAGAAAACGUCUUCAAAAUUUUGCUAUGAAACUUGGUAAGAGCGAUGGCAAGUUUCAGAUAAAAAGUCGUAAGGUACAACAACUGAAGUUUAAAACUUAUUGUGCCCUCGUGUGGGAUUUAACUACUUCAUGAAUCGGGAGACAAUCGAGCAGCCGGGCGGGGCUUGGGAUGCCUUACGAAUUUGCAAAGGGUUAGGAGAUGUAUUUUAUGUUCGUUCAAACAGUACAAUAUUUGUCUCGUUUGGAAGAUAUCAACUCUCUAUGCACUCAUGAGGGCGGGGAGGAGAGGAUGGUGAUGUGGGGGAUACUAGACAAUUAGCUUCAUUGCCGAUACCAGAGUAGUACCAAGCCCAAACUUGUUGUGCAAGCACCUGGUUUGAUCAUUUUGAAUGUAACAUGUUCAUUAGAAACAUUAUCUUAUCAAUUAUUGGUAGUACUUUAAUACAACUUGUUAUUUUAUUCUAGGAAAUAGCCAAUGUCUAUUAUUACAUGUAUAAAACCCUUGGAUAAAACAUUACUCCUUGUACAGGCACUCGUCGGCCGAGGACGCUGCCCCGUUCCGUCCGCCCCUCCCGUUGCCAUUGCCGGCGACGAGGGUAGCGGCACGCAGCGAGUCAUCCACGCCGAUCUUGACUAUUUGGUCGUUGGGGCAGCGCCCGCGCCGCGCAGCGGUCCUCGCGGUGGUCCUGGACCGGUCAAGGGCCCAGGACUCCGCGAGCUCGACGUCACCGCGGACCCGGUCCAACGCGACAAAUGACUUCGGAAACGUGGAAAAGUGUUGCGCGUUGCACAUCUCCCGCCAUUCCUCCUCCUGCGCCGCCAUGUCGUUUGCCUUUAGGGUGAUGUGCGAGGGCGUGCUACCGCCGACGCGCCCGAGGUAAUGCAAGAGGCGCGCACGCUCGCGAGCACCCGGGAGGGCUGCACCUCCUUUACGGCCUUGCCGCGCCAGGUGUGACGGUGAUGCUUGGCGAUCGAAGCGGGCGAACGUGUUGCACGGUGGGGAGGACGUCUCCUCCUUGACGCUGCGUCAGAUUUGGGCAAGCGCAUGGUGCACCUAUCACACAUGAGCACGGACCUUGAGACAAUGGCCAUGGAGACGAAAGUCGAAGAGUCCGCAAGCAAAAGGAUGAUGGCACGGUAGGCACCCCGAUGACUGUGGCGAGCAUCGUUCUCUCACUGUAGGACGCAAUGGAGAGGAGUGGUUGGGAGGUAGGACCGAUGUGUUACAUGGUCGGGGACGAAUUAAGAAAAUAUGUCAGGCUAGGGCAUGUAGGCAUGGAAGAGCUCGCCUGAUCGACAUGCGUUGCUUUUCAUCGGGAUAUGGGACAUAUGCGGUAUUUGCGGGUCAUCUACGAUGGCUUAUUUAAUGCGCAAUACCCGACUGAAGCGGUGACGUUUGUACGACGCUAGACAACGGACGUCCAUGUCCAUCCUUCAGCGAGGCGUCCUGGUUCUGUACUAACAUGUGCAAUGUUUUACAGACUGUUAUAACUUGAGGAAGGGAGUGUUGUUAAAUUUGGAUUUGGAUUGUAUUUUCGGUUAAUGUUACAAAGUAGCAAACAUAUUGCAUUGGUUGAAUCGAUGUGUGCUGUUUUGCUGGCUCAGAUUGGAAUUCUCUUCUCCAUGAACAACAACAAACCUUCUUGUCCUCCCUCUUGAUAAUUAAUUAGACAUGGAUGGAUCGGUGGCGCUGCUGGAGCAGGACCACAGCGAGCAAGCGCCUCUUGGAGCCUGACGAAGUUAUGUUUACCUACUAUACUAAGUAAACAUCUCUAGUCUCUAGCCGAUGCAAGUUUUCCUAGUACUAAGUAAAACUAGUUUGCUACUUACUUACUACUAUGCUAAUGCUAUCAUCUCUAGCUGCUGUCUAUCACAAUGCUUCUAACUAGUCUUCAUCUUUUUAUCUUAAAAAAAAACAGUCUUCAUCUACCUACUAAACCAAUUUCACAUCUUUUGCCUCCUCUCUCUCGGCUUGUCUGUAGUAUAUGUGUUGCUUGUUCGUUGGCCUUCGGAUUACUCUCUCUCUCUCUCUCUCUCUCUCUCUCUCCCCAAGGCCAAGGCUGAUGGCACUGCCUUCCGCAGCCCCUCCUUCCUCUUGCCAACGCUCUCAGCUCACGGAAGAGACCCAAGAACCGAAUAUGGCGAAUCCUAACCGGUUGCGCACGCAGCGCAUAUCUCAGCCGCUGCUCCAACAUUGGAUUCGAGCCCUUUGCAUGUGCAGGCCCCUCUUUCUCUCUUUUCCAUCUCACAAUCUGACACAUGCAUGCCUACAGUAUCUUUCCUCUUUCCUCAAACUUCAUUACUUUUAGUUUUCUUUUGACAGUUUAGAUGGUUCAUAUCUUUAUAAUCAAAAUUUUGUUUUUAAAACUUUUUAUAUAUUUGCACUCCUGACAUCAAGAUCUUUAGAACAAGAUCAGUCUUGGAUUAUUUUUAAACACAUUUUUGUUGACUAAAACUGAAAUAUGAUUGUUUAGCAGCUUAUCAGUUUUUUUAUAGAGGAACUUCGCUGAAAACAAUGAAGAACUUCUCAUUUUUAUUGUAAAGUUGAAGAACUUUUUGAACAGUGCGUUUGCACUUUGUUAGAAAUAUUAAAGAACUUUGCUAGAAAAUGUAUUGAAACCAAAGAAGUUUAUAAACAGCUUGCCUUAACUUUGAUGAAAAGUUUAUGGAACUUGUUUGAGCCACGCACAAUUUAAGUUUAUGGAACUUUGAUGAAAAAUUUCAAACUAGUUCAAAUAUAUUCAACAUUGGUCUUGUUCUAAAGGUUUUGCGUCAGAAGUUCAAAUAUAUAAAAUAAAUAAAUUUGAAAUAUUGGUUUAGAAGAUAUAAAUGAUUUAAGUUUACAAAGGGAUAAAAAAUGAUGGGUUUGUUUGGGAGAGAAAGAGAGGUACAUGCAGCCUGUUGAUUUGACAUGCAUGUAGGAUAGUUGAUUUAUACGCGUUGUGCGCGCACUGAGUUAGACAAAAUCCACGUUCCCAAGAACAAGGAAGAACACAAGUGUUUUCUGGCCUCAGCUGCCUCACGCAGCCUGAGUUUUUCUUCUCUCUAUUUCUCCUUGUCACCUCACCGUCCAUGGCUGAAGCAAGACGCACACACACGGCCGAACGGCCACUAGCCCACGUACGUCCGCAUAACACCAUCUCCUAGAUUCUCUCUAGGAUAUGCAUCACCUGCUAACUAACUAUAACACUCGGUCAUGCACAAACAGACUCAACGCAUGCAUGGCCAGAUGACCAACCUUUUAGCUAGCCAACUAACUAACCUUUACAUGCAGCUAGCGACGGCUCGAUGCAUGCAAACUAACUCACCGUCCGGCCGGCCGGGCUUGCUUCAGCCAUCCAGGUGCGUGCCGUAUCACACGACCUUGUCGCCUCGCGCAGCACUACAGCUUCACGCCGCCAUCGGCAUCUCGCCGUAUCUCACGGCGGUCUGGCAUCUCACCUUCUCCGCACAUCUUCGUUGAAGCUUCGAUGACUAGUUAGUCCGUACGUAGACACUCUAAGUUACAUGCAUAACAAAACUAAAUAUGCAGUUACACUUGCAUGGAAUCAAGAUUAGUGCCAAUGGCAACAAAGGCAUACCACACCAAAAGUUUGUGUAUGUCUGUGUUCUUUUCAGCAUCUUACUGAAGCAGAUACAAGUUUGUUAUAGCAGAUAAGGAAGGGAGAUGAUUAGGGAAUAACAGAGAGAUAGAUAUGACGUGAAAUCCUGAUUAAUUAGCUAGAAAAUAAAUGGAAACUACCCACCAGUUUGUUAGGAAACAUAACAACAAAUCAGCCUAUAUUAAUUCUCUCGUCUCCCUCUCCUCCUUGAAAUCAGGCACCCCACAACCAACCAACACACACCUGUUUAACUGCCUCCACAUAUCUCUCCGCGUCCUCCUCAUCCAUUACUCCCUCCCUCCCUCCCUUUCGUUCAAUCCAUUGGCUGCCGCCUCCUGUCGCGGAUCGCCCCUCCCAUCCGAGGCCUCUCCGCGUUCCCCGCUCGCUCGCUGCGCGCGCGGUCUUCUCUAUCUCGCCCUAUAAAUCUCCAGCCAACCGUUUGCUCGCGCUCGCUCCGCACAUGUUGCUCCUCCUCUGUCGACCACCUCCUCCUUUCUCCUUGAGGCAACACACCAACGGCCGGCCACCGAGGGUUGUGCCACUUCGUUCCNNNNNNNNNNNNNNNNNNNNNNNNNNNNNNNNNNNNNNNNNNNNNNNNNNNNNNNNNNNNNNNNNNNNNNNNNNNNNNNNNNNNNNNNNNNNNNNNNNNNNNNNNNNNNNNNNNNNNNNNNNNNNNNNNNNNNNNNNNNNNNNNNNNNNNNNNNNNNNNNNNNNNNNNNNNNNNNNNNNNNNNNNNNNNNNNNNNNNNNNNNNNNNNNNNNNNNNNNNNNNNNNNNNNNNNNNNNNNNNNNNNNNNNNNNNNNNNNNNNNNNNNNNNNNNNNNNNNNNNNNNNNNNNNNNNNNNNNNNNNNNNNNNNNNNNNNNNNNNNNNNNNNNNNNNNNNNNNNNNNNNNNNNNNNNNNNNNNNNNNNNNNNNNNNNNNNNNNNNNNNNNNNNNNNNNNNNNNNNNNNNNNNNNGUUAGUAUCACAACACUUUGUUCUCCAUCUAGCCUUCUUAAGGAGAUCUUAGCAUGUUACCACUCGAUCCAACUGAUGAAAUUUCUUUUGAACCAUGUGGUGCAGAUGCGAGCCGCAAGUCAUGGGACAACAUUGCGGGUCUGGACGCCGGGCGAGAUAUGUAUGGAGCUAUGCUCCUGUCAUGGAUGAUGGGCCAACACAGGUUUUUUGUUUAUGAAGAUUCACAUUGAGCCAAUGCGCGCAAACAAAGGUUAGUAUAGAAAUAAUAUACGCAUGAACCUUUGUUCAUUGGUAAAGAUGUUUUGCUAUUGCCACAUGUCUUGAUCUUAGAGUUGUCGCCAACGGUUGCUUCCAACACAUGAACUGCAUCUGAAACUGUCCUACAUAUUGGCCUGCAUCAAGCAAACUACAUGUCUACAUCAUUAAGAAAUAAUCUAAAACGGUGUUGCCGGAUAAAUGUAAAGCGAGCAAACAUGGUGUCGUUUAACUGCUAGAUUACUUGAAAUAGUCAAAUUCAGUUAAGCAAUACUCACUGUAAUGUUGUUUGGAUUAAAUUCAAACAAUAAAAUCACCUGCAAACAUGUCUUGAUUUAAUUUUCAGCAACAUGUAUAUUCCACACCAGCUCAUCCAAGCAAAGGUACCGAAAAAAUUAUACAUGCUUCCUUUUCAGUAGUAAAGUUUAUUGUCUUGAUUCGUUUUUUCUUUAGUAAUAUGUACUGUAUAAUCGAGCAGUAGGGCAUGAAAUCCUCAUUCCUCCCUUGUCUCCUAGGAAAACAUACAUCAGUUUUACUACAAGAUUCAAUCAGAUAAUGAACUGAUCUUGUCUAGUAUAAAGGAAGUGUUAGUAAUUAGUAGCAAGCCAUGUACGUAGCAUUGCCGGAGCACCAACACAAGUGUCUAUAUUUGUGGCAACGAGUACUACAACCCGUAGUCUCGCUGAGACUUGGUGCCCGUGGAAAAGGAGGAAUAAGUGAACCUAGUAAUUAUCUAGUGCGUGCAGUAAUUACCAACCAAUCUCUUUGUGAUAGUAGUUGUUUGACGCCUUGGUGGCAGCCUCAUUGAGAGACUAUUGCUAAAUCACAGCAGCGACCACACCUGGGUUUAUUUGUUUAUUGGCCAGUAUGGAAACCUGAACUUUUAAAACCAACAAUCAUGGGAGCGUGGCCCUGUACCGACUCUUGGUCUAAACUCUGCUGCAAUGCGAGGCUAGGUAAAAACUUUGUACUAGGAUGGACAUAAAUCUGCAUGUUGGCUACAGCAGGUCACCACAUGUUGUAUGGGGAUAAAAGUUGGUGUUUUCACAGGCAAUGCUAUAUUGUUCAGAUGAGAAGAGAUCAGAGUGGUCUAAGACUCUUGGAUUCCCAUUGUAAACACUACCAAGACUAUCCAUGUGUUACGCCAUUUGCCUUUUGAGUUUUCUAACAACAUGCAUGCAUGAGUUAGGAACAAGUAAUGUAUCUUCAGAAAGGAACAUGAAUAGAAAUCAAUAAGCAGAUGACAAGUCAUGAUUCAUCCCUUGUUUAAUUCAACUCCUCUUUCAUCUGAACCUUUUUCAGUUUGCAUAGUGCAUACCUACAGGAAAAAAACAGUAAACAAGAUGUAGGCAUGCUUUAGAAGUUAUAAGUACUAAUAGUAAAAUAGUUGUUGAUAACAAAAUAAAGUGGAGUGUAGAACAUGUGAAGCAUGCAUCCCUUUUCACUGAUAUGCACAAUAUGUCGCGGUUAUUCUAGUCGUUGUUCAGUAGUCACUAUUCUAAGGGAACUCCAUGAACGAGGGUUAGAAACCUAAAAAAACGUACUUUGUGCAAAUGAAGGUCACGAUUGAAACCAUAUGACACAAGUUAAUAAGUUUAGACACCAGCAUAUUUAUUUGUAGUGGGUACGUAUAACUUGAUUUCAUAAUAGACACUUCCAAGUUGAGAAUAUGUUGUUUUUCUUCAGUAUCUUAAUUAGUUAGUAGGAAGCUGAUUCAAGUUUGUUGGAGAGAGCAUUGAUAUUAGCUAGGGAUUAAACGAAUGUCACGAUGGUAAUUAGGAAAUAUACUACUAGAACAGAUUCAAAAUCAAAUAGGUUAGUAACAAAGUGUCAUGAUGAUUUGGCAUGUGUAAUUAAUCAUGCUGACAUGUUUGGUGCCGAAUUGCUUUCACUCACUCAUGCUACUCCAUCAUUUCUUCUUAGUGGUCAAAACUUCUCUUCACUCGUUUAGUGUUGUUGUGGACGCGUUUCUUAAUCCAUCCGACGCGUUAUGCUGCCGAAAUUUCUAGCCAAAAUUGCCACGACUUGCAAGAUUCCAGGGGCUUGGCUGCAAGGUUAUGUUAUUUAUGGGGACGAAAACAUGGCAGGAAUUCUAAGACAAUUCUAAGACAAGAAUUUUGGGACGGAGGGAGUAUCAACUUGUUUCUCCUUCAACCUGCCUCAGAUUCGAUCCAGGAUUGACAAGGUGUGCCGCAUUACUUUAGUUUAAAGCAUGUGCAUAUAAAAACAAAUAGAACUCAUAUAUAUUUGUAUGUUUGACCGCCAAGAAGUCCCAAGACUUUAAUAUUGAUUGGGAAGUGAAAGGAACAACAAAAAAAGCAUGAACACUUACAAGUGAUGCACUGUCUAUUCCAACGUCACACUCUCAAGAACAUCCACACAAUUUUACACUAGAUAGAACAUAUCAGAUCAGAUAAUUAAGGUCGGCUAAUCAAACCAAACCAGGCGCUUCAAUUCAUCACUGCAAGCCCUGACACAUACAAGUGCAAAAGCCUCCUGAAAGUGGCUGCUUAAACUGUAGCCAUGUUACUACAUCGUGCAAAUGAUGAUCACAACUGUUUAAAUCCCAGUGCUACGUUCUAAAAUAGGCAGGGACAUCAGCCAUAUGAGCGACGUCGGUUACAUAACACUGACUGAAUUCUAAACCUAGACACGGCUAGAGCUCAUGAACAAUGUCGGACACAAUUCACCAGCACAAUCAAUCGAGUCGUCAACCCUAGAUUAGUUAUGAGUCAGGUCUCGUAGGCAAGGCAAAGGCAUCUGCGCCAAGUCCACGCUGUUGGAAUCACAAAAAAAGACAUGGAGCUCCGAGGAUGGGAAUGUUAGUCUCUGGCUACACGGCUCCGUCGAAUCUGUGCAAAAGAGACAAAAUAUCAAUAUCCAGACGAUAGAAAAGAUUUGAGCUCAAAUCACACAGAUUCAAGAGCAAGCAAAAUGGAACAGAUUGUGGAGGCUACAUAUAGUACAUGGUGUUAAAAUGCACAAGCAUAUGUCACACAGGUAACAAUAUUGAUAUGAACUGAAUUCGAGAUAUGUAACUGCUAACAUUUCCUUUUACCAUCCGCCUUAGACGCACAGUUCGGGACACUCUACCCGAGAUCCGCCGGUUUUGACACCGACAUUGGUGCUUUUAUUGAGAGUUUCACUGUGCGGUCACCGUAAGGCUUGAUGGCUCCUUCGAUCAUCGGCAAUGAUGCGAUCCAGGGUGAGGUUUUCCUCGCCGGACAGAUCUUCGUAUUCGGCGGCUUCGUACUGCGGGCUAACUCGCUUGGCAUCUGGGGCAGAUCGAUAGCUACGCCCUGGCCAUCAGGUCAGGUUUGGAAACUUGAACUAUACUGCCGACAUCCGCGGAGACUUGAUUUUUGACGGAUUCGAGCCCAUGUCAGGUGCGCCACACAAUCAUGACGAGCAUGAUUUAGCUCUGCCGUCGGACUGUGUUCGGGAGAUCACACCUGCAACUACUCCGGCCCUCAAUCCGGAACAAAUUGCGCCCUCUGUGGACGGGUGGAUGGACCCCGCCACGGAGGCCGCACACUUAGUGGCGAUAGCACCGAAUACUGACCUUACCUCCUACGAGACCCGUGUUGCCGAACCGUUGGAUUUGUCCCCGGCCACGGACUCCGAGCCGCUUGUGUCCGUGCCGAUCAAAUCCUAUUGGGCACCGAUCAUGGAGUUUACCUCCGCGGAUAUCUUUCAGCACUCACCUUUUGGCGACGUACUAAACACGUUGAAGUGUCUCUCUCUGUCGGGAGACCCUUGGCCGAACUAUGUCCGGCUAGAAUGGGAUGCGGACGACGAAGAAAUUCGCGCCCCACCCACCACUCACUUAGUAGCCACUGUCGACGAUUUAACCGACAUGCUCGACUUCGGCUCCGAAGACAUCGACGGUAUGGACGACGAUGCAGGAGACGAACAAGAACCACCGCCCAUAGGGCGCUGGACGGCCACCUCAUCGUAUGACAUAUACAUGGUGGACAACCCCAAAGAAGGGGAUGGCGACAAAACAACGGAGGAUAAUCCCUCCAAGAAGCAACCCAAGCACCGACGUCAGCGGCGCCGCUCUAAGUCUCGCCACAGUAAAAGCAGCGAUACCGGCACAAGAGACAAUAACGCUCCGGAUAGUUCCGAAGACGACGAUAAUCCCCUCCAGCCAAACCUCGAGUGGGAGGCUGAACAAGCUAGCCCUCCGGAACAGGCAACAAACGGAGAAUCAGAGGAUGAAAAUUACAUGCCUCUCUCUGAAGACGAAGUGAGCCUCGGCGACGAAGAAUUUGUCGUGCAUGAGGAUCCCGUCGACCCGGAACGCUUCAAGCGCCGGCUUAUAGCCACAGCAAACAGCCUGAAAAAAAAAAGCAACAACAGCUUCGAGCUGAUCAAAAUCUGCUAGCGGAUAGAUGGACUGAAGUCCUGGCAGCCGAGGAAUACGAACUCGAGCGCCCAACCAAGAGUUACCCAAAGCGCAGGUUACUACCUCGACUCGAGGAGGAAGCAUUAAAACAUACACCACCAGCGUAUGAUGCGGCAGAUCAGCCACCUCGUGGCCGAGACAGAGAGGCAUAUCAGCCCGAAGUCCAGGCCGCACCCCGCCGCCACUCAAACAAAAAUACCAAGGCCCGGGGCAACAUGCAGGACCUGCGGGACGUAUUGGAAACAAGGCAAAACAUGCAAGAUCGAUCUACGGAUCACGGGGGCGCGCACCAACGCGGGACGACGACCGUCACGCCGGAUACACUAAAAGCAAAUCCGGCCGGGCCGAAUACAGCAGACAAGACUCAUAUGAACUGCGUCAUGAUAUAGCCCGGCACAGAGGCGCCGCACACCCCCUAUGCUUCACUGAUGAAGUAAUGGAUCACGAAUUCCCAGAGGGUUUUAAACCCCUAAAUAUUGAAUCAUAUGAUGGUACAACAGACCCCGCGGUAUGGAUCGAGGAUUUCCUCCUCCACAUCCACAUGGCUCGUGGUGAUGAUUUACAUGCCAUCAAGUACCUCCCACUAAAACUCAAAGGACCAGCUCGGCAUUGGCUGAAUAGCUUGCCAGCAGACUCCGUUGGCAGUUGGGAGGAUUUGGAAGAUGCAUUCCUUGACAACUUCUAGGGCACUUAUGUGCGACCACCGGAUGCUGAUGACUUGAGCCAUAUAACUCAGCAGUCAGGGGAAUCGGCCAGGCAAUUCUGGACCCGGUUCCUAAGUAAGAAAAACCAAAUUGUCGACUGUUCGAAUGCAGAGGCCUUAGCGGGAUUUAAGCAUAACAUCCGUGACGAGUGGCUCGCCCGGCACCUCGGCCAGGAGAAGCCGAAGUCUAUGGCAGCCCUCACGACACUCAUGACCCGCUUUUGCGCGGGCGAAGACAGCUGGCUGGCUCGCAGCAACAACACAUCAAGAAGUCAUGGCACUUCAGAUACAAACGAUACUAACGGCAGACCGCGUCGUAACAGACACAAGCGCCGCAACAACGGUGACAACGCCGAGGACACGGCAGUCAAUGCCGGAUUCAGCGGCUCUAAAUCCGGUCAGCGGAAGAAACCGUUCAAAAGAAGCAAUCCGGGCCCGUCCAGUUUGGACCGCUUACUCGAUCGCUCGUGUCAAAUUCACGGCACCCCCCGAUAAGCCAGCCAAUCACACCAACAGAGAAUGUUGGGUGUUCAAGCAGGCCGGCAAGUUGAAUGCCGAAAACAGGGACAAGGGGCUGCAUAGCGACGAUAUACGCAACCCACAUUCCCAAGAGGGAACAGAAACGUGCACUAAGGGACGUCUAUGCGAUGGAGCCAGUCGCCCCAAAGUUCAACCCAUGGUCCUCUUGUCCGAUCACCUUCGAUCGCAGGGACCACCCCACUAGUAUCCGUCAUGGCGGAUCUGCCGCACUGGUCCUUGACCCCAUCAUCGACGGAUUUCACCUCACUCGAGUCCUUAUGGACAGCGGCAGCAGCCUGAACCUGCUCUAUCAGGAUACAGUGCGCAAAAUGGGUAUAGACCCCUCGAGGAUCAAACCCACUAAAACCACCUUUAAAAGUGUCAUCCCAGGUGUGGAGGCCCAUUGCACGGGCUCAAUAACACUGGAAGUGGUCUUCGGAUCUCCGGACAACUUCCGAAGCGAGGAGUUAAUCUUCGAUAUCGUCCCGUUCCGCAGUGGCUAUCACGCACUGCUCGGGCGAACCGCAUUUGCGAGAUUCAAUGUGGUACCGCAUUAUGCAUACCUCAAGCUCAAAAUGCCAGGACCUCGUGGGGUUAUAACAGUCAAUGGAAACACAUAACGCUCGCUCCGCACGGAGGAGCACACUGCGGCCCUCGCAGCUGAGGCACAAAGCAGCCUUUCAAGGCAAUCCGCCAAUUCGGCGAUAAAGCCCCCGGACACCUUCAAGCGAGUCCGGAGUAACCUGCAACAGGAUCGCCUGGCACGUUCAGAGCUUGCCUAGCAAUUCGGCCCCCGUCCUAGUCCCAGUCAAGCGACGAAAUCUGUGCCGCGCGUACAUAAUUACGCACUAAAAAUACCAUGGGCAUAGCCGGGGGCACGACCAGGGCACGUCCCACAAUGCGGCUCAACCGCCCCACGGGCUGUAUACGUUUAUCAUUUCCUCUAUUUCAGGACCUUACUCUCUGGAAGCCCUUUCCGGCAGUCUGAAUGCUGGACACAUUACGGGAAGGAACAACCAAGGAGGCAAGACGCUAAGACGUACAAGGGAAUCCCCAGGUGGUCUCUGAUAACAAUCAAAGUACCCAUUUUUUAAUACCCAUACGCAGCUUAUCCUUGGAUAGGACAUGUCAAAUAGUCCUAUUUUUUGCUUAUUGCACUACUUGUAUCAGUACGCUUCGACGUAUUAUUUAAAUAACAAUGCACAGCAUUAGUCUAUUAUUACAUUACCCUUCUUUUUUCUUGUCUGUUUAUUUACGACAACUUGCACCCGUACAUUCUGGUACGACCAGUACGCCAGGGGCUUCAGUAUACCCCAUAAUACGGCAUGAGAAGUCCGAACACUUUCAUAGUGCCGCACCCCGAACUUAUAGCAUUAUAUGCAUCAGCUCCGAAUCAUGUCUUGGGCCAAUAGUUGGGUUUGCCCGGCUCCCAUGUUUUGGUACCUUACGUUCCGCAAUAUCGGCUAAGGUAGCGCUGGGAGAACUACUGCAAUUGUGUCCCGGUUCUUCCGGACGAGCACCUCAGUAGAGAAAGCCGAAAACUGACUGGCAUGAUAAGGCGAGAGCUGGUCGCUGUUCGAGAGGUCUCAAGUCCUUAAAGACUUUUUCCGCUUCGGGCGAGGAGUCGGCCUUGCCCGACUUAGGCGUAUAUAGCGCCCCAAAUUCGGCCUUCCGAAUACUAGGGGCUUCGCCAAAAUUCAAAAUUGUAGACUUCUAUGGCUAAGUAAGAGCGAUAAAGCCUUAUAGUCCAAUUGCCUGGUUCGUUGUGCUGAACACCUCCCUUGAAGGACCCAAAAUUGGGAUAAAGAGUGCUCGGGUUUAUCCCGAACACCUCAGUACUAGUUACAUGGGGGCAGAAGCCGACGACUGGCCAACUCUCAGAUUUUAUAAACGGCCGCACAGAAGGUAAUAUUUUAAAUUCACAAGCGUUGCAUAGCACAAAUGAACUCGUUUCAUAUUACAGGAUGGCAUGAGUACAUUCAUUCGAAUAUUACAUCCUUAGUACAUUCCUUCGCCACAAGGCGAGAACCCUUUAGGACACUGUUAUAAUACAUCUCGGGGUGGCGAUGCUCCUUGCCUUCUGGCGGCCCCUCCUUCACUAGCUUCUCGGCGUCCAGCUUUGCCCAGUGCACCUUUGCUCGGGCAAAAGCCCUGCGCGCGCCCUCGAUGCAGACGGACCGCUUUAUGACUUCAAGCCGUGGGCAGGCAUUCAUAAGCCACCUCACCAGGCCAAAGUAGCUAUCGGGCAGGGGAUCGCCAGGCCACAUCCGGACUAUCAGACCCUUCAUGGCCUGUUCGGCUGCCUUGUGGAGGUCGACCGGUUGCUUCAGCUGGUCGCUCAAUGGCAUGGGAUGUUCGGUCCCAGUAUACUGAGACCAGAACAACUUCUCCGUCGAGCUCCCCUCCUCGGCCCGGUAGAACUCCGCGGCAUCUGACACACUGCGGGGCAGAUCUGCGAACACUCCUGGGGAGCUCCGAACUCGGGUAAGUAAAAGGAAAUUUUCUUUCACAUGCUUGCUUUGCAUAAUGAAUUCCUUACCCGCCACUAUCUUCUUAACUGCCUCAAUUUCCUGGAGGGCCUUUUAGGCUUCGGCCUUGGCAUGUUGUGCGCUUUCGAGGGCCUUCGCAAGCUCGGACUCUCGCGUCUUAGAGUCAAGCUCCAAGGACUCGUGUUUCUUGACGAGAGCCUGGAGCUCUUGCUGCACCUCGCCCACCUGGGCCUCUUGUUUUUCCUGCUCAAUGCGCUCCUUGGCCGCCUUAUCCUCAGCCUCGGUCAGCGCCUUCUUCAGGGUCGCCACUUUAGUCGUGGCCCCUGGCAAAAUUCAUGACGAUCCUAUGAUCUAAGCAACCACCCUUGUUUUUUCUUAUCAACAUACAGACGGGGUAUACCUUACCUUUGUUCUCUUCGAGCUACCUUUUGGCAAGGCCGAGCUCUUCCUUGGACCGCUCAAGGCCCCGCUUCAGUGCGGCGACCUCCGCAGUACGUGCGGCAGCGGCUAGCAGUGAAGCCUGCAUAUGCACAUAGACAUAUUUCGAUUAGACUCCUGCAGUUAUUAUUUGAUCCUCUAUUCGGCCUUUCUUCGCAAACACCGAACAGAGCAUCAGGGGCUAGUGUCUAUGAGGUAACAUUCUCUUAUAAUCUAGUCACUUAACUCAAAGCCUGUUAGCAGGCGGCACAGGCUUCAGUUAGUCCGCUCUUGGCAGACUGAACCUUCUUGACCACCGCACUCAUGAUAGUGCGGUGUUCUUCGUCAAUGACCGCCGGGAAGCGCUUCCAGCAAGUUGUCUGAUGCCUCUGGAUGGACAGAGGCCACCGGCACAGGCGGCUUGCCCCUCUUAACGGGGGGUCGCUUGACAGAGUCCCGAACCACUGGAGGUUUUGGCGCAGUGUUCGGCUGGGGGCCGAAUUCGGAGCCCAUGGGAGUCUUGCUCCCCUUGCGCCCAGGGUCCGGAACGUCGCCUUGAGGCGCCUCCAGGACUACCUCCCCUCGGCUCGAUGUCCUUUGAGACAACACCUCGAUGUUGUUCGUAGGGCGAGGGGUGGGGCCCACGAGGGUGGAGGGCGCGCCCUUGGGGGGUGGGCGCUCCCCCCUACCUCGUGGCCUCCUGGAAGCUUCUCUUACGUAGGGUCCAAGUCUCCUGGAUCAUGUUUGUUCCAAAAAUCACGCACCCGAAGGUUUCAUUCCGUUUGGACUCCGUUUGAUAUUCUUUUUCUGUGAAACUCUGAAAUAGGCAAAAAACAUCAAUUCUGGGCUGGGCCUCCGGUUAAUAGGUUAGUCCCAAAAAUAAUAUAAAAGUGGAUAAUAAAGCUCAAUAUUGUCCAAAACAGUAGAUAAUAUAGCAUGGAGCAAUUAAAAAUUAUAGAUACGUUGGAGACGUAUCAGUCACCGAGAUCCCCUUGCCAUACAAUGGGAUCCUUGGCCUCCCAGUGCUGGCCAAGUUCAUGGCAGCGUCCCACUACGCCUACAACACGUUGAAGAUGCCGGGGCCGCUACCAUCAUCACCGUCCCCUCUGACAAGAAAGACGCGCUCAUCUGCGCCGACCAACUCUACCGAGAGGCAGUUGCAGCAACUGCCGCCAGGGCACUUGCUCCUGCCGCUGAAGCUCCAGGGAGGAAGAAGGCCGGCAAGACUCCUUCCGGCAAGACCUCUUCCGGCAAGACCUCUUGCACCCACUCCAGCAAGCGCACCUCUUCGGGGUGUUGUGCUCCCGUUGAGGACGUGCCAGAGAGCUCCACCGGCAAGAGCAAGAAGUCCAAGGUUGCACGACCAGAAACCAAGAAGGUGUCUGUCAAGGAGGACGGCACGGGCGGGGCUUUCACUAUAAGCUCCACCCUCGACAGCAAAUAGGAAAGCGCGCUCGUCGCCUUCCUGUGGGCGAAUGUCGAUGUAUUUGCAUGGCAAGCAUCUGACAUCCCCGGCGUUCCCAGGGAGGUGAUUGAGCACCAUCUUGCUGUCUGUCCUCACGCGCGGCCCGUCAAGUAGAAGGUCAGGAAGCAAGCUUUGGAGCGACAAGAGUUCAUCAUUGAAGAGAUUAGGAAGUUGGAGGCGGCAGGCCUAGUAAGAGGAGUACUCCACCCCACGUGGUUGGCCAAUCCGGAGGUGGUGCGUAAGGCAAAUGGGAAGUGGAGGCUGUGUAUUGACUACACAGACAUCAAUAAAGCAUGUCCAAAGGAUCCUUUCCCUCUGCCACGCAUCGACCAGAUUGUAGACUCCACUGCCGGGUGUGACCUGCUGUCAUUCCUCGAUGCCUAUUCGGAGUACCACCAGAUCUUCAUGAUGAAGGAAGACGAAGAGAAGACCGCGUUCAUCACCCCAUGUGGUACGUACUGUUUUGUACGAAUGCCUUUCGGGUUGAAGAGCGCUGGUUCGACUUUUGCCCGAGCAGUCCAGAUUGGUUUUGAGCCCCAGCUGCAUAGACAUAUGGAAGCUUAUAUGGAUGACAUAGUGGUCAAAACCAAGGACAGGGCCAUGCUCGUGCAAGGUUUAGAAGAAACAUUCGCAAACCUACGCAAGAUCAACCUCAAGCUCAACCCAGAGAAGUGCGUGUUCGGUGUCCCCUCCGGCAAACUUCUCAGGUUCUUUGUGUCUCAACGCGGAGUCGAAACAAUCCCGACAAGAUCAAAGUGAUCGGGCAGUUGAGGCGCCGAAACGGGUCAAAGACGUCCGUAGGCUCACCGACUGUGUUGCUGCCCUGAGUAGGUUCAUCUCCAAAUCUGCUGAGCGCGCCCUCCCCUUUUUCAAUGUUUUGAAAAAGGCGGGUCCAGUAAAAUGGACUCCGGAGGCUGAGUCAGCACUGCAAGAUUUGAAGAGGUACCUCUCCUCCACACCAAUACUAGUCGCGCCUAAACCACGGGAGCCGUUGCUGCUGUACUUAGCAGCAAUGAAUUAAGUGGUUAGUGCUACGCUGGUGGCGCAGAGGGAACUUGAGGGAGAAGCAGCAGUUGCAGCAGAGCCAUCGGAUGGCGAGCCGGGGUCUUCCCCGGCAGAGCCUGACGCCGAGAAUCAAAACCCCCGGCAAGGCUCGGACCCGCCGAGGCAGAACCUGAGCGGAUGGGCGAAGUGGGACAGAAGAAGAAGAUGGUGCAGCACCCAGUGUAUUUUGUCAGUUCCCUCUUGCAGGGGGCUAGGUCAAGAUAUUCUGGAAUGCAGAAGCUGCUUUUCGGCCUUCUUAUGGCCUCGAUAAAGCUACGCCACUAUUUCCAAGCACACGAGAUCACCGUCGUCACUCGCCUCCCUUUGCAACAGAUUUUGCACAACCCAGAUGCGACAGGAAGGAUUGUGGAGUGGGCACUGGUGCUGUCGAGCUUUGGCCUCAGGUUUGAAAGUACUUCAACGAUCAAGAGCCGAACUUUGAAAGAGUUCAUAGCAGAGUGGACCGCAACACCCCACGAGGAGAUCCAAGAGACCACCCUUCCCGAUAAGGAGAUGAGCAGUGAGUGGAUUAUGUACUUUGACGGAGCUUUCUCACUCCAAGGUGCUGGUGCUGGCGUGCUACUCGUCGCACCCACCGGAGAGCACCUCAAGUACGUAAUCCAGAUGCACUUCCCCCCAGGAAAAAUCAACGAACAAUACGGUGGAGUACGAGGGGUUGCUUGCCGGUCUCAGGAUCGCGGCAGACCUUGGAAUCAAGAAGUUCAUCAUGAGAGGUGAUUCGCAGCUCGUCGUCAAGCAAGUCAACAACGAUUACCAUAGCCCGUUGAUGGAAGCCUAUGUGAAUGAAGUGAGGAAGUUGGAAGAACGUUUCGACGGCCUACAGGCAGAACAUGUUCCUCGAGCGGAGAACAGCAUUGCCGACGACCUGUCGAAACGCGCUGCCCUCAAGUUGCCUGUGGAACCAGGUACCUUUGUAGAGGGAUAAACUCAAGCAAUACGAUAUAAACCCCAUCUUUUUAUCCUCGAUGGCAACAAUACAAUAUGUGCCUUGCUACCCCUGCUGUCACUGGGAAAGGACACCACAAGAUUGAACCCAAAGCUAAGCACUUCUCCCGUUGCAAGAAAGAGCAAUCUAGUAGGCCAAACCAAACUGAUAAUUCGAAGAGACUUGCAAAGAUAUCAAAUCAUGCAUAAAAGAAUUCAUAGAAGAAUCAAAUAUUGUUCAUAGAUAAUCUUGAUCAUAAACCCACAAUUCAUCGGAUCUCGACAAACACACCGCAAAAAGUAUUACAUCGAAUAGAUCUCCAAGAGAAUCGAGGAGAACUUGGUAUUGAGAUCCAAAGAGAGAGAAGAAGACAUCUAGCUAAUAACUAUGGACCCGAAGGUCUGUGGUAAACUAGUCACACAUCAUCGGAGAGGCCAUGGUGUUGAUGUAGAGGCCCUCCGUGAUAGAUUCCCCCUCCGGCGGAGCGCCGGAAAAGUCCCCAAGAUGGGGUCUCACGGGUACAGAAGGUUGCGGCGGUGGAAAACGUGUUUCGUGGCUCCCUGGAUGUUUUCAAGGUAUAAGAGUAUAUAUAGGCGAAAGAAGUAGGUCGGUGGAGCUACGAGGGGCCCACGAGGGUGGGGGCGCGCCUACCCCCCUGGGCACGCCUCCCUACCUCGUGGCCGCCUCGUUGCUUCCUUGACGCCCACUCCAAGUCUCCUGGAUUGCCUUUGUUCCAAUCACGUUCCCGAAGGUUUAAUUCCGUUUGGACUCCGUUUGAUAUUCCUUUUCUGUGAAACACUAAAAUAAGAAAAAAAAACAGCAAUUUGCACUGGGCCUCCGGUUAGUAGGUUAGUCCCAAAAAUAAUAUAAAAGUGCAUAUUAAAGCCCAUUAAACAUCCAAAAUAGAUAAUAUAAUAGCAUGGAACAAUAAAAAAAUUAUAGAUACGUUGGAGACGUAUCAUGCGGUGGAGCGGUGGUGCCUUGGCGGGAUUUCUUGCCCUUGGCGGCCUGCCGGGGCAAUCUUGGACUUGUCCUUGGGGUGGUCUCGACCUGGCCGGCCUCCUGCCUGGCAAGGGAGGCCUUCCCAAGGUGAUGCUCUGCCGUCUUGUAUGUGGACAUGGUCUUCUUGAUCCACUCUUUGAUCUCGCAAAGAGUGGUUUCUUUGGUUGGGUCUUGAAUUACAUGUUAGGGUAGCCAUUCCUUCGUCAAGCCUUGGCUGCCGGGGCGGAGGUUCUUCGUUCUUGCACAAGUCAAGGGGAAUAAACACCCCUGUUUGUGUACCCCGACAAAAGCCCCCGAGUCUGAGCCAUACGUGUCGCUGGGCACGUCGGGUUAGGCCCCAAAUAGGGCACAGACACGUGUCGAAGAAAUGUUGCCCAUGUAGCGGUUGUUAUGAUGACUAGUCAAUCCAACGUCCACUUCGUGUAAUUACCGCAGGUUAUGGGGUCGUGGAACAAUAGCAGUUAGUGGGUAAUGUGCCUGCAAAAACGGUAACUUUCUGAGGAAAGAUACCAAAGAGCCAGCCCCUGCGCCCGUUCCCAAUAAAAAGGCAAUGCGAGGGGGCACUGCUCAUUCGUAUAUAUCUCUUCUCCCUUCAUCUUCUUCCACAAGCCAAUCAACUGCUCCCAUUGCCAACAUCCGCCUCCAAAGCUCUGCUAGAUCUUCUGCUCAUCCCGUGAGCCCCAGAGAUGGGACGAAAGACAGGCGCCAUGAAGGGGAAGUGGGCGUCCACUGUAAAAGAUGCAGCGGCGGAGGGGAGGAAGAAAAGGAUGGAGGAGCUAGACAGGAAGCGACAGGAAGACCUAGUCUUCCUCUCGUCAAACUUGGACGGCAACACCCUGACCGCGAGGUACGCGUAUAUGUUGGGGAGGGAAGUUCCGAAAGGACAUGGGGCGCCCGUGGUAUUUCCGGAUGGAACCAAGACUCCGUCGGACCCGUACCGCUUUUUCUGCGCGUACCUCCUCUGCGGCCUCACCUCCCCCUUCUCCGAUUUCUUCUGUGGCAUGAUGACGGUGUACGUAUUCCACCUACUGGAUUUAACGCCCAAUGCAAUGCGCGUGCAUGGCAAUCUUUGCCCAUCUGUGCGAGAAUUUUGUUGGAGUUGCCGCCAAUGUGGACUUGUUCAGACACUUUUUCAUCCCACGGGUUGAAGACAAAUCUGACCGCUCGGAAAAUAUAAGUUGGAUUCCUCGGGGCAACAAAGAUGAAUUGGGAUUAUCUCCCCAGCCAGCAGCGCAGCAGGUGGGAGGAAUGAAGGGAGGAUUGGUGUUGGAUCUAGGACAAGGAUGCCCCUGAGUUUUGUGCGGCGUGGACUGAAUCCGUCACGUACGACAACGACUGGAGUAAGUUGGGCCUGACCGACAACAUGAUUCGCCCAGCGCUGGACAGGAUUGCUCAUCUUAAAGUUGUCGGGCUAACCGUCGAGCAUGUGGGGGCCAAUUUCCUCCGGCGCCGCAUCGCUCUGCUGCGAAAAGGGACAAGUUUUCCUAGGACUACGGGAAUUCUACCGACAGGAUGCAUUUGUACCCAGGCCACGUCAACAAUCUGUCGAUAUACGGCCAUGGCUGGCUGUGUGAACAACUAUUCGGCAGCCUUGGGCCAUGAGCCCUUUGUGGUUCGGCAAGGGGGAGUUCACGUUGCACAAAGAGCGGAAGCCAUGAAGCAGCUCGACGAUGGUGACAUUGGUGGUUUUUACCCAGGUUCGGGUCGCUGCAAGGCGUAGAACCCUACUCCUGCCUUGGUGGAUUGGAUGGAGGAACACAAUGGACACGCAGCGCUCAAGCCCAGCCAGGUGGCCUCGGGGAGAGCUGCUACGCGCGUACAAGUGUGCAAGGGUCUGAAUCCCUUUCUAGGUAGCCUUGGACCACCUUUUAUAGCUCAAGGGGUAACCACAGUGGCAAAACAGUCUUUAUCUGGUGAUUAGAUAGCUAACAAUGCUAUCAUUCCUAACUGUGGCAGUUAGGACAAAGUGCAUUAAAUUCACUGCUAGGUGUCAUAGUGAGGGUGAAGCCCGGCAAGCCUGUCGUGCCGCUUAAUCAUCUUCUGCUUAUCUGUUCGACACGCCUAUGGACGGGUGUCAUGUGAGGGUAAUCUGUCUUCCGACGAGCUGCCACGUGCUUAGUGGAAGCCACUUAAUCAUUUGGAGGCUCGACACCGCAUUGAUAAGUGAUUUGCGUUGUGGGCGGUGGAGCGGUGGUGCCUUGGCGGGAGUUCUUGCCCUUGGCGGCCCCGGCAAGCCUGCCGGGGCAAUCUUGGACUUGUCCUUGGGGUGAUCUCGACCUGGUCGGGCUCUCCUGCCCGGCAAGGGAGGCCUUCCCAAGGUGAUGGUCUGCCGUCUUGUAUGUUGACUUGGUCUUAUUGAUCCGCUCUUUGAUCUCACAAUGAGUGGUUUCUUUGGCUGGGUCUUGAAUUACAUGUUGGGGUAGCCAUUCCUUGUCAAGCCUUGGCUGCUGGGGCGGAGGUUCUUCGUCCAUGCACAAGUUAGGGGGAAUAAGCAACCCUGUUUGUGUACCCCGACACAAAGUGCCACAAAAGGUCAUAACUAUUGGGGCACAUUGUCAAAGUGCCAUAAAAAAGUCAUACCUAUUGGGGCACUUUGGCAAAGUGCCACAAAAAGCUUAAUAGCUAUUGAAGCACUUUGUCGAAGUGCCACAAAAGGUCAUAUCUAUUUGGAAACUUUGGCAAAGUGCCAAAUGUCAUAACUAUUGGGGCACUUUGGCAAAGUGCCCCUAAUUUGAAGCUUUUAAGGCACUUUUAAAAAUGCCCCAACAAAGUGCCUCUAAAUUUUGACCGUGGUGUAGUGGUAGCUCGAUCAAUGCACUCCUUCACCGCUUAUGCCCGAGUUAUUUUUCUACGGAGCACUGUUUUAUAGAGCUUGAUAAGUUGGAGCCCAAGCUGGUAUGCUGGGCUCAAUCGGCCAACACGAGGCAACUUGAUCAUGCCAUCGAUCAUGUGUACUACCAAUCGCCACCUAGCACGGGAUAUUAUUCGUUGUGUCGCGUUCCUUUCAUACAUGAUGAAUCAUGUAUUACACAUUAGCUACCAAUCGCCAUCUAUCCUGCUAUAAAUGGAUCUAAUGUUUUUAAGGCAGGAUAAUAGAUCUCAUGAUCAUAAUGAGUUAGGUGCACGUCGCUAUAUAUGCACUGAGGGUCCAAGUGAGCUGAGGAAUAUCAUCGUGCAUUCGGGGAUGUAAGUACAUCUCCUUCCCGAUUUGUUGUGGACACAAAAGAAAAUAUAAGAAGUGAAGGUGGGUGCACACACACUCAAGUGCGUGCUUUAUUAAAAUAUGGCACUUCUAGGCCAGGUGCGUGGUGACUUGAUGCGACGGUUCACAAGGCGGCAUUCAUUAUAUUAUCACAUCAUUAUAAAUAUUAAAUGUAUUUAUCUAGUUUAUCUAAAUAUGCAAAAAUAUUUGUAACUAAUAAUCAUUUUGCCCACUUAAGAAUCACUUAUGUUGGGAAAGAUGCCAAGGGGGCUCCAGUGGGUGUGAUUGGGGUGUAUGGUCCGCAGAUCUGGGAGGAGAAGCUUGCCUUCCUUCGUGAACUCAAAGACACUAUUCAGGGCAGUAUUCCCAAUGGCACGGCCCUUGCGUUGAUCAGUGAUUUCAACCUCAUCAUCGGAGCAGCCGACAAGAACAACCCGAGGAUCAGCAGACGCUGCAUCACUGCCUUCAGAAACUUCAUCAACAAACUUCAACUAAAGGACCUAUAUCUCCAUGGCCGUAGAUAUACGUGGAGUAACGAGCAAGAAAACGCAACGAUGGUGACGCUGGACAGAGUUCUCAUCAAUGGAGAGUGGGAGGAGACAAGGCCCAACUGCAUGCUUCAAGCCUUGUCCUCGGACAUCUCGGACCACUGUCCUCUCCUCCUCAACUGUGAGAUUGCAUUCCGCCAACACAGAGCUUUCAGAUUCCAGAACCACUGGGUGAAACUGGACGGCUUCGACGAGGUGGUUCAAGGUGCAUGGCAUGGGGCGCCGACGUCAGGAGAUCCGGUCGGCCAAUUUGCGGGAAGGCUUGCAGCCACGGCUAAAGCUCUGAAACGAUGGCAAGGCCAAUUAUGCAAUGGCAUCAAGCUGUAAGCGGCCAUUACAAGCGAGAUCACUGGGCAGUUUGACCGGGUCAUGGAUAUUAGACCCUUAACAGCAGCAGAGAGGCAAUUCCGUGCCACCUUGAAGAUGCAGCGGCUAGGAUAUGCAGCGCUUGACAGAGCCAUCUGGCGGGAGAAAUCCAGAGUGAAGGGUAUAAAAGAGGGAGAUGCAGGCGCAAAAUUCUUCAAAGCAAAAGCAUCAGCCAGACGGAGGAAGAACUUCAUCAUCAAGCUACAGGUCGACGGGCUGAUCAUCACAAACCAAGACGCAAAAGUAAAGGCGUUCCACUCCUUCUUCGAGCCAAUUUUUGGAUCAAAGGAGCCCCGCUCCAGGAGGCUGAAUCUGUCCAGGAUAGGAUACACAAGACUGAACCUUGCCGAGAUGGACGAGGCUAUCACGGAGGAAGAAAUCCUGGCUAAUAUCAAGGAGUUGGAUGGAUACAGUGCCCCGGGGCCCGAUGGGUUUACCGGUUUGUUCUAUAAGCGGUGUUGGCCCAUAAUCAAAGAUGAUCUGACAAGGGCUGUCCAGGCCGUGCAAGCAAACGCGUCGGCACACCUCCACCGGCUCAACCAGGCUACUAUGAUUCUCCUCCCAAAGAAUGCAGAGGCUCUGACCACAAAAGACUUCAGGCCGAUCAGUCUUGUCUGUAGCUUCGCCAAGUUGAUCAGCAAGAUUAUGGCCACGAGGCUGCAACGCCGGAUGAAUGAGCUCAUCGGCCCCUGCCAAAACGCGUUUAUCAAAGGGCGCACCAUCCAUGACAAUUUCUGUUACGUCAGCGGCCUGGCCAAAGCCCUCCGGCGUGCCAACUCGCCGGCGCUAAUGAUCAAACUCGACAUUCAACGCGCCUUUGAUACUGUUUCAUGGGAGUUCCUGCUGGAGCUGCUUGUUGCAAGAGGGUUUGGGAGAGGAUUCACCAACUGUCUGUCAGCACUUCUCAGCUCCUCUUCGACAAGGAUCCUUGUCAAUGGUGAUCUAUCGGACCCGAUCAACCUGGUGAAGGGGCUAAGGCAGGAAGACCCGUUGUCACCGCUCCUGUUCGUGCUGGUCAUGGACUGCCUUGCUAUGCUCAUCGACAAGGCGGUGAGGGCCAGAAUUUUGGGACCGAUCGGCAACCACAAACUGCCCUUCAGGACUUCUCUGUAUGCAGACGACGCAAUCUUGUUCAUCAACCCAUGCCACAAGGAGGUACUUGCACUGACACAAAUUCUCAAGCUGUUCGGAGAAGCUACGGGCCUGCACACUAAUUUUGCAAAAUCUUCGGUCUCCACUAUCUGCUGCAACGGGAUCGACCUCCAAGAACUUCUUCAAGACUUGGGCUGCCCCAUCAAUGAAUUUCCUUGCACCUAUCUGGGCAUGCCACUGACGGACAAGAAACUGAAGAAGAAUGACCUACAACCGAUCUGCGACAAGCUCAUUGCAAGGAUGAAGGGCAUGAAGCUUGCCUUUCUUUCCCUUGAUGGACGGCUGGAUCUGGUAAGGACCGUGCUCUCAGCGGUGCCGAUCUUCCAAAUGGUAGCCUUGAUAUUACCUGCUUGGCUGGCUAAGCUGAUCGACAAGGUUCGUCGUGGAUUCCUCUGGGAGGGCAGUGACGUGGCGGCCGGAGGAAAAUGCCUGGUCAACUCGGGUACUGUUUGUCGGCCAAAGGAUUUCGGAGGGCUCGGCAUCAUCAACCUGACAGCCCAAAGUCGCGCCCUACGGAUGAGGUGGCUGUGGCUCUCAUGGAACGACGGCAACAAGGCAUGGCAGGGGCUGGAUUUGCCUAUCGACCAUACGGUCAGAUCCCUGUUCAACGCAUCUGUUGACUUCCAGUUGGGCAAGGGUGACCGCAUUCUCUUUUGGAAGGAGCCGUGGUUUAAGGGCAUCAACAUCCAGGACGCCUUCCCGGCGCUGUUUCAGCGUUGCACUAGGAAAAACCUCACCGUUGCACAAGCCUUGGAGAACAACAGAUGGAUCCGACACCUCAAAGCCAACCUCUCUGCACAGGCGACGAGGGAGUUCCUGAAACUGUGGGAGGAAAUACAAAAUAUACAGUUAACACAAGAGCCUGAUCGAGUUCAGUGGAAAUGGACAGCAAACGGCGUGUACACGGCGAGAUCGGCUUACAAAAUUCAGUUUGAGGGCUGCACUCGGCCAUCGUGGGCUGCGUUCCUACGGAAAUCUGACGCACCGGGCAAAUGCAAGCUUUUUGCAUGGUUGGCUCUGCUUGGAUGCUGCAACACGGCCGAUGUCCUUGCGAGGAAAGGCUGGCCUCACAAUCCGUCUUGCUCUCUAUGCAAUGGGCCAAUGGAGGAUGUCGUGCACCUGCUAGCUUCCUGUCCCGUCUUCAUCCGAAUUUGGCACGACAUCAUUGCUCGCUGCAACCUUCAUCCGGGCCUCGCUCCCUCCACCACCAUAACUUCCCUGGUGCUUUUGAUCGAACAGUCCAAUGGCAUCAUCACGGCAUCAGCAAAGAAGCCAUGGAGCGCACUCGUACAGCUGGUUCGGUGGUCGAUAUGGAACGAACGCAACGCAAGGAUAUUCAAAAACCAACCAUCGCCGCAGACAACUGUGGUGGAACGGAUGAUUGAAGAGGCAGCGGUCUAGCAAAGGGCGGGACGGGGCAAGGCCAUCUCCCUCCUUCACUUCAGGCAAAAGAGAAGGCAUGUCCACCUAGUGGAGGACUGCACAUGUAAANNNNNNNNNNNNNNNNNNNNNNNNNNNNNNNNNNNNNNNNNNNNNNNNNNNNNNNNNNNNNNNNNNNNNNNNNNNNNNNNNNNNNNNNNNNNNNNNNNNNNNNNNNNNNNNNNNNNNNNNNNNNNNNNNNNNNNNNNNNNNNNNNNNNNNNNNNNNNNNNNNNNNNNNNNNNNNNNNNNNNNNNNNNNNNNNNNNNNNNNNNNNNGCUCCAUCAGCAUUUUCGUUAAAAAAUAAAAGUGGCAUGUUCUUAUCUACUAACUGCAUUUGUUUUAUGAAGAUGCUUGGAUGGAGGAGCAAAGGAUUUCAUCCUGAAUUAAUUUUACGUCAGUUAUUGAUUCUACUAAUACAUAUUCCACCUCACAUGACCCCGUCAGAAACAAGUUUGUUUUAGGUAGGCCAUGUACUCAAACGAGUUCCAAAAAAAAUCCCCACCAAAAAAUAAGUUCCAAAAUCCCGGGUUCGCUUUUCCUGACAGAAAAUUGAGCGCCUUUUCACUGAAGUUGUGCGUGUGCUCAAUCAAUCUUCUGUGGUGUAAACUUCACUGAACCUGGUUCACAGAGCUGUUCAUGUGAAGACUGCCCACUUCAUGUGUUCAGUUCAUGAGUGUGCUGCUUCCGUCGAGUACAUCCACGGAAUGAAUUUGUUUAUUUCUGUGUUCUACUCCCAUUUCAGUCUUUUACGAUGCUAUAAAAUGGGGUCACAAGCAUUAUACAUAUUGUAAAAAGAAUCAGCGAUACAUGAGCACGUCCUCGUUAUUUUGCUGUGCCGCUUCAGCAGAACACAAGUGCGAAGUCUCUGCACUUCUCGGUUCCGCAGUAAUUCGUGUAACUGACAAACGAAGGAAACAUUACUCAACAAGGUAGUAAGAAUAUCAUCACUACUUCCACAACUUUAUACGUCAAAACGAUUUUCCAAACGAUUGCAUGCACCUUCCAGUUUAAAAAACAAUGAUUACAUCCAUAUUUACAAGCUCUGCACUUAUGCAGAACACACAAUCUUCCGGCCCAAUGAGUACAUGAAUAGGCCGUCCAACUUGGCAAGCUAGCUCCAGGCAUCGUGACACACGAUGUCAGGCGGCUCGGGCCUCGCCUUCACGGUCGUCACUGGCGUAGUGGAAGCGCAGCGCCGGCGCGUGGGCAGCGGAAUACGGCCUCGUCGGUGGCACACGGCGACCCACUCGCGGUAGACCGCCCGCAGGUAGCUUCCCACGCAAAUCCGGCACGACGCCACGGCGAUCCCGUGGGUUGUUUGGGUCGUGUGGCAGUCGUUUGGCUUAUAGUACGUUAUCGACGGCGUCAACUGUUCAGCCUCCGGUCAAAAUUUGGCUCACGGACGACCAACGUAGGGUGGUCUGCGGCUGCGCACCAACUGACGUCAUGUAGGGCAGGCUGGCCGGCCAGCAUUGCAUCUGCAAGCUAAGGUGGCGCACACGAGGGCCAUGGUCGCCGCCCACACGCGCAGCGGAGGUUUGCUGCAUGAACGGCUCGCGGUGCGACCUGAGCCGGCCGGACGCACUCACCAGCGCGCCAGUCUGACGUCGCGGCCAGCACUGCUUGGGUUGUGAGCUAGGGCCGCAUUUAAUUCCCGUCAAGUUGGUACUGAGCGAAAGGUGCAGACAGCAUGGAGAUCGAAGUUCUUUUUGGCCCCUCGAUCCAUGUCGACAAAGACAGGGCACGUAUAAUCUAUGCCGAAUCUUGCGACGCCGAUUGCUCAAGAGAAAGUAAGAGCUAGUCUUUAAGGAUGUGUGCUCUGCCGCGCAGAGGCAGUGUGCAUGUACUAGUUAACACCGUAUUCGACGUUUGCUAGUACGAUAAUACUAUAUUUUAGGAUGCAUGCACUAAUAUACAAUCAAAACAGGAUGAAACAAGAAAUUCCACCCACAUUUAUUUCUGAUUGAUACAAACUAAAAAGACUCAACUGACCGAUCAACGCUCUCAUACGUAGCAAAACAGAACACGCUCACAUGACACACACAAGCAAAUAAAAGCAAGCAAGGAGCAGGUGGACAUCGACAGCUUGAAAUCAACAUGCAAGGAACACACAUUUCCAACGAACUAGAGGUCUUGCAUGCACGACGCGCUCACUAGCAGGCCUUUUCUCUGACGCAUUGCACAUUAUCCUGGGCACUUUUGUCCUGAGCCUUCCACGCCUUCUCAUCUUGCAGAGGCACGAGUGGCCUCCAAAGGCUAUGCAGCAGUUCACUCCAACCUUAAUGACCUUACCAACCGAAAAACGCCUGUCUGCAAUAGCAUUUUUCAUACCUUCUUCAAAGCUCUUGAAGCACGUAUUCAUGACGUCCUGAUCGACCAAGUCGCACACCGGCGCACCGCCGGCGGCAGGUACCUGGCCCACAACAAGGGCGCACAUCAGCGUGACCAGCACCACCACGGCAACCAUCCUCGGGAGCAUUGCGACAGCCAUGACCAGAUCGAUGCAGGGUAUAGCUGAUCGAAGGUCGUUGCACUCACUCGCUGCUUAUGCCUAGGGUAGAGAGAUGAUUUGCAAUACAAUGAUGUUGUAUUGAUAGGGUGCUGGUGCACGUAUAUAUAUUACAAGGAAAGGCAUCUACCUCAACUAUACAAGACUAGGAGGUGGGCCACAGCUCCAAUACACGUGCAAUACAAAAUAUAUACACAACACCCCCGCAGCCGAAGCGUCGCUGGAGACACAGAGACUGGACCGAGACUCCUCGAAGUCGGGAGUAGGCAAUCCCUUAGUCAUCACAUCAGCAAACUGUUUCGUCGUCGGCACGUGUGAUAGGAUAGAUAUAGUUGACUAGAGGGGCGGGGGGGUGUGAAUAGGCAACUAACAAUUUUUAGCUUUUCUUUACCAAAUUAAAUUUUGCACCAAAGUAGGUUGUCUAGAUAUGCAACUAGGUGAGCAACCUAUAUGAUGCAACAACAACAAGCACAAAAGCAAGCCAAAGGGUAAACCACAAAUGAACUUGCACAAGUAAAGGGAUGAGAUAACCAAGAGUGGAGCCGGUGGAGACGAGGAUGUGUUACCGAAGUUCCUUCCUUUUGAGGGGAAGUACGUCUCCGUUAGAGCAGUGUGGAGGCACAAUGCUCCCCAAGAAGCCACUAGGGCCACCGUAUUCUCCUCACGCCCUCACACAAUGCGAGAUGCCGUGAUUCCACUAUUGGUGCCCUUGGAGGCGGCAACCAAACCUUUACAAACAAGGUUGGGGCAAUCUCCACAACUUAAUUGGAGGCUCCCAACGACACCACGAAGCUUCACCACAAUGGACUAUGGCUCCGUGGUGACCUCAACCGUCUAGGGUGCUCAAACACCCAAGAGUAACAAGAUCCGCUAGGGAUUAGUGGGGGGAAUCGAAUUUCUCUUGGUGGAAGUGUAGAUCGCGGCCUUCUCAACCACUCCCUGACAAAUUAACAAGUUUGAUUGGCUAGGGUGAGAGAUCGGGCGAAAAUGGAGCUUGGAGCAACAAUGGAGCUUAAAGUUGGAAGAGGUAGUCAACUAGAGGAAGAAGGCACCCCUUAUAUAGUCAAGAACAAAACCCAAUCGUUAUCCACCUAACCAGCUCGCGACUUGCGGUACUACCACACCAGGCAAGCGGUACUACCGCAAUGCCUCACGGUACUACCGUGACGGCCCACGGUACUACCGCAGCAACGGCAGAAGCGAGAACAAGCCUGGCGCGCAAAGGCGGAGGGCGGUACUGCCGCUGGCGCGGCACUACCGCAAGGCAGGUCUGGACUGGCCUGGGAGGGACGCGGAUGAAGAAAAAUACAUCCGUGCCAACUUCCGCUGAAAAAUACUCGAUGCAAAAAUCUGACACGGUACUACCGCAUACGGAGUGCGGUACUACCGCGCAGGGAGCGGAUGUAAAAAAUUACAUCCGCCCCUACUUCCGCUCAUGCAGCUGUGCGAGACCAAGAUGAAGGAAAUAUGCCCUAGAGGCAAUAAUAAAGUUAUUAUUUAUUUCCUUAUAUCAUGAUAAAUGUUUAUUAUUCAUGCUAGAAUUGUAUUAACCGGAAACAUAAUACAUGUGUGAAUACAUAGACAAACAGAGUGUCACUAGUAUGCCUCUACUUGACUAGCUCGUUGAUUAAAGAUGGUUAUGUUUCCUAGCCAUAGACAUGAGUUGUCAUUUAAUUAACGGGAUCACAUCAUUAGGAGAAUAAUGUGAUUGACUUGACCCAUUCCGUUAGCUUAGCACUCGAUCGUUUAGUAUGUUGCUAUUGCUUUCUUCAUGACUUAUACAUGUUCCUAUGACUAUGAGAUUAUGCAACUCCCGUUUACCAGAGGAACACUUUGUGUGCUACCAACCGUCACAACGUAACUGGGUGAUUAUAAAGGUGCUCUACAGGUGUCUCCAAAGGUACUUGUUGGGUUGGCGUAUUUCGAGAUUAGGAUUUGUCACUCCGAUUGUCGGAGAGGUAUCUCUGGGCCCACUCAGUAAUACACAUCACUAUAAGCCUUGCAAGCAUUGUAACUAAUGAGUUAGUUGCGGGAUGAUGUAUUACGGAACGAGUAAAUAGACUUGCCGGUAACGAGAUUGAACUAGGUAUCGAGAUACCGAUGAUCGAAUCUCGGGCAAGUAACAUACCAAUGACAAAGGGAACAACGUAUGUUGUUAUGCGGUCUGACCGAUAAAGAUCUUCGUAGAAUAUGUGGGAACCAAUAUGAGCAUCCAGGUUCCGCUAUUGGUUAUUGACCGGAGAGGUGUCUCGGUCCUGUCUACAUAGUUCUCGAACCCGUAGGGUCCGCACGCUUAACGUUACGAUCAUAGUUAUAUUAUGAGUUUAUAUGUUUUGAUGUACCGAAGGUUGUUCGGAGUCCCGGAUGUGAUCACGGACAUGACGAGGAGUCUCGAAAUGGUCGAGACAUAAAUAUUGAUAUAUUGGAAGCCUAUGUUUGGACAUCGGAAGUGUUCCGGGUGAAAUCUGGAUUUUUCCGGAGUACCGGGAGGUUACUGGAACCCCCCGGUAACUUAAUGGGCCUUAGUGGGCCUAGGUGGAAGAGAGGAGAGGAGGCCAGGGCAGGGCCGCGCGCCCCUCCCCCCCAGUCCGAAUAGGACAAGGAGAGGGGGGCGGCGCCCCCCUUCCUUCCUCCCCUCCACCUUUUCCCCCUUUCUCUCCUAGUCCAACAUGGAAAAGGGGGGGGGGGUCCUACCCCCGGUAGGAGUAGGACUCCUCCUGGCACACCUCUCCCUUAGGCCGGCCGAACCCCCCCCCCCUUGCACCUUUAUAUACGGGGGCAGGGGGGCACCUCUAGACACAACAAUUGAUCUAUUGAUCUCUUAGCCGUGUGCGGUGCCCCCCUCCACCAUAUUACACCUCGAUAAUAUCGUAGCGGUGCUUAGGCGAAGCCCUGCGUCGCUAGAACAUCAUCAUCGUCACCACGCCGUCGUGCUGACGAAACUCUCCCUCAACACUCGGCUGGAUCGGAGUUCGAGGGACGUCAUCGAGCUGAACGUGUGCUGUACUCGGAGGUGCCGUGCGUUCGGUACUUGAUCGGUCGGAUCGUGAAGACGUACGACUACAUCAACCGCGUUGUGUUAACGCUUCCGCUUUCAGUCUACGAGGGUACGUGGACAACACUGUCCCCUCUCGUUGCUAUGCAUCACCAUGAUCUUGCGUGUUCGUAGGAAUUUUUUUGAAAUUACUACGUUCCCUAACAGUGGCAUCCGAGCCAGGUUUUAUGCGUUGAUGUUAUAUGCACGAGUAGAACACAAGUGAGUUGUGGGCGAUAUAAGUCAUACUACUUACCAGCAUGUCAUAUUUUGGUUCAGCUGUAUUGUGAGAUGAAGCGGCCCGGACCGACAUUACGCGUACGCUUACGCGAGACUGGUUUCACCGUUCUGAGCACUCGUUGCUUAAAGGUGACUGGCGGGUGUCUGUCUCUCUCACUUUAGUUGAACCGAGUGUGGCUACGCCCGGUCCUUGCGAAGGUUAAAACAACACCAACUUGACAAACUAUCGUUGUGGUUUUGAUGCGUAGGUAAGAACGGUUCUUGCUAAGCCCGUAGCAGCCACGUAAAACUUGCAACAACAAAGUAGACGACGUGUAACUUGUUUUUGCAGGGCAUGUUGUGAUGUGAUAUGGUCAAAGACAUGAUGCUAUAUUUUAUUGUAUGAGAUGAUCAUGUUUUGUAACCAAGUUAUCGGCAACUGGCAGGAGCCAUAUGGUUGUCGCUUUAUUGUAUGCAAUGCAAUCGCCAUGUAAUUGUUUUACUUUAUCACUAAGCGGUAGCGAUAGUCGUAAAAGCAAUAGUUGGCGAGACGACAACGAUGCUACGAUGGAGAUCAAGGUGUCGCGCCGGUGACGAUGGUGAUCAUGACGGUGCUUCGGAGAUGGAGAUCACAAGCAUAAGAUGAUGAUGGCCAUAUCAUAUCACUUAUAUUGAUUGCAUGUGAUGUUUAUCUUUUAUGCAUCUUAUCUUGCUUUGAUUGACGGUAGCAUUAUAAGAUGAUCUCUCACUAAAAUUUCAAGAUAAAAGUGUUCUCCCUGAGUAUGCACCGUUGCGAAAGUUCUUCGUGCUGAGACACCACGUGAUGAUCGGGUGUGAUAGGCUCUACGUUCAAAUACAACGGGUGCAAAACAGUUGCACACGCGGAAUACUCAGGUUAAACUUGACGAGCCUAGCGUAUGCAGAUAUGGCCUCGGAACACUGAGACCGAAAGGUCGAGCGUGAAUCAUAUAGUAGAUAUGAUCAACAUAGUGAUGUUCACCAUUGAAAACUACUCCAUUUCACGUGAUGAUCGGUUAUGGUUUAGUUGAUUUGGAUCACGUAAUCACUUAGAUGAUUAGAGAGAUGUCUAUCUAAGUGGGAGUUCUUAAGUAAUAUGAUCAAUAGAACUUAAAUUUAUCAUGAACUUAGUACCUGAUAGUAUCUUGCUUGUCUAUGUUAAUUGUAGAUAGAUGGACCGUGUUGUUGUUCCAUUGAAUUUUAAUGCGUUCCUUCAGAAAGCAAAGUUGAAAGAUGAUGGUAGCAAUUACACGGACUGGGUCCGUAACUUGAGGAUUAUCCUCAUUGCUGCACAGAAGAAUUACGUCCUGGAAGCACCGCUGGGUGCCAUGCCUGCUGCAAGAGCAACACCAGAAGUUAUGAACGUCUGGCAGAGCAAAGCUGAUGACUACUCGAUAGUUCAGUGUGCCAUGCUUUACGGCUUAGAACCGGGUCUCAACGACGUUUUGAACGUCAUGGAGCAUAUGAGAUGUUCCAGGAGUUGAAGUUAAUAUUUCAAGCAAAUGCCCGGACUGAGAGAUAUGAAGUCUCCAAUAAGUUCUACAGCUGCAAGAUGGAAGAGAAUAGUUCUGUCAGUGAGCAUAUACUCAAAAUGUCUGGGUAUAAUAAUCACUUGAUUCAACUGGGAGUUAAUCUUCCGGAUGAUAGCGUCAUUGACAGAAUUCUUCAAUCACUGCCACCAAGCUACAAGAGCUUCGUGAUGAACUAUAACAUGCAAGGGGAUGAAUAAGACAAUUCCCGAGCUCUUCGCAAUGCUAAAGGCAGCGGAGGUAGAAAUCAAAAAGGAGCAUCAAGUGUUGAUGGUCAAUAAGACCACUAGUUUCAAGAAAAAGGGCAAAGGGAAGAAGAAGGGGAACUUCAAGAAGAACAGAAAGCAAGUUGUUGUUCAGGAGAAGAAACCCAAGUCUGGACCUAAGCCUGAGACUGAGUGCUUCUACUGCAAGCAGACUGGUCACUGGAAGCGGAACUGCCCCAAGUAUUUGGCGGAUAAGAAGGAUGGCAAGGUGAACAAAGGUAUAUGUGAUAUACAUGUUAUUGAUGUGUAACUUACUAAUGCUCGCAGUAGCACCUGGGUAUUUGAUACUGGUUCUGUUGCUAAUAUUUGCAAGUCGAAACAGGGGCUACGGAUUAAGCGAAGAUUGGUUAAGGACGAGGUGACGAUGCGCGUGGGAAAUGAUUCCAAAGUCGAUGUGAUCGCCGUCGGCACGCUACCUCUACAUCUACCUUCGGGAUUAGUAUUAGACCUAAAUAAUUGUUAUUUGGUGCCAGCGUUGAGCAGGAACAUUAUAUCUGGAUCUUGUUUGAUGCAAGACAGUUAUUCAUUUAAAUCAGAUAAUAAUGGUUGUUCUAUUUAUAUGAGUAAUAUCUUUUAUGCUCAUGCACCCUUGAAGAGUGGUCUAUUUUUAAUGAAUCUCGGUAGUAGUGACACACAUAUUCAUAAUGUCGAAGCCAAAAGAUGCAGAGUUGAUAAUGAUAGUGCAACUUAUUUAUGGCACUGCCAUUUAGGUCAUAUCGGUGUAUAGCGCAUGAAGAAACUCCAUAAUGAUGGACUUUUGGAAUCACUUGAUUAUGAAUCACUUGGUACUUGCGAACCGUGUCUCAUGGGCAAGAUGACUAAAACACCGUUCUCCGGUACUAUGGAGAGAGCAACUAAUUUGUUGGAAAUCAUACAUACAGAUGUAUGUGGUCCGAUGAAUAUUGAGGCUCGUGGCGGAUAUCGUUAUUUUCUCACCUUCAUAGAUGAUUUGAGCAGAUAUGGGUAUAUCUACUUAAUGAAACAUAAGUCUGAAACAUUUGAAAGUUCAAAGAAUUUCAGAGCGAAGUUGAAAAUCAUCGUAACAAGAAAAUAAAGUUUCUACGAUCAGAUCGUGGAGGAGAAUAUUUGAGUUACGAGUUUGGCCUACAUUUGAAACAAUGCGGAAUAUUUUCGCAACUCACGCCACCCAGAACACCACAACGUAAUGGUGUGUCCGAACGUCGUAAUCGUACUUUACUAGAUAUGGUGCGAUCUAUGAUGUCUCUUACUGAUUUACCGCUAUCGUUUUGGGGUUAUGCUUUAGAGACGGCUACAUUCACUCUAAAUAGGGCACCAUCAAAAUCCGUUGAAACGACACCUUAUGAACUAUGGUUUGGCAAGAAACCAAAGUUGUCGUAUCUUAAAGUUUGGGGUUGCGAUGCUUAUGUGAAGAAACUUCAACCUGAUAAGCUCGAACCUAAAUCGGAGAAAUGUGUCUUCAUAGGAUACCCAAAGGAGACUGUUGGGUACACCUUCUAUCACAGAUUCGAAGGCAAGACAUUCGUUGCUAAGAAUGGAUCCUUUCUAGAGAAGGAGUUUCUCUCGAAAGAAGUGAGUGGGAGGAAAGUAGAACUUGAUGAGGUAACUGUACCUACUCCCUUAUUGGAAAGUAGAUCAUCACAGAAAUCAGUUUCUGCGACACCUACACCAAUUAGUGAGGAAGUUAAUGAUAAUGAUCAUGAAACUUCAGAUCAAGUUAUUACUGAACCUCGUAGGUCAACCAGAUUAAGAUCUGCACCAGAGUGGUACGGUAAUCCUGUUCUGGAGGUUAUGUUACUAGACCAUGACGAACCUACGAACUAUGAAGAAACGAUGGUGAGCCCAGAUUCCGCAAAAUGGCUUGAGGCCACGAAAUCCGAUAUGGGAUCCAUGUAUGAGAACAAAGUAUGGACUUUGGUUGACUUGCCCGAUGAUCGGCAAGCCAUUGAAAAUAAAUGGAUCUUCAAGAAGAAGACUGACGCUGACGGUAAUGUUACUGUCUAUAAAGCUCGACUUGUUGCGAAAGGUUUUUGACAAGUUCAAGGGAUUGACUACGAUGAGACCUUCUCACCCGUAGCGAUGCUUAAGUCUGUCCGAAUCAUGUUAGCAAUUGCCGCAUUUUAUGAUUAUGAAAUUUGGCAAAUGGAUGUCAAAACUGCAUUCCUGAAUGGAUUUCUGGAAGAAGAGUUGUAUAUGAUGCAACCGGAAGGUUUUGUCAAUCCAAAGGGAGCUAACAAAGUGUGCAAGCUCCAGCGAUCCAUUUAUGGACUGGUGCAAGCCUCUCAGAGUUGGAAUAAACGCUUUGAUAGUGUGAUCAAAGCAUUUGGUUUUAUAUAGACUUUUGAAGAAGCCUGUAUUUACAAGAAAGUGAGUGGGAGCUCAGUAGCAUUUCUGAUAUUAUAUGUGGAUGACAUAUUGCUAAUUGGAAAUGAUAUAGAAUUUCUGGAUAGCAUAAAGGGAUACUUGAAUAAGAGUUUUUCAAUGAAAGACCUCAGUGAAGCUGCAUAUAUAUUGGGCACCAAGAUCUAUAGAGAUAGAUCAAGACGCUUAAUUGGACUUUCACAAAGCACAUACCUUGACAAAGUUUUGAAGAAGUUCAAAAUGGAUCAAGCAAAGAAAGGGUUCUUGCCUGUAUUACAAGGUGUGAGAUUGAGUAAGACUCAAUGCCCGACCACUCCAGAAGAUAGAGAGAAGAUGAAAGAUGUUCCCUAUGCUUCAGCCAUAGGCUCUAUCAUGUAUGCAAUGCUGUGUACCAGACCUGAUGUGUGCCUUGCUAUAAGUUUAGCAGGGAGGUACCAAAGUAAUCCAGGAGUGGAUCACUGGACAGCGGUCAAGAACAUCCUGAAAUACCUGAAAAAGACUAAGGAUAUGUUUCUCGUUUAUGGAGGUGACAAAGAGCUCAUCGUAAAUGGUUACGUUGAUGCAAGCUUUGACACUGAUCCGGACGAUUCUAAAUCGCAAACCGGAUAUGUGUUUACAUUGAACGGUGGAGCUGUCAGUUGGUGCAGUUCUAAGCAAAGUGUCAUGGCGGGAUCUACGUGUGAAGCGGAGUACAUAGCUGCUUCGGAAGCAGCAAAUGAAGGAGUCUGGAUGAAGGAGUUCAUAUCCAAUCUAGGUGUCAUACCUAGUGCAUCGGGACCAAUGAAAAUCGUUUGUGACAAUACUGGUGCAAUUGCCUUAGCAAAGGAAUCCAGAUUUCACAAGAGAACCAAGCACAUCAAAAGACGCUUCAAUUCCAUCCGGGAUUUAGUCCAGGUGGGAGACAUAGAAAUUUGCAAGAUACAUACGGAUCUGAAUGUUGCAGACCCGUUGACUAAGCCUCUUCCACGAGCAAAACAUGAUCAGCUCCAAGACUCCAUGGGUGUAAGAAUCAUUACUGUGUAAUCUAGAUUAUUGACUCUAGUGCAAGUGGGAGACUGAAGGAAAUAUGCCCUAGAGGCAAUAAUAAAGUUAUUAUUUAUUUCCUUAUAUCAUGAUAAAUGUUUAUUAUUCAUGCUAGAAUUGUAUUAACCGGAAACAUAAUACAUGUGUAAAUACAAAGACAAACAGAGUGUCACUAGUAUGCCUCUACUUGACUAGCUCGUUGAUCAAAGAUGGUUAUGUUUCCUAGCCAUAGACAUGAGUUGUCAUUCGAUUAACAGGAUCACAUCAUUAGGAGAAUGAUGUGAUUGACUUGACCCAUUCCGUUAGCUUAGCACUCGAUCGUUUAGUAUGUUGCUAUUGCUUUCUUCAUGACCUAUACAUGUUCCUAUGACUAUGAGAUUAUGCAACUCCCGUUUACCAGAGGAACACUUUGUGUGCUACCAAACGUCACAACGUAACUGGGUGAUUAUAAAGGUGCUCUACAGGUGUGUCCAAAGGUACUUGUUGGGUUGGCGUAUUUCGAGAUUAGGAUUUGUCACUCCGAUUGUCGGAGAGGUAUCUCUGGGCCCACUCAGUAAUACACAUCACUAUAAGCCUUGCAAGCAUUGUAACUAAUGAGUUAGUUGCGGGAUGAUGUAUUACGGAACGAGUAAAGAGACUUGCCGGUAACGAGAUUGAACUAGGUAUCGAGAUACCGACGAUCGAAUCUCGGGCAAGUAACAUACCGAUGACAAAGGGAACAACGUAUGUUGUUAUGCGGUCUGACCGAUAAAGAUCUUCGUAGAAUAUGUGGGAACCAAUAUGAGCAUCCAGGUUCCGCUAUUGGUUAUUGACCGGAGAGGUGUCUCGGUCCUGUCUACAUAGUUCUCGAACCCGUAGGGUCCGCACGCUUAACGUUACGAUCACAGUUAUAUUAUGAGUUUAUAUGUUUUGAUGUACCGAAGGUUGUUCGGAGUCCCGGAUGUGAUCACGGACAUGACGAGGAGUCUCGAAAUGGUCGAGACAUAAAGAUUGAUAUAUUGGAAGCCUAUGUUUGGACAUCGGAAGUGUUCCGGGUGAAAUCUGGAUUUUUCCGGAGUACCGGGAGGUUACUGGAACCCCCCGGUAACUUAAUGGGCCUUAGUGGGCCUAGGUGGAAGAGAGGAGAGGAGGCCAGGGCAGGGCCGCGCGCCCCUCCCCCCCAGUCCGAAUAGGACAAGGAGAGGGGGCGGCGCCCCCCUUCCUUCCUCCCCUCCACCUUUUCCCCCUUUCUCUCCUAGUCUAACAUGGAAAAGGGGGAGUCCUACUCCUGGUAGGAGUAGGACUCCUCCUGGCGCGCCUCUCCCUUAGGCCGGCCGAACCCCCCCUUGCACCUUUAUAUACGGGGGUAGGGGGGCACCUCUAGACACAACAAUUGAUCUAUUGAUCUCUUAGCCGUGUGUGGUGCCCCCCUCCACCAUAUUACACCUCGAUAAUAUCGUAGCGGUGCUUAGGCGAAGCCCUGCGUCGGUAGAACAUCAUCAUCGUCACCACGCCGUCGUGCUGAUGAAACUCUCCCUCAACACUCGGCUGGAUCGGAGUUCGAGGGACGUCAUCGAGCUGAACGUUUGCUGAACUCGGGGGUGCCGUGCGUUCGGUACUUGAUCGGUCGGAUCGUGAAGACGUACGAAUACAUCAACUGCUUUUUGUUAACGCUUCCGAUUUUGGUCUACGAGGGUACGUGGACAACAUUCUCCCCUCUUGUUCCUAUGCAUCACCAUGAUCUUGCGUGUUCGUAGGAAUUUUUUUGAAAUUUCUACGUUCCCCAACACAAGACUCGCGGUACUACCACACGCAUGGGGCGGUACUACCGUGUAGGGUGCGGACGUAAAAAAAUACGUCCGCCCCUACAGCCGCACGGGCGGCUGAGUCUGGUAUGAGGUUACGGUAGUACAGCUCCAAAGGAGCGGUACUACCGCGGGCGCCUACGGUACUACCGCAAGGACUUGCGGUACUACCAUAGGGGCCUGCGGUACUACCGCUCAGUGGAGCAGUACUACCGCAUGCCCCAGAACAGCAACACUAGGAAUCCUUCUCUUUGCAUAGAGAUGACGAAAAACGGAGGAUGCUCCAAGGGCAAGGGAAAGGAGGUGCAGAGGAAGAAAACGUGUACGUGAUGAUUCCACCCGAACCUUUCCAACGCGGACCCCCUCUUAAUAGUACGACUUUCCUACGACUCAAAUCCACCGAAAAGAAACGUAGAAAAACACCGUUUUCAAUAGUCUUCGAGGGGCACCAAACCGUCUUGUGCCUAGUGAUGAAACGUUUGAGAAACUCAAGGCACACGAUUAGUCCGCAAAGGCAUUGUCAUCAAUCACGAAAACACCUUAGGGAUAAAUAUGCCCUUACAAUCUCCCCCUUUUUGGUGGAUUGAUGACAACACGGGAUUUGCACAAAGGGAAAAGAUAUAGAGCAUGGGCAAACCCCACAUCUCUAAAAUAUAGACGGGCUCCCCGUAGAUGUGUGCAAACUAGAUAGGUGCUUUGGACUGCACGGCACACAUACUAGGAUCAACACUCCCCCUAUAUUUUACAGACAAGGCAUAUCUAGUAAGAAUAAGGCUACCACUAAGCAAGAUAGAAACUAUGAGCAUAAUAGAUAGCACAAUAUAACAUAGGCUCAAUAUAGCAUAAUAGAUACCACUGUAGCUUGUUCUUGUUGGCUGACCCAGCGUUGGCAUGAGGGCGAACCCCAACGGGUGUGUUGAGGCCCUCAUCAGGUAUGUGGAGCAGAUCCAUGAAGUCCUUCCAGGUAGCAGUCAACUGAUGUCCAUUGGUCAUCCAAGUCAUCCUUCGGUCCUCCCCAUGGUGAAAGUGAACGGAGGCAAAGAACUGGCAAAUAAUCUCAGGGUCAAAGUCUAGGUGAAAGCAGAUCACAUCUUCAAUACCAAACUGCUCCACCAAGUCCAGAGCUUCUCCAAAGUAAUCACGGUGCUUGUCCUGUCUCAUAUGAUUCAUGUCAAUACACUUGACCUCCACAUAGGUGUUUUGCUUGUUCUUGAUCACAUCCAGAUAGAUGAGAGUCUGCUGCUUGGUCCAAAACAAGUCAUUUCCUCUGAAGAUAGCACGGGCAUUCACAUAGGGAUUAAUCUACCUUCGAGCGAUAAACUCAGAAACUGGAAUCUCGUCCAUGCCCUUGGCGGGUUCCUUGUACUUGCUGGCGGAGGACUUGACACUGCGCUUGGGGGCAUUGGAGCCCUCUGGAGCUUCAUCUUGAUUACGUAGACGCUUGGAGCGAGUGUCACGACUGGGAUUGGAACGGCGAGCAGGAGCACCGGAGACACCACCUAAGACACAAAGCACAAAACACACACGACAAGCAGGAAAGAUCAAUGCAAAGACCACGGCCAAGCAAAGGAAACAUGUAGAAAGCAUAUGGGAUAGUUGCCACGAGGAAGGUUGGACAACAACGGUAGUACUACCAGUUCGCGCGGUACUAAAAUUUUAGUACCGCUCCUAGUCACGGUAGUGCCGCGUGAAGACACGGUAGUACCGGGGCUCGGAGCGGUAGUAGGACUUUAGUACCGCUGCACGUGCGGUAGUACCGCACACGACGGGCGGUAGUACCGUGCACAUGGUAGUACCGCACAGGAAGUGCGGUAGUACCGCACGGCGUCAGAUCUGAACCGCUUUGAAUCUGAGAAGAACUGUGAAAACGCGGCGGUGCUACGGUUGAUCAAAUCUACCACGGGACAACAUAUCAAGUAUAAUUUCUACGCAACACUACUCCCCUACAUCCUACUCUUGCAUAGAUUUGGCCUAAAAUCUCAAGAACACAUGCAUCUCCCCAAAAACCUAGAGGCAAGAGAACAAACUAGAAAGAGAGGGAUUUGGGGAGAAACCUUGUUCCAUGGCAAGAGGAAGUGGUGGGGAACGAUCCCACCGGUCGGAAUCCGAGGAGAGUGGCCGGAGACGGAGAUCCAGCGAGGGUCUCCGGCGCCGUUCUUGAGCAGGAGAGAGAGAGGCGGCGGGGAGAGAGACAAAUGAAUGGGUAUGGGGGAGUUGGAACUCCCCCUGCCCGGGUCAUAACCCCCAUGCGCACUCGUCAGCAUGGUAGUACCGUGCUUCAUCGUGGUAGUACCGCUCGGGCGGAAGAGCCGCGCAGAAGCGGUAGUACCGCUCUCCCAGGCGGCAGUAAAAAAUUACUGUCGCGCUAGGUGCGGUAGUACCGUGCACUCCAUACGCGGUAGUACCGUGGAAGGCCGCGGUAGUACCGUGAGCUCAAGAAGAUGCACGUUUCAAACACAAGAAAAAAGGAGGUCUCCGCACGGAAUCUUCAAACAAACGAGACACGACAAGAACAUGCUCAACACGAAGAAAGAAAGGCAAAAGACAACAAGAGACAACCACGAGACACAACCUCUCCAAAGAGAGGGCGGUGGCCGGAGCCACCUAUGUUUGAGUCAAUUGGUAUGGCACCGCGAACAAUUAUUCUUAUGCCCAUGACCAAAACUCGUCUUUGAAGCACAAGUACCAUCAAAAAUGGCUAAUGUGAAAGAGUUGCUCAAUUUAUGCAUAAUGGGGGGAGGGAGAGUUCAUUGAGAGAACAGCACUCCCCCUAUGUCCAUGCCUACAUCUAGACGAGACAGCAAGUUGAGUAUGGUGGGGUGUGCAAGGGUUCCAGCAACAUUGCUCGAAUCAAUGAUAUUUAGCUCAUGCCUUAACUCACGCAAUCUUGCUUCAUCCAAUGGCUUCGUGAAAAUAUCUGCAAGGUUAUCUUGAGUGUUGACGUAGUUGAGCUCGAUUUCCCCUCGCCUAAUGUGAUCCCGGAUGAAGUGAUACCGAAUCUCAAUAUGCUUCGUCUUGAAGUGUUGCACCGGGUUGAGAGAAAUCUUGAUGGCACUUUCAUUGUCACACCAAAGAGGCACUUUGUCACAAGUGACACCGUAAUCCUUUAAAGUUUGCCUCAUCCAAAGAAGUUGUGCACAACAACUGCCGGCGGCCACAUACUCCGCUUCGGUCGACGAGAGAGACACACAACUUUACUUCUUGGAAGACCAACUCACCAAAGAGCAACCAAGAAAUUGGCACCCUCCGGAAGUGGAUUUCCUAUCCACUUUGUCUCCUGCCCAAUCGGAAUCCGAAUACCCUACAAGCUUGAAGUUUGCUCCUCUUGGGUACCAUAAGCCAAAGGUUGGGGUAUGAGCCAAAUAUCAAAAGAUUCGCUUAACCGCCACAUAGUGGCUUUCCUUAGGUGCGGCUUGAAACCGUGCACAAAUUCCCACACUCAAUAUGAUAUCCGGUCUAGACCCACAAAGGUAAAGCAAGGAUCCAAUCAUGGAGCGAUAUACCUUUUGAUCCACCGCUUUACCAUUGGGAUCAAUGUCAAGUUGGCACUUGGUGGGCAUUGGAGUGGAAGCCGGCUUGACAUCACUUAGCUUGAAUCUCUUGAGCAUGUCUUGAGUCUAUUUGGCUUGGUUGAUGAAGGUACCUUCUCUUCUUUGCUUCACUUCGAAUCCGAGGAAGAACUUCAACUCUCCCAUGGAAGACAUCUUGAACUUUGAGGUCAUGAGAUUGGCAAAUUCCUCAUUGAAAGCUUUGUUAGGGGAACCAAAGAUAAUAUCAUCAACAUAUAGUUGGCACACAAACAACUCCCCUUUGACCUUCUUAGUAAAAAGAGUGGGGUAGAUUAGCCCGACUUCAAAUCCACGAUCUUGUAACAACUCGGUAAGGUGGUCAUACCACGCACGUGGGGCUUGUUUAAGGCCAUAGAGUGCCUUAUCGAGUUGAUACACAUGAUCGGGAAAGUAGGGAUCCUCCAACCCGGGGGGUUGUUUAACGUAGACCAACUCAUUAAUGGGACCAUUAAGAAAAGCACUCUUCACAUCCAUUUGUUGCAACUUAAAGUUAUGAUGAGAAGCAUAGGCAAUUAACAUGCGAAUGGACUCAAGGCGAGCAACGGGAGCAAAGGUUUAAUCGUAGUUGAUACCCUCGACUUGGGAGUAGCCUUGUGCCACUAAACGAGCCUUGUUGCGAAUGAUAGUUCCAUGAGCAUCUUGCUUGUUCUUGAAUAUCCACUUGGUUCCAAUGACAUUAUGGUUCUCCGUUGGCCUUGGCACCAAUCUCCACACCUUGUUGUUCUCGAAGUUGUUGAGUUCUUCAUGCAUUGCAUUGAGCCAAUCCGGAUCCUCAAGCGCUUCGUAAACCUUUUGGGGUUCCACACAAGAGACAAACGCAUGAUGUUCAGAAUAGGUUGCUAAUUGUCUACGAGUGCUUACCCCCUUAGUUAAGCUUCCAAGCACAUUCUCCAUGAUGUGCCCUUUGGUGGUGAGCUUGGAAGCAAUCUUGGCGGCACGACGCUCCAAUUCCUGCUCGGAAGUGAGAUGAGGAGAGGAAACUUGAUCAUCUUGAGCGCCGUCAUGAGCUUGUUCUCGAUCUUGAACUUGCUCGGUGGUGAGAACUUGACCUUGUGCAUCAUGUGGUGGUUCACCACCAUCUUGAUAGUGAUCUUGCCCUUGGUCUCGUUCAUGUGGUUGAGGGCCUUCAUUAUGUUCUUCGGAAGCGUGUGGGCCUUGGGUUGGUGAUGGCUCCACUUGACUGGAGCAUUGUCCUUCUCCUUCGGCCACAAGGGGUUCCUCAAUGGGUAGGAUAAACCCAACUCCCAUUCUUCUUAUGGCUUGAGGAGGAAUUUCAUCACCUACAUCACAAGUGCCACUUUGCUCCACUUGGGAGCCGUUAUUCUCAUCAAACACCACGUUACAUGUCUCCUCAAUAAGUCCCGUGGACUUAUUGAGGACACGGUAAGCAUGAGAGUUUGUAGCAUAACCAACAAAUAUGCCCUCAUAAGCUCUAGCCUCAAAUUUAGACAAACGAACACCUUUCUUGACGAUGAAACACUUACACCCGAACACCCGAAAGUACUUGAGGUUGGGCUUAUUACCGGUGAGUAUCUCAUAUGGAGUCUUUCUUGGGGAACAUAGUAAUUUCAAAAAAAUUCCUACGCACAUGCAAGAUCAUGGUGAUGCAUAGCAACGAGAGGGCAGAGUGUUGUCCACGUACCCUCGUAGACCGAAAGCGGAAGCGUUAGCACAACGCGGUUGAUGUAGUCGUACGUCUUCACGAUCCGACCGAUCAAGUACCGAACGCAUGGCACCUCCGAGUUCAGCACACGUUCAGCCCGAUGACGUCCCUCGAACUCCGAUCCAGCCGAGUGUUGAGGGAGAGUUUCAUCAGCACGACGGCGUGGUGACGAUGAUGAUGUUCUACCGACGCAGGGCUUCGCCUAAGCACCGCUACAGUAUUAUCGAGGUGGACUAUGGUGGAGGGGGGCACCGCACACGGCUAAAAGAUCAGACGAUCAAUUGUUGUCUCUCUGGGAUGCCCCCCUGCCCCCGUAUAUAAAGGAGCAAGGAAGGAGGAGGCCGGCCCUAGGAGGGGCGCGCCAAGGGAGUAGGAUUCCUACUCCUAGUUGGAGUAGGUUUCCUCCUUUCCUAGUCCAACUAGGAGAAGGGGGGAAAGGGGGGAAGAGGAGAAGGAAGGGAGAGGGGGGCCGCGCCCCAAACCCCUUGUCCAAUUCGGACUGGGCUUGGGAGGGGCGUGCGCCACCUCCUGGCUGCUGCCUCUCCUUCCCACUAAGGCCCAUUAAGGCCCAAUACUUCUUUCCCGUAUUCCCGUAACUCCCCGGUACUCCGAAAAAUACCCGAAUCACUCGGAACCUUUCCGAUGUCCGAAUAUAGUCAUCCAAUAUAUCGAUCUUUACGUCUCGACCAUUUCGAGACUCCUCGUUAUGUCCCCUAUCUCAUCCGGGACUCCGAACUACCUUCGGUACAUCAAAACUCAUAAACUCAUAAUAUAACUGUCAUCGAAACUUUAAGCGUGCGGACCCUACGGGUUCGAGAACUAUGUAGACAUGACCGAGACACGUCUCCGGUCAAUAACCAAUAGCGGAACCUGGAUGGUCAUAUUGGCUCCCACAUAUUCUACGAAGAUCUUUAUCGGUCAAACCGCAUAACAACAUACGUUGUUCCCUUUGUCAUCGGUAUGUUACUUGCCCGAGAUUCGAUCGUCGGUAUCUCAGUACCUAGUUCAAUCUCGUUACCGGCAAGUCUCUUUACUCGUUCCGUAAUACAUCAUCCCGCAACUAACUCAUUAGUUGCAAUGCUUGCAAGGCUUAUAGUGAUGUGCAUUACCGAGUGGGCCCAGAGAUACCUCUCCGACAAUCGGAGUGACAAAUCCUAAUCUCGAAAUACGCCAACCCAACAAGUACCUUCGGAGACACCUGUAGAGCACCUUUAUAAUCACCCUAUUACGUUGUGACGUUUGGUAGCACACAAAGUGUUCCUCCGGUAAACGGGAGUUGCAUAAUCUCAUAGUCAUAGGAACAUGUAUAAGUCAUGAAGAAAGCAAUAGCAACAUACUAAACGAUCAAGUGCUAAGCUAACGGAAUGGGUCAAGUCAAUCACAUCAUUCUCCUAAUGAUGUGAUCCCGUUAAUCAAAUGACAACUCUUUGUCUAUGGUUAUGAAACACAACCAUCUUUGAUCAACGAGCUAGUCAAGUAGAGGCAUACUAGUGACACUCUGUUUGUCUAUGUAUUUACACAUGUAGUAUGUUUCCGGUUAAUACAAUUAUAGCAUGAACAAUAAACAUUUAUCAUGAAAUAAGGAAAUAAAUAAUAAUUUUAUUAUUGCCUCUAGGGCAUAUUUCCUUCGGUCUCCCACUUGCACUAGAGUCAAUAAUCUAGUUCACGUCGCCAUGUGAGUUAACUUCAAUAGUUCACAUCACCAUGUGAUUAACACCAAUAGUUCACAUCGUCCUGUGACCAACACCCAAAGGGUUUACUAGAGUCAAUAAUCUAGUUCACAUCACUAUGUGAUUAACACCCAAAGAGUACUAAGGUGUUAUCAUGUUUUGCUUGUGAGAUAAUUUUAGUCAACAGGUCUGUCACAUUCAGAUUCGUAAGUAUUUUGCAAAUUUCUAUGUCUACAAUGCUUUGCACGGAGCUACUCUAGCUAAUUGCUCCCACUUUCAAUAUGUAUCUAGACCGAGACUUAGAGUCAUCUAGAUUAGUGUCAAAACUUGCAUCGACGUAACCCUUUACGACGAACGUUUUGUCACUUCCAUAAUCGAGAAACAUAUCCUUAUUCCACUAAGGAUAAUUUUGAGCGCUAUCCAGUGAUCUACUCCUAGAUUACUAUUGUACUCCCUUGCCAAAAUCAGUGUAGGGUAUACAAUAGAUCUGGUACACAGCAUGGCAUACUUUGUAGAACCUAUGGCCAAGGCAUAGGGAAUGACUUUCAUUCUCUUUCUAUCUUCUGCCGUGGUCGGGCUUUGAGUCUUACUCAAUUUCACACCUUGUAACACAUGCAAGAACUCUUUCUUUGACUGUUCCAUUUUGAACUACUUCAAAAUCUUGUUAAGGUAUGUACUCAUUGAAAAAACUUAUCAAGCGUCUUGAUCUAUCUCUAUAGAUCUUGAUGCUCAAUAUGUAAGCAGCUUCACCGAGGUCUUUCUUUGAAAAACUCCUUUCAAACACUCCUUUAUGCUUUGCAGAAUAAUUCUACAUUAUUUCUGAUCAACAAUAUGUCAUUCACAUAUACUUAUCAGAAAUGUUGUAGUGCUCCCACUCACUUUCUUGUAAAUACAAGCUUCACCGCAAGUCUUUAUAAAACUAUAUCCUUUGAUCAACUUAUCAAAGCGUAUAUUCCAACUCCGAGAUGCUUGCACCAGUCCAUAGAUGGAUCGCUGGAGCUUGCAUAUUUUGUUAGCACCUUUAGGAUUGACAAAACCUUCUGGUUGCAUCAUAUACAACUCUUCUUUAAUAAAUCCAUUAAGGAAUGCAAUUUUGUUUAUCCAUUUGCCAGAUUUCAUAAAAUGCGGCAAUAGCUAACAUGAUUCGGACAGACUUAAGUAUAGAUACGAGUGAGAAACUCUCAUCGUAGUCAACACCUUGAACUUGUCAAAAACCUUUUGCGACAAUUCUAGCUUUGUAGAUAGUAACACUACUAUCAGCGUCCGUCUUCCUCUUGAAGAUCCAUUUAAUCUCAAUGGCUCACCGAUCAUUGGGCAAGUCAAUCAAAGUCCAUACUUUGUUCUCAUACAUGGAUCUCAUCUCAGAUUUCAUGGCCUUAAGCCAUUUCGCGGAAUCUGGGCUCAUCAUCGCUUCCUCAUAGUUCGUAGGUUCGUCAUGGUCGAGUAACAUGACCUCCAGAACAGGAUUACCGUACCACUCUGGUGCGGAUCUCACUCUGGUUUACCUACGAGGUUCGGUAGUAACUUGAUCUGAAGUUACAUGAUCAUCAUCAUUAGCAUCCUCACUAAUUGGUGUAGUAGUCACAGGAACAGAUUUCUGUGAUGAACUAAUUUCCAAUAAGGGAGCAGGUACAGUUACCUCAUCAAGUUCUACUUUCCUCCCACUCACUUCUUUCGAGAGAAACUUCUUCUCUAGAAAGGAUCCAUUCUUAGCAACGAAUAUCUUGCCUUCGGAUCUGUGAUAGAAGGUGUACCCAACUAUCUCCUUUGGGUAUCCUAUGAAGACACAUUUCUCCGAUUUGGGUUUGAGCUUAUCAGGAUGAAACUUUUUCUUAUAAGCAUAGCAACCCCAAAUUUUAAGAAACGACAACUUUGGUUUCUUGCCAAACCACAGUUCAUAAGGUGUCAUCUCAACGGAUUUAGAUGGUGCCCUUUUUAACGUGAAUGCAGCUGUCUCUAAUGCAUAACCCCAAAACGAUAGUGGUAGAUUGGUAAGAAACAUCAUAGAUCACACCAUAUCUAAUAAAGUACGGUUAUGACGUCCGGACACACCAUUACGCUGUGGUGUUUCAGGUGGCGUGAGUUGCGAAACUAUUCCGCAUUGUUUCAAAUGAAGACCAAACUCGUAACUCAAAUAUUCUCCUCCACGAUCAGAUCGUAGAAACUUUAUUUUCUUGUUACGUUGAUUUUCUACUUCACUCAUAAAUUAUAUGAACUUUUCAAAUGUUUCAGACUUUAUGUUUCAUCAUGUAGAUAUACCCAUAUCUGCUCAAAUCAUCUGUGAAGGUCUGUAAAUAACGAUACAUGCCGUGAGCCUCGAUAUUCAUCGGACCACAUACAUCAGUAUGUAUGAUUUCCAACAAAUCUAUUGCUCGCUUCAUUGUUCCGGAGAACGGCGCUUUAGUCAUCUUGCCGAAGAGGCAUGGUUCUCAAGCAUCAAGUGAUUCAUAAUCAAGUGAUUCCAAAAUCCCAUCAGCAUGGAGUUUCUUCAUGCGUUUUACACCAAUAUGACCUAAAUGGUAGUGCCACAAAUAAGUUGCACUAUCAUUAUUAACUUUGCAUCUUUUUGGCUUCAAUAUUUUGAAUAUGUGUAUCACUACGAUCGAGAUCCAACAAACCAUUUUCGUUGGUGUGUAUGACCAUAGAAUGUUUUAUUCAUGUAAACAGCAUAACAAUUGUUCUCUAACUUAAAUGAAUAACCGUAUUGCAAUAAACAUGAUCAAAUCAUAUUCAUGCUCAACGCAAACACCAAAUAACACUUAUUUAGGUUCAACACUAAUCCUGAAAGUAUAGGGAGUCUACGAUGAUGAUCAUACCAAUCUUGGAACCACUUCCAACACACAUCGUCACUUCACCCUUAACUAGUCUCUGUUUAUUCUGCAACUCCCGUUUCGAGUUACUAAUCAUAGCAACUGAACUAGUAUCAAAUAUUUAGGGGUUGCUAUAAACAAUAGUAAAGUACACAUCAAUUACAUGUAUAUCAAAUAUACCUUUGUUCACUUUGCCAUCCUUCUUAUCCGCCAAAUACUUGGGGCAGUUCCGCUUCCAGUGACCAGUUCCUUUGCAGUAGAAGCACUUAGUCUCAGGCUUAGGUCCAGACUUGGGCUUCUUCACUUGAGCAGCAACUUGCUUGCCAUUAUUUUUGAAGUUCCCCUUCUUCCCUUAGCACUUUUCUUGAAACUAGUGGUCUUGUCAACCAUCAACACUUGAUGUUUUUCUUGAUUUCUACCUUCGUCUAUCUCAGCAUCACGAAGAGCUUGGGAAUCGUUUCCAUUAUCCCUUGCAUAUUAUAGUUCAUCACGAAGUUCUAGUAACUUGGUGAUAGUGACUAGAGAACUCUGUCAAUCACUAUCUUAUCUGGAAGAUUAACUCCCACUUGAUUCAAGUGAUUGUAGUACUCAGACAUUCUGAGCACAUGCUCACUAGCUGAGCAAUUCUCCUCCAUCUUGUAGGCAAAAUAUUGCCAGAGGUCAAAUACCUCUCGACACGGGCAUGAGUAUGAAAUACCAAUUUCAACUCUUGGAACAUCUUAUAUGUUCCGUGGCGUUUCAAAACAUUUUGAAGUCCCGGUUCUAAGCCGUAAAGCAUGGUGCACUAAACUAUCAAGUAGUCAUCAUACCGAGCUUUUGUCAAACGUUCAUAACGUCUGCAUCUGCUCCUGCAAUAGGUCUGUCACCUAGCGGUGCAUAUGGGACAUAAUUCUUCUGUGCAGCAAUGAGGAUAAUCCUCAGAUCACGGAUGCAAUCCGCAUCAUCGCUACUAACAUCUUUCAACAUAGUUUUUCUCUAGGAACAUAUCAAAAUAAACAUAGGGAAGCAACAACGCGAGCUAUUGAUCUACAACAUAGAUAUGCUAAUACUACCAGGACUAAGUUCAUGAUAAAUUUAAGUUCAAUUAAUCAUAUUAAUUAAGAACUCCCACUUAGAUAGACAUCCCUCUAAUCCUCUAAGUGAUCAUCUGAUCCAAAUCAACUAAACCAUAACUGAUCAUCACGUGAAAUGGAGUAGCUUUCAAUGGUGAACAUCAUUAUGUUGAUCAUAUCUACUAUAUGAUUCACGCUCGACCUUUCGGUCUCAGUGUUCCGAGGCCAUAUCUGCAUAUGCUAGGCUCGUCAAGUUUAACCUGAGAAUUCCGCGUGUGCAACUGUUUUGCACCCGUUGUAAUUGAACGUAGAGCCUAUCACACCCGAUCAUCACGUGGUGUCUCAGCACGAAGAACUUUCGCAACGGUGCAUACUCAGGGAGAACACUUAUACCUUGAUAAUUUAGUGAGAGAUCAUCUUAUAAUGCUACCGUCGAUCUAAGCAGAAUAAGAUGCAUAAAAGAUAAACAUCACAUGCAAUCAAUAUAAGUGAUAUGAUAUGGCCAUCAUCAUCUUGUGCUUGUGAUCUCCAUCAAAGCACUGUCAUGAUCUCCAUCGUCACGGGCAUGACACCAUGAUCUCCAUCAUCUUGAUCUAUAUCAAUGUGUCGUCACAUGGUCGUCUCGCCAACUAUUGCUCUUGCAACUAUUGCUAUCGCAUAGCGAUAAAGUAAAGCAAUUAUUUGGCGCUUGCAUCUUAUGCAAUAGAGACACAACCAUAAGGCUUUUGCUAGUUGCCGAUAACUUCAACAAAACAUGAUCAUCUCAUACAACAACUUAUAUCUCAUCACGUCUUGACCAUAUCACAUCACAACAUGCCCUGCGAAAACAAGUUAGACGUCCUCUACUUUGUUGUUGCAUGUUUUACGUGGCUGCUACGGGAUGAGCAAGAACCGUUCUUACCUACGCAUCAAAACCAAAAUGAUAGUUCGUCAAGUUAGUGCUGUUUUAACCUUCUCAAGGACAGGGCGUAGCGACACUCGGUUCAACUAAAGUUGGAGAAACUGACACCCACUAGUCACCUGUGUGCAUAGCACGGCGGUAAAACUAGUCUCGCGUAAGCGUACGCGUAAUGUCGGUCCGGGCCGCUUCAUCCAACAAUACCGCCGAACCAAAGUAUGACAUGCUGGUAAGAUGUAUGACUUGUAUCGCCCACAAAUCACUUGUGUUCUACUCGUGCAUAUGACAUCUACGCAUAAGACCAGGCUCGGAUGCCACUGUUGGGGAACGUAGUAAUUUCAAAAAAAUUCCUACGCACACGCAAGAUCAUGGGGAUGCAUAGCAACGAGAGGGGAGAGUGUUGUCCACGUACCCUCGUGGACCGAAAGCGGAAGUGUUAGCACAACGCGGUUGAUGUAAUCGUACGUCUUCACGAUCCGACCGAUCAAGUACCGAACACAUGGCAUCUCCGAGUUCAGCACACGUUCAGCCCGAUGACGUCCCUCGAACUCCGAUCCAGCCGAGUGUUGAGGGAGAGUUUCAUCAGCGCGACGGCGUGGUGACAAUGAUGAUGUUCUACCGACGCAGGGCUUCGCCUAAGCACCGCUACAGUAUUAUCGAGGUGGACUAUGGUGGUGGGGGGCACCGCACACGGCUAAAAGAUCAAACGAUCAAUUGUUGUCUCUCUGGGGUGCCCCCCUGCCCCCGUAUAUAAAGGAGCAAGGGAGGAGGAGGCCGGCCCUAGGAGGGGCGCGCCAAGGGAGUAGGAUUCCUACUCCUAGUUGGAGUAGGUUUCCUCCAUUCCUAGUCCAACUAGGAGAAGGGGGGAAAGGGGGGAAGAGGAGAAGGAAGGGACAGGGGGGCCGCGCCCCAAACCCCUUGUCCAAUUCGGACUGGGCUUGGGAGGGGCGCGCGCCACCUCCUGGCUGCUGCCUCUCCUUCCCACUAAGGCCCAUUAAGGCCCAAUACUUCUUUCCCGUAUUCCCGUAACUCCCCGGUACUCCGAAAAAUACCCGAAUCACUCGGAACCUUUCCGAUGUCCGAAUAUAGUCGUCCAAUAUAUCGAUCUUUACAUCUCGACCAUUUAGAGACUCCUCGUUAUGUCCCCGACCUCAUCUAGGACUCCGAACUACCUUCGGUACAUCAAAACUCAUAAACUCAUAAUAUAACUGUCAUCGAAACAUUAAGCAUGCGGACCCUGGAUGCCCAUAUUGGCUCCCACAUAUUCUACGAAGAUCUUUAUCGGUCAAACCGCAUAACAACAUACGUUGUUCCCUUUGUCAUCGGUAUGUUACUUGCCCGAGAUUCGAUCGUCGGUAUCUCAAUACCAAGUUCAAUCUCGUUACCGGCAAGUCUGUUUACUCGUUCCGUAAUACAUCAUCCCGCAACUAACUCAUUAGUUGCAGUGCUUGCAAGGCUUAUAGUGAUGUGCAUUACCGAGUGGGCCCAGAGAUACAUCUCCGACAAUCGGAGUGACAAAUCCUAAUCUCGAAAUACGCCAACCCAACAAGUACCUUCGGAGACACCUGUAGAGCACCUUUAUAAUCACCCAGUUACGUUGUGACGUUUGGUAGCACACAAAGUGUUCCUCCGGUAAACGGGAGUUGCAUAAUCUCAUAGUCAUAGGAACAUGUAUAAGUCAUGAAGAAAGCAAUAGCAACAUACUAAACGAUCAAGUGCUAAGCUAACGGAAUGGGUCAAGUCAAUCACAUCAUUCUCCUAAUGAUGUGACCCCGCUUAUCAAAUGACAACUCUUUGUCUAUGGUUAGGAAACACAACCAUCUUUGAUCAACGAGCUAGUCAAGUAGAGGCAUACUAGUGACACUCUGUUUGUCUAUGUAUUCAUACAUGUAGCAUGUUUCUGGUUAAUACAAUUAUAGCAUGAAUAAUAAACAUUUAUCAUGAAAUAAGGAAAUAAAUAAUAACUUUAUUAUUGCCUCUAGGGCAUAUUUCCUUCAGUCUUGUUCAAGCCCUUGCGGAGGUAGAGCCGAUUGGAUGCAUGACACGCGACGUUAAUGGCUUCGUCUCAAAAGUUGUAGGGAGAUUUGAACUCCGCCAUCAUGGUCCUUGCCGCAUCCAUCAACGUCCGCUUCUUCUUCUCUGCUACACCAUUUUGUUGAGGGGUAUAAGGUGCGGAAUAUUGAUGCUUGAUUCCCUCAUCACUCAAGAACUCGUCCAAGAUGUAGUUCUUGAACUCGGAGCCGUUGUCACUUCUUAUAGUCAAGAUCUUUGCAUUGUGUUGACGUUGAGCUUCAUUUGCAAAGUCGAUGACGGUUUGUUGGGUCUCGCUCUUCCUCUUGAAGAAAUAUACCCAAGUGUAUCUUGAAUAGUCAUCCACAGUCACCAAACAAUACUUUCUACCCCCAAGACUAUCAAAGGAUGGAGGCCCAAAGAGAUUCAAGUGAAGGAGCUCCAAAGGCCUCUUCGAGUAGAUGAUAGUCGUGGGAGGGUGAGCCUUCUGAUGUAAUUUUCCUUUGAUACAGGCACUGCAAGCACGAUCUUUAGCAAAACUAACAUUUUUUAGUCCACGAACAUGGUCCCCCUUGAGAAGACUUUGCAAAGAUCUCAUAUUGACAUGGGAUAGACGGCGAUGCCAAAGCCAUCCCACAUCAACUUUAGCCAUUAGGCAUGUUGCGGUCUUAGUGGGUCGCUCCGAAAAGUUAAUCACAUAGAGACCAUUCUCGACAUGCCCAACAAAGGCUACUUUAAGAGUCUUGCUCCACAAGAGGGCCAUGGUAUCAAUAUCAAAGAAUGUGGCAAAACCCAUGAUAGCAAGUUGACGAACGGAAAGUAAAUUAUAUGCAAGGGACUCAACGAGCAUGACCUUCUCGAUCGUGAGAUCAUGAGAAAUGACAACCUUGCCGAGUCCCAAUACCUUAGAAGAUGAGGCAUCACCCCACUCGACAUUGGUGGGCAUAGAUGGAGUCUUGAGUACGUCCACCACCAAGUCCUUGCUUUCGGUCAUAUGAUUCGUAGCUCCACUAUCGAGCAACCAUGAUCCCCCACUGGAAGCAAACACCUACAAGAGAUCAAUGCUUGGUUUUAGGUACCCAUUUUGUAAUAGGUCCUUUGAUGUUAGUGACAAGGGUCUUAGGAACCCAAAUAGACCAUUCAAUGUACUCAUAAGGAGAACCAACAAAUUUGGCAUAAACAUGCCCAUCACUAGCACGGCAUAACACAUAAGAAGGGUUAAAGUCGCCGGCUUUGUUGGGAAGGGUGGCAUUGCCCUUCUUGACACCAUCACCCUUCGCAUUAUUCUUCUUCUCCUUGGAAGCACCCUCUCCCACCUUCAUAAAAGUUUGCUUGAGGGGAGGAGGUCGUUUGGUCGUGUGAUUCUUCUUCUUGUUCUUGGGCUUGGGUGCGAACCCAAUCCCCUCCUUGGCCACAACUUCCUUUUGAUUGCUCAAAAGGUCGUUGAGGUUCUUCUGACCUUGUAUGAAUGACACAAGGCCUUUCUCAAGUUGCUCCUUCGACUUAGCAUUUUCCUCAAUAAGAUGCACAUGCUCACAACACGGGUUAGUGGCAUUUGCAUUAUCAAUUAAAACCAUAUGAGGAAAAGUGGCUUUCUCCUUAGUUAGCUUCGCUUGGACUUGAUCAUGAGACUCCUUGAGGUUAGCAUGAAUAACUUCAAGGCCUUGUGAGCCUUGUCAAGUAUAUCAAACUCCUCCUUGAGUCUAGCAAGAUCAACCCCAAGUUUGGCCUUCUCGGAAUUUAGCACACGAGAAACAACAAGAGCAUGAUCAAGAUCUUUCUUUAACUUAGCAUGAUCAUCAUUGUGUGACUCCUCAAGAGCCAAACGAAGACCACGCUCUUCCUCAAGAGCAUUUGAAAGAUCCGAAAUCUCAUCGGCAUAGUCUCGACUAUGCCCCUCCAUCUUACAGAUGGUAUCUUCGUGAGCCUCUAUCAUGUCAUUGGCUUCACCAAGUUGUUCCAAGAGAGCAACGAAGUGCUUCUUAGAUUUACCCUUGAGUUUACCCAUAAAGGACUCAAACUCAUUCUCCUCUACAUUAGAUCCCUCACGUUCAUCAAUGCAAUCAGUCAAAGAAGGAUGAUCAAUGAAGGUAGUUUUGAUGUUGGGGGUUACCUUGUUGAUGGCUUUAUCCAUGAGGCACUUGGCGGUAAUGCUCUCGUUAGGAGAAUCGAAGAGAGACACCCGUGGAGUCGUCGCAAUGGCAAAGGCGGCCAUGGCAACUGACCCACCAUCUUCAUCAUCAUCAUCAUCCUCAUUGUACUCUUCUUGUACCACCAAAGCCUUGUGAGGAGUCUUCUUGGUGAAGUUGCUCUUGUUGGGGAAAGACUUGGCCUUGUCCUUCCGGAUGAGCUUGCCACCAUUGUCUUCCCUGUUCUCAUAAGGGCACUCCGCAACAAAGUGACUCACAUUGCCACAACUAUAGCAAGUUCUCACACGUUGCUUGACCUUAGCGCCACUUGAGUUGCUCUUGUUGAAGUUGGGUCUUGAGUUCUUCUUGUUCCAAAAUUGCCUAGAAGCAAGAGGCAUGUGUUGAUGAUAGUCAUACUUUGUAUCUUCGGGGUUGCUCUCCUCUUCAUCCUCUUCUUCUUCUUCUUCUUCUUCUUCAACAUAGACCUUGGCCUUCAAUGCAAGGUUGGGCUUCUCUGCCCUUUGGGAACGAAGCACCGCAUUGUCGGCGGUCUUGUACAAGAUGCUCAUAGCCACAAACUCAUCCAACACUUCACUUGAGGACAAAGUGUGGAAGUCCGGCCUUUGUCGAAUGACAGAGGACAUGGCCUUGUGGUAAAGCAUCAUUUCCUUGAGGAAUUUGCGCUUGAUCCAAUUGUCAUCCGUGUCCUUGCUUCCAUGAUCUCGGAGUGAGACCGCGAGUUUGGUUACUCUCCGAUAAAGCUCACGAGGUUCUUCAUCCUCUUUCAUUGCAAACUCGUCGGCUUCAUCUUGCACCACUUCAUAGUUGGAGCGUUGAAUGCUUGCACUUCCCCGGUAGAGGGACACAACUUGGCGCCAUGCAUCUUUGGCCAUGGCGUAGGGCCGGAUGUGGGGAAGAUCUUCGAGUGGACUUGCAUCUUGGAUGAUGAAGAGAGCAUUCUCAUUGAAUUGAUUAUCCGCGGCUUCUCUUGGAGUGAAAUUGCUUCGGUCGUGCGGAUAAAAACCUUCUUCAAUGAUUCUCCAAAGGUUAGUAUUCACAUUAUUUAAAUGACACUUAAAACGAUAGACCCAAGAAUCAAAGUCCUCCCUUUUAUCAAUCUUGGGAGGAGGGCCGACAUGAUUCAAAUGUGUAGAAGGAAUCGGUCCACCAUAAACAGGUGGAGGUUCCACAUGGGCAAAGAUGCCGGUGCCAUUCUUGCCACUAGAAGAAGGAGCCUUUUCACUAGUAGCUUCCCCCUUCUCGGAGUUAGCAUCCGUCACCUUGUUAGUGGGAGCACCCACUUUCAAUUGUGCGGUGGAUAGUUUAAGCCCUUCAAUGAAUUUAUUAAACAUGCUUUCAACCUCGGUUGUCAUGGAGGUUUUCAAUGUGUCCAAGGCCACAUUGAAUUCUUCACGAGAGACCGAGGUCCCCCCAUCGCCCGUAGACGAGACCGGAUUCGCACCGUAGUGCUCCUCCACUCCGUCUACGAUGUCAACCAUACUCUUCGGACGGCAAAGUCCUUAAUAAAGAGACGAGGCUCUGAUACCAAUGGAAAGGAUCGAUAUAGUUGACUAGAGGGGGGUGAAUAGACAACUAACAAUUUUUAGCUUUUCUUUACCAAAUUAAACUUUGCAUCAAAGUAGGUUGUCUAGAUAUGCAACUAGGUGAGCAACCUAUAUGAUGCAACAACAACAAGCACACAAGCAAGACAAAGGGUAAACCACAAAUGAACUUGCACAAGUAAAGGGAUGAGAUAACCAAGAGUGGAGCCGGUGGAGACGAGGAUGUGUUACCGAAGUUCCUUCCUUUUGAGGGGAAGUACGUCUCCAUUAGAGCGGUGUGGAGGCACAAUGCUCCCCAAGAAGCCACUAGGGCCACCGUAUUCUCCUCACGCCCUCACACAAUGCGAGAUGCAGUGAUUCCACUAUUGGUGCCCUUGGAGGCGGCAACCGAACCUUUACAAACAAGGUUGGGGCAAUCUCCACAACUUAAUUGGAGGCUCCCAACGAUGCCACGAAGCUUCACCACAAUGGACUAUGCCUCCGCGGUGACCUCAACCGUCUAGGGUGCUCAAACACCCAAGAGUAACAAGAUCCGCUGGGGAUUAGUGGGGGGAAUCGAAUUUCUCUUGGUGGAAGUGUAGAUCGUGUCCUUCUCAACCACUCCCUAACAAAUCAACAAGUUUGAUUGGCUAGGGAGAGAGAUCGGGCGAAAAUGAAGCUUGGAGCAACAAUGGAGCUUAAAGUUGGAAGAGGUAGUCAACUAGAGGAAGAAGACACCCCUUAUAUAGUCGAGAACAAAACCCAACCGUUAUCCACCUAAACAGCCCGCGACUUGCGGUACUACCGCACCAGGCAAGCGGUACUACCGCAAUGCCUCAUGCAUGGUACUACCGUGACGGCCCACGGUAGUACCGCAGCUACGGCAGAAGCGAGAACAAGCCUGACGCGCAGAGGCGGAGGGCGGUACUGCCGCUGGCGCGAUACUACCGCUCCCCCUUGCGGUACUACCGCAAGGCAGGUCUGGACUGGCCUGGGAAGGACGCGGAUGAAGAAAAAUACAUCCGUGCCAACUUCCGCUGAAAAAUAGUCGAUGCAAAAAUCCGACACGGUACUACCGCAUACGGAGUGCGGUACUACCGCGCAGGGAGCGGAUGUAAAAAAUUACAUCCGCCCCUACUUCCGCUCAUGCAGCUGUGUGAGACCAGGACUCGCGGUACUACCGCACGCAUGGGGCGGUACUACCGUGUAGGGCGCGGAUGUAAAAAAAUACGUCCGCCCCUACAGCCGCACGGGCGGCUGAGUCUGGUCUGAGGCGACGGUAGUACAGCUCCGAAGGAGCGGUACUACCGCGGGCGCCUACGGUACUACCGCAGGGGCCUGCGGUACUACCGCUUAGUGGAGCAGUACUACCGCAUGCCCCAGAACAGAAACACUAGGAAUCCUUCUCUUUGCAUAGAGAUGAGGAAAACGGAGGAUGCUCCAAGGGCAAGGGAAAGGAGGUGCAGAGGAAGAAAACGUCUACGUGAUGAUUCCACCCGAACCUUUCCGACGCGGACCCCCUCUUAAUAGUACGGCUUUCCUAUGACUCAAAUCCACCGAAAAGAAACGUAGAAAAACGUCAUCUUCAAUAGUCUUCGAGGGGCACCAAACCGUCUUAUGCCUAGUGAUGAAACGUCUGAGAAACUCAAGGCACACGAUUAGUCCGCAAAGGCACUGUCAUCAAUCACCAAAACACCUUAGGGAUAAAUAUGCCCUUACAACGUGGAGAACCCGAACAGGGCCAAGGGCAACCUGCUCGUGCACGAAGUGAAUAUCGAGCUCAAUAUGCUUCGUCCAUCGAUGGUGCACCGGGUUGGCGGAGAGGUAGACCGCGCUGACGUUAUCGCAGUAGACAAGAGUGCCCUUGUGAAUAUCACAAAGCAACUCCUGGAGCAGCUGACGUAUCCAAGAGCACUCGGCCACAGCAUUAGCCACGACGCGAUACUCUGCCUCGACGCUGGAGCGGGAGACCGUGGGCUGCCUCUUUGAUGACCAAGAUAUCAAUGAGGGCCCAAGGUAGACGCAGUAGCCUGACGUAGAGCGUCGCGUGUCGGGGCAGCCAGCCCAGUCAGCAUCCGAGUAGGCCACGAGGUCGGUGGAGGCGGAGGCCGUCAGGGUGAGUCCCAAGGACAUGGUGCCGCGUAUGUAACGGAGAAUACGCUUCACCAGAGUCCAGUGAGAGUCACGCGGGGCAUGCAUAUGGAGGCACACCUGCUGAACAGCGUACUGCAGGUCGGGACGAGUCAGCGUCAAGUACUGUAAAGCACCGACGAUAGAGCGAUAAAACGCUCCAUCGGACGUGAGAGACCCCUCCAGAGCAGAGAACUUCGCCUUCGUGUCGACAGGAGUGGGUGCCGGCUUGCAAUUAAGCAUACCGGCAAGCUCAAGGAGCUCGUGGGCGUACUUCUGCUGAUGCAGAAAGAAGCCGUCAGCCCGGCGGAUCACCUCGAUGCCGAGAAAGUAGUGUAGGGGCCCCAAGUCCUUGAGGGCAAACUCAUCACGAAGACGAGCAGUGAGCCGCUGAAGGAGAUCGGGGGCGGACGCCGUGAGGAUGAUGUCGUCGACGUAGAGCAGCAGAUAUGCAGUGUCAGCUCCCUGAUGAUACACAAAGAGUGAGGCAUCAGAGCGAGUGGACCAAAAGCCCAGAUACUGCAGGAAGGCUGCGAUACGCUGGUACCAAGCCCGAGGCGCCUGCUUCAACCCGUAAAGAGAGCGGGAGAGCAAGCACACAAAGUCGGGGUGCUCGGCGUCGACGAAACCAGUAGGCUGCUCACAGAACACCUGCUCGGCGAGAUGACCAUGCAAGAAGGCGUUGGAAACGUCCAACUGAUGCACAGGCCAGGCGCGCGCUGCCGAAAGCCACGAACCACCCAUCGAGCCUUGUAGCGCUCAAGAGAACCGUCCGGGCGAGUCUUCUGGCGAAACACCCACUUGCCAGAGAUGAUGUUGGCACGGAGGGGUCGCGGAACAAGCUACCAUGUGCGGUUGUGCUGUAGGGCAUCGAACUCGUCCUGCAUCGCAGCCAAACAAUGGGGAUCCCGAAGGGCGGCACGAGCGGAGGUGGGGAUGGGUGAUGGCGUCGAUGUCGAGGCAGCGCACGCAUACUCGUCGGAGGAGUAGCGCAUGCUUGGCCGAUGCACGCCUGCACGGGUACAGCUGACCGGGCCAGCGAGGACUGCGGGUGCCGCGGCAGCGGGGGCCACAUCGGCGGCAGGGGCCACGGCCACGGGGNNNNNNNNNNNNNNNNNNNNNNNNNNNNNNNNNNNNNNNNNNNNNNNNNNNNNNNNNNNNNNNNNNNNNNNNNNNNNNNNNNNNNNNNNNNNNNNNNNNNNNNNNNNNNNNNNNNNNNNNNNNNNNNNNNNNNNNNNNNNNNNNNNNNNNNNNNNNNNNNNNNNNNNNNNNNNNNNNNNNNNNNNNNNNNNNNNNNNNNNNNNNNNNNNNNNNNNNNNNNNNNNNNNNNNNNNNNNNNNNNNNNNNNNNNNNNNNNNNNNNNNNNNNNNNNNNNNNNNNNNNNNNNNNNNNNNNNNNNNNNNNNNNNNNNNNNNNNNNNNNNNNNNNGCGGCGUCAGGGGCGGGGCCCGCGGUGUGAGGGGCCGCGACGGUGCCAGCCAAGCCAGCCGCGGAGGAGGCGAUGGGCGAGGUCGAGGUUGAGCCUGUCGCAGGAGUAGCAGCGCCGGCCGGGGUGGCGGGUGGGGUGCCCGCUGGCUCGACCUCGGGCGAGGGAGCCGGGGACCCGCGGGCCCGGUUGGACUCAACCUCAGGUGAGGGAGUCGAGAACCCGGGAGGGGGCGGCAGAAGGCGCCGGGCCGGGGGGCGCCGUGGGGUGCCGCCGCGCAUCGCACCAAGUAGGAGGCGCGGGGGCCGAAGCCGAAGGAGCCGCGGCCGGAGGAACCUGAAAAAAAGGGAACACCGUCUCGACGAAGUACACGUGCCUCGAGGUGUACACACGAUGAGUGACAGGAUCAUAGCACCGGUAACCUUUGGUGUUGGGAGGGUAGCCAAGGAAGAUGCAUGGGACGGAGCGGGGUGCAAGCUUGUGUGGCGUGGUGGACGCGGUGCUAGGAUAACAGAGACACCCAAAUAUGCGAAGACCAUCAUAGGAUGGUGGUGUACCGAAAAGAAGGUGGUGAGGGGCAUAGUUCCACCGGAGACGACACGGACGAAUGUUGACUAAGAGAGAGGCGGUGGCGAGGGCAUCGGGCCAGAACCAAGCGGGCACGUUUGCAUGAAAGAGCAACGUGCGAACGCAGUCAUUAAGAGUGCAGAGAAUGCGCUCGGUGCUGCCGUUCUACUGUGAAGUGUAGGGGCAAGUCAGACGGAAGGUGGUGCCGUGAGAGGCGAGAAGUGAGCGAAAAGCGACGUUGUCAAACUCUUUUCCGUUAUCAGUUUGGAGUGCAAGUAUGGGGCGACCGAACUGAGUGGUGACGUAGGAGUAAAAGGUGGUGAGUGUGGCUAAAGCAUCGGAUUUACGACGAAGAGGAAAAGUCCACACAUAAUGAGAAUAAUCAUCUAAAAUCACCAAAUAGUAUACAUAGCCCGUGUUACUCACAACAGGAGACGUCCAAACAUCACUACGAAUCAACUGAAACGGAAAAGUGGAAACUGAAGUGGACGCACUAAAGGGAAGACGCACGUGCUUGCCCAAACGAUAAGCCUCACAAGUAUGCUCGGCGAGCUUAUUACAUGAGAAAGAAAAAUUCCUAAGAAUCUGACGCAAAACGGCGAGGUUGGGGUGGCCCAAGCGAGCAUGCCAAAGGUCGACGCCGGCGGAGAGAGCAACGGGUGCGGAAGUGGAGGUGCCGGCGUGCACGGGAUAAAGCUCGUCAGGGCUAUCACAUCGGUGAAGCACCAUCUGGGUACGGGCGUCCUUCACAGAAAAAGCAACACCGUCAAAUUCAACAGUAAGAGGAUUCUCACGAGUAAGACGACGAAUAGAGACUAAGCUAGUGACUAAGUUAGGCGAAACAAGAACGUUAGACAUAGUGAUAGGUGUGAAACUAGAAGGAAAACUAGUGCUACCGACAUGGGUGAUGGGUAAAGAGGAACCGUUGCCAACGGUGAUGCGAGUGGGAGUGUGAACGGGAGUGGAGGAGGAAAGGUUACCGGGAUGAGCUGUCAUGUGCGCAGUAGCACCCGAGUCCAUGUACCAGUCGCCUCCACCACCAUAGUUGCUCGGCGACGGCGCCGAGUGUAGGGCGGCCAGGAGGGAAGGGUCCCACGGUGCAGGUGCCGGCGGUGGCAGCUGGCCUCCAUAGGGCGGCGCCUGGGUGGGCGUGCCGUAGCCACCGAGGGGCGGCGGCGCGUGCGGGGCACCGUAGGGCUGGUAGGGGGCGCCGACGAACGCCUGGUGGCCCAUUGGACGGGGGCCAAGGAGACCCGGUGCAGGAGCCCGUGGGACGGGCAUAUGAUAGGCGUGGACGACGCCCGUCCACGGGUUCUGCCCGGCGGCCCACGGCGGAGGCGGCUUCUGGAAGCGGGCGCCCCCCCUGCACCUGGCGCCUGCUGCUGGCGACGGCCCCGCCACCCUGCCGGUUGCGCUGGCCCCCGCCACCUUGCGGCUGCUGGGGAGGCGCGGGGGGCGCGGGCGGCAGCGGGUAGUAGCCGGCGGGCGCGGGUGGCGCGGGCGGACGGGGGGCGGCCGGAGGAGCAGGGCCGCCGCGGGUGGUACCGCGGCGAGGGCGGUGUGCUGGACCCGCUGCUUCAGCUUCGUCAUCCGGCGCUCCUCAAGUUUGCGGUAUGCGACAACGCGCUGGAAAGUGGGUUGCGGCAGCAGGGUGAGGUUGGACGCCGCGUUGCCGAAGUCCUUAUUAAGACCGGCGGUGAGGGUGCUCAACAUGAGGUCGUCAGAGACCUUGGCGCCGAUGUGGCGAAGCUCGUCGGCGAGCAUCUUGAGCCUCAUGCAGUACUCGUCGAUGGUGGAGUUGUCCUGGUGACAGCCGAAGAACUCCUGCUACAAGAAAACAAGGCGCUGAAGUUUGUUGUUGGUGAAGAGCGCGUUGAUCUUGCCCCACACGGUGCAGGCGUCAUCGUCCUCGGCGACGACCGUGUGGAAGAUGUCCUUCGAGACUGUCUGGUAGAACCAACGGAUGAUCGUGGCCUCGAUGGCGGACCACUCCGGGUCGCCGCGCAUGUACGCGCUGUCCACGGAACCGUCGAUGUGCUCAGUGAGAUAGUACUCGCGGAAGACGAGGUUGAAGUAGGUCUUCCACGCGUAGUACGACGUGCUGAAGCUGUCGAGACGGAUAGGGACUCGGGCCUCAAUAUUGAGGUCACGGACGGCGGCGGCGGAGGGCUCGGGGCCAGUGAAGGGGUUCGACGAGUGAGUCGUGGAGGAGCCGGGAGAGGACGGCCACGACAUGCCGGCGGCGUGCGGGUGCGGGUAAGGUUAGGGUUGGGAGAGGAGAUGGCAGCAGCGGCAGGGCGCGGCUGCAGCGGGAACGGUGCGGCGGCUAGCGAUGCGGCGACGCGGGAUGGACAAAGCAGCGUCGCCAGGCGUGCGGGAGCAGCGUCGCGAGGCUAGCGACGGGUCAACGCGUCAACGCGGCUGGCUAGCGGGAUGGAAAAAGCAGCGUCACCAGAGCAGCGUCGCAAGGCGCCCGGCGUGCAGCGGCGAAGGAUCGCGCGGGCUAUGAGACGCGGGCGCGGGCGUGCAGUGGCGCUUGGCGCGGAGCGGCGGGCAGCGGCGUGGGACGCGCGGGCUGCAGCGGCCUGGGACGCGCGGGCGAAAGCGGGUGGUGGGGUGCGGCGGCGGCGGCAACGGUGCAUGGAGGCGAGGCGGCGGCGGCGGCGGCUACCCUAGGGUUAGACCAAAAAGAUGAUACAUGUAGAGAGAUGAUUUGCAAUACAAUGAUGUUAUAUUGAUAGGGUGCUGGUGCACGUAUAUAUAUUAUAAGGGAAGGCCUCUACCUCAACUAUACAAGACUAGGAGGUCGGCCACAACUCCAAUACACGUGCAAUACAAAAUAUAUACUCAACACCUAGUGUGGGUUGUUUUGGUGUAGAGGUCUGUCAGAGCUUUUAUAGAGCUAGAUAGGCAUGGGCAUUUGGAGUCCUAGCUGGACUCGAUUACACAGCACGUGGCUACUAUGCUUGAUCAUGUUGGCUAUAGCAAUCGCGACCUAACCUGGCAUAUUCCUCAUGCUCAGAUCUGGAUCUGAUUAUAUUCCUCAUGUCUAAUUAUACAUAUUCUUGGAUUUCGCGAUAUUCUACAUAUGUGCAUGAUGACAAAAUCUCUGCCCAUUUACUUUGGAUCGUGCAUUUAUUUAUUUUAUCUCGUCAGAAGAUAAUUGUACGACCCACGCUCUCUUGUGCAUGCCAUUCUGCGUGUAUAUGUGAAAUAAUUUUAUUCUUGUUUGAAUACGUGUGAUAUGGUCACGUACUAUCGACCGAUCUGGAUGGCUGUUGAUUGCGACCGACUUCCUCCUAUUUUAUCAGGAUCAUACCGAAUCUAUCCCAUACCAUACUGUUCCUUACAUUUCACUAACACUAGUAGAAAAAGGGCCUAUUAUCCCAGUUGGUACGGGCCUUUUGUCCCGGUUUUUGAACCGGGACUAAAGGGUCGUUACUAAUGCCCUAACCCUUUAGUCCCGAUUCUUACACGAACCGGGAGAGAUGGGCCUCCACGUGGCCUGUGCGGCGAGCCCAGUCAGGAGGGCCUUUGGUCCCGGUUGGUGGCACUAACCGGGACCAAUAGGCAUCCACGCGUCAGCAUUUCAGGUGCUGGAGUUUUUGUUUUUUUUGAAAGGGGAGAGGGUUUGGGGUUUUUGGGGGUUAAUUUAGGUGUUUCAUAUAUUGUGUUAGCUAGCUAAUUAAUAGAGAGAAGUGUCCUCUCUUAUCUCCGUGCUUGGUCGACGCUAUGUACUAUAUACGUAUGGAGAGGACUAGACACGCUAGCUAGUAAUCAAAUGAAGGAAACAAAAGAUCGUGAGGAACAUAUGCAUACAGAGAAGUGAUAUCGACCACCUCUCCUUCUCCGAGAGAUUGGUCGAACAACAAGUUCUCGUAUAUCUAUCCGACACUACCGGCUACAUAUAUACAAUAAUUAUCUCUUACAAUAUAAUCUCCUAAUUAAAUUGUAAGAACGCAGGGUCCACAUAGUAUUCUCCGUUUUCAGCGAUCACGUGGUCAAGGAAGAAUGCCGCCAAUUCCUCUUGAAUUGCUCGCAUACGAUCUGCUGCUAGGAGUUCAUCUCGCAUCCGAAAGAUCUAAUUUGAAGAAGGGGGUCAAUACACACACACACACACACACACACACACACAUAUAUAUAUAUAUAUAUAUAUAAUGAAACUCAACACAAAUGAUGGUAAUAAAAUAAAAUUGUGAAUAUUAUUGCUUACGCACUUCAUAUUGUUCGUCAGAGUAGCCCCGCUCACAGGUCGUGUAGCGGAUGGACUCGCAAAUGUAGUAUCCACAGUAAUUAUUCCCGGGUUCCUGCCACAACCACUUUACAAGAAAUAGAGGUCAAUCAAACUGAUAAGCUAGCAUGCUAAAUGGUAUUGAUGAAACUAGCGCUUGAAUCACUAGGAGAUGCGCGGAACAUGCUACUAUAGUACUUACUUUCGGGUGUUUAAAUUGCAGCUUCUUCGGCAAUCCCUGAGCUUUUUUGGUGAAUUUUCUCCAAACCCUGCGAAACAAAGAAAACAAUUACUUGAUAUCAGGAAAUGAACAAAGUUGUUGAUAUGUUGGAUAAUGAUCGAUUUGACUUACUUCUCGAGCAUUUGAGUCAUGUCCGCAUAGUCCUGGGGAUCUUUUCGUCUCGAGUCUAAGACGGUUACUACUCCCUGCUCAAGCUUAAUCUCUAGGAGAAUAUAGUGGAAGCUACGCACGCAUGCAUAAGUCAUCAAUUACAUUACUAUAAUCUGGACUAAUAAGGGAAACCGAAUAUGCACAAGACAGUAACACUCACUUGAAGUUGUAAGGAAAGAGUAUUAUAUCUUUGUUUUCAUUUAUUACCAACGAUCGUAGCAAGUUGGCCUCGGUAUUUUCGGCAUGAUAUUUAACCUCAGUUGCAUCUAUGAGAUUUGUGUUAAUGAACCCAAUAUCACCGAUUUGUCUUUUCUUCAAUUCAGCGAUCUUCAAUCUGCAUAAUAUAGUGAGGAUAAUUAUAAAUACAUGCAAUGAAAGAGCUGACCUAUAUAGAGAGACUUAAUAACAGAAGUAGUACUACUUAGAGACAGUAGCAAGUGAUCGUUGAUUUAUUGAGGGCCUUUUGAUUGAAAAACUGGAAGAACUCCUCAAAUGGAACAUUCAAUAGUUCAAUUCCAACGGGGUCAUGCUCCGGUUUAACUCUCAGCGUCAAAGUAUUCCUUCCCCCAGACUCUCUGCAGGUUUUCAUGUACCAAUCAUGUAAUCUUCGCAUCAUCGUUGUUAGAGAUCUUUCAUCUUUGACGAGAGGCUUCCCCUAAUGGUAUUUGUGUUCGUCCACCUCCAAGAUAUCAUAAUGUACAUCGUCGGGCAGGUAAUCUCCAAGAUUGCUAUAACCGGGCACCAUCCUCGGAUCAUUAGCGACGAUGUCGCUAGACACCUUGAGCGGGGGCACGAUUGGUUAGCUUGUUCGCCGAGCUGGGCAAUUUUUUUCUCAUCUCGUCGUGCUUUUAACCUGUGAUCACUGACAGUACUUCCCGACCGCUCCGCUUCGGAAAAUGUCUUUGCAAUAAUGCGCUCAUAGUUGCCUUUCGGCGGAGACUUUGGUGGUUUUGUCAGGGCAGCCAGAGUGCGCUUUGCUUUCACCGGAUCUACCUUCUUCUCCGGAGGUGGAUGUUUAUUUGCUUUCACCCCUUCAAAGAAGUUCGUCACUUCGGCUCGCACGAUCUUCGUGGCUUCCUCCUCGGUCCUCUCGUAUGGUAACUUCUCUGGAGUCUUCAUAGAAGGACCGAAUCUGUAUUGCCUCCUGCCUUUGGCUGUACUACUAGACGUCGGCAGAGCAGAUGGAGCGGCUGCGGCUGUCUUCUUUCCUUGCUUACGAGGCGGAGGAGAAGGACUACGAUGCGCCGGAGCGGUGGCGGGUCUCUUCUGCCCUUGCUGAUGAGGCGGAGAAGGAGGAGGCUGGCUGCUCUGGCGCGCCGGCGCAGGCGGAGAAGGAGGCGGAGUGCCGCCACGCGCCGGAGAAGGAGGCUGAAUGCCCUGAUCACUUGCCGGAGGAGGAGGCGGAGGAGGAGGCGGAGUGCCGUCACGCGCCGGAGAAGGAGGCUGAGUGCCCUGAUCACUCGCCGGAGGAGGAGGCGGAGGAGGAGGCGGAGUGCCCUUACUCGCCGGAGGCAUCCAAUUCGGAAGGUUAAUGAGCUCCUUCCUCCAUAGCCAUGGAGUCUUCAGAGCAGAACCCAGCCGAGUCUCCCCUUCACCGGUAGAGUGGUCAAGCUGGAGGUCCUCAAAUCCCUCCGUUAUUUCAUCCACCAUCACCUAGCAUAUCCUUCUGGAAUCGGCCGGCAGUGGUAGGUUGCGCCGGGGUCAGGAGGUAAAAUAGAGCCAACAACCGCCUUGACUUUGAAGUUCUGCCAUUGCGUCAUAAGGUGGCAAUGUUGAGACUCCGUGAUAGCAUCCACGGGUUAGCUAGCGGGAGCCGUCAAGACAUGCUCCGGCUGAAGCAGCUCGGUGGAAGCCACGCUGCUUCUCCGCUGAGAUGGCGGGGUAGUUUCGGCAUGUCGAUUGUCGUCUCGUUCCUCUAGCGCUUGAACCCUUUCGUGCAGCUUAUGAAUUUGGGUCUGCUCCACUUUUUUCCUCCUCUCCUGGCUUUUGUAACCGCCUGCGUCCGGAGAACCAGCCUUCCACGGAACGGAGCCUGGCGUGCCUCGUGUUCGUCCAGGGUGCUCAGGAUUCCCGAGGGCCAUUCACUACUAGGAAAAGGCCUGCUAGUGGCGCACCUGUUUUGGCUACUAAUGGCGCACUACAGGUGCGCCACUAGCAUCACGCCAUUAGAAAUUUUUACUAAUGGCACACCACAGGUGCACCAUUAGUAUCUGGUAUACUAAUGGCGCUCCAGGGAGUGCGCCAUUAGUAUAUCCCACCGUGCGCCAUUACUCUCUGACUUUGCAAUGGCGCACCACAUAGAAGUGCGCCAUUACUAACAAUUUUUUUUUCAAAAAAAUUUCAGAAUUUUUUUUCAAAUUUAUUUAAAAAAAUUCAUCAAUUUUUUUUCUUAAUCUCGCAUCACUAUGGCUUAAUCUCAAGUCAAAUCGCACUCCUUGGUCAAACUUCCCAGAAGGUCACCCAUCCUCACACUACUCACCCCCAAGCACGCUUAACUUCACAGUUCUAUCCAACCCCAGAACCAGCUCACUUCACAGGCACUGUUGAUAUAUCUAUCAUAUCAAUCCUAUUAAACCUUGUUGAUGUCUAGGACUUUGUUCAUGUUCAUGAGUGUGAUGAAAUUUUGAAAAAAUAUUUCAAACUUCCCGGUCAUAUUACGUAUCAUAUUUUGAAAAAAAUUCCAAAAAAAAAGUUUUUUUGAAACCAAUUUUUUUUGUUACUAGUGGCGCACCUAGCAAAUGGUCCGCCACUAGUAAGUUUGAAUUUUUUUCAUUUUCCCCCCCUCUAGAUCUUAAAAGCCCCGUAUCUUUCGUUCUGUUAGGUUCCCGGUUCAAAUCGUAUGUAACUUUUCGAGUAGAUGAUUUUUCAUAUAAAAAACUUUUUAAUCCGAGUUCGUAUGCAAAAGUUAUGCCCAUUUUACAAAUUCCAGACAGAUUUUGCAAAUAAAGUCGAAAUUCAUAUUUGUAAAUUUUCCCAACAACUAGACCACAUAUCACAUGGGAAACUUAUUUUAUUUUAUUGACAUUUCCAUCAUUUUCUUUUAUUUUUUCUAAAACUGAAAAGGCGGUCCACAGGGGGUGCAUUCGGUGGAAUUUUUGGGCAAAGUUAGUAAUGGCGCACCGUGGGUGUGGUGCGCCAUUAUUAGUUUAACUAGUAAUGGCGCACAAAAAUAAAAAAAAUUGUUAGUAGUGACGCACCGAGGGUGUGGUGCGCCAUUACUAGUUAAAACUAGUAAUGCCGCACUGUCCCCUCGGUGCGCCAUUACUAGUUUUGAAAAAAAUUGUUAGUAGUGGCGCACCGAGGGUGUGGUGCGCCAUUACUAGUUAAACUAGUAAUGGCGCACUAUCCCCUGGUGCGCCAUUACUAGUUUUGAAAAAAAUUAGUAGUGGCGCACCGUGGAUGUGGUGCGCCAUUAGUAUUUGGACACUAAUGGCGUACCAACACAUGGUGUGCCAUUAGUAUAUAGUAGUGGCGCAGCACAUGUGUGGUGCGCCAUUAGUGUCCAUAUUAUCUAUAGCCCUUUUCCUAGUAGUGAUUGUGAGCUCGUCGUUCUCUCUGUCUGGAACGAACGUCCCUUGCUGCGCUGCAUCGAUAUAGUGCUGAAGCCUCUUGACUGGUAUUCUCAAAAGCUCGUCCGUCCAAACGCACCUCCCUGAUACAGGGUCCAAUUUUCCGCCAGCCCCGAAGAACCAAGUCCGGCAACGGUCUGGCCAGUUCAUUGUCUCUGGUUCGAUCCCUUUAUCAAGCAGAUCAUUCUCAGCCUUGGCCCACUUAGGUCGGGCUUUGAGGUAGCCACCUGACCACGUGCGAUGGUGAAGCUUCUUCUUCGCAGCAUUCUUCUUGUUUGUCGCUGACAUCUUCUUAAUCUUUUCCGAUGUCUUGUGGGCCACAAAUGCGGGCUAGUGAUCUCUGAUCUUCUCAUACCGGCCGAUGAAUUCUAGUGUCUCUUCUUUGCCGAUAAACAUUUUCAGCUCAUUCUUCCACCUCCUGAAUAGGUCUGCCAUCUUCUUAAGAGCAUGAGACUUGAUUAAUUGCUCUUGAACUGGCUUCUCCGGAUCCUCCUCUGGCGGUAGGGUGAAAUUUUCCUUCAGCUCAGUACAAAGAUCAUCUUUCUGCAUAUCAUUGACAUAAGGCACCUCAGGGUCUUCCUUCUUAGGCUUAUACCAUUGGUGGAUGCUGAUCGGGAUCUUGUCCCUAACAAGAACCCCGCACUGAGCAGCAAAUGCUUCCUUUGUCUGGAUGGGUUCAAUCGGUUGGCCGUCGCGCGCGAUUGCUGUGAUCUCAAACCUUUCAUCGGAGCGCAACUUUCUCUUCGGGCCUCGUCUCUUUACCGAAGUUGUGCUCGAUCCGGAGGGCUAGAAAAAAGGAGAAAGACGAGAGUUAAUUAAUAUGUGUACAUACCAAAACAAUGAGUGCAUCAAUUAGCUAGUCAGCACAGGCUUAACUAAUAUAUUUACCUGGCCGGACUCUGUUCGGUCACCGGAGCCGUCACCACGGGCUCCUUCUUGCAACAGUAUUGGGUCACCAGAGCCAUCAUAAUCAUGUCUUUCCUCCUCCACUCUUCGAUCACCGAAGCCUGCUUCUUCACCCUGUUCUUCCAGACCAUCAUUGUCGUUAAGAUACGACAAGAUAUCACCUCCGGCUAAGAUUAUGUCCCCCAACACCUCUUCAACUUCCUCGUCUCGUCCGUGCUCCAUUGUUUCUGCAAAUAUUCCAACAUGGCAAUUAUUACAGAAACAUGACAGCAGGUGGAUAUAUUAGUGCAAACGUAGACCUAGCUUAUUCCGGGUUUGGGGUGGCCUCGGCAACGCUUCAAGAGUAGGGGCGCGGCGGGAGGGGGUAGGAGACCGACAUCGUUUUUUCCUAGGGUUUGGGUGUCCUCGAGAGUUUUGGUCGAGCGAGAGGGCCGGGGGGUGCUCCCGUGGUAUAAGUUAUGACGGUCGAGAGGGGGUAUAUAUAUCGACCGCCCAUCAUGUCGAAGUUAUUUUGGAAUGGAGUUCCCGAUAAAAAUUAAGAAGAGGAAGUAGAAGAUAAAAAAAGUGGAGAAGAAGAAAAAAAAGGAGAAGAAGAAGGAAUAGAGGAGAAGAAGAAAAAAUAGACUCUAUUUUUUCUUCUUUUCCUCUAUUCCUUCUUCUUCUCCUCUUAUUCCUUCUUCCUUUCUUCCUAGCUAGAUAUAUAAAUUUUUUCUAAAAAAUGUUAUCGGGGAGGGGGUAUCGACCUCCCCUCAUGUUGAAAUUAUCGGGGAGGGGGUAUAUUGACCCCCACCCCCUCAUCAUGCAUAUAUAGCUACCACAUACAUAUAUACAUUGAAAAAAAUUACAUAUAUACAACAAAAACAUUAAUACACACAUGAACAAAAAAUACAUAUAUGAACAAAAACAUGUUGUGAACAAAAAAAUUAAUGUAAUAAAUCUAAUAAGAAAUUAAUAUAAUAAAAAACAUGCUCUGAACUUACAUAUAGCCACAUACAUACAAAUAUACAUUAUAUAUAUAUGAACAAAAAAUUAGUCUAAUACAAAAUAAAAACAGAGCCGGACCGGCGCGGCGGCUCACAGCGGGGGCGUCUGGCGAUNNNNNNNNNNNNNNNNNNNNNNNNNNNNNNNNNNNNNNNNNNNNNNNNNNNNNNNNNNNNNNNNNNNNNNNNNNNNNNNNNNNNNNNNNNNNNNNNNNNNNNNNNNNNNNNNNNNNNNNNNNNNNNNNNNNNNNNNNNNNNNNNNNNNNNNNNNNNNNNNNNNNNNNNNNNNNNNNNNNNNNNNNNNNNNNNNNNNNNNNNNNNNNNNNNNNNNNNNNNNNNNNNNNNNNNNNNNNNNNNNNNNNNNNNNNNNNNNNNNNNNNNNNNNNNNNNNNNNNNNNNNNNNNNNNNNNNNNNNNNNNNNNNNNNNNNNNNNNNNNNNNNNNNNNNNNNNNNNNNNNNNNNNNNNNNNNNNNNNNNNNNNNNNNNNNNNNNNNNNNNNNNNNNNNNNNNNNNNNNNNNNNNNNNNNNNACCAAAGGCCUCUUUUCAACAGCCCAAAGGGCGGGAAGCGGCGGCCUUUGGUCCCGGUUGGUGGCACCAACCGGGACUAAAGGUGGGGCAUUGGUCCUGGUUGGUGCCACCAACCGGGACGGAAAGCCUUGCAUAGCGGCGUGGUGGUGGGAGUUUAGUCCCACCUCGCUAGCUGAGAGAGAGCCGCACCUGUUUAUAAGGUGCGGUGCGCCUGAGCUGUCGAGCUCCUCUCUAAAGCAGGCUUACGGGCCUAACCUCUCUGUACAUGCCUGUGGGCCUACUGGGCCUUCUGCGGGCCUGAAUCCUGGCCCAUAGAUGGGUUUCUAGUCGUAUUCAGGCCGUGGUGGCCCAGUAGGUGGCAUAAUUUUUAUUUUUUGCCUGUUUUUUUGUUUUCUUUUUUGCUUUAUUUAUUUUGUUUUGUUUCUACUUACAACAAAAAACUUAUUUAUUUUAUUUUGUUUUAUUUCUAAUUACUUAUUUAUUUUACUUUAUGAUAAUUCUUUUUGCUAUUAAAGUUUCUAACAAAAAAAGUUCUUUAUGAAAAUUACUUUUGCUUUCAAUGAUUUUGAACAGAAAAUACUUCGAUAAUUUAGUUGCAUCAAUUUUAUAUAAUUUUAGUUUCAAUAAUACUAGAGGUUGCUUAUAAUGUUUUGAACAGAAAAUACUUUGAUAAUUUUAGUUUCAGAAAUNNNNNNNNNNUAAAUUUUAUUUAUGUUAUUAAAGUUUAUUUUAUUUUGUUUCUACUUAUAUAUUUUAUUAAAGUUUAUAUUAUUUUGUUUCUAAUUACUUAUUUAUUUUAUUUGUUAUUUUUCAUGCACCAUUUUUCAUGCAUUUACUGAUUAUUUUGAGCUAUAAGACCCUAAAAUUGAAAAGCAUUUCAAAUGAACUCUGAAAAGGUUGAAAGUUGGCAUGGUAUCAUCAUUUCAUCCACAUAGCAUGUGCAAGAAAGUUGAGAGGAUUACGGCAAAAACUGGAUGCACUUCGUGUACAAAACGGACAAUCUCUUUCGAAGUAUCAGGAUUUCAUACGGAAACUCGUCUGUUACAAAGGGAUUUCAUUUUUUUAACUUAUUUGAACUCCUGACUUUUUGUGUGUUCAAAAUGCACCAUUCAAAGCCACAUCAUCAAUUUUCAACCCUUUCUGACUUCAUUUGUUAUUUUUCAUGCAUAUAUUAAUUAUUUUGAGCUAUAAGACCUUGAAAUUGAAAAGCAUUUCAAAUGAACUCUGAAAAGGUUGAAAGUUGGCAUGGUAUCAUCAUUUCAUCCACAUAGCAUGUGCAAGAAAGUUGAGAGGGUUACCGCAAAAACUGGAUGCACUUCGUGUACAAAGACAAUGGUAUCAUACUCGUCUGUUACAAAGUUGGCAUGGUAUCAUCAUAAUAGUUGCGGGAGAAAGUAUUCACUUUUUCUUCGCUUGUGUCAUUUGCUUAUUGCGCCGUAACCAUGGAUAAUCUUCAUCGUUUAUCAGGAUGCUUGGGUCAGCCUUGACUUUGAACAGAGGAAUUUCAUAAAACUUUUCAUAAUCUUCAGACAUGUCUGUCUUGCCCUCCACUCCCACAAUAUCUCUUUUUCCUGAAAGAACUAUGUGGCGCUUUGGCUCAUCGUAUGAUGUAUUCGCUUCCUUAUCUUUUCUUUUUCUCGGUCUGGUAGACAUGUCCUUCACAUAGAUAACCUGUGCCACGUCAUUGGCUAGGACGAACUGUUCGUCAGUGUACCCAAGAUUGUUCAGAUCCACUGUUGUCAUUCCGUACUAUGGGUCUACCUGUACCCCGCCUCCUGACAGAUUGACCCAUUUGCACUUAAACAAAGGGACCUUAAAAUCAUGUCUGUAGUCAAGUUCCCAUAUGUCCAUUAUGUAACCAUAAUAUGUGUCCUUUCCCCUCUCGGUUGCUGCAUCAAAGCGGACACCGUUGUUUUGGUUGGUGCUCUUUUGAUCUUGGGCGAUCGUGUAAAAUGCAUUCCCAUUUAUCUCGUAUCCUUUGUAAGUCAAUACAGUCGAAGAUGGUCCCCUGGACAACGAGUACAACUCAUCACAAACAGUGGUGUCACCUCUGAGAUGUGUUUCCAACCAACUGCUGAAAGUCCUGAUGUGUUCACAUGUAAUCCAGUCGUCACACUGCUCCGGGUGUUUGGAGCGCAGACUGUUCUUGUGUUCAUCGACAUACGGGGUCACCAAGGUAGAGUUCUGUAGAAUUGUGCAGUGUGCAUGAGACCAAGAAUGCCCGUCCCUGCAUAUUAUUGAGUCGGCUCCUAGCGUGCCUUUUCCAGUCAGUCUCCCCUCAUACCGCGAUUUAAGGAGACCUAUCUUCAUAAGGCCAGGAAUAAAGUCAACACAAAACCCAAUGACCUCCUCUAUUUGAUGGCCCAUGGAGAUGCUUCCUUCUGGCCUAGCGCGGUUACGAACAUAUUUCUUUAGGACUCCCAUGAACCUCUCAAAGGGGAACAUAUUGUGUAGAAAUACGGGCCCCAGAAUGACAAUCUCGUCGACUAGAUGAACUAGGACGUGCGUCAUGAUAUUGAAGAAGGAUGGUGGGAACACCAGCUCGAAACUGACAAGACAUUGCACCACAUCACUCCUUAGCCUUGGUAUGAUUUCUGGAUCGAUCACCUUCUGAGAGAUUGCAUUGAGGAAUGCACAUAGCUUCACAAUGGCUAAUCGGACGUUUUCCGGUAGAAGCCCCUCAAUGCAACCGGAAGCAGUUGCGUCAUAGUCACGUGGCAGUCAUGAGACUUUAGGUUCUGGAACUUUUUCUUUGGCAUAUUUAUUAUUCCCUUUAUAUUCGACGAGAAGCCAGUCGGGACCUUCAUACUGAGCAGGCAUUCAAAGAAGAUUUCUUUCUCUUCUUUCAUAAGAGCGUAGCUGGCAGGACCUUCAUACUGCUUCGGAGGCAUGCCGUCUUUUUCGUGCAAACGUUGCAGGUCCUCCCGUGCCUCAGGUGUAUCUUUUGUCUUCCCAUACACGCCCAAGAAGCCUAGCAGGUUCACGCAAAGGUUCUUCGUCACGUGCAUCACGUCGAUUGAAGAGCGGACCUCUAGCUCUUUCCAGUAGGGUAGGUCCCAAAAUAUAGAUUUCUUCUUCCACAUGGGUGCGUGUCCCUCGGCGUCAUUCGGAACAGCUAGUCCGCCGGGACCCUUUCCAAAGAUUACGUGUAAAUCAUUGACCAUAGCAAGUACGUGAUCACCGGUAUGCAUGGCGGGCUUCUUCCGAUGAUCUGCCUCGCCUUUGAAAUGCUUGCCUUUCUUUCGACAUUGAUGGUUGGUCGGAAGAAAUCGACGAUGGCCCAGGUACACAUUCUUCCUGCAUUUGUCCAGGUAUAUACUUUCAGUGUCAUCUAAACAGUGUGUGCAUGCGUGGUAUCCCUUGUUUUUCUGUCCUGAAAGGUUACUGAGAGCGGGCCAAUCGUUGAUGGUUACAAACAGCAACGCGUGCAGGUUCAAUUCCUCCUGUUUGUGCUCAUCCCACGUACGUACACCGUUUCCAUUCCAUAGCUGUAAAAGUUCUUCAACUAAUGGCCUUAGGUACACAUCAAUGUCGUUGUCGGGUUGCUUAGGGCCUUGGAUGAGAACAGGCACCAUAAUGAACUUCCGCUUCAUGCACAUCCAAGGAGGAAGGUUAUACAUACAUAGAGUCACGGGCCAGGUGCUGUGAUUGCUGCUCUGCUCCCCGAAAGGAUUAAUGCCAUCCGCGCUUAAACCAAACCAUACGUUCCUUGGGUCAGCUGCAAACUCAGCCCAAUACUUUCUCUCGAUUUUUCUCCACUGCGACCCGUCAGCGGGUGCUCUCAACUUCCCGUCUUUCUAACGGUCCUCACUGUGCCAUCGCAUCAACUUGGCAUGCUCUUCGUUUCUGAACAGACGUUUGAACCAUGGUAUUAUAGGAGCAUACCACAUCACCUUCGCAGGAACCCUCUUCCUGGGGUGCUCGCCGUCAACAUCACCAGGGUUAUCUCGUCUGAUCUUAUACCGCAAUGCACCGCAUACCGGGCAUGCGUUCAGAUCCUUGUACGCACCGCAGUAGAGGAUGCAGUCAUUAGGGCAUGGAUGUAUCUUCUGCACCUCCAAUCCUAGAGGGCAUACGACCUUCUUUGCUGUGUAUGUACUGUCGGGCAAUUCGUUAUCCUUUGGAAGCUUCUUCUUCAAUAUUUUCAAUAGCUUCUCAAAUCCUUUGUCAGGCACAGCAUUCUCUGCCUUCCACUGCAGCAAUUCCAGUACGGUACCGAGCUUUGUGUUGCCAUCUUCGCAAUUGGGGUACAACCCAUUUUUGUGAUCCUCUAACAUGUGAUCGAACUUCAGCUUCUCCUUUUGACUUUCGUAUUGCGUCAUUGCAUCGACAAUGACCCGGCGGAGAUCAUCAUCAUCGGGCACUGGUUCCUCUUCAUCUUCCGCAGCUUCCCCCGUUGCAGCAUCAUUGGGCACAUCGUCUGGUUCCUCUUGAUCUUCAGCAGCUUCCCCCGUUGCAGCAUCACCGUAUUCAGGGGGCACAUAGUUGUCAUCGUCCUCUUCUUCUUCGCCGUCUUCCAUCAUAACCCCUAUUUCUCCGUGCCUCGUCCAAACAUUAUAGUGUGGCAUGAAACCCUUGUAAAGAAGGUGGGUGUGAAGGAUUUUCCGGUCAGAGUAAGACUUCGUAUUCCCACAUUUAGGGCAUGGACAACACAUAAAACCAUUCUGCUUGUUUGCCUCAGCCACUUCGAGAAAAUCAUGCACGCCCUUAAUGUACUCGGAGGUGUGUCUGUCACCGUACAUCCAUUGCCGGUUCAUCUGCGUGCAUUAUAUAUAAUUAAGUGUGUCAAAAACCAUUACAGAACAUCAUGAAUAGAUAAUUAAGUGACCAAAUUAAUAGAAGUUCAUCAUCACAUUAAAACCAAAGUACAUACAUAGUUCUCAUCUAACAACAUAUAGCUCUCCAGAGCAUCUAAUUAAUUAAACCAUACAUUGAAACUAUGUAAAACAUUUCAAUGCAAAAACAAAUGCGAUCAUAAUCGCACCCAAGGUAACAAUUGAUACAACGGCAUAAUGAUACCAAGCCUCGGUAUGAAUGGCAUAUUUUCUAAUCUUUCUAAUCUUCAAGCGCAUUGCAUCCAUCUUGAUCUUGUGAUCAUCGACGACAUCCGCAACAUGCAACUCCAAUAUCAUCUUCUCCUCCUCAAUUUUUUUUAUUUUUUCCUUCAAGAAAUUGUUUUCUUCUUCAACUAAAUUUAACCUCUCGACAAUAGGGUCGGUUGGAAUUUCCGGUUCACCUACCUCCUAGAUAAAUAAAAUCUAUGUCACGUUGGUCGGCAUAAUUUUAAUAAACAAUAAAUGAACCAAUAAUUAUAAAGAUAAUAUAUACCACAUCUGAAUCAUAGACAGGACGAGGGCCGACGGAGGCGGAUACCAAACCAUCGCACUAUAUAAUAACAAGCAAUAAAAUAGUAAGAAAAUUAGACAAGUAAUUUCCCUACGUGUUACUAAGAUCAAUCUAGGAGAUGCUAGCAACGAGAGGGGAAGAGUGCAUCUACAUACCCUUGUAGAUCGCGAGCGGAAGCGUUCAAGAGAACAGGGUUGAUGGAGUCGUACUCGUCGUGAUCCAAAUCACCGAUGAUCCUAGCGCCGAACGGACGGCACCUCCGCGUUCAACACACGUACGGAGCGGGGACGUCUCCUCCUUCUUGAUCCAGCAAGGGGGGAGGAGAAGUUGAUGGAGAUCCAGCAGCACGACGGCGUGGUGGUGGAAGUAGCGGGAUCCCGGCAGGGCUUCGGCAAGCGCAAGCAGGGAGGAAGAGGUGUCACGGGAGGGAGGGAGGCGCCAGGGCUUGGGGUGCUGCUCCCAUGCGCCUCCCCACUAUAUAUAGGGGUGGAGGGGGCUGGUUUCUUGCCCUUCAAGUCCAUUGGGGCGUUGGCAAAGAUGGGGGAAAGAAAUCCCAUCAUUUCCCUUCCCCACCGAUUGUUAUCCCCCUUUUUUAGGGAUCUUGAUCUUAUCCCUUCGGGAUAUGAUCUUAUUCCUUCUAAGGUGGGAUCUUGGUGCGCCUUGACCAGGGGUGUGGGGCCUUGCCCCCACUACCCACGUUCAUGUGGGUCCCCCCAUGCAGGCGGGCCCCACUUCGGAACCUUCUAGAACCUUCCCGGUACAAUACCGAAAAAUCCCGAACAUUUUCCGGUGGCCAAAAUAGGACUUCCCAUAUAUAAAUCUUUACCUCCGGACCAUUCCGGAACUCCUCGUGACGUCCGGGAUCUCAUCCGGGACUCCGAACAACUUUCGGUUAACCGCAUACUAAUAUCUCUAACACCCUAGCGUCACCGAACCUUAAGUGUGUAGACCCUACGGGUUCGGGAGACAUGCAGACAUGACCGAGACGCCUCUGCGGUCAAUAACCAACAGCGGGAUCUGGAUACCCAUGUUGGCUCCCACAUGUUCCACGAUGAUCUCAUCGGAUGAACCACGAUGUCGAGGAUUCAAUCAAUCCCGUAUACAAUUCCCUUUGUCAAUCGGUACGUUACUUGCCCGAGAUUCGAUCGUCGGUAUCCCAAUACUUUGUUCAAUCUCGUUACCGGCAAGUCACUUUACUCGUACCGUAACACAUGAUCCCGUGGCUAACUCCUUAGUCACAUUGAGCUCAUUAUGAUGAUGCAUUACCGAGUGGGCCCAGAGAUACCUCUCCGUCAUACAGAGUGACAAAUCCAUGUCUCGAUUCGUGCCAACCCAACAGACACUUUUGGAGAUACCUGUAGUGCACCUUUAUAGCCACCCAGUUACGUUGUGACGUUUGGUACACCCAAAGUAUUCCUACGGUAUCCGGGAGUUGCACAAUCUCAUGGUCUAAGGAAAUGAUACUUGACAUUAGAAAAGCUCUAGCAAACGAACUACACGAUCUUGUGCUAUGCUUAGGAUUGGGUCUUGUCCAUCACAUCAUUCUCCUAAUGAUGUGAUCCCGUUAUCAAUGACAUCCAAUGUCCAUGGUCAGGAAACCAUAACCAUCUAUUGAUCAACGAGCUAGUCAACUAGAGGCUUACUAGGGACAUGUUGUGGUCUAUGUAUUCACACAUGUAUUACGGUUUCUAGUUAAUACAAUUAUAGCAUGAACAACAGACAAUUAUCAUAAACAAGGAAAUACAAUAAUAACCAUUUUAUUAUUGCCUCUAGCGCAUAUUUCCAACAGUCUCCCACUUGCACUAGAGUCAAUAAUCUAGUUCACAUCACCAUGUGAUUAACACUCAAAGUUCACUAGAGUCAAUAAUCUAGUCCACAUCACCAUGUGAUUAACACUCAAUGAGUUCUAGGGUUUGAUCAUGUUAUGCUUACGAGAGAGGUUUUAGUCAAUGGGUCUGCAACAUUCAGAUCCGUGUGUGCUUUACAAAUCUCUAUGUCAUCUUGUAGAUGUAGCUACCACGCGCUACUUGGAGCUAUUCCAAAUAACUGCUCUACUAUACGAAUCCGGUUUACUACUCAGAGUCAUCCGGAUUAGUGUCAAAGUUUGCAUCGACGUAGCCCUUUACGACGAACUGUUUUACCACCUCCAUAAUCGAGAAAUUUCCUUAGUCCACUAGAUACUAAGGAUAAGUUCGACCGCUGUCAUGUGAUCCAUUCCCGGAUCACUAUUGUACCCCUUGACUAACUCAUGGCAAGGCACACUUCAGGUGCGGUACACAACAUAGCAUACUGUAGAGCCUACGUCUAAAGCAUAGGGGACGAACUUCGUCCUUUCUCUCUUCUGUCGUGGUCAGGUCUUGAGUCUUACUCAAUACUCACACCUUGUAACACAGCCAAGAACUCCUUCUUUGCUGAUCUAUUUUGAACUCCUUCAAAAUCUUGUCACGGUAUGUAUUCAUUUGAAAGUACUAUUAAGCAUUUUUGAUCUAUCCUUAUAGAUCUUGAUGCUCAAUGUUCAAGUAGCUUAAUCCAGGUUUUCCAUUAAAACACUUUUCAAAUAACCCUGGAUGCUUUCCAGAAAUUCUACAUCAUUUCUGAUCAACAAUAUGUUAACAACAUAUACUCAUUAAAAAUUCUAUAGUGCACCCACUCACUUCUUUGGAAAUACAAGUUUCUCAUGAACCUUGUAUAAACCCAAAAUCUUUGAUCAUCUCAUCAAAGCGUUCAUUCCAACUCCGAGAUGCUUACUCCAAUCCUUAGAAGGAUUGCUGGAGCUUUGCAUACUUGUUAGCAUCUUUCAGGAUUGACAAAACCUUCUGGUUGUAUCAAAUACAACCUUUCCUAAAGAAAACCGUCGAGGAAACAAUGUUAUGACAUCCUAUCUGCAAGAUUUCAUAAAUAAUGCAGUAACUGCUAAUAUAAUUCUAACAGACUCUUAGCAUCGCUACGAGUGAGAAAGUCUCAUCGCAGUCAACUCCUUGAACUUGUCGGAAAACAUCUUAACGACAAGUCGAGCUUUCUUAAUGGUGACACUUACCAUCAUUGUCUGUCUUCCCUUUAAAAUCCAUCUGUACCCAAUAGCCUUACGACCAUCAAGUAGUUCUUUCAAAGUCUAUACUUUUUGUUCAUACAUGGAUCCUCUCGGAUUUUAUGGCCUCAAGCCAUUCGUCGGAAUCCGGGCCCACCAUCACUUCACCAUAGCUCGUAGGUUCAUUGUUGUCUAGCAACAUGACUUCCAAGACAGGAUUACGUACCACUCUGAAGUAGUACGCAUCCUUGUCGUCCUAUGAGGUUUGGUAGUGACUUGAUCUGAAGUUUCAUGAUCACUAUCAUAAGCUUCCACUUCAAUUGGUGUAGGUGCCACAGGAACAACUUCCUGUGCCCUGCUACACAUUAGUUGAAGUGACGGUUCAAUGACCUCAUCAAGUCUCCACCAUCCUCCCACUCAAUUCUUUCGAGAGAAACUUUUCCUCGAGAAAGGACCCGUUUCUAGAAACAAUCACUUUUGCUUCCAAAUCUGAAAUAGGAGGUAUACCCAACUGUUUUGGGUAUUCUAUGAAGAUGCAUUUAUCCGCUUUGGGUUCGAGCUUAUCAGCCUGAAACUUUUUCACAUAAGCGUUGCAGCCCCAAACUUUGAAGAGACGACAGCUUAGGUUUCUCUAAACCAUAGUUCAUACGGUGUCGUCUCAACGGAAUUGCGUGGUGCCCUAUUUAAAGUGAAUGCAGUUGUCUCUAAUGCCUAACCCAUAAACGAUAGUUGUAAUUCGAUAAGAGACAUCAUGGUAUGCACCAUAUCCAAUAGCGUGCAGUUAUGAUGUUCGGACACACCAUCACAAUAUGGUGUUCCAGGCGGUAUUAGUCGUGAAACAAUUUCCACAAUUUCUUAAUUGUGUGCCAAACUCGUAACUCAGAUAUUCAUCUCUAUGAUCGUAUCACAGACAUUGUAUCCUCUUGUCACGAUGAUCUUCAACUUCACUCUGAAAUUACUUGAACCUUUCAAUAAUUCAGACUUGUAUUUCAUCAAGUAAAUAUUCUCAGCAUCUACUCAAAUCAUCUGUGAAGUAAGAACACAACGAUAUCCACUGCGUGCCUCAGCACUCAUUGGACUGCACACAUCAAAUGUAUUACUUCCAACAAGUUGCUCUCUUGUUCCAUCUUACUGAAAACGAGGCCUUUCAGUCAUCUUGCCCAUGUGGUAUGAUUUGCAUGUCUCAAGUGAUUCAAAAUCAAGUGAGUCCAAAUGAUCCAUGUGUAUGGACUUUCUUCAUGCAUAUAUACUAAUAGACAUGGUUCGCAUGUCUCAAUCUUUUCAAAAACGAGUGAGUCCAAAGAUCCAUCAACAUGGAGCUUCUUCAUGCGUUUUAUACCAAUAUGACUCAAGUGGCAGUGCCACAAGUAUGUGGUACUAUCAUUACUAUCUUAUAUCUUUUGGCAUGAACAUGUGUAUCACUACGAUCGAGAUUCAAUAAAGCAUUCAUUUUAGGUGCAAGACCAUUGAAGGUAUUACUUAAAUAGACAGAGUAACCAUUAUUCUCCUUUAAUGAAUAACCGUAUUGCGAUAAACAUAAUCCAAUCAUGUCUAUGCUCAACGCAAACACCAAAUAAUAAUUAUUCAGGUUUAACCCCAAUCUCGAUGGUAGAGGGAGCAUGCGAUGCUUGAUCACAUCAACCUUGGAAACACUUCCAACACAUAUCGUCAUCUCACCUUUAGCUAGUCUCCGUUUAUUCCGCAGCUUUUAUUUCGAGUUACUAACAUUUAGCAACCGAACCGGUAUCUAAUACCCUGGUGCUACUAGGAGUACUAGUAAAGUGCACAUUAAUAUAAUGUAUAUCCAAUAUACUUCUGUCGACCUUGCCAGCCUUCUCAUCUACGAAGUAUCUAGGGUAGUUCUGCUUCAGUGACCGUUCCCCUCAUUUCAGAAGCACUUAGUCUCAGGUUUGGGUUCAACCUUGGGUUUCUUCACUAGAGCAGCAACUGAUUUGCCGUUUCAUGAAGUAUCCCUUCUUUCCCUUGCCCUUCUAGAAACUAGUGGUUUUACUAACCAUCAACAAUUGAUGCUCCUUCUUGAUUUCUACUUUCGCGGUGUCAAACAUCGCAAGUUGCUCAAGGAUCAUCAUGUCUAUCCCUGAUAUGUUAUAGUUCAUCACGAAGCUCUAAUAGCUUGGUGGCAGUGACUAUGGAGAACCAUCACUAUGUCAUCUGGAAAAUUAACUCCCACUCGAUUCAAGUGAUUGUAGUACUCAGACAAUCUGAGCACAUGCUCAACGAUUGAGCUUUUCUCCCUUAGUUUGCAGGCUUAACAAACUUGUCAGAGGUCUCAUACCUCUUGACGUGGGCAUUAGUCUGAAAUCCCAAUUUCAGUCUUUGGAACAUCUCAUAUGUUCUGCGACGUUUCAAAACCGUCUUUGGUGCCACAAUUUUAAACCGUUAGCAUCACACACUGAACUAUCACGUAGUCAUCAAAACGUGUAUGUCAGAUGUUUCGUAACAUAUACAGACGACGCUCGAGGUUCAGCACACCGAGCGGUGCAUUAAGGACAUAAGCCUUCUGUGCAGCAAUGAGGACAAUCCUCAGUUUACGGACCCAGUCCGCAUAAUUGCUACUAUCAACCUUCAACUGAAUUUUCUCUAGGAACAUAUCUUAGUAGAGCUAAAGCGUACGCUACGACAUUAUUUGCAAAGACUUUUUGACUAUGUUCAUGAUAAUUAAGUUCAUCUGAUUAUUUAAUGAACUCCCACUUAGAUAGACAUCCCUCUAGUCAUCUAAGUGAUACAUGAUCCGAAUUGACUAGGCCGUGUCCGACCAUCACGUGAGACGGACUAGUCAUCAUCGGUGAACAUCUCCAUGUUGAUCGUAUCUACUAUACGACUCAUGUUCGACCUUUCGGUCUCUUGUGUUCCGAGGCCAUGUCUGUACAUGCUAGGCUCGUCAAGUCAACCUAAGUGUUUUGCUUGUGUUCCGAGGCCAUGUCUGUACAUGCUAGGCUCGUCAACACUCGUUGUAUGCGAAUGUUAGAAUCUAUCACACCCGAUCAUCACGUGGUGCUUCGAAGCAACAAACUUUCGCAAUGGUGCACAGUUAGGGGGGAACACAUCUCUUGAAAUUUUAGUGAGGGAUCAUCUUAUUUAUGCUACCGUCGUUCUAAGCAAAUAAGAUGUAAACAUGACAAACAUCACAUGCAAAUCAUAAAGUGACAUGAUAUGGCCAAUAUCAUCUUGCGCCUUUUGAUCUCCAUCUUCGAGGCGCGGCAUGAUCACCUUCGUCACCGGCAUGACACCAUGAUCUCCAUCAUCGUGUCUUCAUGAAGUUGUCUCGCCAACUAUUACUUCUACUACUAUGGCUAACGGUUAGCAAUAAAGUAAAGUAAUUACAUGGCGUUUUUCAUUGACACGCAGGUCAUACAAUAAAUUAAGACAACUCCUAUGGCUCCUGCCGGUUGUCAUACUCAUCGACAUGCAAGUCGUGAUUCCUAUUACAAGAACAUGAUCAAUCUCAUACAUCACAUAUAUCAUUCAUCACAUCCUUUUGGCCAUAUCACAUCACAUAGCAUACCCUGCAAAAACAAGUUAGACGUCUUCUAAUUGUUGUUGCAUGUUUUACGUGGCUGCUAUGGGUUUCUAGCAAGAACGUUUCUUACCUAUGCAAAAGCCACAACGGUGAUAUGACAAUUGCUAUUUACCCUUCAUAAGGACCCUCCUCAUCGAAUCCGAUCCGACUAAAGUGGGAGAGACAGACACUCGCUAGCCACCUUAUGCAUCAAGUGCAUGUCAGUCGGUGGAACCCGUCUCACGUAAGAGUACGUGUAAGGUCGGUCCGGGCCGCUUCAUCCCACAAUGCCGCCGAAUCAAGAUAAGACUAGUAACGGUAAGCAAAUUGAACAAAUCAUCGCCCACAACUACUUUGUGUUCUACUCGUGCAUAGAAUCUACGCAUAGACCUGGCUCAUGAUGCCACUGUCGGGGAACGUAGCAGAAAUUCAAAAUUUCCCUACGUGUUACCAAGAUCAAUCUAGGAGAUGCUAGCAACGAGAGGGGAGGAGUGCAUCUACAUACCCUUGUAGAUCGCGAGCGGAAGCGUUCAAGAGAACGGGGUUGAUGGAGUCGUACUCGUCGUGAUCCAAAUCACCGAUGAUCCUAGCGCCGAACGGACGGCACCUCCGCGUUCAACACACGUACAGAGCGGGGACGUCUCCUCCUUCUUGAUCCAGCAAGGGGGGAGGAGAAGUUGAUGGAGAUCCAGCAGCACGACGGCGUGGUGGUGGAAGUACCGGGAUCCCGGCAGGGCUUCGCCAAGCGCAAGCGGGGAGGAAGAGGUGUCACGGGAGGGAGGGAGGCGCCAGGGCUUGGGGUGCUGCUCCCAUGCACCUCCCCACUAUAUAUAGGGGUGGAGGGGGCUGGUUUCUGGCCCUCCAAGUCCAUUGGGGCGUUGGCAAAGGUGGGGGAAAGAAAUCCCAUCAUUUCCCUUCCCCACCGAUUGUUAUCCCCUUUUUUAGGGAUCUUGAUCUUAUCCGUUCGGGAUAUGAUCUUAUUCCUUCUAAGGUGGGAUCUUGGUGCGCCUUGACCAGGGGUGUGGGGCCUUGCCCCCACUACCCACGUUCAUGUGGGUCCCCCCAUGCAGGCGGGCCCCACUUCGGAACCUUCUAGAGCCUUCCCGGUACAAUACCGAAAAAUCCCGAACAUUUUCCGGUGGCCAAAAUAGGACUUCCCAUAUAUGAAUCUUUACCUCCGGACCAUUCCGGAACUCCUCGUGACGUCCGGGAUCUCAUCCGGAACUCCGAACAACUUUUGGUUAACCGCAUACUAAUAUCUCUACAACCCUAGCGUCACCGAACCUUAAGUGUGUAGACCCUACGGGUUCGGGAGACAUGUAGACAUGACCGAGACAUUUCUCCGGUCAAUAACCAACAGUGGGAUCUGGAUACCCAUGUUGGCUCCCACAUGUUCCACGAUGAUCUCAUCGGAUGAACCACGAUGUCGAGGAUUCAAUCAAUCCCGUAUACAAUUCCCUUUGUCAAUCGGUAUGUUACUUGCCCGAGAUUCGAUCGUCGGUAUCCCAAUACCUUGUUCAAUCUCGUUACCGGCAAGUCACUUUACUCGUACCGUAACGCAUGAUCCUGUGGCUAACUCCUUAGUCACAUUGAGCUCAUUAUGAUGAUGCAUUACCGAGUGGCCCCAGAGAUACCUCUCCGUCAUACGGAGUGACAAAUCCCAGUCUCGAUUCGUGCCAACCCAACAGACACUUUUGGAGAUACCUGUAGUGCACCUUUAUAGCCACCCAGUUACGUUGUGACGUUUGGUACACCCAAAGCAUUCCUACGGUAUCCGGGAGUUGCACAAUCUCAUGGUCUAAGGAAAUGAUACUUGACAUUAGAAAAGCUCUAGCAAACGAACUACACGAUCUUGUUCUAUGCUUAGGAUUGGGUCUUGUCCAUCACAUCAUUCUCCUAAUGAUGUGAUCCCGUUAUCAAUGACAUCCAAUGUCCAUGGUCAGGAAACCAUAACCAUCUAUUGAUCAACGAGCUAGUCAACUAGAGGCUUACUAGGGACAUGUUGUGGUCUAUGUAUUCACACAUGUAUUGCGGUUUCCAGUUAAUACAAUUAUAGCAUGAACAACAGACAAUUAUCAUGAACAAGGAAAUACAAUAAUAACCAUUUUAUUAUUGCCUCUAGGGCAUAUUUCCAACAUGGAGUGCUCUGCUCGCGAGCGAGGGGUAUAUAUAGGCACCUCAUUGGUCCCGGUUCGUGGCAUGAACCGGGACUAAAAGGCAGCCUGUGGUCCCGGUUCAAGCCACCAACCGGGACCAAUGGUGGUGGGCCAGGAGCGAGGCCCAUUGGUCCCGGUUCGUCCCACCAACCGGGACCAAAGGGGCCAGACGAACCGGGACCAAUGCCCCCACGAGGCCCGGCAGGCCCCUGGCCUCACAAACCGGGACCAGUGCCCCCAUUGGUCCCGGUUCUAGACUGAACCGGGACUAAUGGGCUGACCCGGCCUGAACCAAAGCCCUCUUUUCUACUAGUGUAACUAGAUUAUCAAUCCAUCUGCCUGCCUGCACUCGUAUAUACUACUCACUCCGUCCUAUGAUGUGACUGUAAAAAAACAUCAUACAUUAUGGGACGGAGGGAGUACUAGUUAAUAUUCUCUCCGUCUCAAAAUAAAUCUAUUCAUAGCUUUGGUCAAAUUAAGUUCAAUAAUACUAAUUUAAUUUUAUUAAUUUUAUAUUUUUUCCAUAAGUUUGGUCAAACAACUAGUUUGAUUGAAUUAUGAAUAAUACACUUAUUAUUUUUUUGAGGAAAAAAUAAUAGACUUAUUUUGAGACAAAGGUAGUAGGAGUACUAAGUAUCUAAAGACAUACACAUACUAUACAACAGUUAUACAUAAUAUUAAUGAACUCAUCGCCGAAAAACAUAAUAUUAAUUAAUAGUUAUGUCAGAUCGUUUCCUUUUAUCUCUAACCAUAACUAAUUAAUAUCCCCUGCAAAAAACUAAUUAAUGGUUAUGAAGACAUACACGGUAAGGCCUUCCCUUUCAGGAAGUCCAGAAUUAUUGCAUACUAGUCCCUGGAAUAGUAGCUCAUAUGCACAACUCACAUAAUAGCAUCAUAAUCAUACUCCGAAUAUAUUACAUGACCAAAAAUCACUUACAUUAGAAAGGCUCUCAAGCCUAAAAAGAGUACUCCCUCUGUAAACAAAUAUAAGAGCAUUUAGAUCACUAAAAUAGUGAUCUAAACGCUCUUAUAUUUCUUUACGGAGGGAGUACAUUGCAGCGGCGAAGCAGGCAUCCCAUGCCUACAUGCAACUUGCACUAGUAGGAAAAAGGCUACUAGUAGCCUGCCGUGAAGCACUACCUUAGAGCAUCUCUAGCAGACCCCGUAUAUCGUUGACCCGCAAAACUCGUUUACAGUUCGCUAAAAAGCGGUUUUGUGGGCCGGCGCGCCCGCCCCUGCCUGCAAAUCAGAUGGGUUUUCGAAUCCGAGUCGUCUGAAUCGGACGAAUCCUCGAGCAAAAACCUCUCGCGAGGUCUCAAUUCCAUCUAAAUUCACAAAUACGAACGCCACAUGAACCAACUAUACAUAUCGCAUCCCAAAGCAUAAGCACAAGUACUCAGCGGCGGCUCGGGGCGGUGACUCUGUGGUGGUCGAUCCUGGGGCGGCGGCGGCGACUAGGGGGCGCUCGGCUCGGCGGAUCCGGGUAGCCGGUGAAGCGGCUAGGUAGAACAGGGUGAGGGCGCGCCCCCGCGGCGUGAUUCCGUCCGCAGAUAUUGCCGGAAUCGCCGGCGGCGGAUGGGCAGAACCAAUGGCGGGCGGCUGCGGAGGGGGGUGGGGAGCAAGCGCGGGCUGAAAUGUCCCUCCCACCAACCGCUUUCCUGGGAUACAGGGCACCGUCGGGUCGAGGGGGAAACCUACGUUUUCGCGGGUUGGAGAUGGGAUUUUACUGCGACCCUCAAAAAAAUUUAUGGGUCCGACGCGUUUACAGUGUCUGAUCAGGCAACAUUUUUCGUGUGGACCCGUAUUUUGACGACUAUUUUGCGGGUCGGGGCAUUAUACGGGGUCUACUAGAGAUGCUGUUAGCAUCAACCGUUUGUGCAUUGCGUCGGACUGCCUAGAGGUGAUCAACAACCUGCCACGACCUCACUCUGGGGAGUAUAGCUAGGGAUGGCACCCGCAGGGUUUGGGUAUGGGUGGAGCCACCCCAUACCCUUACCCAUCAUCCCAAACCUUACCCAUCACCCGUACACAUACCCGUUGAUGGGUACAAUUUUUUCCCAUACCCUUCACCCAUCAGGGUAAAUAUGGGUACCCGCGGGUAAAAUUACCCAGAUUUGCAACACAUCAAUUUGAGUAUUACAUAGUCAUAAAAAAACUUAUAAUAAUAAUUUACAAACAACAACACAUCAUGACAGCAACGCAUACUCGUUGGUGGGCUAGCUAUUGUGGUGCGGCGGCCUAGCAUGAAUGCAUGAUGAGGUCCUUUUAGGGCCGUGGAAUUUAUGUACAUAUAAUAUGUGGAUAAAUAAUAUAUAAGGCAUAUUUCUCAGAUUAUAUGCGGGUACAUGGUAUGUGUUAUACUAAACCAUACCCGUACCCACUAUCCCCGAUGGAUAUGAAAAUUUUCUAUUUAUGUACCAUGGGUAUUUUCUUGACCCAUACCCAUGCCCUAAUAGGGUUUUUACCCGCAGGGUACGUGGGUAAUGGGUACCCAAUGCCAUCCCUAAGUAUAGCAUGGUUGUUUUAGAGAUCAAGACCACAGCGUCGUCUCUUUUUUCGUUUGAGAAGACGGUGUUUAGACAUGAAAGAAGGAGCUCCAAUGGAGAAGCCCAUUGACUCACUCGUAGUAGUGUGAGGCAAGGAACUGAACGCCGUCUGUGGCUCCUGAAUCCCCCGGCUGAUUUGUGUAUUCCUAAGGAUAUAUUAUUAUUAAUAACGAAUAAAUAGCAGUCGAACACUAAAGAAAAAGAUAAGACGUUCGCUAAAAAAGUUUUGCACGUACCUUUCCCUACAAUGCUUACUGGUGCGUGCCUAAAAAGCAAAGCUUUGCAAGUAUUCCCUACACUAGUAUACUAGUCAGUACAAUUACUAAGCUCCCAUGAUUUUGAGGCUUCUGGUGAAUCGGUGGUGUGAAAGCUGUAUGGUCAACGUUUGACAGGGUGUGAACCGGGUCUGAUGGUAGGUUUUUUUUUUCCUUUUGGAGGGUAGGGCCGGAUGGUAGCUGGUAAAACAUUAAGUUGGUUGAAUUGGUCUGAGGUACAACACAGCCUGAUUGUCGUGGGUGUUUGGCCUUUGCAAGAUGACUGGGCCCAUCGGCUGGUAACGGGUGGCGUUGUGCCGUCGUUUCAUCUCUCUGGAAAAAAAAUUCUCAAAAAAAAUCUCUCUGGAAAAAUCCCCCACGACUAAAAUCCCCACAGUGGCGGGCGAGACGCCGACCUCCUUUCAUAUAUUUGAAAUAUUCAAUUUCAUGCAUUGAAACAAUCAACUUCACAUAUUUGAAAGAACACGUUUCACAUAUUUUCACUCAUUUCGAAUAACAGAUUUCGCAUGGUAUAUGUGUGAAAUUAGAUGUAAAAUUUAAAUGUGUUUGAAAUCUAUCCAAUAUUGAUCUUGUUCUAAAGAUCUUAGUGUCAGGAAUUCAAAUAUAUAAAAUAUUUCAAAAACGAAAUUACUAUCUAAAAGAUAUAAACGAUUGGAAAUGUCAAAGAGAAAAUAAAAGCCAUGAAUUUACAGGAUGUGAGAUGAGACAGAUGGGUCGCUUUCAUGCAUUUGCAGCAGGGAGUGGAUGUCUAAUGCAUGCAUGCAUCGGUGGGACCUACGCAUGAUGUACCGCAAUGAUGGAUACAGACAGACACAGUUGAAAUACGCUGAGAUACAAUGAUGUGGGCCACCAAACCGCACGAAUCUCAAACUAGACCAACGAUAGAUGCUGGACCAGUACCUCCCUCCACCGGUAAAAAGAGGUUUGCGCAUCUCCUAUCCCCGUGCUGCCGCGUUCGUCCCAUGCCCUCUUCCUCCCUUGUGUUGCCGCUAGCCACUUCCUCCCCUGCCUUGCCGCUGCUCCUCUUCAUCCACAGGUCCAUGGCGGAGCCACGCCCCGCUGCUCCGAUACCCAAUCGAGCAUCGUCGUUCCCCUGCACCGGAGGUGGUGAGAAGGGUGACCAGCGCCGCAGGCGUGACCGCUGCAUCGACUAUCACGCAGCCCACCGCGAGGACACCGAGGAGCACGGGUGGCCGGAUGGGAGGAAGAUUGGGUUGGCCGAGGGGAGCAUGAGGAUGGCGUCGCAACCGCGGAGGCCGAGCCCAAGGCAGGUGGUGGCGAGCGAGGGUACGGCGUCGCGCGGCUCCAUGGAGGCCCGUCCUCUCCCUCCUCCCGCGCAGUGGCCGCGGUUGUCUCGCCUCCUUUCUCACUGCUGCUAGCGUGCCACCCGACCCGAGUUGCUGCACACUGGUAGCCAUUGUCAUUUUCCAAACACUGCGUCUUUUCCUUUGUUCAUCCUGCACCAGGUUACCCAACGGGCGGAGAGCUCACUGCGGUGCCAAAGCCCUGGUCCAUCGUCAGCCUUCCCCAAUCCCUCAAUCCUACACAUACACGCCGACUGCCGUGCAGGAAGUCAUUCGUCGCAGCUCCCUUCCGGACACCACAUCACCACUACGUACUAUGUAUGAGGCAUACAAUGGUUGCUAUGUACCAAGGCUGGGUAAAUUGCUCUCCUCUCUGAUCACCUUUUCACAUUGCGAAUGGUUUACCAGUGAUUAGUCUGUUCCUACUGGCACCGUGCUCUGCAGUAGGUGCUUACCUUUCCGUCCAAGUUGUGGUGCUUUUCGGGCUAGAUUUAGGCAAGCCGGCUCACUAUCAUGCAGACCAUUUAUUUGGACAAAUGCCAAGAGAAGCACCAAUUAAGUUUGUAUGUGUCCACUCCUGUUUACACUAACUGACAUGUAUUUGUUUGUUCUAUCUACUGAAAUUAGUCAACAUUUGUAGCAGCUCAUUUGCAUGCAGGUAGACAUAGAUCAUCUAAAAUGUUUUUGCUCUUCCUAAGCCAGCCUUAUUGUUCAUAUGUUAAUAUGAGCCCUUUGACGGUGAUUGGGGCGGUACUGGGAGUACUUUCAAGUACUUACCCCUUGGAUUUUUAUUAGCCGUCCGAUCUGGUGGGGGAUUAAAAAUGAAUUAACUUAAUUAGUUUAAUCAGAGAAGGGCAUAAUGGUCCAGGGUAAAAAAAAAUUCAACCGAUCACGUCCACGACCAGAACCACGUCUAGAUCUAGUAGCUCGGUCAAGUCCUCCUUCUCGUCCUCUUCCUUCUGUCCGACGAGCCCGGCGAGAGGAACCAAUUCACCAUCGUCGGCGUCGUUCUCGUCCUCCUCCUGGUCCCCUUCACUAUAAAAGACGUGGUCGGCGGCAGGAAGAAGAAUAAGGCGUGACAUCUGCGGCGGCAGUGUCGGUGGCGACGGCGGCGGCGGUAUAGGAGAAAGCCCCCCACUGAUCCCAUCGCUUCCGGACUUGCAUCUUAAGGUAUGAAUCGCCUGAAUCUCAACUUACUUUGAUUCGUAGCCUGCACUUCCUACUUAGAUUUGUUUAGUCAUCAUCGAUUUAGGUUUCCCUAGUGCAUGCAAUUCAAUUUAGCAGUACUUACAUCUCUGAUCACGUCUGAUUUUUAUUAGCCGUCCGAUCUUGCGGGGAAUUAAACUUGAGUUUAUUAGAGUCAUCAUCCAUGCUAGGAUAGUACUUGUUGGGCGUUGAUGAUUGGUUUCCCUCAAAUGUCAAACGAGCAAAGUCUUUUCCAUGCACUUGUCUUUGCCUAUGAGCUAUUUUACACCUGCAACAUUGAUAAACAGAAAGAUGUUGAUGAUUGGUUUCCCUCACAUGUCAUAUGCAGGAAGACAUGGCGUAUGCAAGUGUUGAGAGUAUGUUCGAGUAUCUAAAUGUUGUCAGCAAGAUGUUUGACAGUGAGGCUGAAGGCUAUGAAUUCUACAACAAAUAUGCUCUUGAAAAAGGUUUUAGUGUGAGGAGAAGCUACGUUGAGUGGGAUGGAUCCAACAAAUACAUAAUUUUAAGGAAAAUUGUGUGUAGUCGUCAAGGGUUUCGCGAAGAGAAGCACAUGAAAAGAAAGAUGGAAGAUAGAAAGAGGAGGCCACGAAGUUUAACUCGUGUUGGGUGUAAUGCUAAAUUGGUCAUUACGAGACAGGAGGAAACCGGUCGGUGGUUUGUCAAGGAUUUCAUCGAUGAGCACAGCCAUCCUCUAGCCCCACGGGAUCUUUCUUGUCUGCUGCGUUCGCACAGACGAAUUAGCGAUGAGCAGAAAGCGGACAUUGCGGACAUGGAAAAUUGUGGGAUCCGCAAAUACCGUAUUAUGGAUAUUUUGUGCUUUCAAUACGGUGGAUUUGAUAAGGUUGGAUGCAUAAAGAGGGACAUUUAUAAUUUCUGCCAUGCUAAUAAGCAGGAGACAAUCAGUGCCGGUGAUGCUAAUACGGUGAUCAUGCACAUGAUGGCAAGGCGAGAGCGAGAUGUGGAUUUUUUCUUCAAGUACUUGGUAGACGAGCAUGGCCAUCUGAAGGGACUGUUCUGGGCUGAUAGUCAAUCGCGACUUGACUACGAGGCUUUCGGAGACGUCAUUGUUUUCGAUAGCACAUACAGAACCAACAAAUACAAUCUGCCAUUCGUGUCGUUUGUCGGGUUGAAUCACCACCGCAGCACUGUUAUUUUUGGCUGUGGUAUAGUUUCUCAUGAAACAAGCCAGGCAUACGAGUGGAUGUUGCGGACCUUUUCUGAUUGCAUGGCAAGAAAGCAUCCGAUAUCUGUGAUCACAGAUGGGGACCUUGCAAUGCAGAGAGCAAUCAGGGUGGUCUGGCCAGACUCAAACCAUAGACUAUGUAUAUGGCACAUUCAGCAGAACAUUGUACGCCAUCUGCAUGAUGACGACGUAAAGGAGGAAUUCAGAUCUUUCAUUUAUGAUACUUCUUCCAUUGAAGAGCAUGAGAUAGAAUGGAUACACUUCUUACAACGGAAUAAAGUAACCAGUGAGGAGUCUUGGCUGCAUCAGAUGUAUCAGAUGAGAAAGUUGUGGUGUGCUCCAUAUCUUGAGGGGCGUUGUUUCCUAGGAUUGAGCAGCAAUCAGAGGAGUUAGAGCUUGAACUCUGUGCUACAUACGCAUCUUGAGGGUAAGAUGUCGUUGUUUGAAAUUCUAGAGCACUAUGAGCGUUGCCUUGCGUCGCGACGGAUUAACGAAGCUCUCCAAGACGUCGAAGCCUUGCAGUCCGUUCCAUUUACAGAGGAAAAUGCUUCGCCGCUUGAGAAACACACCGCAACAGUUUUCACACCUAGUGUCUUUAAGAUGGUCUUAUGGAGCAUAGAUGCUGUCAGCAAAUGUCACAUCAGAGAGAUACUAGAUGGAUCAGAAGAUUCCACUUAUGUUGUGUCCAAGCAGGAAAGAAUGGAUAAAAAGUUUGGAGUGCGCAUUGAAGAGCAAGGAGGUCUUUUGCACAGGGUGAGUUGUUCUUGCCGUAAGCUGGAAUGCGCAGGCACACCAUGUUCCCACAUUUUUUACAUAUUGGGGAUUUUAAAACAAACAAUUCUGCCCAGUUGUUGCGUUCCCACUAGGUGGACUAUGAAUGCAAAAUGUGCAUACGCACCUACCAGAAAAAACCAGAUGUAUGACUAUUCGGUAAGCCUGCAGAGGUACCGCGAGUUGCGGAAUUGUAGUCACGCCGCAAGUUUCAAGGCAUGCCACUCUGAUGAGGACUAUCACCGUCUAAAGAUGCUUUUGGAAGCACAACAUCAUGGCAAGCAAUCAAGUUUUGAACAAGCUGACAGCAAGGAGUCAACUAAUGCUCAGCAUAACAGCAUUAGGUUUGGCCCGUUGAUGCCGCACUCGGAGAAAGUUGAUAAGGUUCUUGAUCCCGUGCAUGUGCCAGGCCGAGGUGCACCGAAGAAAAGGCUGCAGGCAAAGACAAAGAAGUCAAGAUCACAGAAUAUCUGUGGCUAUUGCAAGAAUCCUGGUCACAAUCGACGUAAAUGCGCUAAAUUGCUAGAGGUACGAAAUAUGUUCAUAUUUAUUUUUUGCAUGUGUUUUACUCAUAAUUGAUGUCCAUGUGAUUUAUUCUAUUCUUCUGUGUAGGAUCUCGACGCUAAACUGUGAUGUCUACAUACAGCAUGAACUGGCGAUGAGCCAGAGAAAGUCGUGUGCCAUUCCGCUUUGUGUGACGUGGUCUUUACAUUCUAUUUCAUCGUGACAGUAAUUUAGUGAAGUGCGGUUGUACUGCCAUGUUACUGUAUUACUUCGACAUCUUUCGUUUUCAUUUUCUGUGUGUAUCAUUUGAUGUCCAACUUUAAGAAUGAUGAUGUAUUUCGAACAGGAAUAAGGGCUAGCAUGGAGCACUUGUUAUUUUCGAGUAGAAUAAUUUUUGUGAUGUAUUUCUGCACGCACGCACGGCCGCCAGACGGAUCUCCCGCGCGAUCCCACGGUCUGCAUGGCUCAUGCAUGGCAGGCCAUUUUCCUACGUCGCCCCAAACACCGGCCCAUCCGAGGUUGUAGCUCCGGACGGCCCACGUCGUGUACGAUCUCGCGCGUUGUUCUCGUGUAACUAAAAAUAGUCCCACCUCGCCCCUCGACCAGCUCCUUUACUUGCUUAAAUACCUUCAUCGAGGUGACUUUAGCAAGCGUUGGUCCUCAUUGUAGGAUGAAUAUGAUUCUUCACCCUUACUAUGGUUGUCAUGCAUAUUCAUAAUCAUCAUGCAUAUUCUUCAUUUAGAGAUCAUUAAUGCCUGACGUAUUUUUUAAAUAAGCGGGGCCCAGUAGGGUGUGCUUGGAAAUAUUUGAGAAACCUCCAUGCACGUUCAUCUUUGCUGCAUGCAAAUCGGGCGGCAGCCGCUGUGCCAGCAGCUGUCAAGGCCUUGAUGAAUCACUAUUCAAAUGCAGGUCCCCGACUCUUGCAUGCAGGUGCCUAGUUUUUGCAUGAAGGUCCCUGGGUCGCAUCAUUGGUUGAGGAAGUAUCUCUAGAGUUUUCGAACUGACAUUGCCCACCACCUCCUCCAAAUCACCCAAAUCACCUCCUCCAAAUCACCCAAAUUUUCUCGUACAUGGUGACACACAUGUGCCAAACAUGUCUAUGAAAGAAAUUUUUGAAAAACAUUAUUUUACAAUGCCCCCUUGAGGCAUAGACCGAUGUUUUCAGCAGUCAGUCUAGAGGGCAUGAUAAAUUCAAAAAAAUUCAAAAAAAUACAAAACCUUGGAAACCUAGCAUUGUUUGUGCAAGAGAUCAUGUGUGCCAAAAUUGAGGUGAUUUGGAGGUGGUCGAAAAAAUGCCCGCAUUCCGGAGGGACCAUUUGGUCUUAACUUAAGCCAGUUUUUGAAAAAAGGUGAAUUUUUCCACCACCUCCAAAUCACCCCAAUUUUCUUGUACAUGGUGACACACAUGUGCCAAACAUGUCUAUGAAACAAAUUUUUGAAAAAAAUUAUUUUACAAUGCCCCCNNNNNNNNNNNNNNNNNNNNNNNNNNNNNNNNNNNNNNNNNNNNNNNNNNNNNNNNNNNNNNNNNNNNNNNNNNNNNNNNNNNNNNNNNNNNNNNNNNNNNNNNNNNNNNNNNNNNNNNNNNNNNNNNNNNNNNNNNNNNNNNNNNNNNNNNNNNNNNNNNNNNNNNNNNNNNNNNNNNNNNNNNNNNNNNNNNNNNNNNNNNNNNNNNNNNNNNNNNNNNNNNNNNNNNNNNACAAAACCUUGGAAACCUAGCAUUUUUUGUGCAAGAGAUCAUGUGUGCCAAAAUUGAGGUGAUUUGGAGGUGGUCGAAAAAAUGCCCGCAUUCCUGAGGGACCAUUUGGUCUAACUUAAGCCAGUUUUUGAAAAAAGGUGAAUUUUUCAACCACCUCCAAAUCACCCCAAUUUUCUUGUACAUGGUGACACACAUGUGGCAAACAUGUCUAUGAAACAAAUUUUUGAAAAAAAAUUAUUUUACAAUGCCCCCUUGAGGCAUAGACCGAUGUUUUCAGCAGUCAGUCUAGAGGGCAUUAUAAAUUCAAAAAAAUUCAAAAAAAUACAAAACCUUGGAAACCUAGCAUUGUUUGUGCAAGAGAUCAUGUGUGCCAAAAUUGAGGUGAUUUGGUGGUGGAAAAAUUCACCUUAAGAACAUUGACAAAAAAUGAUUUUCAACAUUUUCUAAAUUUAAUAAUAUAUUUGUAAUGGAAGAUUCGAUCAUGCUAACUUAUGAAAACCUCAAGUCAAUGUUUUUUACUAUCUAUCCUAUGUAGAUAAGGCUUGUUAUUUGCACACACCAUUACCAAGCACAUGCCCACUGUAUGCAGCAUGUCUCAUCAGUCAAGCAACAUUGAAGCACCUACUGUGAUCAUUGCAACAUCAGCAUAUAAACACUGGAACAAAGCCGCCGCCGCCCACGCCCACGACCGCCGCACGUGACAAGGGAAAACGAAUCGCCCACGUACAAUACAUGUAUACCCCCAGUGUACAAAAGUAAUCGGGCCGGUGCAAAAAAAGCCCGCCUACUUGCCCGCUUUCACAAUUCAACGGCCUGCAUACGACUAGUAAACUAAUCUUUUAUUGGGCCAGGAUGCAGAGGCCCGCCAGAUUGUGAAAACAGGUAGCAAGUAGGCCCCACAGGGCAGGGACGCAGACGGUUAGGCAAUGUGCUGCCCGCUUCAGAAAGGAACUUGAGAGGGAAAGCUCAGCGCGCUAUAUAAACCGGUGCUAGCUCCCCUCGCUCGGCGAGGUGGGACUAAACUCCCUGCACCCCUGGGAUGUGCCCGGCGCGAAGCUCGCUUGGGCCUAAUUAGGGUGGGCCGUCCCACGCCAGCCUCACCCGUUGGGUCGCUGGAUGGACCGUUGGGCCAUCUCAUUGUCUGCGCCUGAGGCCUGCAUGCAUGGGAAGGGCGGCGACGUGGGUUUGCAUGCGCGGGUGGCGGACGUGCAUGCAUGCGAGCGCGGGUGGCCGACGUUGGUUAUCUGUGUUUUGCUUGCUAUUUCUAUCUUCUUCCGUUGAUAUUUCUAUCUUCUUCCCUUGAUAUUUCUAUCUUAUUUGACGUCAAAACCAGCAAGUUUUGGGGUUAGCUCAGAUUUCACGCGGCCCACGGGGGUGUGCUUGCGCGCUUGAUGGAAAAAAUUGGUGUACCGUCUGGGAAGGUGGAUUUUUUCGGCAUGCUUGAAAUGGACCCAAAAAAAUUUUGAAACCCUUGUACCAACAUGACAAGCAUCCAUGCAAACUGGAAAUUGUUUUGCGACGUUGUAUGGUUUUGUAGGCUAUAAUGAUUACACGUGUAGAUGAAAGGCACGAAAAAACAGUUUCAACAAAGACAACAUAAAUGAUUUUUUACAAGUUUUAUAGAUGGAAACUUCUUUAGAUGCAAUGCCAUCUCACAAACAACUCAGAAACAACUGUAUGAUUGAUCAUAAAACACAUGCAUUGUUGUUCAAAGAACUGUCUCAUGAAUAAAUUUUACCAUAAUUGCGAACAUAGUGUGAAACAGAAAAAAAAUGUUUGUUUGCAACAAAAUAAUCCUGGUUUGAAGCUUAAACUGGUUGAAAAACAAUUGAGCCUACUCCAUAUGGUCUUCUACACUGCCAAAAUCCAGUGACCUCUUGCGUUGCGACGUUGGAGAUUGCGUCGGGCUUGGCGACGACCCAUGUGCUUCAAUCUUUUUCUCUUUAACAUCAAUGUAACCAUACAACUGAAGUUGUUCUUGUUCUUUCUCCGCCAACUCUCUAGCAAGACCCUCCAUUUCUUGGAUUCUCACUUCCUGUAGAAAACCAUAGGAAUUGUAUUAGGAAGAACUUAAAAAUGACGUAGCCAUAAACUAGAUGCAUGUAACAUGUAAAAUUUGAACCUCUGGAUCAAUGUCAUCCUCGGGAAAACAACCCGUACUUCUAUUGUACACAAUGUACAGGUGACAUUUCUUGCUGCCAUUCAGAUCAGAAAGCAUUUUUUCUACAUCAUCUGGUCCUGCAAUCAAGAACAUUCCUUCUGGCAGCUUCCAUGCAGACCUGGGUAAGAAGUAGUACAGUUCUGCUCCCAGUUUGCAACCAAAAGUAUCUCUCAUUUCACUCAUAAUGAGAUCGUAGGUCACUUUGGCGGGUUCAAAAAUUCUGACUUCUGCCGGGUGUUCAUCAAAGUAUGCUCUCGGGACAUGUGACAUCUCAUCAUCCCUACUAACAAUAAAUUCCAUGACCAGCACCUAGUAUCUCACAUCAGAGUUAAUACAUUCAAUGAGUAAAGGGGCAAAUAUAAUUUUUUAUGUGCAUAGCAACAUUGCGGUGUUGUUACCUGCUUUUGUGGAAUGUAUCCUUCAUGUGGAGUGACUGGGGAUUGUGCCAUCUCAAACCUUCUCACCUUGUUAUGUGGAUUGUAUCCUUCAUGUGGUGUGACUGGGGACUCUGCCAUCACACGUUUCUUAUCCUGCGUAUGAAAUGUCGACAGUGGGUUUACACACAAAUUUUAAAAGGUCAUACCAUAUCUUGGGUAUGGCGUCGUUGGGAGGUACUUACAAGGGGAGAAUUGAAGAUAUGUUGUUGGGGUGGAGUGAUGUGGCAUUGAACGGGUGACUCUAUCGCAAUGUCUCGAGUCGAUGGCGACUGUGUCGUCUCAUGAUGCUUAGCCUACAUACAAUCGCCGACAUAAGGUUGCCACAAAUUGAAGAUGUUUGUAUCAUAGAAUACGUAGGUCCUUAAUAUAUACAAUCGGUGCGAGAUACUUACAGGGGGAGAAAAAUUGAAGACAUGUUGUCGGGGUGGCCGUGAGAUCGCACGGGCUUCUAACAUAUGUCCUUCCAAACGGACCUUCUCCAGCAUGGCCUUAUAAUCCAUGUCCGACCGCUCCUGUAGCAGCUUGCUGUCCAUAUCCGAACGUGCCUGCAACACAUAGGCAUCCAUCCUGACUCGCUCUGUCUGUAUAAUACUGUCCACAAGCUUCCGGUCCUUCUGCAACGUUUGCUGCAUUUCCUUGUAGCCAAGGAAAAACAUUUUUUCCAUGUCCUCACAGUCCCGCUUAUACUUUUCUUCAAUCUCAAGACGCAUCUUCGCCAUCUUACGGGAAAACUCCUCACGCUCCUCCUUUAUCAUCCUAUCCACGUAUGAACGUUCUUUUUUGAGUUUCUUAUUUACCUCAGCGCGAUCCUUUUGCACCUUUAAGUCGAUCUCCCGGCGCGCUUCAUGCAAAGACUUGUCGUACUCCGCACGGUUGUUAUGCGCCUCUGAGACCAUGGUCCCUAAAACAACACAUAUACCCAUAGUAUGAAAACUGUAUCCACAACCUCAUCCAACUAAUUCCUAAGAUUACCACCGAGAAAAUAUAUUCAUAACCAGUUCGUACGAACAACUACUACAAACUAUCAAUCAAAAAGCUCUUGCAUGACAUCCUGUACUCCAAUUACACCAGAACUACUCAACUAUGGCAAAGGCUGUAUUUUCUAAUCUCUUCGGAAAUGACUUCUUCGUCGAAUCAAUGGAAAAAAUAAUCAGCACUGCAAUCGAAGAUGGGAGGAGCCGUGGAGGAGACCUUUUUAAUCCGGCGUCGGCGUGGUCGCUUGAGAAGCGAUGGCGCGAUCCCGGUGAUGGCUAUGUGAGGAGAAACAAGGUAGAUGGGGGUGGUUAGGAUAGGGUUGAUAUACGGUAGAAUGGGAAGGUAUAUAUCCGUGAUUGUAGGGUUAAUUAGUUAUUUUGAAGUAAUGCGCUUCGAUGCAAGUUUUUUUUAACGAGCACGAUCUUUUGGGGGCUUCCAAAACAUGUGCACUGACCGUCGGUCCAACCACAUCUCACAGAAGCCCGAGCCAGAAACUUAUUGUUCUCUAAAAAAGGAAGAGCAAUAAAUUCCUUCCAAGAAUUUCCAGAAAUAAUUGUCAACCCAUUUUCGUUGGUAAUUACGUGAUAUGUUUGGCGCAAUUAGUGGCUACCUGGUUUUUUUAGGAAUACUGGCUACUUGGUUUGAUACAUGGCAAACAUUACGUUCAGAUUAGUUGCAUUAUUUCGUUCAUUUUUUACCGGAAAAAUCUAUACAAAGUGUUAAUUGGACAAUGUGAACAAUGUGGCAUGUACCCUGAACCCUAACCCCCCCCCCCCACACACACACACAAAACCGUAAAAACAUUCAAAAUUUUGCCCCACAUGGAAACCAUUAUGCAUGCAUUCUCUAUGUGGUCAUGGGAUGCCAUGAAGAAAGUUUGGGAUCAUUAGUACAUGUACACGCAAGNNNNNNNNNNNNNNNNNNNNNNNNNNNNNNNNNNNNNNNNNNNNNNNNNNNNNNNNNNNNNNNNNNNNNNNNNNNNNNNNNNNNNNNNNNNNNNNNNNNNNNNNNNNNNNNNNNNNNNNNNNNNNNNNNNNNNNNNNNNNNNNNNNNNNNNNNNNNNNNNNNNNNNNNNNNNNNNNNNNNNNNNNNNNNNNNNNNNNNNNNNNNNNNNNNNNNNNNNNNNNNNNNNNNNNNNNNNNNNNNNNNNNNNNNNNNNNNNNNNNNNNNNNNNNNNNNNNNNNNNNNNNNNNNNNNNNNNNNNNNNNNNNNNNNNNNNNNNNNNNNNNNNNNNNNNNNNNNNNNNNNNNNNNNNAUUCUCUAUGUGGUCAUGGGAUGCCAUGAAGAAACUUUCGGAUCAUUAGUACAUGUACACGCAAGUACGAUCUCUGACACGCUCAUUUCCGGGCUUGCAUGUCAACACUAAACCCUAAACCCUGAUAACCCUACCCCCCCACUAAACCCUAAACCCUGAACCCUGAUAACCCUAACCCCCCACUAAACCCUAAACCCGAAACCCUAAUAACCCUAAACCCCUAAACCCCUAAACGAGUUGACAAGAUUUUCUUUUUUUUAUAUCAUUUAUCCAAAUCUCACAUAACUCACGUGUCCCACCCCUCCCUAAAUCCCGCGAUUACAGCUCCGUAUUUUAACGAGCACGAUCUUUUGGGGGCUUCCAAAACAUGUGCACUGACCGCGGGUCCAACCACAUAUCACAGAAGCCGGAGCCAUCGCCGUGCCCGUGCCAACCCGCGGCCCACCAUUGCCUCCCUUUCCCUUGCCCCACCAAAUUGUUAUUCUUCUCCGGCGACGAAGCCUGCCAUCGCCGGCAGACGGUGAGAGACGAGAGAUGUCCAUGUCCAGUUCGGCCUCUCCGUCAUCAUGGCCGCGGUAUGGUUCACUACCGAUGACCAGAUGCCCCGACUGCCCACGCAUCACGCCACUGAAGCGUUUGACAACCAUAUCGGAUAAGAAUGGAAACCAUGGGCGGGAAUUUGUGAAAUGCGAGAGCAAACCAGAAGCGGGGAAGGUUAAAUCUAUGUUCUGUUGUGUCUUUUUGCUAUGAAUUCCGACCCCAGAUUUAUUUAUAUUUCCUCGGAAUUGGUAUUUAGGGUUUCCCCUCCCUUUUUCAGAAGCUGAAAACAUGCAAGCAUUUUGAGUGGCUGGAUGAAUACGUUGAGAGGCUUCAAACGGAUGGCAAUUGAUUUGAGGCACGGGUCAACCCUAGAGGUAGAUCUGCCAUUGGCGGUGGAUAAUAAGGGCUAUGCCAAUGUUCCUCCGAUGGUGGCGGAUGCGGAACUCAAGGUGGAAUUGAAGAAGAUCAACAAGAACUUAAGGCAGUUGAUCGAUCUGAAGAAGCAUGCAAAUCUGAUGGCCGCGGGAUUUUAUUUUUCAAUAAUUGUUGUGGGAUUUGUUUACUUGUUGAUCAUCAGUCGUUAGUAGUUGUUAACAAAUUAUUUCAGUCAGCUUCUGUAUAAGCAAUGUCAUGUAUCCUUAAUGCCUUGUAUGACCAGACCAAGGAAAAGCUCAUUUGAAAUCUAUUGGAAAGGACAAAUAAAAUUGAAAACUGAUUUCUUGUUUCCAAAAUAAUAUUUGUAACUUAUUGUUCUCUAAAAAAGGAAGAGCAAUAAAUUCCUUCCAAGAAUUUCCAGAAAUAAUUGUCAACCCAUUUUCGUUGGUAAUUACGUGAUAUGUUUGGCGCAAUUAGUGGCUAACUGGUUUUUUUAGGAAUACUGGCUACUUGGUUUGAUACAUGGCAAACGUUACGUUCAGAUUAGUUGCAUUAUUUCGGUCAUUUUUUACCGAAAAAAUAUAUACAAAGUGUUAAUUGCACAAUGUGAACAAUUUGGCAUGUACCCUGAACCCUAACCCCCCCCCCACACACACACACAAAACCGUAAAAACAUUCAAAAUUUUGCCCCACAUGGAAACCAUUAUGCAUGAAUUCUCUAUGGGGUCAUGGGAUGCCAUGAAGAAAGUUUGGGAUCAUUAGUACAUGUACACGCAAGUACGAUCUCUGACACGCGCAUUUCCGGUCCCUGUACAUGUACAUGUAAACCAACCCAACAUCAAUCCGGUUCAGUGGAUGGAUGCAUGCUCUAUGUGGCACGAAGUAUGUCGGUCGAGCCAGUCGACGGACCAGAUCGAUGCUACCGGAGGGAUUCCAUUGUAGACCAACGCUCGACCUAUGUCGGGUGUGUGUGAUAGGUCCAGUGUAAGACAAACAUAGUUCCGUCAACCCUAAAAUCGUAAACACUGAUAACCCUAACCCCCCCCCACUAAACCGUGAAAACAUUCAAAAUUUUGCCCCACAUGGAAACCAUUUUGCAUGCAUUCUCUAUGGGGUCAUGGGAUGCCAUGAAGAAAUUUUGGGAUUAUACACGCAAGUACGAUCUCUGACACGCGCAUUUCCGGCCUAGCAUGUCAACACCACGAAAGCACUAGCUGGGUUCCUCACCUGUAUGAAACCAACCCAACAUCGAUCCGGUCCAGUGGAUGGAUGCAUGCUCUAUGUAGCACGAAGUUUGUCGGUCGAGCCAGCCAACGGACCGGAUCGAUGCUACCGGAGGGAAUCCAUUGUAGACCAACGCUCCUCCAAUGUCCGGUGUGUGCUACGUCCACUAUAAGACAAACAUUGUUCCGUCGACCCUAAAACCCUAAAACCCUAAACCCUGAUAACCCUAACCCCCCCACUAAACCGUAAAAACAUUCAAAAAUUUGCCCCACAUGGAAACCAUUAUGCAUGCAUUCUCUAUGUGGUCAUGGGAUGCCAUGAAGAAAGUUUGGGAUCAUUAGNNNNNNNNNNNNNNNNNNNNNNNNNNNNNNNNNNNNNNNNNNNNNNNNNNNNNNNNNNNNNNNNNNNNNNNNNNNNNNNNNNNNNNNNNNNNNNNNNNNNNNNNNNNNNNNNNNNNNNNNNNNNNNNNNNNNNNNNNNNNNNNNNNNNNNNNNNNNNNNNNNNNNNNNNNNNNNNNNNNNNNNNNNNNNNNNNNNNNNNNNNNNNNNNNNNNACACGCAAGUAAGAUCUCUGACACGCGCAUUUCCGGGCUUGCAUGUCAACACUAAACCCUAAACCCUGAUAACCCUACCCCCCCACUAAACCCUGAAACCUGAUAACCCUAACCCCCCCCACUAAACCCUAAACCCUGAACCCCUAAACCCCUAAACCCCUAAACCCUAAUAACCCUAAACCCCUAAACGAGUUGACAAGAUUUUCUUAUUUUUUAUAUAUCAUUUAUCCAAAUCUCACAUAACUCACGCGGCCCACCCCUCCCUAAAUCCCGCGAUUACAGCUCCGCAUUCUAACCACCCGGGCCGUCCGCACCUCCCACGACCGCUGCAAGAUCAGAUCGGAGACGCCGGUCGCCCACGGAAUACAGGAGUCGGCGGCCACCACUCGCCGCCCACCGCCAACGUGAUCUGAGGGGUCGGACGUCAGUGUUCUUCUCGCCGCCUCCUCCUCGCGUGAAAACGCCGUUUUUCCUUUUCGCCGUCGACCGCGCUAUACCGGCACUUAUAGUUUGCGACGCACUAACCGCCGCCAUCUACUCGGCGGCACCGUCUCCGAGAUAAGGUAUUACCUGAUCGUAACUCUUUAUAAUCGUUGUCGGCCGCUCCUUUAGUAGUUGAACCCUCAUAGGUUUUGCAGCCAAAUAGGUUCUGUGUUUAAACCCAUAAGUGGAUCAUAUGUUAAAUGACCCAGUUAGUUUUGUUAAAAUUAAUUUGCUGCUAAUUUUGUUAUACAUUUUCCAAUUUUGUUCAGAUUAAUUUAGCCGGAUUUUAUCAUUGCAUACGAGCCAGCAAUGUCAGUUUCAGAUACGAACCUUCAUAAUGAAGAAAAGCCCAUCUCCGAAAUUACCGAUGCGGUAAGUAAUUGACUGUUUGUGUACAAUCGUUUCAUACACAUAAUUCAUGUGUACUCAGUAUAAUUUAAUGGCAUGUAACAGGAACUUGGCGAAAAGCAUGGUCAUAUGAAGUUAGUAUGCUCACAGACAAGGUUCGGAAAAACCAUGAAACUGUUGUCACCAGACCACAAAAAGUACAUCAUAUCAGAAACCAGUCUUGGCGGUCUAACCCAGAUGCAUGAGGUGACUCUACGGCGCAUAAUGUUGGUUAGACUAGCCAAGAGCAUAGAUAUGGACACCCAAUCCAUUACCAUCGGAAAAACGCCAAUUCCUAUAACAAAAGAGGACGUGCACUGUAUAUUUGGCAUUCCGAUAGAAGGGGAGGAUAUAGAGCCACAUCUGGAAAUGCAAACCGACACAGAAUUGUUUACCGCCUAUGCAAACAAUGGGCAAAUUUUGAUUUCUGACCUUGAAACGGCGAUCCGAGCUUCCAAAGCCCCAGACGGCGAUUUCCUGAGACGGUUCAUUCUGUACGCAAUUGGUACUGUUCUAGCACCAACAGCACAACAUUAUGUGGACUCGAAAUUUCUCAACCUUGUUACAGAUCUUCAAAACCUUCGGAAAAUUUAACUGGGGAUGUUUCACACUUAAUCACUUCUUCAAGUCCGUUCACAAGUUUAGAAAUCGAGAUCACGUAAAUCUACAAGGAAAUCUAAUUCUGCUCCAGGUUACACUACUGGAAUCAGCUAAUUUGCCAUCUGCCAGCUCUUUGCCAUCUGCUAGCUGACGGCAAAGAAGCUCUUUGCCAUCAGCUACACAUAAACAGACGGCAAAGAAAAGGCUGACGGCAAAGAAGCUCUUUGCCAUCUGCCAGCUCUUUGCCGUCUGCCAGCGGACGGCAAAGAAUCUUUGUCGUCCGCUGGCGGACGGCAAAGAGUGUGGUGGCCCCCACCCCCCGCUCGUUUGAAAAAUCCUAACGGCCCACCUCUUUGCCGUCCGCUAGCGGACGGCAAAGAGGCAGAAAGGCGGACGGCAAAGGCUGGCGGACGGCAAAGAGGGCACUUGCCUAACGGCAGGUACCCCCCGCCCGUUACUCACUUCGUCCUCGCCUCGCCCUUCUCGUCCCACCCCGCCGCCGCCGCCNNNNNNNNNNNNNNNNNNNNNNNNNNNNNNNNNNNNNNNNNNNNNNNNNNNNNNNNNNNNNNNNNNNNNNNNNNNNNNNNNNNNNNNNNNNNNNNNNNNNNNNNNNNNNNNNNNNNNNNNNNNNNNNNNNNNNNNNNNNNNNNNNNNNNNNNNNNNNNNNNNNNNNNNNNNNNNNNNNNNNNNNNNNNNNNNNNNNNNNNNNNNNNNNNNNNNNNNNNNNNNNNNNNNNNNNNNNNNNNNNNNNNNNNNNNNNNNNNNNNNNNNNNNNNNNNNNNNNNNNNNNNNNNNNNNNNNNNNNNNNNNNNNNNNNNNNNNNNNNNNNNNNNNNNNNNNNNNNNNNNNNNNNNNNNNNNNNNNNNNNNNNNNNNNNNNNNNNNNNNNNNNNNNNNNNNNNNNNNNNNNNNNNNNNNNNNNNNNNNNNNNNNNNNNNNNNNNNNNNNNNNNNNNNNNNNNNNNNNNNNNNNNNNNNNNNNNNNNNNNNNNNNNNNNNNNNNNNNNNNNNNNNNNNNNNNNNNNNNNNNNNNNNNNNNNNNNNNNNNNNNNNNNNNNNNNNNNNNNNNNNNNNNNNNNNNNNNNNNNNNNNNNNNNNNNNNNNNNNNNNNNNNNNNNNNNNNNNNNNNNNNNNNNNNNNNNNNNNNNNNNNNNNNNNNNNNNNNNNNNNNNNNNNNNNNNNNNNNNNNNNNNNNNNNNNNNNNNNNNNNNNNNNNNNNNNNNNNNNNNNNNNNNNNNNNNNNNNNNNNNNNNNNNNNNNNNNNNNNNNNNNNNNNNNNNNNNNNNNNNNNNNNNNNNNNNNNNNNNNNNNNNNNNNNNNNNNNNNNNNNNNNNNNNNNNNNNNNNNNNNNNNNNNNNNNNNNNNNNNNNNNNNNNNNNNNNNNNNNNNNNNNNNNNNNNNNNNNNNNNNNNNNNNNNNNNNNNNNNNNNNNNNNNNNNNNNNNNNNNNNNNNNNNNNNNNNNNNNNNNNNNNNNNNNNNNNNNNNNNNNNNNNNNNNNNNNNNNNNNNNNNNNNNNNNNNNNNNNNNNNNNNNNNNNNNNNNNNNNNNNNNNNNNNNNNNNNNNNNNNNNNNNNNNNNNNNNNNNNNNNNNNNNNNNNNNNNNNNNNNNNNNNNNNNNNNNNNNNNNNNNNNNNNNNNNNNNNNNNNNNNNNNNNNNNNNNNNNNNNNNNNNNNNNNNNNNNNNNNNNNNNNNNNNNNNNNNNNNNNNNNNNNNNNNNNNNNNNNNNNNNNNNNNNNNNNNNNNNNNNNNNNNNNNNNNNNNNNNNNNNNNNNNNNNNNNNNNNNNNNNNNNNNNNNNNNNNNNNNNNNNNNNNNNNNNNNNNNNNNNNNNNNNNNNNNNNNNNNNNNNNNNNNNNNNNNNNNNNNNNNNNNNNNNNNNNNNNNNNNNNNNNNNNNNNNNNNNNNNNNNNNNNNNNNNNNNNNNNNNNNNNNNNNNNNNNNNNNNNNNNNNNNNNNNNNNNNNNNNNNNNNNNNNNNNNNNNNNNNNNNNNNNNNNNNNNNNNNNNNNNNNNNNNNNNNNNNNNNNNNNNNNNNNNNNNNNNNNNNNNNNNNNNNNNNNNNNNNNNNNNNNNNNNNNNNNNNNNNNNNNNNNNNNNNNNNNNNNNNNNNNNNNNNNNNNNNNNNNNNNNNNNNNNNNNNNNNNNNNNNNNNNNNNNNNNNNNNNNNNNNNNNNNNNNNNNNNNNNNNNNNNNNNNNNNNNNNNNNNNNNNNNNNNNNNNNNNNNNNNNNNNNNNNNNNNNNNNNNNNNNNNNNNNNNNNNNNNNNNNNNNNNNNNNNNNNNNNNNNNNNNNNNNNNNNNNNNNNNNNNNNNNNNNNNNNNNNNNNNNNNNNNNNNNNNNNNNNNNNNNNNNNNNNNNNNNNNNNNNNNNNNNNNNNNNNNNNNNNNNNNNNNNNNNNNNNNNNNNNNNNNNNNNNNNNNNNNNNNNNNNNNNNNNNNNNNNNNNNNNNNNNNNNNNNNNNNNNNNNNNNNNNNNNNNNNNNNNNNNNNNNNNNNNNNNNNNNNNNNNNNNNNNNNNNNNNNNNNNNNNNNNNNNNNNNNNNNNNNNNNNNNNNNNNNNNNNNNNNNNNNNNNNNNNNNNNNNNNNNNNNNNNNNNNNNNNNNNNNNNNNNNNNNNNNNNNNNNNNNNNNNNNNNNNNNNNNNNNNNNNNNNNNNNNNNNNNNNNNNNNNNNNNNNNNNNNNNNNNNNNNNNNNNNNNNNNNNNNNNNNNNNNNNNNNNNNNNNNNNNNNNNNNNNNNNNNNNNNNNNNNNNNNNNNNNNNNNNNNNNNNNNNNNNNNNNNNNNNNNNNNNNNNNNNNNNNNNNNNNNNNNNNNNNNNNNNNNNNNNNNNNNNNNNNNNNNNNNNNNNNNNNNNNNNNNNNNNNNNNNNNNNNNNNNNNNNNNNNNNNNNNNNNNNNNNNNNNNNNNNNNNNNNNNNNNNNNNNNNNNNNNNNNNNNNNNNNNNNNNNNNNNNNNNNNNNNNNNNNNNNNNNNNNNNNNNNNNNNNNNNNNNNNNNNNNNNNNNNNNNNNNNNNNNNNNNNNNNNNNNNNNNNNNNNNNNNNNNNNNNNNNNNNNNNNNNNNNNNNNNNNNNNNNNNNNNNNNNNNNNNNNNNNCGACGCAUAAAUUUCGUCAGUGCCUCCCCUGUUGUUCUCCGGGUACACAUCCUCUCUGUUUAUUGCAGAGACGUGUAUCAGGAGAACAGCGGGGAGGUGCUGCCGAAAUUUUGCGUAGGAUCCGGGGCAUAGCAUGGGAAAAUGAACCCAAUCUAAACAUACUCGGGUGGGAUUAGGACCUAUCAUUACCUAUUAGAGUGUAGGUUGCAUGGACGUAAUAAAAUUGACAAAGUAGAUCAACUGAUGAAUACAUACAUGGUGAAUUAUAUAUAUAUAUAUUUGUUGUGUGUCUAGUAGCUCUGAAAGUCAAGAUGAGUGAUCGUGCGUGGAUGUACACCGGUCACACUGGUCAGAACAAAUGGAGCACUGAAUGGUUCACAAAAACCAAGGGGUUUGUGCGAGCCGCAUUUGCAAAUGGCCAGAGGAAAACCUGGUGCCCCUGUUUACGGUGCGGCAAUUGGGAAAAGAGGAAAGAGGCUGAAAUGGGCAAACACCUGCAGAAGAGUGGUUUUACGCCCGAUUAUACGGUGUGGACAUUUCAUGGUGAGUCUGCCCAACGUGACUGAGCUGAGGUGGAUCGUCGUCGCACCGACGAGCAUGGUACCGGUAUGGAAAACAUGGUGCAAGACUUUGAUGAUGCUCGGGAUUCGGAUGAGGAGAUGGAGGAAUCUGCAAAGGCCUUCAAUGAAAUGUUGGAGUCUGCAAAACGUCCGCUCCAUGAGCACACUGAGCUUUGUCAGUUGGAUGCCAUCUCACAAGUAAUGGCUCUGAAGGCUCAGUUCAACUUGGGCAGAGAAUGUUAUGAUGCAAUGAUGACAGUAUUUGGACGCUUUCUACCCAAAGGCCAUGUAAUGCCUGCAAACCUGUACCAGUCGGACAAAAUCCUCCGUGCACUGAAGAUGCCCUAUGAUAAGAUACAUGCCUGUGAGAAAGGAUGUGUCUUGUUUAGGCUUGACUAUGCGGACUUGAACUGUUGUCCCAUUUGCAAGUCUUCCAGGUAUGUUGUGGUAGACAACGGUAUGGGUGAGAAGACACAGACCAAAAUCCCCGUUAGUGUUCUUCGGUAUAUGCCAAUCGUACCAAGACUUCAACGUCUUUUCCUGGUCGAAGAGACAGCCAGACAGAUGACAUGGCACAAAACGGGCAAAAGAACCGAACUAGAUGCAGAUGGGAAUCUGAUGAUUGUACACACAUCGGAUGGUGUUGCGUGGAAAAAGUUUGAUGAAUUACAUGGUGACAAAGCGGCAGAUCCGAGGCAUCCUCGAGUCGGCAUCAGCACGGAUGGGUUCAGUGUGUUUGGUAUGACGGCAGCCCAAUACAGUUGUUGGCCCGUAUUUGUCUUUCCACUCAAUCUCCCCCCCCCCCGGACAGAUUAUGCAAAGAAAGAACAUUUUCCUGACGUUGAUAAUUCCAGGGCCCAACUAUCCGGGGAAAAAUAUGAAUGUGUACAUGCAACCGCUUAAGGACGAAUUGCAAGAAGCCUGGGAUAAUGGGUUCAAGACAUACGAUGCCUAUAGCAAACGGAACUUCAUAAUGCGUGUCUGGUACAUGUACUCGACGCAUGACUUGCCGGCGUAUGCGCUAUUCGUUGGCUGGUGUGUGCAUGGAAGGUUCCCGUGCCCCACGUGCAAGGGAGCUCUUGAGUUUCGUUGGCUUCAGGCCGGUCGCAAGUUUUCUUGCUUCGACAUGCAUAGAGAGUUCCUGAAUCCUCGCCAUAAGUUCAGGAAAGACAAGAAGAACUUCAUCAGAGGUAGAGUUGUCAAAAACUCUGCACCACAUGCAUUGACAGGCCAACAGACCCUGGAUCAGUUAAACGCUCUCGAGCCAGAUCCCGAGCGUCCAGGGUACUUCAAGGGGUAUAAUUCUAAGCACGCCUGGACUCACAAAACAUGCUUAUGGGAUCUGCCUUACUUCAAAGACCUCCUUUGCCCACACAACAUCGACGUGAUGCACACUGAGAAGAAUAUCGCCGAGGCACUUUUUGGUACAUUGUUCGGCAUAGAUGGGAAGUCAAAGGAUAAUACUAAGGCUAGAGUCGAUCUGGAGGCACUAUGUGAUAGGCCGUUACAAAACAUGAAAGAACCGAAAGGAAAGCAGAAGUGGACGAAGCCAAAGGCAUGGUUCAAUCUUCGAAGGCCGGCUAUGAGGGAAAUUAUCUUGUGGGUGAAAAUGCAGUUGAUGUUCCCCGAUGGGUAUGCAGCGAAUCUACAGAGGGGAGCCAGUCUUGAUAAAUUGAAGAUAUUUGGUCUCAAGAGUCAUGAUUGGCACAUAUGGAUUGAGCGGGUAAUGCCGGUGAUGUUGCGUGGCUUCAUCCCUGAGGAUGAAUGGCUAGUACUGGCAGAACUCAGCUAUUUCUUCCGUGUUCUUUGUGCGAAAGAACUAUCGCCUAGCGUGCUAGAAGAAAUGGAAGAGUUGGCGCCGGAGUUGAUCUGCAAGUUAGAGAAGAUCUUUCCACCGGGCUUCUUUAAUCCAAUGCAACAUUUGAUUUUGCAUCUCCCGACCGAGGCAAGAUUGGGGGGGCCCGUGCAAAAUCGUUGGUGCUACCCAACUGAGAGGAUGCAGAAGACGCUUCGACAAAAAUGUAAAAAUAAACGUAGAAUUGAAGCAUCGAUGGCUGAGGCAUUCAUCACUGAGGAGGCGGCAAACUUCGUGACAGCACACUACGAAGCCAAAAAUCGUCAUUUGCAUAAUCCGAAGCCUCGGUACCAUGCUGACGACCCUAAAAAGGGUGGAUCCAACCUCAGCCUAUUCAAAGGGAAUCUCGCACCAGCCAGUGUUUCAAAUCCAGUAUCUUUGGAUAACGAACAAUGGCGGACCAUUUCGUUGUAUAUCUUCAACAACCUGAUAGAAGUGCGGCCGUACAUCGAGUAAGUUCUCGGUACAUAGUUUCGCAACUUCUAUUUCCUUUGAACUGCUCUUAUUCCUGGAUAUUUCAUACAGUCGAUACGUCGCCUUAUUCUCGUAUGGAGCGGUGAUCCAAAAGGAUUCUGUCGAAGAGUAUGAGCUUCUCGCAAAGCAAGGUGGCGGCUAUCCCGGUUUCAUCUCUUGGUUCAAACAAACGGUAAUUUCUAUUAGACUUGUAGGCUAAUUUGUAGGCGGCUAUCCCGGUUUCAUUCGCUAAUUUGUGCGUAAUGCAACAAUCCUUUCAUAUUAAACUUGUAGGCUAAUUCAGAGUCUAUGGACGCCGAAUUGAGACAAGUCGCUAAUGGUUUUGACUAUAAGGUCCGUUCAUUUGACAAAUACGAACUCAACGGGUAUCGCUUUCGUACCUAUGGCAAAGAGCUAUCUAUGGCCGACCGAAAGUCUACAAAUUGUUGUGUAUCUGCUAUCGGCGAAGGAGGUACCGAGUAUUAUGGGAGAGUUGAAGCAAUUUAUGAACUUCUAUUCUAUGGUGAAAACCCACCGAAUGUCGUAGUCUUCAAAUGUUAUUGGUUUCAGCCAAAGGAGACUAGAAGAACUCAUGAACAUAUAGGGCUAGUUGAAAUCAACCAAAGCACCCAUUUAGAUGUUCCUGAUGUCUAUAUUACGGCUCAACAGGCGACCCAAGUAUUCUAUCUACCGUGGGCCUGCCAAACUAAUCCAAAUCUGAAAGGUUGGGAUGUCGUUUAUGAAGUGCCGCCACGUGCUAGACUAUCUCCCCCAAAGGAAGAGGAUUAUGAACCUCACAUUAACCCAGACACAUAUGAAGGAGAAUUCUUCCAAGAGACACGUCUUUCCAAAAAGCGUUUCAAGAACCGCUAUACUUCACCCCAAAACAUUGAAGUAGACAGUGACAGUGAAUCUGACAUCACCCCAGAGGAGGAACAAGAAGAGCCGGAACAAGAAGAGGUUACUGCUGCGGAUGACCUGUCAUUGCUUGACCGAUUACGUCAAGGUGGCCUUGCACAUGUUGAUGCCACUGAACCCUAUGAGCCUGUCAUUGAUUAUAGUGAUGAUGAUGAUUAUGCAUUUAUUGAUGAUACUGAUCGAGAUUAUUAGUAGUGUCAGGUAUUAAAUUUUUUAAUGUUGUACUUGAUGAUGAUACACUUAAGUGAUACACAUAUUAUUAUUCAUGUCGGUCUUUUUUUUAUGUUGUACUAAUUUCGUUUACUGUUUGUCAUGGCAGGUGUUGAAAGAUGGUGGGCGCUGGUCGGGAGCGCGCCAAGGCUCCUUCUUCCUCGGCGCGUGGUCUGAGGUCUUCGAUUCCAGACGUACCUCUUCGCCGAGCGUUGCUGGACAGUAUGUCCACACCGCCGGGCCCUUCUUCGUCCACCGCGGUGCCCAGCAGGGGACGAGGUAGGAAGAGAGGAGGUGGGGCACGUGGUCGCGGGAGAGGAGGUAGGGUGACUGCUAGGGCGCCUUCCUCGCCGCCACCCCCAGCUAUUUCACCCGAGCACGUGACUGCUAGGGUGGACUCGUCCGAGGAGGAGGCUACACGGACUCCGGUCCACGAGCCUCCGGUCCACGGGUCUUGGGCCCACGAGCCUCGGGUCGACUGGCCUUCGGCCCACGAGACCCCGGAGGAGCACACGUCCGGAUGGGGUACCUGGCCGGAUCAGCCCGAGGAGCCGAGUGGCCAUGCUGAUGAUGGCGGGGAGCCGACUGAUCUUGAGGAGGAGGGUGGCACCGUCUACCAGCGUGGUGCUACACGGCUCCCGUCCGUGCCGGCGACCCGCGAGCAGAGGUGGUUGAUCUUGCCUGAUGGGGAGAGGUAUGUAAGUGCAUUUAAUAUUUUUGUACCUUCUGCAUUCACGUUUCUUCAAAUAACUAAUGCGUUGGCCUUGUCAUGCUGCAGGGGUUGGGACCACCAUCAUAGUGUCCGCCGGCCCAACUCCGUCCUUGGAGUUCUUUGCCGGCAAAACUUCCCGGGGUUUGUCACGUUGCCUGGUGAGGGUCGGCUUCCAGAGCUUGGGUUGAGCUGGGAGCACUACGUGGCUGCCCCGGCCCCGCCGGAUGUCAUUAUCGACGGUGUCGUGUGCGACACGAGGGCAGACAUGGUGAUCAGGACGUUCUGGGUAAUUUCUCCUUUACACAUUUCAAAAUCUUCAACUAGCUAGUUAUUAAUUGUACUAAUCAAUAUUGUCUCAUUUGAUUGCAGACAUUCUACAGGUGUGAGGAGGGAAACGAGGAGGACUGCGCAAAUGUUAUCGAGAACGUCUGCAAGCGCCUACUCCAGAACUUACGGCACGAGGCUCGGGUGCAGGCUGUUCGAGACUACUACGCCUUGCGUGGUAUCAAGAAGACCAAGCCGGCGUGCCGCGAUAAGUACCUGAGUAAGGAGCAGUACAUGAAGGUAAUUCUUAAGGCCUUCUACUUAAGUUCCUUCAUUUAGUAAUUCUUAGCCGUAGCGCUCAAGUUUCUAUUUGCUAACUUAGGCGCCUCCGAGAUGGUGUGCUGAUCGGAUGGAUUGUUGGGAGGUGUUGGUCGAUGAGUGGUGCUCACAAGAAUGGCUAGCCCUCCACAACCAGGCCAAGGACAAACGUGCCCAAAUGGAAGGUGUGCCACACCAUCAAGGCAGCUCCAACUUAUAUCAGUUCGGGCGCAACUGGGUAUGUGGUUUGCUUCAUGAUUCAUGCAAUUCAUUCAUCAUGCUAGCUUGAGCCCUUUAAUUACUAACUUUCAUUGCUUCUCUCUUUCAGGCAUGCCACAAUAAGGCGGAUAAGGUGCCAGAGGUGUACGACCUGUAUGCCAUGGCCCACACUGGCUCUUACAAGAAAGUCAAGGCUUUCUCUCAGUCUGACCUCGAUGAUGCAAACAACUUCACCAACAUCUCCUCCCACAACAAGCUCGUGAGAUAUAGAGAUGAGGGGAAGGCGAGGAAAGGGGAGGACUUUAACCCGAGCCAGGGUCCCAUUGAUCCAGAGCUGGUGAUGAUAUCUGGUGGCGGGAGGUCCCAUGGUUCCAUAGCCAUUGGAGAUGGACUUAUCCGUUGUCCUAGCACUCUCCCGGAGAUCAAGGCGCGCCAGUCGAGCUCCGCUCCUGAGAUAAGGCCUCGUGAACGGCCAGUGCAACUCGCCAUCAAGGUUAAUGAUACGUACUCAGUUAUCUUUCUCCAUUACAUUGUGUGCGCUUCCAUCAAUGAUUACAAAUGGUCAUGUGAGUGGUGUUGCAGGCUGCUAUACAGACUGAGAGAGAUAGAACGGAGAAACUUCUGGCGGAGGCGGCGGAGAGGCAGCGGGAGAUGGAGGAGAGGACGAGAAAGAUGAUGGAGGAGGAGAGGGCACGGAAUGACAUGCAGGCAAGGGCCAUGUACGAGCUCCUUGUGGUAAGUUUCUUCUGCAGAUUACUUGCUAGUCUUAACAUUUGAGUCUCAUUACUAACUAGUAUGACUCUGUUCUGAAAACCAAAUGUGCAGUCUGUGUGCGAGAAGUCCGGUCAGCCCGCUCCGCCGAUGCCAGUGAUUGCUCCUGGGAGCACGGUGAGUUUAGUUUGAAUGGACAUUAGUUGGUAGUCUCAACAUUUGAGUGUCAUAAUGCUAACGAGACAUUGGAAAUGAUCUUUGUUGCAGCUUAACUCCAGAAACGCAUCGCACGAUCCUUCUCCAGGUAGCGGCACUAGCCACCCCGGUCCUACACCUCCCUGAUCACGGUAAGUUUCUCUAGUGUUUUGCUUAACAAAUGCAUAAAGACCUAGACUUAGCUUUAUUUCCUCCAAUAUGCUUACCAUAAUGACCUAGAGUUAGCUUAUUUUCCUCCAAAAUGACCCAUUUUACCUAGGUUAGCUUAUAAAUGAUGCAGUUCAUCCAAGUUAGCUCAAAAAUGACCCAUUUUACCUAGAUUAGCUCCUAAAUGAUCCAUUUUACCUACGUUAGCUUUAAAAUGGCCCAUUUCACCUACGUUAACUCCAAAAUGACCCAUCUUACCUAGGUUAUCUCAUAAACGAUCCAUUUCAACUAAUUUAGCUCAUAAACGAUCCAUUUGACCUAAGUGAGCAAAAAAACGAUCCAUUUCACCUAAAUUAGCUCUUAAAUGAUCCAUUUCACCUAAGUUAGCUAAAAAACGAUCCAUUUCAACUAAAUUAGCUAAAAAAAAUGAUCCAUUUCAACAAAGUUAGCUCAUAAACGAUCCAUUUCAACUAAGUUAGCUCAAAAACGAUCCAUUUGACCUAAGUGAGCUAAAAAACGACCCAUUUCACCUUAGUUACCUCAAAAACGAUCCAUUUCAACUAAGUUAGCUCAAAAAUGAUCCAUUUCAACUAGGUUAGCUCCAAAAUGACCCAUUUCACCUUACUUAGCUCAAAACGAUGCCCUUCACCUUAGUUAGCUCAUAAACGACCCAUUUCAACUAAGUUAGCUCAUAAAUGAUCCAUUUCAACUAAGUUAGCUCAUAAACAACCCAUUUCAACUUAGUUAGCUCAUAUAUGAUCCAUUUCACCUAAGUUAGCUCAUAAAUGACAUAUACUUCUUGUUCUAGUCUUCUUCUUGUUCUAGUCUUCUUCUUGUUCUAGUCACCUAUUUCUAACUUUCUUAUUUACCAUUUUGCAGAUUUCAUUCACUUGAUGGAAGCUAGCUUGCUAUGAUGGAGUGCUUGCUUUUCCUUUGAUGAAACUUUGCAUUGUAUCUAGCUUGCUAUCUUCAUGACACUAUUCAUUGUAAUAUAUAUAUGGAUGGAACAAUGUGUAUGGAUGGAACUUCCUUAUGUAUGAACAAUGUGUAUGGAUGAAACUGAUGUGAUAUGUGAUAUGAAACUUAUGUGCUAGAUAUGUGUUGGAUAUGUGCUGGAUAUGAAACUUAUAUAUGUGAUAUGUGCUGCAAAUUGUGGGAUUUAAUAAAAAAUAGAAAAAACAGACAAUAUGCAGGCUCUUUGCCGUCUGCCACCGACGGCAAAGAGCUCUUUGUCGUCCGCCGCGGACGGCAAAGAAGCCACGUGGCAGCCAACUGUGCUUCCUGGGAGCUGACCCAUUUGGUCAGUUUGCCUACAGUGGCAGACGGCAAAGAACCUGCAGUUUGCCUACAGUGGCAGACGGCAAAGAACCUGGCAUCUAGUGACGUGUAGAUGACAUCAUAAGGCGGACGGCAAAGACCAAAGGCUCUUUGCCGUCUGCGGCGGACGGCAAANNNNNNNNNNNNNNNNNNNNNNNNNNNNNNNNNNNNNNNNNNNNNNNNNNNNNNNNNNNNNNNNNNNNNNNNNNNNNNNNNNNNNNNNNNNNNNNNNNNNNNNNNNNNNNNNNNNNNNNNNNNNNNNNNNNNNNNNNNNNNNNNNNNNNNNNNNNNNNNNNNNNNNNNNNNNNNNNNNNNNNNNNNNNNNNNNNNNNNNNNNNNNNNNNNNNNNNNNNNNNNNNNNNNNNNNNNNNNNNNNGCAGACGGCAAAGAGCCUUUGCCGUCCGCCGCCAGGAAGCAGACGGCAAAGCAGCUGUUUACCGUAGCCUUCUUUGCCGGAGCCUUUUGCCGUCCGCGGCUGACGGCAAAGGUCUUUGCCGUCCGCGGCUGACGGCAAAGGUCUUUGCCGUCCGCCUUUCGAGCCUUUGCCGUCCGCCAUGGCAGACGGCAAAGUAGCUGUUUCCUGUAGUGUUAGUGCUAGAUCACUACUUAAUGUCCUUUAAUUAUUGUUUUGUUGCAUAUCUGUAUGGUGAUGAACUAAUUUAUUGUGUAGUAUUGGUACUGGGAGCACGUGCGUAGUGGCCGAUUGAUGUAUGCUUCUAGACCCCCUCCAUUGAUCGCACGAUGGGACAAAAUGACGGCUACUUUAAGAAGCGAUGCUUACGACAAAGGAGGUCUGCAUAAUGGGCUGGUACCUAUCUACAAUUGAACUUUCUAUAUCCGAUUUUUUAUUUGGUACUAAUGGUUCAUUAUAUUUUAUAAAAAAAGGCUGUCAUGAAAAUUUGUGCUCCUCAACGACCGUCUGAGAAUUCUAAUAAUUUUCCAAGAAAAAAUGAUGAACAUGUGCAUCAACAUGAUUCGUAUCGAGCACCAUCACAAGGACAGCAAUUUAGUAGCCAGCAAGUAUGUACUCCAAAGACUAUUUGUUUUUGCAAUAUCGCAAAUAGGUGUCAUGGAACCUCAUUCAUUUAGCUAUUGUUAUCAACGGGGUUUUAUUUUGUUUACACAGAUUGACAUGCUAGUUGAAGCCAUGAAUGCACGCUUAGCUGAUCAUGAAAAGAAGGUAGGCAGGAAGUUAAUGGAAAUUGAGCACAGAUUUGAUGUCAAAUACCAGACGCUAGGUGAAGACUUGAUCGACAUGAAGACUAAAACUGGCACUAAUCCUAGGUUGUCGAAGGCCGAGGACGAAAUUAAAGACUUAAGGAGGGAACUACAUGUAUGUUAUACUGUGCAUUUUGUAUUUUGUAUGAAUAUGUUCCUUCAUGUUCAUUAUUGUUUGCAUUGUUACAGGAAUUAAAAUACGAAUUUACAAGCAACCGACAAUCAGUGUCACAGAAAGGACGCGUGCAGGUGAUCUUUAUGGCCCAACACGUUAAUAUCUAAAAGUAACAAACUAAUGAUGAACUACCUUUGUUCUUUGGAGGAUCAAGUCAAUGUGUGCAAUUCAUCCCUGACAGGAACUCCUAGGGCUAGCCAAUUCACGGCAGGGACUUCGACUACACCAAGUGCAAGACAUAUGACGGAAAACAAUGAGAAACCACAAUUAACUCCGAUGAAGCCUGUCUUUGGUAAUGAUUACAAGUUCACGGAUGAGGACAUCGAGACAACCGUUUACAUCCGCGGAACAUACGACCCUGUUGAAAUAGCUAGAAUCGGAGACAUUACCCUCAAAGCAGAACAACUGAAGCGAAAUUUGGAUGACGAAUACAUUUAUGGUGAUGUAAGCCCAUUAUGCUCUAGUCUACAUCAUUACUGUAACAACUUUCUUAUUAUUGUAUGAUUGAAAAUUUGGCAGGUUAUUAUGGCAUAUGCUCGCAUUAGCCAAAUUGAGAAUGAUACUACCUCAAUCAUAUCCCCUGAAGAAACCGAAAAGCUGUUACAAAUGAAGGGGGUGGUUCUUGUUGGACGUGCAGCCUCAUGGUUAGCUCGUGUAGCAGAAAAAUUUGUAGGGCGCCGAAAGGUACAUGUUUUCCUCACUUUCAUAGUUUAUGUACACACUGUACACGACAAAUUUCGGUUCUCAACCCAACCCAAAUGUUACUGCAGGUGCAUGUCCCACUAAAUGUACACCAAAACCAUUGGAUGCUAAUGAUGUUUAAUUUUGACAAAAAAGAAAUUCAGACUCUGAACUCCAUGAAUUAUCAUUGCGAGAAGACCAAGGAAGAUUCUCUUGUAAGUGUUCUCUUGCUGCCUCUUUUGAUCCGCAUGGCACAUGAGCUCCCAAAGUACCAUAACCCCAUGUAUAACUCGUCGUACCCUAGGUGGACUCGAUUCAGUUCUGCAUCGACGAAGCUGUCAAGAAUGGGUUGAUAUCACCAGCUAAGAACAUCAAUUUUGCCGAAUGGACCAAAAAACGCUAUGAGAACAUACCACAACAGACCGAUGGGUACGCAUGGCCUCAUAAAUUAUUAUUUUCCUACACGAAUAAGAUUACUCAUCUUUAACUAAACAUCGCAGGACUUCCUGUGCGGUUUGGACACUGCAGUACAUGUUGUCAUGGAACGGGGAUGAAAUGACCGAUAUUUUUAACCAGGUAAUUGAAUGCCUAAUUUACAUUUGUACUUUGUUUAGCUUGAAAGCUAUCCUGUCGUAAGUGUCGGUUAUCAAAUAUAGGCAAGGAUAGAUAUUUUCAGGUGGAAAAUAUGUACAGCCUUACUGCAUUCAAAUUGCAACACGCUUCGUCUCGAAUCAUAUAAGUUCCCCAUAAAGGUUAGUGCUACAUCAAGAAUAUAUCAUUUAUUUCAUAAGUCUCAUGAUUAGAACUAACGCAGCACUCUCUCUUAUACAGAAGGAGGUGUACGAUGCCCAGCAAGCAGUUCUACCUGAUGGUUCAGAAGACGACGUACAAUUAGUCAACAAUCCUGAUGGUUCCAACGAACCCGACACAUCCAACUCCCAGAAGGAUACCGGUGCACCCGACUCCCCCAAAAGUGGUGCACCCAACUCCCCAAAAAGGAAGAGAGCACGUGGACGCCCGAGAAAGCUAGUCAAUCCUGAUGAAGCAGCAAAAACAAAGAGUCUUAAAGAACUGAAACGUAAAUUUGACAGCAAGACCAUAGCCAACCAAGUGUCUUCGUUAUCAUCACGGUCACGCAGAGAGCAUAAACCAGCACCAGCUUUAUUGAGCCCAUUCAAACACAAAUAGGUAGCAUCAAUUGAUCACCAAUUGAUAAAUGCUCAUGCUCAUGCUCUACUUUUAGCAUCAUUUCAUACACGUUUAGUUCUUAUCAAAAAGUGGAAAUAGGUACUUUUGGCAAUCAUGAGCAUCCUCUACUUAUAGCAAUAUCUAAUGCAUCAUCAGUACAAAGCUUGAUUUGGCAAUAGGUGGAAUCGGCAAUCAUUUGCAUGCUUUAAUUUUGUGAAGCUAUAAUCAUACUGAGUUAUACACUAAGCAUAAUCAUGCCAAGCUAUAACUACCAUAGUCAUAAACCAGGCUUUUCUUAAGCACAGGUGCUUAUUUGUACAGGGUAGACGCAUAACUAGGCGUCUCUCAUGUAGAAAUAGGCACUGGUGCUUCAGAAAAACCCUAUUUAUUUUUCUAAGCACCACCCUAAGCAUCUAGCAUUGUACAAGGCUUAACAUGCAUCACCAAAAUAGUAUUAACAACUUGGAACACUAAACCCUAUUUAUUUUUCUAAGACCCUGAUAAGUUUCAGAAGGAAAUUGGUAAAGCAGCUAUGGGGUGUCGCACUGCUCAUAUUGAUGAGAGAUGUGGCUGUGAUCAUCUAGAUAAUAUACUGGGGAAAAUUGGCUACAUGAAAUGUUUUGAUUUUGUGUCAGCCCAUAAUUAUUAAGGGAGCAAUCACUUCAUUUGCAAAAUGGAAAUCUGUACAGAAUUUGCAAACGAAUCAUCUAUGAACAUGUGUGCAAACUGAUCAUCUAUGAACAUGUGUGCAAAUUAAUUCAUCUACAUAAACUAAAAUGAAUCAGGAACUGCAGCAUUUUGUCACUGUCCUGGGGAAGCCAAUGGAGAAUCCUGCCAUAUAUCCAUUGUUUAACCCACUUUUUUCAUUAAUGUAUCCCUGCCAUGAACAUUUUCUUGUAUUUGGGUUCAUUACCCCACUUCUUUCAUUAAUGUAUCCCUUGUGUGAAAAACCCUAAUGUCAUGAAAAAAACAGAGCAAAAAACAGAUUUGGGGAAGAAAUGCACUGCUCCUGCCUGUUGGAGUUACCGAGAAGCCGCGGGUGCCGAUUUGACUUGACACACCCACCCGGCCGUCCCCAUUCCACGUGGGGACGUGGCGGUCGUGCACCUCCUGCGGUUUGCAUUGCUAUCGGUCUCACAAGUGGGUCCCCUUGUCAUCCACACAACCACGCCACCACAUGUACCACAUUUUUCUUUCUCCCCUUCUCGACCACUCCACAUCUUUCUUUCUCCCCUUCUCGACCAGCGCCGCCGCCGCCGCCAUCUCCCGACGACCCCUCUCUACGCUGCCGGUGCGCGGCCGCCGCCAACUCCGGCAAGUACGUGAGAUCUCCCCUCUUCUUCCCUUCCCCAACCGCGUCUCCCUACGGAGGCGGAUCUGAGCCGAUUGGCUGUUGCCGGCCGGAGCUCGUCGGAUCUCUCGAUGUCAUGUCUGAUCUAGAUUCAUGACGUGCCCUCGCAUAUGGCUUUGUCCAUGGUUUGAACCUUUGGAUUCAAUCCAAAAGUUGAAAACGGUUUGGACUGGGUUGGAUGACGAGCAUGUAUAGUUCGGUUUGGUCUAGAUUAGUUUUAAUGUGUGCCGUGGAUUGGACUGGUUUUAGUUUGGAUGCCGAACUAUUCCCAGGUUUAGAUGAGACGGGCAUUGCCAUUGACAGUAUAGGUUAUCACUAUGAUUUAUUAUAUGUAUGAUCUUUGUAUUGUACUAUGUACAAUUCAACUUAGAGUUCAACAUGUUCUGUGUAGAAUGGAGGAAGCACCAUGUGGACGCUGCAACUCACGGUGCCGGACCAGCCUUUCUACUACCACGCUGUUCAGCAUCUACUUCCAGCCUUCUUUUGUUGUUGCAGCGGUAACAAUUUAUAUGAACCUUCUGACAGUACAUUUUUUUGCUAUUUCCACUAAUGUAUUGUGUGUGUUAUUUGUUUUUAUCUUACACAGAUCGUACCAUGCAAUGUGAGAUUGGCAUUCAAUGAGCUCAUCGGAGACACCGUGACCUUCGCCGCUCUUGGGGGCCCAUACACUAUGCAGGUCGAGAAGGGGCGAAAGAUAACCCAGAUAGGAGGAGAUGAUUGGGAUCGUUUCAUCACCCGCAUGCGUCUUAGUGGGGGCGAAUUGAUCUGCUUCUCCUUCAGAAGAGAUAGGCCCAGGAUUUAUGUUAUCUAUCUAAAUUUGAUUCCGGAUAGUGAGGAUGAAGUUCAUGAGGAGGAAGAUGGUGCUGAUUCAGAUGAUGACGAUUCAGAUGAUGAUGAGAACCCACUUGCUGAAUACCUGUAUGCCCAAGGACUCAAACUGGGCGACGAGGAAAUCGGCAACCUCUGGGACAUGCUUCCGCUACGUGAAGACUACCUAGGGAAGCCAUUCGUGACCCGCCUCACAAGGACGAAUGUUAAACGGCAUAUCAUGGUAUGUUACUUAGUGUGGUAAUUACAUGAUAUGCAUGCUUAGUUAGGGUAGUAGUUCAUAUGAUAUGCAUGUUGUAGUACUGUGAUGAUAGGCCUAGUUUAGAAUUCAUUUAGUGAAGAAUUUUAUGACAUGCAUGUAGUGUAGUAAUAUGCGAUGAUAUGCUUAGUGUACGCAGUAAUCUAAUGAUAUGCCUAAUUACUGUAGUAAUUCGAUGCUUGGCGUAUAGUGUAGUGAUGUGAUGAUAUAUAUGCUCAGUGUUGAAUCCAAUGAUAUAUGUGUCUUGAAGUGUAUCCUUUGUUGAUAAUUGCACGUGACAUGAUCAUAUGUCAUGUCAACUAUUUUCAGAAAUUACCUAAGAGGUUACUUGAUAGCUGUGGCAUCGACCCGGACGAAGAAGGCAUGGCUGCUGGACUACGCCUUACCAGAACGGGCUCCAUCACCAGCUGUGCCUAUGCAGUGGACACGGACGGUCGCACUGUCUUGAGCAGGGCAGGGUGGAAAAAGUUCCUUCGUGCCAAGAAUCUUCGGGUAGGACAGGCCAUCCUACUCACUGUUGCGAACACCCGUCGCCAUGACUUGAGGAUGAUGAUCACCAUCCACCUCAUUUAGAACUGGGGUGGGCCAUGUAUCAAUGUGAAAUGAACUUUUUAUGUUAGCUCUUGUUUGCGAGUACUUGUCGUGUAUUACCGUACCUAUAUGUACUCAUAUCUAGGUACUAUUGCUUGUGAUGGAUUGCAACUAUUAUUAACUGGUAACUAAUGCUCUACUAGCUAUGAUUAUUCCACUGUGUGAUGUUUUAUAGGCUGUAGUGUGACAUGGUAACUGUUAUAUAUGGUAACUAUUAUAUAUGUUUGCUGAAGCUUCCGAAGAAAUUUACAUACAUUUUCUGAAAUUCGAGAACAUUUUUUUAAUUUUUGAUUUUUUUAGAUUUGAACUUUUUUAAAAAAAAUGGGUGAACAGUUUUGAAUUAUAUUUUUUCAUCAACUUCAAAAAAUAUUCGUAUUACUAAGAAAUUGCGAAAAUUUUUAAAAUUCACGCUUUCUUAAGAAAAACAUAAACAUAUUUUGAAUUCAGGAACAAUUUUUUAAACAAUGAACUGUUCUUGAAAUCAGGAAAAUUUUCCAAAUUCAGAAAUAUAUUUUUGAAAUUGUGAACAUUUUUUAAAUUUCCUAAUAUCUUUUACGAAUUCAUGAACAUUUUUGAAAAAUUCAUACAUUUUUCAAAAUAUUUUGAACAUUUACUAAAAAUUCAUGAACAUUUUUUUAACAUAUGAACACUUUCUAAAAUCACGAACAUUUUUUGAAUCUGUGAGAUUUAUCAUGUCCUGAACAUUUUUUCAAGCCAUGAAGAACUUUGGAAUGCGAACAUUUUUUCGCAAUUUGCAACUUUGUAGAAAUCCUGAAUUACUUUCAAAAGGAAAAAUAGAAAACAGAAAAAAUAAAAAGGAAAAACGAAAGGGGCUUCCCGCCCCUCACAUGGGCUGGCCUUAAGGGCGCAUGAGGGAGGGCGGGUGCAUGCUUCCUUGGUUUCGGGCGUGUUGGUCGUCAUAUAGGAUCGUAUGCCCGGCCGUAUAUGUAUUUCUUUGUAUACGGCGGCCUUUCGUGCACGCGUGAAGCCGCCCGCGCGUGGGGCAGCACGUGUCACGGGUAGUUGCCAAAACUGUCCCAUCAUAUAAAUGUGGACGGCAACCACCUCCGGCCGCAUCGCCCACCAUUUCCCCCCGCCGCAUCGUCUCCCUCUCUCCACUCCCCACUCCCCAAAACCCUCUCCUCUCCAACCUCCUCGUCCACCUCACCGCAUCCUCUCCAUCGCCAUGGCGGACGCAGGAGGCAAGCGCCCCGAUUGGGGCGCAGAUCUGGUGGAGCAGGCGCGGCAGGUCGCUGCGGGCACCUUUGUGAGGGGGCGUGCCGGCGUCCAGCGCGGUGCUCCCUCCGCUGGAGAUCUAGAGAAGGCGGGGCCGGGCCGCAGCAGCGUGGUCCAGCCAGAUGCGCCCGCUCUGGCGAUCUCCGGCGAGGCGCAGAAGGUGGAGGCGGGCUGUGGCGAGGCGCAGAAGGUGGGGGCGGGCUGUGGCGAGGCGCACGAGGUGGAGAAGGUGGAGAAGGUGGAGGCCAGCUCCGGCGAGGAGGAGGCGGAGCAGAAGGUAUCUGCUUAUCAUUUUUAGUUGGUAGUUUUUAGAUUGUAGUGUUUGUGGCCAGAACUUUGUUUGGUUAGAUUUGUGCAUGGCCUUGUGUUUUGGAAAUUGUCUACCUGAGGUGAUUAGAUGGUGCAUUAGUUUGGUUGUAAAUAUAGUGAAGGAUGUGCUCAUGUACUGGGUGUUGUCAUGUUAAUCAAAAGGAGCUUCUCAAGGGCUGGAUUUUUUUGUGCUGGAUUGGGGCUUCUGAAGGAGAGGGGAAGCGUGGUCGAGGGGAAGGGGCAGUCUAUGCUUAUUUAGUUUGGGUUAGUUGUGGAAUUUUGUUGUUGCUUCAGAGAUAUUGACAGCAUUGAACAUCCUCUGCAAUGCCGUUGCUUCAAAGAUAAAAGCAUCUUGGGGUUUUUUCAGAUGCUCAUUAGAUUAGUAGUUCAAUUUUUGCUUGUUAGAUUUUAAUUAGUAUGAGGUUGAAUACCUUAUAUAAGGGGGAAUUUAAGGUCAGAUAGAUGUCAUAUGAUUAUUAGAUCUGUAGUUCAAUGCUGCUGACAUUUAUGAUUAUUUGUUUUGAUCUGUGGUUCAAUGAUACUGGAUGGAAACAUAUUUGAUUUCGAAUGCAUUAAUUUUGAUGUGCCAAUGUAUUGAUUUAGAUGAUACAACAUUCAUCUAUAGUAUAAUUUGUUGUUGUUUUGGUAAGUAAUGAAAUUUUAGAUGUUUGUUGGAGAUGUAUGCAUUUAUAGUUGAAGUUAUACCUAAUUAACUACUGCAUUAUGUUAAUAUGUGUAGGAGCUUUGCUGCAUUAUCCCAAAAACAGUAAUCUGUGCAUAUUGAAAUUUGUAGUUGGCUUAUGUAAUUAGUAUAUACUAUAUGUAAAGUGUGAAGUAAACAUUCCAAGGCAGGAUCCUAGCAACAAAAUAUACUAUAUGUUUCCAUUAAGUAGUGUGGGGGGGAAUUCCCUCAAAAGAAAAGUGUUGGGUAAAUUCAGGGAAUGUCAAGAAUCCAGCUUGCAUUUUCAUUAGCAUUUAUGAAGGAAAUCAUUUGUCUUUUGAUUGAUUGCUUAGAUUCUUUAUUUAUAAGGAAAGCAUUUGGUCACUUGCAACAUACCAAUGUGGUUCACAUUCACAAUUUUGUUUGUAAUGACAUUCUGUUAACUGCAAUUCAAUUCAUUGUAAUUGAUGUGCUUGUUUGACAAUAUAGCAGCAGGAGGAGGAGCAAUUAGUGCCCAACAAGAGGAAGUGGGACAAGACUGGGUUCUACUCAUAUGACUCUGAUGAAGAUGAGCCGUACGAGGUAAGGCCUAGUUGAAAUGUUAUUUGUGCAUUGAGUUAGUAUUACGUGUUUAUAGUUUUUUGAAUGCAUAAUGUAUUAAUGUCAGUCAUUAAUGUGUGCAGUAUGAAUCUGGAGAUGAUGUGGACGAGGGGAACGUCGAGUCCUUUGAAGAGAAGGAGGUGCAGAAGAUCAGGGCCCAAGGAUCUGCCAUGUACUACAACUGGAGGAAGGACAAGUACAGGUGCCCCUACUGCAGUAAGCCCAAGCCCAGGUCUGGGUUGCAGGAGCAUCUGAUGCAGCAUUGUCGGGCUACAUCCACCAGCAGUCAUGACUACAAGAUCAGUGCUCAGCAUUCUGCCCUCCACAAGGUCCUGAAAAACCCUAACCUCUAGUCGUACAUCAUGCUGAUCAUCAGAAGCUGGAAGCCGUACUCAUCAUCACUAUAUUUGAUGAUGUUUUACUUUUGGAAACUGUGGUGAACUUCUAUUAACGUAAUGUAAUGUAAUGUAUUGUGUGUGUGAACUGGAUCUGUGGUGAACUUCCUGGUACAUGUGGUGGUAACUUAGAAUGAUAUCUAUAUGUGUGGCCUUAACUUUAUUGGUGGUGAAUGCUUCCUUCAUGUUUAGUUGUUGUUUCGAUGGUGCAAUUAUCACAAAUGGCGCUUCAGUGUUGCUUCAGACAUGCUAACUGUUCUAUAUGGUAGUGGCACUUCAGUGUUGCGCCAGGUUGUAGUAUGAAAUGCUAACUGUUCUAUAUGGUAGUGGCUGAUCUCUAAUUGGACGGACAUGUUGAACUAGUAUCAAUGCAAACUCUUAAGAUAAACGGCAGAUCAACCACCGCACAGCAUCAGUUCAGACACACCAUAGGACAUAAGUUCAGACACACCUAACAACAAAGAAACAUAGAUAUCAUAAAAGGACACUGCGCUAGCAACUUGAAGGCAGACUUUGAUCUCUCUUCAUGCCGCGUAGUGGCAGUGGUAGUAGGGGUCAGCCUCCUGUGCUUCUGAAAUUUCCACACCUGAUUUGAUGUUGUCUAUUAUCUUCCAAGCCUUGUAGGUGGCGUACGCAUCCUUCGCUGCGUACUCGAUGAGGUAGUCUGGCAGCGGGUUGAUCCCCCACAGUUUAUGGUCUUCGGUCCUGUUGAUCUUCUUCUUCAUGUUUUGGUAAAAUGGCUGGAUGACGCUGGCUGCAACAUCAGCCAAGGAGUCGUACGGCUUCUUUCUGCAGCCAUAUGGAACUCUAUAGUUUUUCUGAAUGUCGAUGUACUUUUCCGGGUUGAUCUCCAAACCAGACAUCUUCAGCAUCUCUUUGUCAUUAUGAAUCCUGAAACCGGCAAAGGUGAACAACUUCUUCUCCUGGAGGAAGCUCUUGAGGCGCUUGGGCCUUCAAGGGGAGAGACAUAUUGAAGAUUAGUAGUAAUUUUGAAUAUUUAGGAGUUGUUUGGUUUGUGACUAAGUUUGCCAAAGAUUGCCACACCUAAGGUUAGGCAAGUUUGACCAACUUAGGUGUGUGUUUGGUUCAAGCCACACCUUAGGCAAGCCACACUUGGGUCCCACAUGGCAUACACACAAAAAGUGUGGCAAGAUUCCCUUAGGCUUGCCAACUUGUGGCCCUCAUUUUGAUGAACUAACCUUAGGCAAACUUGGCAAAAAAUUGUGGCAAAGUGUGACACUGCUAGUGCCAGAACCAAACAAUACGAGUGAUGAAUGCAUGAAGUACAUGAUGUUAUUUCUCUUUUUGGAUCAUACAGUUUAAAAUAACACUACAGCAAACUACUUCACUACAUCAACUUCAGAAACAACUUUUAAUACAUCUAGUCCAGUCCAUCCACACCGGUAGACACAACACUAAUGCAUCAAUAUCAGAAACUACACUAGUAUAUCAGAAACUACACUAGUAGACACAACACUAAUACAUCUAGUCCAGUGGAUCAACUUCAGAAAAUAACACUAAUGCAUCAAGUGCAGAAACUACACUAGUAUAUCAAGUUUGGUGAUUAAUCUGGUGCAAGAUUUUAAGAUACUAAUCCAGUGCAUCAGGGUAAAAAUCUAUGCCAGUGCAUGUACUUGAGAAACUACACUAGUGCGUCCACUUCACAAUCUACACUAGUACAUGUAGUUGAGAAACUAGGGUAUAUGAGUAGGAUGGCUCACCAUUUUGUGGCCGCAGCGAUGUGGUACACCAGGCAGAGUUCCUCCACGCAUAACUGCAGAACUGCUGCGUACUGCGGAGGUUCGUCAUCCCUGGUAUACUCCACAUCAACGCCGACGAAUCUAGGAUACAUGCCGGCGGCUUUCAUGAAGAGCCUCCUGAGCAUUUCGUCGGCAGUGUCUGGAUUGCUGGUGCAGACGACCUCCAGCGUCUCUUUGCCGUGGAGUUCCACCUUGUCAAGUUUGGUGGUGUAGUCGCGCUUCUCACCGGGGACCUGAACGUCGUCUUCCUUGAUGCUCUGGUCGGACGUCUCGCCACACCGACGCUUGGCAGACGGCUCCUCCGCCAUUGCCCUUCUCCAGCGACGGCGGUUUUGAGACAGAGACGGUGGUUGCAGUUUGUGGAGUAGAUGGACGUGGUUCGCAUAAUGAGGGAGGAAUGGAGGAGAAGGUGCCUUUUUGAGUUCUGGGGGAGGCGGUUCGUCGCGUGAGGGAGGCGCUCGUCGUUAUCGUGAUCGUGGGGGUCGUGGGGCUCGUACUGUUCGUGUUCCAUUCUGUAACCACCCACGGGCCUGCAUCGUGGCCCAUAUCACUGGGUUUGUAGUCGUAUGCAGGCCGUGGUGUGUGAGAAAACUCAUGUUAGGUAGGUGGGCUUUUCUCCUCCUUCACCCGGCGGCCGUGAUGUAAACAUGAGAAGCAAGUUUGCUAAGGUUGUAAACGGACCCAAUAUUUUUCUACAUCUUUGUAUCAACAUGAAAAGCAUUCAUGACUAGUUUGCUAAGGUUGUCGGCAUUUGUAUGGAUUUUCUAAGGUUUUUGCAACGAUAAAAUGCUUAAAACACUUCUGACAUGUUGUGAUGUUUUCGGUAUUUACUGGUCUACUCGCUGGGAUUAUUCCACUGUGUGAUGUUUUGUACGUGCCAGGUUGUAGUAUGAAAUGCUAACUGUUCUAUAUGGUAGUGGUUGGUCUCUAAUUGGACCGACAUGUUGAACUAGUAUCAAUGGUAGAGGCGUUUCAUUGUGCGCCACAUCCAACAGUUCACAUAAUUAAUUAUCCAAAGAUUAAGGUAUCAAACCCUUGGUCAUACAAAGCAACAUUUCGUUCCUAAAUAUUAAGGUACUUCCACAUUCAAACUAACUAAUACUACAAAUUCGAAGGAACUACUUAAUACAUUAACAGCACAUAGGGAAGUAGCCCUGGUCCAACGGCUUGAGAAAGGACGAACAAAAGCUGAAAUAAGAAGGAUCAGCCAGUAGCAGCACCAUCAGCCUCCCAGCCUCAUAACUUCAGCCAGCCUGGUGAACUCCAGGUUUUUUCCUGCAAAACACACCUGGGAUGUUGGAGGCAAGAAAAUAAAUUUGCCAGGGGUCUUGUCAUGGCAGCUAAUCGCUCGGAAUGCUAGUACAAAUGAUGGAGAACAAAACAUCCAACAUGAGCAAAUUCAUAGGAGUUCUAGAUCCAUGGAUACCAUCAAGAAAAAAUGCUCAGUUCUAAUUCAGACACAACACUUGGUGAAAACAUGCAUAUUCGUAUCAGCAACAUUGAUAUGGCAUCGGAGUACUACCCAGUACUUCGUAUUUGUCUGCCGUUAGAUCGACAUCAACGAACGGUUCUAAAAAAGCCCAACCACUCUAAAACAUGAGUAAGCCAACAUCCCUACAAAAAUUAUUUCACUGCUUAUGUCUAUUUUUUUGCUGAAUCAUUAGGAAGCCCUAAAUAUUUGGAUGCAAGAUCACCGACAUGGCACUACUGAAAUAUUUCAGUGUCUACAUCUCUGUACUGAAAGUGCAUUACUGAAAUAUUUCAGUGGCUACGUGUGUGUACUGAAACAGCACCACUGAAAUAUUUCAAUUGCUACAUGCGUGUACUGAAACAGCACCACUGAAAUAUUUCAUUUCGUACGUGCGUGUACUGAAAGUGAACCACUGAAAUAUUUCAGUAGGUACGUGCAUGUACUGAAAGUGCACCACCGAAAUAUUUCAGAGGCUACGUGCUUGUACUGAAACAGCACCACCAAAAUAUUUCAGUGGCUACGCGCGUGUACUGAAACUGCUACACCGAAAUAUUUAUGGGGUUGCGUGCGUGUACUGAAACUGCAGUACUGAAAUAUUCAGUGUCUACCCGUGUGUACUAAAAUUGCAUUGCACGACUGAAAUUUUUCAGUGUGUACCCGUGUGUACUGCAAUUGCACUACUCAAAUAUUUCAGUGUGAACCUGUCAGUACUGAAAUAUUUCAAUGCCUACAACUAUCUACUAAACUUGCAGUAUUGAAAUAUUUCAGUGUCAACCCAGAGUCUAUCACUCUAAACUGUGUACUGAACUUUUCUGGAGGAACUGCUUGCAGCCAAAAUAUUGCAAGUUCAAUUUACACAGAUUGCAUCACGUCAUUUGAACACAACUCUUGAGGUGACAGACAAAAUUUCCUAUCAUGGAUACAACUCCAGCACAUCAAAACGUAGCAAGUAAACAUAGCAAUGCUAUAUGCCUAGACUCAUUACAACCUCGUCGAUCAAACUAAGCUGCCAUCCAGAGGCUACGGAUUCAAGUACACAGGUAGCAAGAACAUAUUGCAGAGAAUCAAAUUAAGCAAGUGGCAAGUAAUGAUGAAUGAAAUUCAGCAAUCUUACCCUAAACAUAGCUACGGCCGCCGUUCUGACGAGGAGAGCGGCGAGGGAAGCGUGGAGAACGGCGGGGAAGCGAUGUCGCGACCACUGUCCUCCUCCUCUUGCGCUUCGGAGUCAUCUCCGACUCGGUUGGAGGCUCCACAAUCUGCAACGGCACCUCGUGCACCGUGGGUUCCUGAUCCAGUGGAUGCUCUACCCUGGAUCUGAACGCCCACCACCUACGCCUGAUCCACGGGCUGGACGAAUCGGCCUGCUCCAUCGCCCAGAGGAGGAUCUCGACCUUGUGCAUCGGUUGUGCGGGUGGGGGGGAAAGCUUUGCCCUCUCCCUCCUCGUCAUUUGCUUCAAAGUGGCCAUUGCCGUCCAGUUCAUCUGCAAUAUGUUGUGAAACCAAGAACGGAUCUCCGUCAACCUGGCCAUCUUGACCUGGUCGCCGCCGGCGAUCUCCAUGAAGUCGGUGUUCUCGCCGCCGGCGAUCUCCACGAAGUCGGCUUUCUCGCCGCCGCCGGUGUGCUCGAUCUGCUGCUCCAUCGAGGAUCUUGCGUGGAUGGAAGAGGGGGGUGGAUGUGGAAGAUGAGAAGAGCAAAGUUGCGGCCGCGAGAAGGAGGAGAAGGCUAGGAGAUGGCCGCGGUUGCAAUGGUGAUGGAAGAGGGGAAGGAGCACGGCGGCGGCUUUGCAUUGGACGAGAGGGGUGGCGGUUUUGCAUUGGAGGAGAGGGACGGCGGUUUUGCAUUGGACGAGAGGGCCCCACCUUGUCAUAUAUUUCCUAGGACUAAAAUGCCCCUAGACUAAUAGUACUUUCGAGUACUUUCAUCCGCGUACUUUCGAGUACUGCGUAUGUAUGCGCCGUUAGAUCGAGACAAACGAACGGCUCCAAAAAAUGCCAACUACUGUAAAACUUGUAAUGUUAAUAUAGAUGAUACACGCGUAGUGAAUAACUAAACAUAAUAACAACAAUGAUUUUCGUUGGUUCGUGAGAGGUUUGUUGAUGCUCCCUUUGUCUAUGCUAAACUAAACGUGUAUAUGCCAUCUUUUGAGAUGGGCGCAUUCCUUGGAUUAUUGCCAACUUGGUAAAUGAUAUGCUAGGUGUUCACAUUCUGACCCUUGGUUUAGGUUUCUCUAAAUAUGGUUGUUUUUUAUGUUCUCACGAGAAGUAGGGCAUAUCCCGGACUUGUGCAGUUCUUUAUUUUACAGAGGUUUUUGUCAUUCAUGUUUAAUUUAUUCAUUGGCUUGGACGCUAAUGGUUCAGGCCUUUGUACCCCUAUUGUUGUCAUUUUUACAGGUAACCUGUUUUCUCAUGCUGAUUUCUCUUCGCAUCUUUGUUUGACCAUGAUAUAUUCAGAUAGGCUUAUUUCGAUGACAUCCUACUAUUAGUCAGCAUAACAAUGGACCAGUACCCAUUGUCCACUAGAUUUUCACUGUGAGUUGUGCGUCUUAGAUUUACUCUGUUAAUGUUACACACAUGCUUUAUCCGAGUGAAGUUUAUAACUAAUUGGAGCUGUGGACAACAUUGAUGUUUUGGAUGAAUGGUUCAUUGAAGAGAUGAUCUGAAGUGGGAGUGUCAGACACACUAUUCGAUGAACCGAUUUCAGAUGAUAAAGAAGUAUUUGCUAUUGAAGAUGACGAGGAUACAACUUCACACUGGACAAUUCCUCUGCUCCGUGUGUUGAUAACAAGGCAUGCUUGCUGUGAUGGCAUGGUUUCUUGCAACAAAUUUCUUUCUUCCCGGCAUUUGUUUUAGCAGACAAUCAACCUUGAACAUAUACAAUGACAUCCCACUUGCUUGUGAAUUACAAAGGCCAGAUUUUCUGCUAGAUGGGAUAUUGGUGCUGGAUUAUACAUGCAUGCAGAUAAAUUGAGCUCUGUGUUUACAUACAUAGAAAAGAUGCAACCAUGCUGCUCUUUCACUUGUGUGAUAGGGACCUGACCCAACCCGACCCUCUGAAAGACCACAAUACACAUGAUAUGAGGAAGAUGGCAUGUGCUUCUAUGAGAGAUGCACUUUGCAGUUUGCUGGACUAAUAGCAUUGGCAUUGUAUUUGUUUUCUCUUUACCUCGCAUUGGCGGCAUCCUAUUUGAUUAUAGGUAAGAAGGUAAGAGUUGGCAAACAGGACCAUGGAUAUGAAACAAAACUAUUGUGGGUGGAGUUAAUGUUGCUCUCUAAUUUUUUUGUAAUGAUUUAUACUUCUGUGACUUCUAAUAAAAAUCUAUGUAGUACACUAUUAUUGAUUUUCUCCAAGUUUUUUGUUACAUUUUCCUUUUUAUGUGAAAUGAAUCUUGUUUGUGCUAGCAAAACAUAUUUAUUUCUUAGAUAAUAAAUUCAUUGGAAUAUAUAAUGGGGCAUACUGAAUCUCUUAGAAUGGAUACAACCAAAAAAAGAGUUUGGUAGACAAUGAUGAAGGACAAAACGGCGCAGCAAAGCGCGCUUUUGCUUCUAGUAUGUACCAAAAUUAAGAACAUUGCGGACUUCAAACAAAAUUUUCAUAAUUGUGGUACUUGAUGUUUGUUAAAAGAACUAGAGAUAAAAAUAUUUAAGAAACAAAAAUGUGUUUGGAAACCCCGUGUACAUGAACAUAUAUAUGGUUUUGAACUUUUUUUAACCGAUGAAUAUUCCGUAUACAUCAACUUAUAUUUUUGAAAUACAUGAAUAUUUUUAAUCACAUGUUUUCUUGAACCCAUAAACAAUUAACAUAAAUUUUUUCUUGAACCCAUGACCUAUUUUUUGAACCUCAUGAACAUUUUUUUUAACGCACGAACCUAUUUUUUAAUCCAUGAACAUAUUUUUUGGAACCCAUGAACAUUUCUUUUGAAUCCGUCAACCUUGUUCUGGAACCCUUGAACAUUUUAUAAUUCCGUGAUCGUAAUUUUUGAACCUCGUGGAUAUUUUUUUUUCAAACUACAUAAACAAUUUGUAAAUAUGAAUGAAGCAUAUUCCGAAUCUGUGAACGCAUUAUUUUGAACACUAGAAAAUUAUUUUUAACCUCGUAAAAAAGUUUUCAAACUACGUGAAUAAUUUUUAAAUAUGAAUGACAAUAUUUUCUGAAUCCAUGAAUGUAUUAUUUUGAACCCAAGAACAAUUGUUUGAACCUCAUGAACUUUUUCUAAAAAUACGUGAUUUUUUAAAAAUAUGAAUGAAACAUUUCUGAAUCCAUGAACAUAUUAUUCUGAACACAAGAACAAAUUUUAAACCUCGUGAGCAUUUUUUCCAGACGACAUGAACAAUUUUUAAAUAUGAAAAAAAACAUUAUCCAAAUCCAUAAACUCAUUAAUUCGAACCCCAGACGACAUUUUUCAGACCUCGUGAAUAUUUUUUUCAAACUAAGUGAACAAUUUAUAAAUAUGAACAAAAUAUUUUCCAAAUUCAUUAACAUAUUAUCUUAAACCCAAGAAUAUUUUUUUAAAACUCGCGGCCAUUUUCCUAGAUCCAUGAGACUCGAAUGGCCUGAAACAGCCAACCUUAUCUUCCCGGUCGCCAACGCCUCCCGAAUCGUCACCGCCUCCUACCUCCCAGCCCCGCCUCCGCAUCACGCCUGCCGGCGACUCCCCACCCUGCCGCCCCCUCGAAGGCCCAACCGCCGCCCCCCGUGCGGGCGCCGUCCCCACCGGCCNNNNNNNNNNNNNNNNNNNNNNNNNNNNNNNNNNNNNNNNNNNNNNNNNNNNNNNNNNNNNNNNNNNNNNNNNNNNNNNNNNNNNNNNNNNNNNNNNNNNNNNNNNNNNNNNNNNNNNNNNNNNNNNNNNNNNNNNNNNNNNNNNNNNNNNNNNNNNNNNNNNNNNNNNNNNNNNNNNNNNNNNNNNNNNNNNNNNNNNNNNNNNNNNNNNNNNNNNNNNNNNNNNNNNNNNNNNNNNNNNNNNNNNNNNNNNNNNNNNNNNNNNNNNNNNNNNNNNNNNNNNNNNNNNNNNNNNNNNNNNNNNNNNNNNNNNNNNNNNNNNNNNNNNNNNNAUAAGGCGAUAAAAGAGAGAUACACGGUGCAUUCACUUCUUUUAGUCCUGAAGCAAGUAUACCUCCAUAGCUUUUCAAAAAAAGUAGUAUACUUCCAUAUAUAAUCCAAGGAAGCCCUACUACUGGUUUUGACGUCCAGAUGGUAACAUCUGACCUGAAUAGUAAUAUUAAAUUUCAUUCUAGCUCGGCUAAAUGAAAGACAAAUCUAGUACAUAAAGAAAACUCAGCAUGUUAUAGAUAGUUUCUACACACAAGGCAAGAUUAAUUGUAGUAUUUUUCUGUCUGUAUCUAACAUAACAGCUACGUAUGCGAGAUUUGUCCAAUACCUUCUUUAUGAAUGAAAGAUAUAUAAAUAAACAAUAAUAAUGAAAGUAGUACUUUACUUAUUAAUUAGGUAGAGACACUGCAACUGAUUCUCCAAUGCCUUUGCUUCUAGUUACAGGCCGGACCGUUUGUCCUGUUGGUAAAAUAAUAAAAUGUCAAACCUCGAGGGCGCGAAUUUAUUGUCCAAAUGCUAUGUAAUGUGAGCAAAAAAUCUUACAUCACAGAUAAAAACUACUAUCGGUGGCUUGGAUCAAAUAGGUUACAGAAGUCAAAUGAUAAUUAAUGGGAAUGAACCAUGUACGGUCUUAUUUACAUCAAAAUAUGGUAGCAUAUGUCUGGGUAUUACUAACUCAGGCAUGUGGAUAUUGCUGUAAAGCUUUGUCUGAAAACUAAAUAUGGACAAAAGUUUAGGAAUGAUAUAGAAAUAGAUCAAUGUUGCCCAUGCCCAUAAAUCAUGCACAAUACACUUCUGUUUCUAGUAGCUAUCAAUAAAGUAAGAGUACGUUUAAUUUAGCUUUAGUUCGUAAGCAAAAAAUAUAUAGUGCCAAUAGAUCAAUUAUUCCACCAAUUCCAUUUGCUAACUCCAAUCCGACUACCUAUAACCUGUAGGUACCAAAAGAGUAUGGAGCAAGCUUAAAAUUCGAAGGAAAAGAAAAUAAUAGAUACGAUUUAACAGGAGGCCCCAUAAAAUCCAAACCACAAAUAUUAUUCAAUUUCAAAAGGAGUGUUUUUUCCACGGAAGCAAAGUAUUUGGAACCUAUUCAAAGAAUGAACUUCUUUUAGACUAAAUAGGAAAUAAAAUACUAAAAGCCAGAUUAUAAUUAGAGAUUAAAGUACUAUGCAACUCACUAGGGACACCUGCAAUCAAAUAUUGAUCUCCCUGAUUUCUUGCCAGAGACACCAGUUCUGAUUUCUUUUGAUCAUCUGGAUCUGAUUCGAGUCAAAAGACUAAAAAUCUUUCGUCUAACGUCACAAAUGAUCAGAAACUAAGCUGGUUUAUUUGGUGUGUUUGCCUUCAGCCAUUGAAUAAGACCGAGCAAUCAAUCUCCAGAAUAACAUGACCCUGUAAUUAAAUUUUCGACAGUGCAUUCAAACUAAUCAAAGCGGGAGCAACCUCUGCCUCUUAAGUUUCAGCGAACUGAGUAAUGCUUCGCCCGAGGGAAUAGAACACCAUGCCACGUUCUGAUCCCUGGCCACCAUACCUACCUAGUAGCGUGCCGUAUCCGGUACGAAAGAAGCAUCAGUACGAAAUUUAACCUUACCAACGUCUGGGACCUGCCAAUGGAUGACAGCCGCAACACCUGUCUCUUGGUCCCUGUUCGCAACAAUAUCAUUAUGCUGCCUGUUACUACCUGCUUUGUUGACAAUCAUAUCUGAUCCCAAGGGAUCGCUCGCAGCUUCUCCAUGUGGAUCACUCAAAUCAGUACAGGAAGGGAUGUUGAGAAAAUAGGAUCGGUUAACCUCAGGAACACACGUCUAGGAAUUCCAGUAUUAGUUUGCGUCCUCCAAUUAAAUCCAAACACUCUGAAUCUGGUGCAUGGUCAAAUCGAAUGGCAGGAAGCAAGAGUCAAUGGAUCGCGGAUUAAAAAAAUCACCAUCAUGCUAUAGGAGUGAGCAGUUUAUAAGAGCAUGUCUAGUAGAGCCCUCAAACCCUUAAAUCUGGUUUAGUUUUAAGGGUUGAGAAUUGGCCAUUUUUGACACUUUUAAGGGUUGAAAAACAGGGGCAAAGACUAGAACCCUCAAACCCAACCCUUAUAACAGAAUAUUCCGUUAUAAGGGUUGGGUUUGAGGGUUCUAGUCUUUGCCCCAACCCCAACCCUUAAAACUGUCAUUUGACAUAUCAUAAUUUUCAUUAGAAAAACACAAUCAACCUUCAAACAAACACGGAAAUGAAGAUCAUUGAUGCAUGGUUUAAUAGUUUACAUCACACAAUCAUCAUCUUCCCCCUCUCAUCGGCACCAUCACCAAAAAGUUGCACAUGGCGCCAUCUCCUUGACCACUUCCACGUCCAUCAAGCACCUCCAUUUUCGCCGGUGGUGGAGUUCUCCCCACCGCCAUCGCCACCACCACUCAUCGGAGUGUCACCUCGAAGAGUAGAGGAUGCACCACGGAAUAUCCUCUUCCUCUCCGCGAUGUCCUGCUUGUACUCCUUCCACCACAUCAAUUGGUCUUCAUCCAUGUCCUUCUUGGACAUCAUCAUGUGCUCCUUCUCUUCCAUCAUGAGUUCUUUCCAUGCCUUUGCUUCUUUGACCUUGAUCAUCAUCUCCUCCAAGUCGGCCUUGCGCUUGGCAUCUUCACGCCUUGCUUCAACUUGUGCAAGCUUCACCUUUUUCUUCUUCUCGUUGAUAAGAAGUUUUGUCUCCAAUGUCUUCGUUGUCAAUGCCUCCCUUGACUUCAUCAUAUGUUCUAUCUUCUCCCUUAUGCUUGACGCCUCUCCUUCCAUCUUCUUCCUUAGCUUAUCCUUCUUGUUUCCAGCGGGCUUGUGCUCGUUCCUUCCCUCCUCUUCACUAUCAUCCAUCCUAAGAAUUGCUGACUUCUUGGGUGCGGUCUCUUGAUCCCUCAACUUCCACUUGUCAUAAGUUUGAAGAAUUUUCCAAACAUGUUUAAAUGGGAAUGCUUUGCCCUUCGAAGCGGCCAUCUCCUUGUACCUCAAGUCAGCAAUUGCCUCCUACAAACCCACCAAUAGCAUAGUAAACAUAUAUGUACUCACAUAACAAUAGCAUAAAAAAUCAAAAUAAAUGUGAAAAACAUAUAUGUACUCACAUAGUCACUCUCCACGGUUCCACUAGGCGGUGCAUCCUUCACUUGGUCCAUCGCCGCACUCCAGCGAGCACAAUGGGGCUUCAUCAACUCCCACCGGCCUUGAAGCGACCGGUAACUACGAGGGAUGUACCCACUGGUCUUCGGCUUGAUCUUGCAAUAGAAGUCCUCUAUGCGUUGCCAAUAGCGUUUACCAGUUUGAUCGGUACCGGUGCUUGCAUCCAAACCCACAUGUGCCCAAGCACGAACCAAGAGAAUAUCUCCGUCCUCGCUAUAGUUUGUCGAGCGCACGGUGGGUUUUGCAACGGCGGUGAACGCCUCCUCCUCUAUCUCGGUCACCUCCUCCUCAUCUUCCCUUCCUCCUCCUCAUCACCAAACCCAAAGGGUUCGAGAGAAGAAGCCCCGAUGUCCACCUCCGCUUCUUCGAGAAGCCCCAUGAACGACAUUGGCGGGGCCGGCAUUCCGUCGAGCACCUUGUGCACGACGGGCGGAGAUGCGGGGGGGCGGGGCGGCCGUCGGCUUAUUCCUGGAGGUGGCCUUCUUCACCUUCGGCGCCGCUGCCCCGUUCGGCCCAAGGGAGGGCUUCUUCCUCACCUUCGGCGCCGCUGCGGCCGGAACGACGGAGGCGACGGCCGGGGCGGGCUGGGGGAGGACGACGUGCUGGCCAGCACGCUGCCUCUUCGCGCCGACGGCCACAACCGAAGGUACCUCCGGCGCGGGCGGAGGGAGCGAGGACGGGGCCGGUGCAGGCGUCGCUGAGGCCGAGGCCGGGGGCGGGGCGACGGGCGGAGAGAGGGAGGACGUGGCCGGGGCGGCCGGGGCGACGGAGGAGUCCGGCGGCGCCUCCAUGGCUCGUCGCGGGGGCGACGGGAUCGACGAGGCGUCCGACGGGAGGGAGCGCGCGAGGGGAAAUUUCCCUCCCGUGCAACGACCGGUGGAGUGCGGGUUGGAGGUGGGUUUCCCUCUCCAAUCCUCACUUUUACAGAUUGCGAGGGCAACCCCAGAUCCAAUCCGUAAAAAAAUUGAAGGGUUUAGGGGUUUAGGCGUUUUAUUAUUUUCCCUUUUUUCGUUUCAACCCGUAAAAAACCGGUUAUUUCUGUUUAUUUGAGGGUUUAAGGGCUCUACUAGACAUGCUCUAAGGGGGGAGGAUGUACCUGUAGAAGCAUUCAGAUUCACCAAGCACGCAUCCGCAGCGACGCGGCAAGGGUGGCGAUGGCAUCCAUUUGUCCCGUCCAGCACAUGUGGCAGCGGAAGGAGAUAAGCGUCGACCGUGGGGGGAUUCAACCCGCGCUGGCCUUCUACGAGAGAAAAGUAACGAAUCUGGCCUUCCCCCGUCCCUUUCAUGUGCGUUUCUGGUGGGGAGAUCGAUAGUCGGGGGGAUAUCGAGAGUCGGGGGAGCAAAUUGAUAAUAUGACACACUUUUCCUGGGACUUUGAUCUGAUGACACACCUUUUAAUUGGUUUGAUUAGAUGACACAUCUUUGACUGAUAACUGGAUUAAAUGACACAAAUUAAGUUUUUAUCUCCUUUUCUAGGUAUGGGCCCCACGUCACAUUUUGUAGGACGAUUUUGCCCCUGGUCGUUUCACCUGCCUGGCUCGAUCACUGGUUCGAUCGAUCGUUCCUGGAAGAGCGAACGAAAGCCGCUGCACCGCCGCUCCUGCUUCCUUGCACCGCAGCUCCUGCUUCCUCCCACCUGCGCCGCCGGUGCCCAGCACCGCUUCGCCGCUCCUGCUUCCUCCCACCCGUGCCGCCAGUGCCAAGCACGGCCCCGCCGUGCCUCUUCCCCUAGUGCUGCCAGUUCCCCGCCGCCUCCUGUCCGUUUCUUCUCAUCCGGCAACGCUCCAACCGUUCCGCCCUGUCGACGCCUCGUCCAUGGACUCGUACAACAACAUCGAAUAGCUACAAAUCUACCAGCGAUGGCACGCUCCGGCAACGGCGCGGCCGUGCCGGCGAUGGGAAGGAAAGAGCGAGGUGGCGGCGCGCCAGGAAGGAGCCACGGCGAGAUAAGGCGCCGGGAAGCAUGCAGCAGGAUAACCACGUUCCAUACGUAGAGCUACUAUAUGUACGCGUGAUGCAUGGAGCCUCUGCAUGCAUGUACUGAUCGAGCGAGGCGUGUUUGGCUCUUCCAGGAACGAUCGAUGUGAAACGACCAGGGGCAAAAUCGUCCUAUAAAAUAAGACGUGGGGUCCAUACCUAGAAAAGGAGAGAAAAACUUAAUUUGUGUCAUUUAAUCCUGCUAUCACUCAAAGGUGUGUCAUACAAUCAAACUAAAAGAAAGGUGUGUCAUCAGAUCAAAGUACCAGGAAAAGUGUGUCAUAUUAUCAAUUUGCUCGAGUUGGGGGGAGAAGCAGAGAAGAUCGAGAGCCCGUGGGGAGAUCGAGAGUCUGGGCAAUUAACACAAUCGUGAAGGGUUGGAAGAUUUGUGCCGUUAGCAGGUGGGCUUAGCGCUUCAGUCAAUGGACUUUACCGAGUUGUUCACAAAACGGAACAUAUGAUGUGGCAUCAUGCAGAGGAGCAGUUGCUGAUGAUGUGGCGAGCUUGCUGAUAUGGACGGGAUGCAUGUCAAAAGAAAUGGGUUAGUGGGGAUCAACUAUUUAGAUAUUAUAGAUAAGAUUCCUAGUCUUUAAACUAGUUCCGGAUAGAGUCCAGAUUAAACUACCAACCAUGAUAUAAUUUGUCUGUUAGCAGAUCCUAUCCGUCGAGUCCCCGAAGCACGCGUUUGUGAGCAAUGCGUCAUAAUAGAGUAUGAAUUCCUCUAAUUAUAUAGAUCAACAUUAAGGCUGUAAUCUAAUUACACGAUCUAGCUUCUUCCAAUUAUCAGCCUACCCAGGUAGUCUUUCCAAUAUAUAAAUGAUAUUGUAUUCCACCGAUAAUUGACCAGCUUCCUUAAGCACGCAACACUUAAGUAUAUUCCAGCAAGAAUAAUUCCAUGCAUAAAACACAUGUAUAAUUCCAUAUGAGGUAUUCCGAAUAUUAAUGAUAAUAAGUAUUUGAAUAUAGUUGUAGGACACAUAAUCCUAACAUCUCCCACUUGUCCAAAACGAUCAUUCAAAAAUUCGUAAACCCAUAGCCUUCACAUGCUUACCAAAUACCACCUGACUAAGAGACUUAGUCAAGGAAUCAGCAACCAUAUCAGUACUAGGUAGAAACUCUAACGAAACUGACUUAAGUCUAUUAAUUACAUCACAUAUAUAGUGAUACCUUCCCUCAAUAUGUUUGAUCUUGAUGUGGAACUUGGGAUAUCUGGAAACCUUUAUUGCAGCCUAAUUAUCACAAUACACCACCACUGCUUUGCUAGCACUUUCAACAAUCUUCGAAGUCAAAAGAAAUUCCUUCAUCCACACCGCCUCCUUCAUAGCUUCUGAUGCAGCAAUAUACUCCGCCUCCAUGGAGGAUAAUGCCACUGAAUCUUCCUUCUUAUUAAUCCAAGAUAUAGCGCCACCAGCUAAUGUAAAUAGAUACCCGGACAUAGACUUCCGGUCACCCAGAUCACCCUGCCAACCAGCAUCAGUAUAGCCCUGCAGUUGUAGAUCCUUUUGGUUAAAACAGAGUGAAUAAUCCAGUGUUGCUUGAACAUAAUGAAGAGCAUGUUUAAUCUGAUUCCAAUGCCCACUUGCUGGAUUCAUUUGAUAUCUACUCAACACUCCAACAAUAUAGCACAAAUCAGGGCGUGUGAAUAACAUGGCCUACAUUAAAUAUCACAAGGCAGAAGCUUAUGGAGUCUUCUGCAUUCUCUUCUUUUCCUCAGGAGUUUUAGGGCACAUACCCUCACUGAGUUUAAUUCCUACAACCAUGGGCACUAGAGCAGGCUUGCAGUUUUCCAUAGAGAAAUGUUUAAGAACAGAUUUUAAAUAAUUCCUUUGAGACAAACCCAAAGUUCCUUUAUUCCGAUCUCUAAGUAUUUCCACUCCCAGAACAUAGGAAGGGUUUCCCAUAUCUUUCAUUUCAAAUGUAGAAGAUAACCAAGUUUUAACUUCUAUUAACAUUUCCUUACUACUAGAAGCAAUAAGUAUAUCAUCAACAUACAGUGACAAGAGUGUAAAAUUUCCUCCCACUAUUUUAAAAUAAAAUGCAGUUGUCUCCUUCCAUCAUAGAAAACCCAUAUGAUGUGAUAGCAUCGUCAAACAAGAUAUUCCAUUACCGUGAAGCUUGCCUAAGACCAUAAAUAGAUCUAUUAGCUUACACACUUUUCCCUAAUUUUCCUUCUCAACAAAACCAUCAGGUUGAGACAUAUAAAUCUCUUCCUUCAAAUGAUCAUUCAAGAAGGCAAUUUUAACAUCCAUUUGAUGAAGUUCCAGAUCAAAAUAAGCAGUCAACGCAACAAUAAUACGAAUAGAAGUAAAUUUUGCUAAAGGGGAAAAAGUUUCCACAAAGUCAACACCUUCCCUUUGUGUGUACCCUUUAGCAACAAACCUAGCUUUGUAUUUUUCAACAUUACCAGAAGCAUUCAGUUUUCUUUUAAAAAUCCACUUUGAUUGAAUUUCCUUUCGGUCAUUAGGUAGAUCAACCAAUUCCCAAACUUUGUCCUUUUCCAUGGAGUUUAGUUCCUCGGGCAUGGCUUCCUAUCACUGGGUGAGGACACCGUAAGAUCGAACCCAUCACAAAGCACCUCUUCCCAUUGCAAGAAAAAUGAUCUAGUUAGCCUAACUAAACCAAUGAUUCAAAGAAGAAAUACGAGGCUAUAAAUAAUCAAGCAUAUAAGAGAUCACAGAAGACUCAAAUAAUAUUCAUGGAUAUAGAUCUGAUCAUAAACUCGAAUUUCAUCGGAUCCCAACAAACACACCGUAAAAAGUCAUUACAUCAAAUAGAUCUCCAAGAGACCAUUGUAUUGAGAAUCAAAAAAAGAGAAGAAGCACUCUAGCUACUGCCUACGGACCCGUAGGUCUAUGGUGAACUACUCACGCAUCAUCGGAGAGGAACCAAUGAGGAUGAUGAACCACUUCGUGAUCGUGUUAGAUUGGAUCUCGUGGUUCUGGAACUUGCGGCGGCUGGACUUGUGUUUCGUCGACUCCCCUAGGGUUUCUGGAAUAUUUGGGUAUUUAUAGAGCAAAGAGAUGGUGCAGGAGACCCCCAUGGGCCCAACAACCCAUCAGGGCGCUUCCUUGGCUCCCAAGUUGUCUUCUGGUCCAAUAGAAAUCUCCAAAAAGUUUCAGUGCGUUUGGACUCCGUUUGAUAGGGAUAUUCUGCGAAGUAAAAAACAAGCAAAAACAGCAACUAGCACUGGUGUCGUGGAAUUGUCACGACAGAUGUCCUUAGUGUCAGGACUUAGUCGCGAGGCCAGCGCAUCUAUGUGGUAGCUUGAGAGGGGUUGGGCGGAAUCGAGAGACGUAACACAAGACAAGGAUUUAGACAGCUUCGGGCCCCGGGAAACAUCAUCCGGUAAUAUCCCUACAUGAUGUUUGUGGCUAGGUCUCAUUAUGCUCAUGAGAGAGUCGCCGGUAAGCCGGCUCUUUGUGUCUAGCCCUAGAGAUUGUUUCUUGUUGCUUGUCCCUCUUUGGGGUGCCCUGCCCCUCCUUAUAUAAGUUAGAGGGGCGGAUUACAUGCGGAGUCCUAGUAGGACUAGGACUAGUCUAUCUUUUCUUACAAGUUGAAUAAAAGUCCGGGUCUUGCUUCCUCGUAAAGGAAAUAUUCGUCAUCCCUUUCUCCUUAAGCCGGCCCACCAGAGUAUAAGCCAGCCUGCUGAGCCUUGGGCCUUGUCGUCCGUCUGAUCCGCCCGCCGGGUCUCUAGUGAGUCAUAAUGUCCAGGCGGGUUACCUGUGAAUCGCCAUGUUCGGGCGGAUCACUAGUGAGUCGCCAAGCUCUAGCCAGGUCUCUGGUGAGUCGCCAAGUCUGGCCAGGUCUCUGGUGAGUCGCCAAGUCUGGCCAGGUCUGUGGUGAGUCACCAAGUCUGGCCGGGUCAUACCGCGGGGUAUAUCCCCGACAUUAGCCCCCAGUUUAAUUUGGAUUUAUCCAUGUUAAACUGAUCCUGCAAAAUAAACACAAGAACAAACUUGAUAGGUUGUGUUCCGGGUUAAAUAUUUUCCUGAACCGGCACCUGAUCAUCUUUAAGUCCUUGUCAUUUCCUUGUUGAUAUGUAUAUGUCCAUGAUCUCAUAGUAAAUCUUCUUUAGCAGAUAUGUUUCAACUUUGUCCAUGCAAAAAAUCCAGAUACUUCUUUUGAAAAGUCCGGGUCAAUAGGCCAGCUUCAGAGUCAAUUUGCUGACAUUGGUCUCUUGUAGAGAAAUAUUGUGAAGAAUAAUCCACUUGAGUCGGCUUUCAAAGCGCCGGCUUAGGAAAUAUUGGUCUUGAAAUACUCAUCUAAUUUUCAGCCGGUUUAAAGAUGUAGAACUUGCCGGUUUAAUAUUACCAAAAUUGCCGGUUUGUAAAUAUUGAUGGCACCGAGUCAUAAUUGUUGCCGAUGCCGGGUCAUAAUUGUUGAUGACGCCGGGCUAUGAUUGUUUCAGACACCAGGUCAUAAUGAUUGGUGACGUCGAGUCAAUCUGAUUUGCUCAAAACGGAGAAUUCGAAAGUAUUUCUCCUUAUAUCCGUGUUACCUGUAGCCCCCAAGUGACGGGUUGUCAUGCUUGCAUCAACCUGGGACUUGUAAUUGUCUUAUGGUCACAAAACUUCAACCGGUGUAGCCUCCAAGGGCCGGGUCAUUAUGCAAUAAUGAGCAGGGACUUUGUAGAUGUAGACUUGAGCAGCAACAUGUAGCCCCCAAGGGCCGACUCAGUAAGAUAAUAUUGAGCUGGGACUUUAUAUAUAUUUCCUUGAAAAGAAUACCAUAUGAUGUAAUCCUCUCCAUGGGGCCCGAACCCACGUCCAUAAGGUUAAGAGCUUUGUACUCUUCCAACUGAGUAGUGGACCUUUCAAUAUAAUGGAUUUAAACUUGUGUACCUUGAAUUGUUGACAGGAGCAAUUGGUAGCCCCCAAGGGCCGGCUCAUUACAAUGUGAUGAGUCGGGUCUUCAAUAAGGCCAGUAAAAAUGACUUUGCAUUAGCCCCCAAGUGCCAUGGUACAUGCUGGCAGUGACAUGGGACUUGCAUAUUUGAUGUAAUCUCAACUUUGAAUAAUGUAGCCCCCAAGUGAUAACUCAAUCCUUUAGAAGCCAAUACUUCCAAAUAUAUGAUGAUUGUCACAUGCUGGCGACUUAUCGUCCAAAGCCAAGCCAGGUUAAAUUUAAACCACACUUAUACUUUGAUCUGAACAAAAAAGUCUCAAGACAAAAGCAAAGAUUGCUUGCAAAAACUUAAACCAAAUAAAAAUUGAGGUUUCUGAUUCGAAUACGAUCAGUAAACCGUUCCAAAGGGGUUAAGCUAAGAUUCGAAUACGGUCAUAUAGCCCCCAGUGGCUUUGGCGUUGCCGAUCAAGAGGGUACCGACAGCUAUAUUCUCUUUGGUUCGAAUACGACCUAUGUUUGAACAGGAAGCCCCCAAAUGACCUUGAGAGUUGUUUAACGACGCUGAUUCGAAUACGAUCCACGUCGGACCCAAAAGGGGUUGAGCUAUGAUACGGAUACGAUCAAGAAGCCCCCUAGUGGGUUUGGCAGUGUGCCAAUCAAAAGGGUACCGACAGCUAUGUUCUCUUUGGUUCGAAUACGACCUAUGUUUGAACAGGAAGCCCCCAAGUGACCAUAUAAGUUUUGGCAUUGCGUCGAUCAACAAGGUACCAACAGCUAUGCUUGAUGAGCAGGAAGCCCCCAAAUGAUCAAUAAUAUGAUAAGCCAAUAAGGCAGGAUGCCCACGUUUGAACCGCACAUCAUGGCAGCAAGUUCUCUUUGGCAACCUCUAAUUUUUCUGAGAACUCAAACUUUGCGAGAGAUUAUUCUUUUUGAACCGGAAAUUCUUAAACCGGAUAUUGAGAGCUUCAAAGCUUUGUAAGAGACAAAUUUACCUUGAGCCGGAUGUUUUGGACCAGAUUUGAGAGCUUCAAAGCUUUGCGGGAGAGAGAUGUCUCUUAAGCCGGAUUUUAAACUGGAAUCUUUCUUUUGAAUCGGCAAUUUUCUGACGGCCUUUAAAUUUUCAUCAAUAUGGCGGUGGCCUCCAGAACCGGGUUAUCAUUCCCUCCAAUGACCCGGAGUUCCCGAGUCAUGUCAUUGUAGCCCCCGAGUCUUAAUACUACUCGAGGAGUUGGCUUGAGACUCUCCAUAUUUGACCUUGAUAUAAACCGGCAUGAGUUAUCCAAUAGCUCAGUGAUAUAAUAGUCCCUUUUUACACUAGACAACUUGUCCUUCAUUGGAGAACUUGCAAGCCAGAGUAAUUGUUGUGUUAAAGAAAACAAUAUGUAAUAUAAAAAUAUACUGGAUGGAUUUCACCUGAUAUGUUAGGCCAGAAAUUAUCCACCGCGGAAUUGAUGAUCACCAUGGUGAAGCUGAAAUCAACCACGGACGAGUCGGCCGCAGGAUCAGACAGAUGAGUCGGUCGCGGCGUUGUAAGCCGGUGCGGACGGGCGAGUUAACCGCAGCAUUGUAAGCUGGCACGAACGGGCGAGUCGGCCGUAUGUUGAUGUAGACCGAUCUGCGGGGGACGGCGGCCUGUGCGUGCUUUAUUGGGCAAUUCGCACGGUCCUGACGAGUUGAUGCGGACUGGACCGCGGGAACGGCGGCUCACACGCAUGUCUGUCGAGCAGCGUGGCAUGGACGGAUGCUAGUGCAUGCACUCCGUAUCCGUGGUAUAAUAGCAUAAAAAUUGUCCUGUGUAAAAAUAUUACAGGGCAGAGUAAUUGUUUUUUGACAAAAAAAUAAGUGUUAAUAAGAUAAAUUUAGAUGGAUAUCACCUGAUGUUUGUGAAUGACAGAUGAUCCGUGCGUAAAGUCCGUUAGUCAACCCGGCACUUUGAAUAUGCCAGACCGCAGGGCGGACAGUAAAAACGACUGCAGCAUCAGAGGCGGCUCGGACAGAUGAGUCGGCUGUGGCGUGUAAGCCGGUGCAGACGGGGAGAGUCGGCACCGGCGUUGUAAGCCGGUGCAGACCGCGAAUCAAUCGCAGGCACGGUAAACCGUGCGGACGGCCGAGUCAGCCGCGUCAUGUUGAUGUAGUAGGGGCGGCGACUUGCGCAUGUAUCCAUCCAGCAGCACGGCACGAACGCGCUAGUGCAAAAAUAAUAUUGGCGCACACCCCUUUACGACAUCGUUAUAAUGAAUAAUGGUCCUGUGAAAAAACACCACAGACCAGAAUAAUCAUUCUUUGAUAAAAAUAACAUGUGCUAUUAAAAUAUAUAAGAAGGAUAGCACCUCGUAGUAUCGUGGAGUGGCCGUAGCAGUUCACAGCAAUUAGUACCAGAUUAGUCAACUAGUACUAGUACUCCUCGGGAGCACCAAGUAGUACUUGUGGUUGAUGAAAUCAUCCUCAGCCUUUACCCAAAAUGUCGUAGCGCCAGCAGCUUGUGAAUUGACGUCUGGGGUUUGAAAUCGGCAAAACAGUGUAUCGCAGUCGAAAUUAACUGUCUCGGCGGCUUGGUAAUCUCGACAGCGACUUGCACGCUGCGGGCGACUCGGCAACCAAGCAUAGUCCAGGUCAUGACCGAAUCCUGAAACCGAGUCAAGGCUGUUCCCUUCUUUUUUUUCCUUGACUUGUAUGCUUGAGCCUCGUGAUAAGGUAUGAUUUCCAUAGGAUGUUUUUUAGGACUUUCUCUAAUGAUGACCUUUGACUCUUCCAAACGGAUGUAGCAGCGAUCCUUCCAAUCAGGAAAUGUAUCAUCAGUAGCACCAAGGAAAAAAAGGCCCUGGCGACUGGAUUCUUGUACGGGUCGGUCCAGAGGACCAGUAUCUUCCGUGUGACCCUCGGUCUAGAGGAGAACAAGAUAAAUCUAGUUUAAUAAAAUCAGACUAGACCGAUCCCUGUGUUGCUCGGAUAGCAGUUCGCCUCAGAUCUAAUUUAAUAAUAUUAGCCAACCCAGUAUUUGAGGCUGCUGAGAGCUGUCCACGGUGCAGCAAAAAACGAGGCCGAGACGAAGUCCAGGUCGCUGUCGGUUUUGUCUUCCAUGUUUUCUCAUCUCGAGAGUGGCUUGCAUCUGUUGACGUCUUUUUGGCUGAUCUCAUCUCUUUUGGUCUUGGUCUUUGCUCCUGGCGCCUUGCAGCAGAACCUAAAGAUCGACUUGGUUUAGAUAUCUUAAUUGUACAGGGAACAAAACGCCUGUCGGUCUUGGCGGAUCGUAGGACGGCGGCAGCGAACACACAUAAGCCCAGCGAUCCUAAUUCUUCUUGAACUUUAACCUUGUGCUACCCACUCAAAAAUUUAAUCCUGACUCAACGAUGAACUUUACCGGCUCUGCCGAAAGUUAUGUUAUGUCAGGUUAUCCUGCUAGCCUUUUCUUCUUCUUCAUCUAGUCAACCGCGAGCUUCUUGAUCCAUAUGUGAGAUCCCUCCAAGAACUCAACACCACCGUGCGCGAGCCCCACGGUAGGCGCCAACUGUCGUGGAAUUGUCACGGCAGAUGUUCUUAGUGUCAGGACUUAGUCGCGAGGCCAGCGCAUCUAUGUGGUAGCUUGAGAGGGGUUGGGCGGAAUCGAGAGACGUAACACAAGACAAGGAUUUAGACAGCUUCGGGCCCCGGGAAAAAUCAUCCGGUAAUAGCCCUACAUGCUGUUUGUGGCCAGGUCUCAUUAUGCUCAUGAGAGAGUCGCCGGUAAGCCGGCUCUUUGUGUCUAGCCCUAGAGAUUGUUUCUUGUUGCUUGUUCCCUCUUUGGGGUGCCCUGCCCCUCCUUAUAUAAGUUAGAGGGGCGGGUUACAUGCGGAGUCCUAGUAGGACUAGGACUAGUCUAUCUUUUCCUUACAAGUUGAAUACAAGUCCGGGUCUUGCUUCCUCGUAAAGGAAAUAUUCGUCAUCCCUUUCUCCUUAAGCCAGCCCACCAGAGUAUAAGCCAGCCUGCUGGGCCUUGGGCCUUGUCGUCCGUCUGAUCCGCCGGUCGGGUCUCCAGUGAGUCACAAUGUCCAGGCGGGUUACCUGUGAAUCGCCAUGUUCGGGCGGAUCACCAGUGAGUCGCCAAGCUCUAGCCAGGUCUCUGGUGACUCGCCAAGUCUGGCUAGGUCUCUGGUGAGUCACCAAGUCUGGCCAGGUCUCUCGUGAGUCACCAAGUCUGGCCGGGUCAUACCGCGGGGUAUAUCCCCGACAACUGGGCACUAUGCCAAUAGGUUAGUCCCAAAAAAUGAUAUAAAGUUGCUAUAAAAUGAUUGUAAAACAUCCAAGAAUGAUAAUAUAAUAUCAUGGAACAAUAAAAAAUUAUUGAUACGUUGGGGAUGUAUCAUCAUCCCCAAGCUUAAUUCCUGCUCGUCCUUGAGUAGGUAAAUGAUAAAAACAGAAUUUUUGAUGUGGAAUGCUGCCUAACAUGUUCAUCACAUAUUAUUUUCUUUUGUAGCAUGGACAUUUGUACUUUUACAUGGUUCAAAACAAUAAUCUACAUUUGACAUGAUAACUUCAAUACUCAAGCAUAUCAACAAGCAACCAUGUCUUUCAAAAUAUCAUUGAUCCAUUCAAGCAUAACUUCAAUACUCAAGCAAUGCUCAAGCAUAACUUCAAUACUCAAGCAAUCAUUGAUCCAUUCAUGAACCACACUCGAAUAUUACUACAUCCAAUGCUCAAGUACGAUCAUAGUGCUCCCUAGUUGGUGCUUUAUAAGAAGAGAUGGAGAUUCAAGUAAAAUAGAAAUUGCAUAAAGUAAAUAGAUAGGCCCUUCGUAGAAGGAAGUAGAGAUUUGUAGAGGUGCCAGAGCUCAAAGCUUUAAUUGAGAGAUAAAAUAUUUUAAGAGGCAUACUUUUCCGGUCAACCAAUAGGACCGAGUAAUUCCCAACACUUUUCAUGCUAGAUAUAUCAUAGGCGGUUCCCAAACAUAAAAUAAAGUUUGUUCCUUUUUCCACCAUACUCACACUCCACGGCUAGUCGUAUCCACGGGUACCGUCCAUACCAACACUUUCCAUGGAAUUUUUCAUUUGACAACAUAAAGUAAAUUUCUUUUUCAUUUCAGGACUAGGCAUCCCUAUUACCGCCACACUCUCGUCCAAUUACAAGUGAAUAAACACUCAUCUUGAGAAUAACACAUCUAGCAUGGAAAAUAUUGGCCACCCCUUGUCGCUUCAUAAUCGGUACGGGACACACAAAAAGGAAAUUCAUUUUGAAAAUUAGAGUUGGCACAUACAAAUUUACUUAGAACGGCACGGAAAUACUGCAUGCAGGUAGGUAUGGUGGACUCAGAUGGCAAAACUUGGUAUAAGGAUUUUAGAUGCACAAGUAGUAUUUCUACUUAGUACAAAUGGAGGCUAACAAAAAGAUUGAGAUGCAACCAACCAAGAAACAAAAAUUCUCAUAGGCGAGUAUUAAGCAUAACUAACACCGAAUAAUGCACCAUAAGUAGGAUGUAAUUUCAUUGCAUAACCAUUGACUUUCGUGCUUGCAUAGGGAAUCACAAACCUUAACACCAAUAUUCUUACUAAAGCAUAAUUACUCACCAACAUGACUCACAUAUUACUAUCAUUAUAUCUCAAAACUAUUACAAAGAAUCAAGUUUAUUUUGUCCAAUGAUCUUCAUGAAAGUUUUUAUUAUAUCCCUCUUGAAUAUCUAUCACUUUGGAACUAAUUUCAUAUACUGCAAUUGCUUUUGACAAGCUCAAACAAAUUUAAGUGAAGAACAUGAGCAUAAAAAAUUUCAUCACUCAAAAUAAUAUAAGUGAAGCAUGAGAUAAUUUCUUCAAAAAUUUACUAAUUCUCAAAUAGAUCUAAGUGAAGCAUGAGAGUAUUUCUUCAAAAAAUUAAAGCACACCAUGCUCAAAAAGAUAUAAGGGAAGUGCUAGAGCAAUUCCACGGCUCAAAAAAUUUAUGUGAAGCAUAAAGAGCAAUUCUAACAAAUGAUAGCAUAAUCUUGGCUCUCUCUCAAAAUAGGUGUAUCCAGCAAGGAUACUUGUGACAAACCAAAAAGCAAAACAAGCAAAGACUCAUAUAAUACAAGACACUCCAAGCAAAACUCAUGAUAUGUGACGAAUAAAAACGUAGCUCCAAGUAAAAUUUACCGAUGGUCGUUAGAAGAAAGAGGGGAUGCCUUCCGGGGCAUCCCGAGGGCAUCCCCAAGCUUAGUUGAUUGGUUCUCCUUGAAUAUUAACUUGGGGUGCCAUGGGCAUCCCCAAGCUUAGGCUCUUUUCACUCGUUAUCCCUUCAUCUAUCGUGAUCUCACCCAAAACUUUAAAACUUCAAUCACACAAAACUUAACAAAACCUUCAUGAGAUCCGUUAGUAUAAUAAAGCAAAUCACCACUCUAAGUACUGUUGCAAACCCAUUCAUAUUUUAUUAUUGCAUUAUACGUACAAUAUUCCAACUUUACCAUGGCUUAUACCCCCCGAUACAAUCCAUAGAUUCAUCAAAAUAAGCACACAAUGCAACGAAAACAGAAUCUGUCAAAGACAGAACAGUGUGUAGUAAUAUGAAAAUUUACCAUACUUCUGUAGCUCAAAAAAUUCUGAAAAUUAGGAAAACGUGGAAAAUUAGUAUAUCAAUCUUGUGUAAACAAUUCAGAGCAAAAGCACGUUCCUGUGAUUUUUUAAAAUUCUGCUACUAGGCGUAAAAGUUUCUGUUUUUCAACAAGAUCAAAUCAACUAUCACCCAACAUGAUCCCAAAGGCUUCACUUGGCACAAACACUAAUUACAACAUACAAACACAAUAAUAACAAUAUCAUAAUUGUGUCAACACACAAAAACAGGAAGAAAAAGAGAAAAAAAUAUUUUAUUCAUUGGGUUGCCUCCCAACAAGCUCUUUCUUUAUAGCCAUUAAGAUAGGCUUAAGAUUUCAAUGAUACUCACACGAAAGAUAAGAAUUGAAACACAAAAAUAGCAUCAUGAAACAUAUGACAAACACAUUUAAGUCUAACAUACUUCCUAUGCAUAGGAAUUUUAUAAGCAAACAAAUUAUCAAGACAAGAAACAUCUAACAUAUGCAAAGAAGAGGAAUAAAAUAUUGACGAUCACUAGUACGCGUCGGUGCUAUACAAAGGAUUUUUAACCCCUUUCCGUGACGGCAUUUGGGACCGUCGCCAAGUGAGUGUGGGCGAUAGGGUGUCCUUCCCACACGAUCCAGAAACCGUCGGGGAUAUGGAGCAGUGAUCCAGAGGCCUUCCAAAAUGUAAUCGUGUGCGAUGCAUCACACACUAAAUUCUUUUGCACAUGUGGUAUCGGUGAUUAAACGUUUCUAAUGACGCAGUGAAACCAUACGGUCUGUCGUAAUGAACCGUUUGGGAAACAGUAUGUAAGGCACACGGGCCAACAUAUGAACUGUGUGCGAUUUGUGCCCCAUCGCACAUGAGUUUUCUGCGUAACCCGUCUGGCAUGCAAGACUCCAUCGCACACGUUUGCCAACAAUUACCGUCCGUGAUAAUGUUCUAUCACAAAUGGUUCAGGAGCCCCUUAGCACGCAUAUAAGUGCUACAGACCGUUUGUGAUUUGUUGGGUAUCACCGACGGUUGCCGCAAGAGUGACGUGUGCUUUUCGUUUGGAUUCCCACACGUUUCCUGGAAAAAAUAUGACUGGGAUUGUAUUUUACAUUGGGCACGGUUUACUCCGAGUUCUCGUGUGCGAUAACGCGAUAUCACAAAUGGUUCCGGAGACCCUACGCACAUAUAGUAGCGCUGCAAAUCGUUUGCGAUCUGCUGUGUAUCCCCGACGGUUCCGCUAUGAUUGACGUAUGCUUUUCGAUGUGGAUUGCACACACUCAUUUAGUUGAACCGUGUGCGGAGCAAUUGCCAGGUUAAAAAAAUAUCCCAUUUUGAAUCGGCAUGCAAAAAGCAAAUUUGCCACAAUAUUCAAUAGAACAAAUAAACAAAAAUAUCCCAUAUUGAAUCGUUACGCAAAAAGCAAAUUCACCACAAUAUUCAAUAUAACAAAUAGUGUCCACAGGAAGAACAUUCAUCAGAUUUCGCAACAAUUUCAAUUGAACAUAUGGUAGCUAAAUUCCAAUGAUUUGUCCACACAUAUAUGCAUUACAUAAUUAAUCAUAGUGUACGAAAUACGAAGACCUCAUCAGAUGGAAAACAAUGGAUCCAUGCAUUAUAUGUUUAGCGGCUAACUCUUACUCAAUGUUUCAGGAGAAGGCAUGCUGAAAUCUUCAUUAUCACCACUGGGAUUGAUGUAGUGAUCCAGGAAGAAGUCACUGAUAAAUCUCCGAACCAUCGGCAAUUCACCAGCCGGGAGCGGUUCAGGGGUCCUCGGUUUUAAGAUGAGCUACAGUAUUUUUAAGAUCAGAAUGUUUCAUAUGAGUGGAGUAGAAGAUAUUAAUUAAUAUAGACUUACUGGUACUAAUUCAUGAGGAUCGUCACAACUAUCAGCAGAUUUGCAGAUGGAGAUCAUGUGUCUGCAAACAUAGUAUCCACAAAGGUUGGUCCCUACUUCUUGCUGAGGACACUGAAUUUUUUUGUACAGAAUUAGUCAUGUAUUUGUCCUGUUAGGAACAACCUAACUGGUGUUAGAUGUAUUAUUUUUUCUUUGGACAAAAUAGAAAGAGGUUUGUUCAGAAGCUUGAACAUUUGACUAGCGUAAUGAAAGGUAUUUGCAGACUGUUGGAUAAAUUUUCCGAAAAUAACGGAUUUCGGUGUGUUACCGGAGAAACGAUCUCGUGCUGCAGAGGUAGUUCCCUCUUGAACAUGUUCCCUGGUAGUUUUCUACAAUGCAAGCGCACAGCAAAUGAUGACGAAUUUUGACAACAUCAAUUAUUGAACCAGAUAUGAAUGCAAAUUAAUUUCAACAUCAUAGAAUUCAAUACCUAUCCAUGAAUUGCUGAAGAUGCGUCAGAUCCUGAGCGUUUAUUGACUCUCUGAGAGAAUCGAUGUAGUAAACUGUGUUCUUGUUUGGAACAAUGAAAACCAAUAUCCAGUGAUUGUUACAUAUUAAGAAAGCCAUGAACUUACUAUGUCGAAAUCUGAAAGACAAUAAGUGUAUGUGUGGUUGUUUACUUGACUUACCGUUCAUGAUAUGGCGAGAGAAAUGAUUCUGCAUGGGAGGUGUUUUCGAAGAGACGGACAACCGUGUUAACGGCCCAGUCCCGUCGGUCCUUACCAUGUAUUGUUGUGCCAUUUGCUAAUUCAGGAUCUAUGAAAUACACACUCUCUCUUUUUCUUCUCUGCGCGUUCAAUCCCCUGAGAGGAAUAAAAUGCAGUUAGUUGUUUAUCAUUUACAGCCUUGUAUGGAGACGUUGAUCAGAGUUUGUUAAGUACUUACAAAAUCAGGCAUCUAACAAGAGUGGCAUCGAGAACGUUGAAGUUGAAGAAGAGAUGUAAGUCCUCGAAACUCACAUCGAUGGAACCAGCAUCGUGUCAGAAAUGAUCUCUGUUGUAGUGGACUAGCAAACCAUGAUGACCUGCUGACAUUAGAUCCAUGCAAUAUUCAUGUAACUCGCGGCAACUGGAGCUGCACUCAUCAAAGUAUUCGCCAACAAGAAAUGGCUGGCCAUGGACGUAAUAGCGUGCUUGAAGUAUGUCUGCUUUACUUUUAGCAAGCAACAAACGUACUUCUUCAUCAUCCAUGGCGUCAGAAAUAAUAUUACUCCCCGAUUCGAACAAGCUGAUGUUAAUUUGGUUCUGGGCGAUGGUUUCUUUAAGUAAGAGGCAAUCGUUCUCUUUCCUCUUCACUUUCCCGCCGCACUUCCUUGUGGUCGUGGGUGUAGCCUUUGGCCACUUCCUUCUUGGUACUUGAAGCAUUUCUGGCAGAAUGUCUGGUUGCCUACAAGGUAUACUGCCGAGCAGACGGUGAAGCUUGGACGGACUACUUAGCAGACGGUUUAUCUAUGCCGGACCGCUGAGCUGGCGGUGCUGCUGUGACGGACUGCUGACCAUGCGUUGAAGCUAUGUCGGGUUUCUGCGCAGGUGGUGCCAACUUGUCGGUGUGCUGAGGAGGCCGUGCCAACGCGUUGGUUUGCUGAGCAAGAAGUGCUGGUGCAUUGGUAUGCUGAUCACGCGACUGCGGACCGGCGGACUGAUGAGCAGUCGGUUCUGGACCUACAGACUGCUUAGCAGGCGGUUCCGAAGCAUCAGACUGCUUUGCAGUCUGUUCCACCAGGUUGGUCUGCUGAGCAUGUGCUGCAGCUGGGUCUCCCCCCGCUGCUUCAGUGGCCGACAUCUGAACUGGUGGUGCGUCUUCAGCAGUUGUAAGCCUUGCCACUGGCUACUUUGGGGCGGAGGAUGACAUGGCCUGUACGCCACAAAGUCGGGCCGGCUGAUCACAGGUUGAUGCAUCAGCCCGCGAGAGCUGCUCUGGCAAGGAGAGCGUCACCGGUUGAGGGGCGAUAGUGGUUGCUCUUGGCGGGGCUUCAGGGAUCUCAUUGAUGAACUCUAUUUCUUAUCGUGGCCACUGGUGUGAUGUAACAGUGUUUCUCCCAAGGUCCUUUGCUCACCGAAGUCUCCUAGGACAUUCUUUAGGGAAAAUUUAGUGAAUCUAGGCUUUACUUCAGUCACGUAGCACUUCACACAGCCCGGCUUCAAUGGCACAUUGUCCAAGAAGAGGCCAUCUUCCAAGAAGGAUGGGCAAACCCAGGCUGUUGCACAUUUUAAUGUACCUUCAUAAUGUGUAAGCAUGCCCUUCAGUCUGUCUUUCAUUCCAGAUAGAUUAGAUAUAGCAUCAUCACGAGCAGCUGCAGUCUCAGUGUCGCUGGGGUCAGCUGAUGCACAGCUACUCGUGUGCAGUGUUGUCGCACAAUAAGCAGCAUCCUCCAUGCCCGCCUCCCCUCCCAUCUGCUGGCUAUCUAUCAGUGUUAGAGUCUUCUGCAUCAUCAUUGACUCCUCAACAUCCUUUCGAACAACCGGAUAAAUCUCCUUCCUCAACCUUUCAUACAAUGCAUUCUACUUCAUUUCACUCCUCGCUUUUUUCAUGCUGAGCCUCUCUUCUUUGCUGAGUGUGAAAGCCCUCUUGUGUGGGACAUUAACACCUAUACCCCUUGCACGGCCAGGGGGCUCUUUUGUUUCCAAAGUAAUGGACAGAAUGUCACAUGGCCCUGAGUUCUUGUAGAACCUUCCAGGGAUCUUGGAAGCCUCUAACAUCACUAGAUACAGUUCGGCGUCACGUGAGUUUUCAAAGUAAUAAGUUCCGUCAUCACGCCUCUUUGCACGUGCCCGCAAGUAGUCUCUAGCGCGUUCGCCCCUGAUUUCACUAAAGGCCGGAAUCCCACCCGCCGCUACUGCUUCUUUGUCCUCCUGUUCCCACAUCAGUUUCAUGCCGCAAUAUCCUGCCACACCCAUACGUUGGGGGUGUAUGCUCUUCUUCUGAAGUUCCGAUUGCUUGAAACUCUUCUCAGCAAACUCUUUAGUCGCCCUGACCCUUUUGAAUUAUGCCCAGUCUGCCUUUGUAAUUUGGGGGUAUGCGGGGAUUGGGUCCUGGCCUUCACUCAAGUACUUCUUGUAUAGCAUGUGCUUCCAGUUUCUCCAAGCAUCCCUAGCCUUCUUUAGUGCAGCGUGUUCCACCUACAUUCUCCACUGCUCUGAAACGUUGAAGUGAUCCAUGAUCUCCCGGACUAUCCUUCGCCGUGUUUCUGUGUCAGCCUUUCGAAACCCCGGUAGAUUAAUGUUAAGCCUUGCCCUGCCAACAAUCCACACACACUCCUGAACCUCGUGCGUGCUUUAUCUGGUUUAGUUGGAGCCCAAGACUUUAAAUCAAUAUCGGUUACUUUAUAUACACAUUUAGGCUGGUGUGUGGGCUUCCUUGGAGCGUUCCUCUGUAUCCUGACCGAAAGGGUAAUUGCUGCAACUCUAUCCCGUUCAAGAUUACUUGAUCCCUCACAAUCAGCUGAAGACCUAGGGUUGUCCGAAUCAUAUGAAGAUACAUCGCCUGAAGCAUGAGUGAUGUCGCUGCUACUCGGCAUCUACAGAGAACACAUGCGAAACUCGGGAAAGGAGGAUAAGCAUAAAACUAACAACUUGGUAUCAAGCUUUCUGUAAAUAGGCAGUAACUUAUUGGAACAAAUACAACUUAUAUCUAGUAAGGAAGGUAGAUAAUGAACAUAUAUACGCUUCACCGCGAUGGAGAUAUGCCUCACCGCGAUGGAGAGCAGUAACUAACAGGCUUCUUAAUGCAAACCCGGCUGGACCACAGGAGAGGCGAGGGUUACUGCAUCGAUAUCCUCGAGGGUGGCUGGCGAGCAAAAGAAGACGGCGAGGCGCGGGCCGCCGCGUGUUGGGAACGACAGUGGAGGUAGGCUUGAUGCCGAAGAGCGGGCACACGGCCGGGGUGAGCACGGCGGCGUCGGAGAGGGUUCUGUUGUGGAUCUGGGGGAGGGGGGAGCUGGCGAUGGAGAUUGGGUGGACUAGUUGAGUGAAACGCGGGCGCACGGUGUGAGGGUGGGGACUCCAGGUGUUGCCGGCCUAGGUGAAAAGGGUAAAAAAUAUCCCCGGUCGUCGCGCGCACGGAAAGGCCUAUGCAAACGGUUGCCUCUAAGUGCUUGUGCACAAACAGAAUAAUUCCGUUUGAAAUAAAGACGUACUAAUUUUGAAAUGAAGACUUGAGUUCAUCGUUUUGCCUCUAAAUUUUUCCCACGUAAAGCAAUCAUAAUUAUACCACGGGUUUAAUUUGCUGGCGCAUUUCAGGUCUCGUGUGCUAUAUGUAAGACUUUUUUGGCAUUUACCGUGCAUUUUGGCAUAUAAAUCAAUUCCUAGCCGGACUGCAUUUCCAGUCAAAGGGAUGAUGAUCGCUAUUCGAUCUGGGAGAUCCAACGGUGAAGACGUACGAUCCGUGGGGUUUAGGUUCUGGCCAAUCAGAACGCACGAUUCAGAUCGCGCGCACAGCAAAGGGGGGGCACCGGCCACGGUUUGGUAGGCACACGGCUUUCGUGUGUGAACUGUGUUCUAUUUGAAAACAUUUUUUCUGGGAUGGGCUAUUUGAAAACAUUUACAUGUGAUGUCGAAAGGGAUGAGGAUCGCCGUUCGAUCAAGGAAAAUCCAACGGUGCAGGCGUACGAUCCGUAGGGUUUUGGUUCUGACCAAUCAGAAUGCACGACUCAGAUCGCGCGCGUGGUAGAAGGGUGGGGGGCAUCGGCCACGGUUUAGUGGACACACGGCUUUCGUGAGUGAACUGUGUGCUAUUUAAAGACAUUUACAUUACCUAACAUCAUAUUUUUGUUCGAAUGAAAACAUGAGUUCAUCGUUUUGCCUCCAAUUUUUUCCCACGGUAAGAAAUCAUGAUUGUACCCUAUGGUUUGAUUUUCUAGUACAUUUUACCAGGCGGCAGGCCUCGCUAGCAAUCUCAAACUAUGAAUAUGCAAAAAAAAGAUCUCGUUUGUAUGUUUAUAUAUAUAUAUAUGUAUAGUCGCAACUACACGUGCGUGUUAGCUAGAUCAUUGGUGUGUCGCUUUGCGAGUUUUCAUUCAUUGUGCGAGAAACGGGAAAAAACUUCAAAACAGUUCGGCCGCAGGGUGCGGCCAGAGGCGUAGGUCUUGUUGGUGUUUUAAUUUCAAGAAAUGCAUAUAGAGUUCGGAAAAUAACGAAAAUCAUUGUGUCACUGUCGCGUGCUCUCACGAUCGCAUGGAAAAAAAUUAGUAAAGUUUGGCACAAGUUUUGGUGCUCGCACCUUCCAUACUGGAACAUCUAACAAGAAGGAUUAUAGUUUCCAAAAGGAGAUGCAGCACUUCGGACUACAAAUCGUCAGUUACUAGCUACAUCGUUCCGGCCCAUUUCAUGUCGUCUGCUAUGUUUAAGUCAUUCUUUGCACUUACCUUGCAUUGCAUCUUAGUGCAUAUAUAAUUAAUUAAAGUCAAAAACCCUACUACAACUACAUGUGGGUGGUUUAGUUAGGCUAUAUAUACUUAGUCUACCCAUAGUGGAGAGUGUCAUAUACUAGUAUCAUGCAUAUAUAUAUAUAUAUAUGAUAUUAGUGUAUGAUACUACCUUUAAUUAAUUAUAGCACAUAGUAUAAUACAUAGAGUAUAGUAUCAUAGAUCAUAUUUAUUGCCAUGCAUGACACAAAUUAGCAUCGCAUUUAACAUGAUACGGUAUCUACCUAUAUGUUAAUCUAACCCUCUCUAUAUAUAUUUAAUUCUUUGCCACACCGGCAUACUUGCUAUUUUUGAGUGCAUGACAUCGUCGGCUAUGAUACCAUCACUAUGGUCAACCUUAUAUAGUGGGGAGUAUCAUAUACCGUAUAUAGUAUCAUGCAUAUGAUACUAGUGUAUGAUACUACGCACGUACCUUCAUAGUGCAUAUAUAGUAUCAUAGAGUAGUAUCUAUCAUAGAUGACCGUAUUUGUGGCCAUGCAUGACACAAAGUAGUAUAGCAUUUAUUUUAUAUAUGUUACGGUAUCUACCUAUGUUACUACUUCUUUGCCACAUCAUCAUAUUUGCUAUUCCCGAGUGCAUGAUACCGGCUACGAUGCCCCCACUGUGGCCACACUAAGGCUGGUCGUAAUAUGAGAGUAUCAAGCGGUAUCAUGCAUGCCAACUAGACUUUUUGGAUGAUGUGGCACACGGUUAAAUGAGGAAAGAGAGGGUGUGGUAUCAUAUCAUGAUACCAUAUCAUAUUAAAUGUUGUACUACUUUGUGUCAUGCAUGGCAAUUAAUAAGGCAACCUAAGAUACUAACUUAUGACUAGUAGAAUGCCCGUGCGUUGCCACGGGCUUCUGAAAUAUUUUGCUGAAGUUAUAUAAAGAUAAUGCGUGUUAAAUUUCACAUGUAAAGACAACAUAACACAGACACGACUGCAUAAUAAUUGAAGUCCACUUUACUUGUAAAUUGUAAUGUAAACUAAUAACAAAAAUGCAAAUUGAUGAUGUAUACAUAUAAAGCGAUGAUCCAACUAAAAAUCUAUUACAAACUAUUAAGAUCUACUUGCGCUUAAGAAAUUCUCGCACAAUAUCAGGAAACUUCUCUUUAGCUUCAUUCGCACGAUAUUUUUUCAAGUAUUAUGAAAACUGCUUCCCAACUUAUACCCAUCCUGCAAAAGCAAUAUAUGUAGUUAGCACGAAUACUACAUGUGGAAGGUUUUAAAAUGUGUAAUGGAUAAUACUCACAGCGCAAACCGGCUUCACCAACUCUUUAUCUUUCCAUGAGAGCAUAAAAUGAAAAACAAAAAUAGCAGACACAUCACUGCGAUUUCCAAAAUUAUUAUUAUAUUAAAUAUAGUUCUAACAAAAUAAAUAUUUGUAUUUUGAAUUUUUACCCGUCUAUGCUCGUUGGAAUACUAGACGGAAAUAUUACUUUAUUUCGAGUGCUUCUUUGAAUUCCCUCGCAAAACUUUUUGAUUUCACUAAAUGCCUCAGAGUUUUAACCUCUGACGACUGUGAUGUAUGAAUAGGGUCAAGCAUAAAUACACAACGUGCCCAUUUUUCAAUGACGUACAAGAUGUAUCAGCCAAGUGGUAGCUAUUAGAAACAAUAAUAAAUCAUGACAACAAUGGACAAAAAAUCUUACUUAACAUGUUCCAUGAUGAAAUGUUGUUGUCUAUCCCAGCCAUCUAUCAAACAAAGUUGCCAACAUUUGAAUAGUUUCCUUCACGUAGAACUUUUGAUCUCGUGUUGAAUCUAGCAUCAUGGACUAAGUAAAAGAACUAUUUAGAAACAUGUUCAUAUAGUGAUAUUGAAUGAAGAAUUAUUACAACUUACACAAAAUUGUAGAUCCAUGUAGUAUAUAUAGGAGGGUACGUAGUAUGUGCACGACUAUGAAAACAAUCAUUGUGCAUAGACUGCUCCGUGUUAAGUAUAAGUUUUUUGAGGCUUAGGCCCAUUGUAUGGGGUGUCGAGCUUCGGACUCAUUCAUUCCAGAAAAUUGGAUGGUAAGGUUAAUAAUAACAAUGUAUAAUAACACAUUACAUAUUGAUAAAUGAUGCUUACUUCAAACACUCGACACAUUACAUAUUGAUAAAUGAUGCUUGCCGGACAAUGAACCACGACAUGAGCCUUGAGCUGCUUCGGCUGGCGUGCUGGUCGUGUCAUGGCUUCUGAAGGCAGCCAGCCUAGGUGCAUAGUGGGACGCCGACUCACCAGCGAUGUACAACGACUACGGCAGCUGCCUCAGCACCACCAACGAUGGGCUCCUCGACUGGGGCGUCUACUACUUUCAUCCAUCAAGAAGGCCACGGUAAGUGGUCGUCCCUUCACCCUUCGGUACGCACAUAGAUGCAUCUAUGUCCCUGGCCUGUUGUGGUCAUCAGAGGUGUAGCUGCCCGUACUCAACAAAAUUUGUUGUUACUCGAUUAGUUUGUAUAUAUCAACAUUGAUGUCUUAACAGAUUAAAUUAGUUAUAGUUUGAUGUGUUUGCUGUUGUUGUUGGUGUGUGUGCGUCUGGACUUGCUGCUGCUGUGCGUGCAAGAUAAAAGGGAGCAAGUGUUUGUACUGACAGUAACACAUCUAAUCCAGGAGGCCGGCCUCCUGGAUUUGGCAGUCUCAUGUGAGUCUAUAGCAGAUUUCUUGGCCUCUGACAUAGCAAAGGAGGCACAUGGCGCGGUAUGGCAUGUCUUCUUUGCAGCUGCUGCUGUUGCGCUUUGGCAUGCUCGGAAUGAGCAAGUUUUCCACAACAAGUUUUGGACAGCUCGGAGGGUUCUUAAUGAGGUGGCCGACCUGAUCAAGUUAUGGACACUGCGAGCAUCCGAGGGAAAUGUCAGAGAUCGUUUAUCUUCUUGGACUGAUGUAAUGGUGCGAGAAUAGCUGCCAAGCUCUCCUUGUUCCUAGCUUUCUUCCUGCUUUCCUUCUUUCCUUCCUUCCUAGCUUUCCUUGUUCUAAUUCUCAGGCUUGGCGUUGGCCUGCUGCACGCUCUGUGCGGCGCUCACAACGCCUUCAUGUAAAAAGACCAUUGGUCACUCAGGCUACGGCCUGUUUUGAAUGCAUAAGGUAGAACAUGAUCUAGCUUUUCUUUCAAAAAAGAACACAUCUAAUUUUUUAAGUUGGUUUAGUAAAUUGGCCACACAUUUUUUUGUAACAACGCGGUAGUGGCAGCAGCAGUUAAGUCCGGUGAGACGGUCAGUGUGCGCGCUGGGCCACCAGCGAGAUUCCUUGAUAGGCAUAUUCUCGUGACUGCUUGUGUUCUCUCAAAAUCUAGCUUCUCAUUCCAUUCUUUCUGCAGGUUUAAUUAUGUGGAAGGAACCAAUCCCAUGUCCACCCACAAAAGGAAAGCCAACAUCAGGGAGUUCUACGGUAACUGAACAAACGACCUGCAGAAUGCAGAAAUUUAAAAUAAGCAUUUGCGGUUUGGAGCUAUGAUCCUGAAAAAUUCCCAUUGUCCGUCUAAUACAGCUGUGAGGUAUUUCCUUCCCUCAUGCAACUGGGCCAUGACAUCAGCAACUUCAAUGACCGGAGGCAGAGGAAUGUUUGCUUGGAGAAGUACAGGAGGAGAGACAAGGCAGAGGAGAGCAAGAGGCCGCUCUCCAUGAUCGAUGCUAAAAUAGAUGAAGGAUCUUCAUUGGGCUCAACAACAAGGUUGUGCUUCCCAACUGCAGCCACAACAUGUGCAUCCAGUGCUACCGUCAAUGGUGAUUAAGAACACAACGCUUGAUCCUACUUAUUAUUUUUCCUCACAUGUUCACUAUGUUAGGAAUGGGCAACUACCAUUACUGAAGGCCAAAGGCCAAUACAUAUACAUGUGUGGUAAAGUGCAGGAAACCCCUUGUACAAUGGGGAUAAACCAGAAAGAUACUAUACACAUCUAACACCCCCCCGGGUCACGCGCAAUACUGAUAGCACCAGUACUGUCUGACAGUAAGGGAGUCGAGGUAGCAGCAGACACACCAAAAUCCUCAAGUAACCACCGUAACCAGAUCACCUCAGCCGUCAGCAUAGCCAUGGCUCGCAACUCAGCCUCUGUACUCGAGCGAGAAACUGCAGUCUGUUUCUUUGUCUUCCAAGCAAUAAGAGAGCCACCAAGAAAGACACAAUAAGCAGACAGCGAGCGUCGAUCAGAGGGAUCACUAGCCUAGGUAGCAUCAGAGUAAGCCUGGAGCUCAAGAGAACUGGAGCAGGGAAAGAAAAGGCGCUGAGAGAUCGUGCCACGAAGAUAUCGUAAAACACGGAGGAGGUGACUAUAGUGGACAGAGGUAGGGGCUUAAACAAACUGACUCAGGAUGUGAACAGGAUAGGAGAUGUCAGGACGCGUAACAGCAAGAUAGACAAGGCUACCAACGAGGUGACGAUAGCGAGUGGGAUCAGGAAGAGGGUCACCAUCAGAGGCACAAAGCUGAACAUUGAGCUCCAUAGGAGUCACAACGGUGCGGUCAUCACUGAGAGCAGCUCGAGCGAGAAGAUCCCGAAUAUAUUUCUCUUGAGAGAUGUAGAAGCCAUCAGAGGUCGAGGAGAUCUCAAUCCCAAGAAAAUAGCCAAGAGGACCAAGAUCAGUCAUGAGGAACUGGUCGUGAAGGCGGGCCUUAACAAAGGCAAUGUAGUCAGAGUCGUCACCAGUGAUGAUCAUGUCAUCAACAUAAAGAAGGAGAAGAGUCCGACCACGAGGAGAUGUGUGAACAAACAACGCAGGAUCAUGAUCACUGGGCAAGAAACCAGCGGCAAUCACCACAGAGGCAAAGCGCUCAAACCAGGCGCGAGGGGCCUGUUUAAGACCAUAGAGGGAGUGGCGAAGUCGACAGAACAUACCGUCAGGAGCAUAGUACCCCAGUGGUGGCUGCAUGUAAACCUCCUCAUGCAACUCACCAUUAAGAAAAGCGUUCUGAACAUCAAGUUAAGAGAUAGACCAAUGACGAACAGAAGCAACAGCAAGAAGAGUGCGAACAGUGGUCAUAUGGGCCACAGGAGCGAAUGUCUCAUCAUAAUCGCGUCCCUGCUCCUGCUGAAAACCACGGGCCACAAGGCGCGCUUUGUAGCACUCAAGAGAACCAUCAGAGGGAGUCUUAAUCUUGUAGACCCACUUGCAGGUGAUGGGACGGACACCGGAAGGGAGGGAAACCAGAUCCCAUGUGCCAGAGCGCUCAAGGGCAGCAAGCUCUUCGGCCAUCGCAAGCUGCCAUUCAGGCUGAGUCAUGGCAGUCCGAUAGGAAGUGGGCUCAGCAAUAACAGAGAGACCAUAGCGAGCAGGAGACUAGCAAUCAGGCGGGGGGCGAGGCCGAGCACGGAGGUUAUGAACCGGGGGAGGCGUGAAAGGAGGUGCACCAGAGGUGGAAGGCGCAUCACGGGAAACAUCCUCAGAACGAGGGCGACGAGUAUAGUGAGGAGGAAAUGGUGAGAGAGGACGACGGACUGGAGAUGAUGGUGGAGAGUUGGAGGAGGAGGAUGGGGAAGAUGGUGUCGGUGGUGAAGGAGAAGGAAGAACAGGUGCAGGCGGAGGAGGAAAAACAUGUGGAGGCACAUAGCAGGGUGUAUCAGGGAGAAGAAGAAAAGAAAGAUCGUCCACAGAGAGGCUCGAGGUAGAAGGACGUGGGUAGUAAGAGCGAGACUCGUCAAAGGUCACAUCACGUGAGAUGUGCAAACGACGACCAACAUGAUCCCAGCAGCGAUAGCCCUUGUGCUCAUCGUUGUAGCCAAGAAAAACACACUCAACCGACUGAGCAGUCAGUUUGGUGCGUUCUCGCGGGGCAAGAAGGACAUAGCACACACAUCCAAACAUACGAAGAGCUGAGUAGUCAGGAGAGCGACCAGUGAGACACUCCAUAGGAAUACCACCCUGCAGAGCAGUCGAUGGCUGUAUGUUGAUGAGAUAGGUGGAUGUAGAAACAACAUCAGCCCAAAAAUGGGGUGGGAGAGAGGCGGCAAUCAUCAGAGCAUGAGCCGUCUCAAGUAGAUGACGAUGCUUACGUUCGGCAACGCCAUUCUAAGCAUGUGCACCAGGACAUGAGAACUGGGCAAGAGUACCCUGUUCCGCAAGAAAACCACGCAACAGCUGGGAGAUAAACUCACCAGCGGAGUCAGCACGAAAAGUACGAAUGGGCGUGGAAAACUGGGUGUGAACCAUGGCAGCAAAACGUUUGUAUAUAGAGAGUACCUCGCUACGAGAUUUCAUAAAGUAGAGCCAAGUGUAGUGAGAGAAAUCAUCAAUAAACAUGAUAUAGUUGCGGUGACCACCUUUCGAAUCAAAGGGAGCAGGACCCCAUACAUCAGAAUGAACUAAGUCAAAAGGACGCUGAGAUACCGACUCACUGGUAGAAUAAGGUAACUGGGUCUGUUUGCCAAGUCUGCAGGCAGUACAAGGUAAAGAAACAUCUCCAGGUACAGACCCUAAGAGGCCCUGACGAACUAAAGAAGACAAGCGAGAGCCACAUAGGCGACCAAGGCGAUGAUGCCACUGCUAGAAGGACGCAGACGAAGAGGUAGCAAGAGCAUGGGAGCUGGCUGAAGUGGUGGCAGCGGAAGGAACACACCUCCCAAAGGCCCUCUGACUCACGGCGUCGGGGGCCAGCACCAAUCAAAGCCUUGGUGCGAUGAUCCUGAAUGGAGCAACAGUCGGUAUCAAGAAUGACACGACAACCAAAAUCAGUAAGUUGGGCAGCGGAAAAAAGAUUCAUGGUGAGGCGAGGAACAUGUGAAACACUAGGAACAGAAAAAUAUGGAGUGGAAAGAAGACCACGGCUAGCAACAGGAAGAGGUGUGCCAUCAGCGGUAAGAACAUUAAUAGGCGAAUCAAGAGGUCGGAGAGAAGACAGCACAGAAGAAUCAGAAUACAUAUGAAAAGAGGCGCCAGAAUCCAGAACCCACGAAGAUGUACCUGACUAUGUAGAUGCCUGCGGUGGGGGAGCAGUGGCUGCAGUCACAGCAGCAGCGGAACCGGUCGACGAAGAGCCUGAGGAAGCUAAGAGACGCUUGAGCCUCAUAAUGUCCUGGUCAGUGAGUGACGGGGUCGAGGAGGAUCCAGGAGUCCCACUUGAAGAGGAGCGCCUCUGGUCUCGCUUCUUCUCACGGCAAUCAGACUCUGGGUGACCUGGCCGAGAGCAGUAGCCACAUAAGGUGUCACGGCGCGACCGGCCCCUCUCAGCAUAAGAAGAACGACCCACCCCCUGAAGGAGUAGGCAGGAGCGGUGGAGCAGUGAGGCGAGUAGGUGGCAGAGGAGCCCGGGUGGCCAACACUGAUGGAACCACAAGUAACCCAGCAGAGCAUAGGCGGGUCUCUUCAGCACGAAGCUCAGCAAGUACCUCUGAGAUAGGAACACGACCACGAGCGAGCAGGUGAGGACGGCUAGGCUCGAACCCAGAGCGAAGACGAGAUAAGAACUCGUGAACCCGCUGAAACUCCAAAUCGGACCGUGUAGUCUGACAGCAACGGCAAGUUCCACAAACGACGGUCCGAAGACAGUCAAGCUGACGCCAGAUGGCAGAGCACUGUGAAUAGUACACAUCAACAGAGGAAUCACCUUGCUUGAGUGCAUGCUCCAGACGCACCACAGAUAGGUAGAUAGCAUCACCAGAGGGCUGAUAGCGCUGACAGAGAUAAGACCACAUCGCUGCAACUGUGCCAAGUCCCAUGAACUUUGAGGCAAACUGAGGUAGGACACUCGCAGUAAGAACAGCAGCAGCACAAGCAUCAUCAUUGCACCACUGAGUGUAAGCAGACAGAUCAUCACGAUAGGCAGAAAGGGCAUCCGAAUAGGCUGACAUCUGCUGAUCAUAGGCAUCAACUGCAGUAUCAUCGAGAGCCUUGGCGGCAUCGCGAUCAGCCUGAGAAGCAUCAGCAGCAAGAACCAGCGGUGCUGGCGGGGUAGGAGCCACUGGAGCAACAGGGCCAGGCGGACAGGGGACCUCGCCAGAGAGAACACCCCACAGAAGGAGACCGCACAUGUGGAUACGCAUAAACCCCGCAAACUCGGCAUAGUUGGUGCCAUCGAAGAUCACCGAGCACCGAGGAACGGCAACAGAGCCCGAAGAAGACAUGAGGAACUCUUUUUUUUUGUCAACUGCUACAGCAGACCCCGAUCCAGAUCGGGAUNNNNNNNNNNNNNNNNNNNNNNNNNNNNNNNNNNNNNNNNNNNNNNNNNNNNNNNNNNNNNNNNNNNNNNNNNNNNNNNNNNNNNNNNNNNNNNNNNNNNNNNNNNNNNNNNNNNNNNNNNNNNNNNNNNNNNNNNNNNNNNNNNNNNNNNNNNNNNNNNNNNNNNNNNNNNNNNNNNNNNNNNNNNNNNNNNNNNNNNNNNNNNNNNNNNNNNNNNNNNNNNNNNNNNNNNNNNNNNNNNNNNNNNNNNNNNNNNNNNNNNNNNNNNNNNNNNNNNNNNNNGAGGCGGCAACGGCAGGCCACGGCUGCGCUCGGGGCGUCGCGGGACAGCGACGGCAGGCCGCGGCCGAGCUCGGGGCAGCGCAGGCCGGGGCGAGACGGCGUGGUGGCGGGGUAGGAGAUGGCCGGCGCCGGCGACGAGGUAGAGGGAGGCCGGCGACGGGGGAGCUAGGCACGGAGCUGCGAGCGUGCCGGAGCGGGAGAGGAACCUAAGCAUUUGAUACCAUGUUAGAAAUGGGCAACUACCUUUACUGAGGGCCAAAGGCCAAUAUAUAUACAUGUGUGGUAAAAUGCAGGAAACCUCUUAUACAAUGGGGAUAAACCAGAAAGAGACUAUACACAUCUAACACAUUCAACCAGAGCAAAUAUGUUUGGCGUUUGGUUUAAUGUGAGCUCCAGAGUUAUCUUAGUCGACGCUUCGUUCUAGUGUUAUUAAGUGCUUCAGCAGUUGCCAAUGUAGGAUUUUUUGUUCAGAUAGCAAUGCACCAUGAGUAAUUAUGUAACAUGACCAUUUAUGGAAAUAUGCUACAGUAAAGAAAAUUACAAUGGAUUUCGUGUUUGUUCUAGAAUAAAUAGAAGUACAUUAGAUCGUUUAUAUAAUGUGGCGUCCUAGAAAUCCUACUGUUUUCCAGUACAAUAUUUUUCAGCACCAUGUUGCCUUGUUUCCCUCAUGAAGAAGCCAUGUACUAAGCAAUAUCAUAGUCGAUCUCACCUAAAAUAUAAUAGUAAAACCAAUGCACGACUAAGGACAACAAGUUUCUCAUGCAUAUUUUGCAAAUUUCCAUGUGAAUAUAUAAUGUAGAGGCAUGGUAGUACAAGUAGGAUUCAAUGUAAAAGCUUAGUCUUCCUGUAGUUGUCAUUCUCACCUCUGAAACUUUCAAUUUGGUUUUUGACUUGAUAUGCCCGACUUAACCAGGUACACGAGGUUGUGCUUCAAGGGCAUGGGUAUUCUGGAGACAUUCUAACAUCAGCACGUCAGGCAAGGAAUUGCAUUGGGAAAAAACCCAACAAAACUAUGAACAGGUUUGUUUUUUCUGUUGACAAGGAAACUAUGAUUAUCCGAACACAAGAGGAAGGUAAUAACAAGCAGAUGAGUUUAUCUACCUGACUCCCUUGGCACCGAUGGCAAAGGUGGCGAUGGUGAGUUGGUGCUUGUGAAGACGCACUUCUGCCCGAGGGCCUUACUCCACCCACUCCUCCAGCUCUGCACCCUGCCGCCUAAUAUUCUUCAGUUUAUUCUAGUUAAGAAAAUUAUAGUAAGCAGGAGACGGCUCGACUAUAAAUCAAUCCAUGUGCCCCCUUACCGAGGUGGAACUCAUGGUUGUCCCACAGCCUCGUCAUCAUGGAAGUCUCCGCGCCGGCAGCCACAAUGAGGCGGGUUCAUACAUCUAGCUCAUCUUCGUCGUCACCCAAUGAUUCUCAGUCAUCCUUAUCUCUUGUCUUGCUAGCGAAAACAUCCAGCAAUUUAUAUCAACAAUUACAAAAAAAUUGCUGGAAAAGAAUAACAAUCGACAAACUUAUCAGAUAUGAAUUAUGACACCGGGAAAAUGAACUUACUUAUUUUUUCUAGUUUUGUUUGCAUAAAGCUCUCCAUCUUCACUGCAUAAUUUUUAGGUAGGUCGAAGUGCACUUUGUUAGGUCAACACAAUAGGCUAAUUCCCAUAAAAGAAUUGAUUAUGCACAAUACUUGGGAAAAUAAGAUAAUGAAAAUUUGCAAUUUUCAUACAUAUAUAUUACCUUUUACCUGUUACUUUCAUAACUAAAAAAAUGGUGACUUAAUGAAAAUAUCAUGUGAAGGUAUCACAUUAGAGAAGCAAACCAGCAUGCCUGCUAAGCAAAAUAGGCUGAGGCGCAAGAUGAGAAUUCACAUGCAGUAGCAUAAUAACAAAAUAUGUAUCACCAAUUAAAGUGCUGUCAUCAGAUUUGUUAAUCCCGGUGGCAAUCUUGGGGGAAGAAGUAGAGGGCACAAAAGCAGGUAGAAUGACGAGCAAUAUGUGCCGCAACGCGACGCAAAACAAGAAUUGUAGGGAAUGCUGAAAUCUGAACCAGCAGCAGUUCGGAUUACAUGAGGACUGAAAAUUGUCUUAUUCUCAGGUUUAGACUGUUUAGUCAACAAGGAAAAGACAUGUAGAAAGCAAAUUGUGCCCGAUCCAUGAUACAUGUCUCCGAAUCUUUUUCAACAAUGUGAUGGUACUGAUCCUUGUCUCUUUCUUUAGCAAUAUUGAGAUCCUCCUGAACCUUUAGGAAUUCAGAUCUGUGUAACAAGCAUGCCAAUUAUAAGAAAGCAUAACAUGAAUAGAAGAAAUAAGCAGAGUACGUUGUUUUCUAUAUCUGAGUAUUAAAGAAAGAGUAGACCUUAUAUUUCUCACUCCUGCAAAUAAUCCUUGAACCUGAAAAUGAAUAUAAUCAGUUAGUUACAUAUGAACUAUGAACAAAAAUAAAAUUACAACAACAAUACACCCGCACACUACAAGCAAGCAGCAGCGCGCAUAAAGUAAGUCUCAUCCUUGAUUUACCAGCCGAACCCAUGUCUCUGUUGUCCAAAUCUAUAUCCAUCAACAAAGGCCUCCUCUCUCUGAAAAAAAAAACAAAGGCCAACAGAAACGAUUGACUGUUUGUUGCCAACAAAAAAUGGAUGAAUGUAUUCUUUUGUACAGUAAGCACCUUUUAAUUUACAUACACGAAGCGACCCAAUUUGUAAAAUCCAUUGGCGGCCAUCAACCAAGCUACCGCACAACACCGACGACACCGCACCUUCUGGUCUCCAAGGAUCCACCUUGUCAGCUGACUUUGACCCUCGGCGAGGGCCCCACACGACGGGGUGAUGCUCAGGGUCUCUCGUGCUCAAAAGGAUCCAUGCCUGGACCCUUCAAUACGUACUAAUAAGCACAUAAACAGGUGAGCCUGCAUGUUUUAGACAGUCACAUCAGCGUAAGUUCAGCAGGAUGCUUAAUUGCUUAUACCUGGAAAAAAAAUCUGAAUAAUGUUUAUAAGCACCAUUGUUUCCAUCUUGAUAAAAUAGCAGUGUUCCACUGUACGAAUCAUUUUCUGCAUCCGGACCGCCAGUUGAAUGUGGUGCUGCACGAUCUGGUUCUUCUUGUUGUCCCGCACCGCGUUGCCCGCGAACUCCAUGGUCUGAAGAGAAAGAACCAAAACCACCAGGAAAACAGUGCGUAUAAUGUGCUGCCUAGUCUAUUCCAUUAAAUCGGUCUUUUGGUUGCAUUGGCUAGAGCAUGCACUUCUACAUGGUAUCGGAGCCAAGAGGUCUUGUGUUCAAGACCCGGCUGGCGCAAUUAAAUUGCAGCCCACUUUCGGUCCACGUUUAGGCCUGAGGGAGCCACACGCGAGGGGGAGUGUUGACGUAUAAUAUGCUGCCUAGUCUCUUCCAUUAGAUCGGUCUUUUGGUUGCAUUGGCUAGAGCAUGCACUUCUACAUGGCGAAGCAGACACUAGGAGAGGAAACGCUCAACAUUAAGUUAGUUGAGGACGACGGAGAGGUAUACGGGGCGCCGACGCCGAAUCGCUGGGCGUACGUGUCGACCUUCAAGUACCUGGCGACAUACUCAGAUCGCUACGAAGGCCAUAUUCAGAUCGCGAUGAAGAGCGGGCACGUUGAUACGGUGAUCGCUGCCUCGCCGGAGAGAUGGCCGGAGUCAGUGAGAUUGUAGAGGGCCGGUCUGGAUCCGGAGUGUGCGUUCCGGCAGCCAGGCUGACGAGGACAUCGACGAGCCGGGAGUGGAGGAGGCCAUCCUUAGUAGUGGUAGGCGGCCGAUGUGCCUCGGUGCAGUACGAGGAAAGGGGUGAAAAGAUAGCUGGGAUCGGUGGUUGUGGUCUGGUGGUCGGUGGUGAUUGGUACAAACCUCUUCCAAGGGAUCUUGGUCAGGUCGUCUCCUCGGCGGCGGCAGGGCGUGAGGCCGCGGAUGAGUGACCGGCCCGGGCGGAGUGCAGAGGCGUCGCGGCGGAGGCCGCGGAGGAGUUGCCGGCGUGGAGUCGCCCUGGUCGAGGACAUCGGAGAGCAGAGGACGGCGGCAUGAGGACACGAUGAGGGAGGCGUCGGGAGGAUCGCGCGUCUAGUCUUGCGAGUAGGGCAGGCGAUGCGUCUGGUCGAGGAGAUCGCGUGAACGCAGGCGUUAAUAGGCCGGCCCAAGUACGGCGCUUCACGUGAUGUGAAAGGCGGGCGAAAGAUAAUAGUGGUGGGAUGAGGUGGGAGUGAGGCGAGACUACCAACUGAGACAUUAGGAGUAGAGAUACGAAGGUAUUACCGAUCAUAUACUAGUAUCAUGCAUAUAUACUCCCUCAUUUCCGAUUUAUAGGAUUAUCUCAAAAUUUUAGUUUUUCCAUUUUAUAAGGCUCAAUUUGGUAGUUCCCCAUCACAUGUUCAGAUUCCAAGGUGCAUUAACUCAUUGCAUGCAAGUAUUAAGAGAAAGUUGACCAAUGCAUGUACUUUAUGCAUGCAUGUAUUGCAAUUAAUACAUUGGAAAACAUAAUAUUUUGAGGAAAACAAAAGCAUUAAUUGGAUGUUUUUGCAAACUACAAAAAAUAUUCCACCACUCACCAUCUAUCUUGGUUGGUGAGAUUUUUGAAUUGAGCCCUAUAAACCGGAAAGGAGGGAGUAUGAUACUAGCUAGUCUAUGUAUACUAGCUACCUCACUAAGAGCAUGGUUAAUAAUACAACCAACGGUCGGCUAUAAGAAGUUGCCAUGUCAUAUACAGCCAACCUCUUAGCGGGCAUGUGCAAUAAUAAGUUUUAAAUAAGUACUAAUUUAUCAAUAGUUGGCCCACCUUACAUCCUCACAAAGUGUCUUGGGUCUCGUGUUGCAGCUGGCUCUACUAACCAAGAGCCCGCUUCUCUUCUCUCUCCUCUUCUCUUUCCUCCAACUAAUAAGCCCAUAUAUAUUAUUCUAUUCCUUAUAGCCUGCUUAUGUCACUCUAUUGUACUUGCUCUAAGACUAGUCACAAUGGAGAGUAACAUACACUAGUAACAUACACAUAUCCCUAAACUAUGUUACUACCUUUCAUAGUGGGUAGUAACAUAAGUAUGGUAACAUGCAAAGCCUCAUUUAUUAGGUUAUAGACUCAUAUUGCAUUGGGACAUGUGAUGUUACACUAACUAGCUAAGUUACUCAAGCUACCUCUCUCCUCAUUAACUCAUUGCCACAUAAGCAAACUUGUUGAGUUGGACUCGAUGUUACUGCUGAAGUUACUCCGACUGUGGCUAGUCCAAUGCAUAAUAUCAUAGAGUAGCUAGUAUCAUAUGCAGUACUUUAUUUAUAUUGUCAUGCAUGACACAUAGUAGCAUAGCAUUUAUUAUGAUACGGUUUCAUGAUAUGAUACGUAACCCUCUCUUUCUUCAUUUAAUUCUAUGAUAGCUCAUCAAAAUUGCCUAGUUGGCAUGCAUGAUACUAGCUAUGAUAUCCUCUUACUAUCAGCCUAGCAAAGAAGGUGUACAGAUCAUUUGUGUGUCGUUUUGUGAGUUUUCAUCCCUUUGUUCGAGAAGCGGGGAGAAGUUUCAAACAUUUCGGUUGCGAGGUGCGGCCACUGGCGUAGGCCUAGUUGGUAUUUUAAUUACAGGAAAUUCAGAUGGAGUUCAGACAUCAUCAAAAUCGAUGUGUGCCCAUGGCGUGCUCUCACGACCCCGUGGAAAAAAAUUGGUAAAGUUUGGCACAAAUUUUGGUGACCGCUCCUUCCAAACCGGAGCAUCUCACAUGAAGGAUCAUGGUUUCCAAAAAGGAGACGUGUCAAUUCAAACUCCUGUGGCCGGUGACUUCAUCGUUUGGCCUCAUAAAAAUUUCCAUGGUACGCAAUCACCAUUAUACCACGAGUUUGAUUUUCUGGCGCAUUUCAGGUAUCGUUAGCUAUAUUUAAGACAUUUUUUGAGAUUAGCAUGCAUUUUGUGCAUAAAAAUAAAAUUACAACCGGAACUGCAUGUCCUGUCGAAAUGGAUGAGGAUUGACGUUCGAUCUGGGAGCAUCCAACAAUGCAGACGUAUGGUCCACGGGGUUUGAGUUCUGGCCAAUCAGAAAGCACGACUCAGAUCAUGGGCGGGGUGGCGGGGUUUGGUCGGCACACGGCUUUCAUCAACGAACCGUGUGCUAUUCGGAAACCAGAUUGCAUAUUUUUGUUCACACAUACUGUAGUGAGAUCAAUUGAGUGUGCUACCUCUAUGAUAUAAUAAUAAUAAUAAUAAUAAUAAUAAUAAUAAUAAUAAUAAUAAUAAUAAUAAUAAUAAGAAAAAACAGUUCAUAUUCAUUGCCUGAGCUGACAGCAUAUCAAGGUCAACAUAUUAACGGUUAUUACAUCAACAGAAAAUCGGGCAUAACUCACAAAUUCAGUACAUGCGACAGUUCUAAUUUGAACGAAUUAAGUUGCAGGGUAGGCAUAAAGACUAGUCUUACGGCUUAAUUCCCAUGUACAUGGGGGAACUAAGAUCAUUACGUUGACCCCGAAUGAACUUGGGUUUUAUGAUGAUUUUACGCUUCUCUGUUACACGGGUGCGUGAUCCCUUGGCUGGCAACUCAUCAAAUUCAUCGUACUCGUCCUCAUUGGCAACAUCGCCGACACCCAGUACCCUUCUCUUCCCAUGCAUCACUAAAUGGCACUUCUUAUGCAAGGGGUCACCACAAAGAAAAUCUGGGUAGCAUCGCUGGCAAGAAUGAAUGGGUUCGCGUGAUAUGCCAUCGUUGUCCUAUUAACACAGGUCUUCCUGUACUCAUCAAUCCUUACUUGACCAAGAGGGAUCCAUGUGCACCUGAAUAAUGGAACCUUAACUUUCACAUAGUCAAGCUCCCAAAUCUCUUUGAUGGUUCCAUAGUAUACCCUUUUAUCAGCUUCAUUUACAGUCAUGCAUUCUAUUCGAACACAGCUGUUCUGAUAUGAGGUCUUCUGAUCACGUUCCUCAGUGUAGAACGUGUAUCCAUUUAUGUCAUAUGCUUGGUACGUCAACACCGUAGGUGAUGGCUUUUGUGCCAACCACGUAGCAAUGUCAUCGAUGGAUCCUUGUGCCAAACGAUUCUUCAGCCAUUCGGCGUAGUUCUUAGUGUGCUCCUUCAUCUCCACAUCUGAUGAAGGCACCAUUGGUAAGAAGCUUUGGCGUAUCUCCGCCAAGUGUUCUUCGGCAUAAGCGCUGAGAGCUGGGCUGUUAAGCAGUACUGUCAAAUGGGCUUUCUCUGCCAAUUCUCCGGGUGCAGCCAUUUGCGUGCCAGCAAGGACCGGCUUACCUUUCAGCCUUCCCUCGUGGCGAGAGAGGGGCAAACCUAUAGGUCUUUGUUUCAUGUAUUCGGUGCAAAACUCAACCACCUCCGGAUGCUUGCCUCUGGAUGGUUGCCUCUGGAUGGUUUCGGUUCCGACAAAAGCGCUUCAGUAUUCCCAUGAACCGCUCGAAGGGAUACAUGUUGCGAAGAAACACAGGACCACAAUACUUUAUCUCGUCGACAACGUGCAUAGUGAGAUGGACCAUGACAUCAAAGAAUGACGGUGGGAAAAACAUCUCUAGGUUGGACAAUAUUCUUGCAAUAUCAUCUUGCAUAUGAUCCAACUCUUCAGGAUCUACAACUUUCUGCCAUAGUUGGUUGAAGAAAUCACAGAGGUCAAUAAGUGUGUUUCUUAUAUCUUUGUCCAUUAGAUUCCUGAUGGCCACCGGAAGGAUUUGUGUCAACAUUACGUGGCAAUCAUUUGACUUCAUGUGUCCCAACUUCAUUUACCUGAGCUCACAUCCACGAGACUUCUGAUGUUUGCGCAGUAGGAAGAGGGUGUCUUAACUGACAACAAAUAGCUGAAGAACUGUGUUGCUUCUUUUGUACUGAAAUUGUAACUCUGGCGAGCUUUGAUGAAUUUGUCAUCAUCUUCUGCUUCACUCUUGCGUUUUGAUUGAUUAGCAAGCAUAUCGAGCCGUGAACCAUCACCAUCCUUUCUUUUACCUUUAAUCUUGAGCAGAGUACCAAGGAUGCUUUCACAUACGUUCUUUUCUACGUGCAUGACAUCAAUGCAGUGACGUACACGUAGAAUCUCCCAGUAAGGUAAUUUUUAGAACACCGAUUUCUUCUUAAACACUUGACCCUUGGGUGUUUGUUUCACCGUCAAAGGGUGGUUCUUGCCAAGCACAACAUUAAUUUUUUUAGCCAUGUUGUGGACCACCUACUUCAUAGGGUCUUGGGCCCACACCUGCCUCUGCCGUACCAUCAAAUUCAGCUUUCAUCUUUCAGUAUGGGUGGGUUUUCCGUAAGAACCUACGAUGACGCAAAUACACGGUUUUGUGCGAGUUGGGAGGUCUUCUGCUAGCUGUCCUAUCCAUGCAUGUGACACACCCUACAUCUCCCUUUGUUUUCUUCCCCGAUGUGUUGCCUAAUGCCGGCCUAUCUUGAAUGGUGUGCACCAGCAUCGCAUGUAGAUCGAAAAUCUCCUUUUUUUUUAAGCAUCAUAACAUUUUACACCGGCGCAUUUAUCCACACUGUUAGCAGUUCUUCUACCAGUAGCUGAAAGUAAAUGUCGAUGUCAUUUCCAGGUUGCUUCAGGCCUUGGAUAAUCAUUGACAUCAUAAUGUAUUUUUUCUUCAUACACAACCAAGGAACUAGGAUAUAUAUGCACAGAAGCACCGGCCAUGUGCUGUGAUUGGUGCUCAUAUCGCCAAAAGGAUUCAUCCCGUCAGUACACUCCCCGAGCCUUAUACUUCUAGGAUCCUUGGCAAAUUUUUCAAACUUGUUUUUGAUUAAUUCCCACUGAGCCCCAUCUUUCGGGUGCCUCAUAAACUUAUCCGCAAUUCGCUCAUCAUGAUGCCACCGCAACCUCUUUGCCUCUCUAGGCUUUGCAAACAAACGCCUAAACCUUGGAAUUAAUGGCAAGUACCAAACAACCUUGAAUGGGAUUCCUGUCUUGAUCUCGUCAUCCAAUUUGUACUUUUCCUUUGCUCUCAUGUGCUUGUAUCGUGCAUGCUUGCAUGUGGGACAUGCACGCAAAUCUUUGUACUUACCACGGUACAAUAUACAAUCAUUCACACAAGCGUAUAUCUUCUGUACUUCAAGUUCCAAUGGGCAAACAAUUUUCUUCGCUUCAUUCGUGCUUCUGAGGAGCACAUUAUUUUCCGGAAUAAUUUCUUUGAAAAGACAUAACAUCUCUGUGAAGCCCUUGUUUGAUAGACCGUUUGCUGCUUUAAAUCUGAGAAGCGCUAGGGUGGCACUCAACUUGGAAUAUUUCUGUUUACAACCUGGAUACAAUUCUUUCUUGGAGUCCGCAUCAAUGGUUGGCGGAUCCUUGUACCCAAUCAUAUCCUUUUUGGGGCCCUUGAAAUCUGCAAUCAUAGCAGCAAAAUUUGGCAUAUCAAUUUCAUCGUCAUGUGCGUCGACGUCUUGGUUUUCUAGUGGGCUUUUCAGCUUUUCGGUGUUCCAUUGGUAGCUUGACGCCUCUGCCCCGAUGUUAGAUUCAACAUCCAUGUGACACUGAUCGGGGUUUGGCAUCUCGCUGCCCUGGGUAUCUUCAUCCAUGACCUCCUCUUCACCGUGUCUGGUCCAACGUCUAUAUUCGUCCAUGAAUCCUCUAGAGACUAAGUGCAUCUGGACAUCUGUAACUUCAUGUGACUCUGUAUUGGCACAAUCAUUACAGGGACACAUGAUGUAAUCCGCAUCCCCAAUUCUCCUCUUUGUACUUUCCGCCCAAUUCAUCAACUCUGUCACGCCACUGAUAAAAUCUGCGGUUUUUCGAUUCUUCUUCCAUCGAGAUCGUUCCAUCUGCAGCACACGAAUGGUAAUUAAAAACAAAACAACAACAUUAAUACAUGGAUUAACUGCUACCCAAAGAUGCGUGCAUAAAUCACAAGGUUUCAUUUUCAUAAUUACUGAGGGCGCUCCAUGUUGUUAUCAGAUGUGCAAUGACAAAAAUUAAUGGCCAGUCAAUUUACACACAGAGUACUAGUACAACACUACCCUUAGGAAUUGAAUGCCUUAAUUAAGCCACUCACAAAAAGAAUACCUUAAUUAAUUAGCCGUGCGGCGAACUCCACCCAGCAGAUAGAGAAGUGUCAUGCGGCUGCAUGCCGAGACAGUAGGGUCGAGGAGCAAAGCUUAGUGCGGCUGCCGCCUGAAGUUCGACCUCCACUAUCCUGCCAUCGACCGCGAUGGAUAUGCUCGAAUCACGCCGGCGCCGACCUCAAUGGUUGAGCUCCUCCUAUCUCCCGCCGCAGACCGAGGAUGGACCUCCUAUGACGCCGCCACCGCCCAUCGACCGUGGAUUGACCUCUUCUCCGGUAGCCGCUGCCUAGUCCGCCGCCACCAUCUCUAUAUGCAACGGUUGUUUUUUUACGGAUAUCCAUAGAGCGGCUAUUUACACGGUAUCUCACUGUAACUCAAUUAUAUGGACAGAGUAGUACAUCACAUACGGUUAUGUAACGGCAACCGUGUCUAACCUACGUUGUUUUCUCACACGGUUUGGUGCGGAAAUCGUGUGUGACGUUGUAAUACCUAACACAAACGACGUGUAUAAACAGUGUGUCGUAUACAACAUAUAGUGCCAUAAGUAGUUCCCGACCGUUAGCUUAUCUCCACAGUUUCCCCAUUUCCCCCAAAUCCCUACAUAGCCUCCAAAUUCCCUCGCGUGGCGCUGACAUUGGGGGAAUGCGGACGAGUGGUGCUGAUGGUUUCGGUGCGGCUGCUCCUACUCGUAUCGCCGCCACGACGGCGGUCGCCGCCGAGCACUUGCCUAAGGUCAUCAGAAGGCAGGUGUACUAUGGAUCCGAAUCGUCCUGUCAGGUUCCAAUCUAUCCCGAUCUUUUUUAGCAUGUUCAAAGUAUACCUCCUUGCUAAAUCCGUCCUGAAUGACACCCCUCCCCGCCAGGAAAGCGAUCUGCCGCCGGAUCCGGAGCAUGACGCCAGUCUCCCGCAACACGAGUUUGACUCCGAGUUUUGCGCCACCAAGAAGUACCAAAAGCUGAGUUGUGUGCACGGGCACACUCCCGCUCGACGUUUAUGCACGGAGGGAUUCGACAUUGGCAGGCGGUUUCUCAGUUGCCUCUUAGAGGUUAGUGCUAAUUAAGUUCAUUAUUUUACUUCAGUUAAUGCCACCGCUCAUCCUGAAUACGAUUUAACAUUGGUAGGGAUAUGAGGCUUGUGCCUUUGUUAACUGGCUGGAUGAAGAAUGGCAAGGCAGGGCUCGGAGUGUUAUCACCAAGCUCGCAGAAGAUAACGUAAAGCUGAAGAAGAAACUGGCUGAUCUGGAAUGUACAAUCAGUAUGAUGAAGCAAGAAAGAAUCAAUCAUAGGCAACAGAUGAAAGCAAGAGACAAGAAGGAACUAGCAUGUGUAGUUGUGGUUGUCGCAUUAGCCAUGUUCUAUGUGCUGUUUGGAGUGAUGAUUAGGGGUUUGGUUUAACAGUAUUGCUAAAGCACAUCUAGAUGUGCUCUAAGUAAUGCACAUCUAGGUCCUAUGCCAUUGACGUUACGCGAAGAUUUGUGCAGAUAUUUUUCUUUGUCUUUUUUUCUUUUCCUUUCUAGUUUGAUUAUUACUGGCUUUAUCAAUAAGAAGAGCCCAAUGUAUUGCUUGCCAACUGUCCUACUCCAUUCGUACCGGUACCGGUGCAUAAUCCCAAAACGCGUUCCUUGUUUUUGUCCUGGAAAAGGAAACCAGCCAAAUAGCCAAUAGGAGUCCUGCGCAACCCCGGGAAUUUGGAGCGACUGGGUACAAAUAAUUGCGGUUGAUUAUAUCAGCGGUUAGAUAAUACGUCAACCCCCGCUUCAAUCCCCNNNNNNNNNNNNNNNNNNNNNNNNNNNNNNNNNNNNNNNNNNNNNNNNNNNNNNNNNNNNNNNNNNNNNNNNNNNNNNNNNNNNNNNNNNNNNNNNNNNNNNNNNNNNNNNNNNNNNNNNNNNNNNNNNNNNNNNNNNNNNNNNNNNNNNNNNNNNNNNNNNNNNNNNNNNNNNNNNNNNNNNNNNNNNNNNNNNNNNNNNNNNNNNNNNNNNNNNNNNNNNNNNNNNNNNNNNNNNNNNNNNNNNNNNNNNNNNNNNNNNNNNNNNNNNNNNNNNNNNNNNNNNNNNNNNNNNNNNNNNNNNNNNNNNNNNNNNNNNNNNNNNNNNNNNNNNNNNNNNNNNACCCCGCUUCCAAUGGCAAUUCCUCUUCUCUGCAUACCCCGCUUAAGUGUCCACCAUCUUCAUCGUCCCCGGAAGGCCGCGCUACACACUGGCACACACUCUGCAGCCAUGUCGAGCGACAGCAAGGACGACAGUUUGGCCAGCAGUCUGGCGCCCGAUGAUAGGUCAACAUCGGAAUCAUCCCGCUCGUCUUCCAUGAGUCCGGCGUCGAGCCCAGACCUCGAUUAUAUCCGGUUCAUGGAAGGGACGCCGCCUCCAGAGUCAUCAGACGACAACCAGACGGACGAGGAGCCGUCGGAGGAAGAAGAAGAGGACGACGAUGAUGAGGAGGAGGAAUGGUCGAAUGAGGAGGAGGAGGACAACGACAGCAACGACGAUGACGACGGCGGCGGCGAUGAAAAGCCCACGGUCAGCGGCAAGAAGCGUCCUCGCCAAGAUGAUGUCGCGGGGCCAUCCAACAACAACAACAAGAAGAAGAAGGACUAAAUUAAGCAAACUGUAUAUAUCUCUGUUUAUCCUGUCAAUCUCAUCGCAGACGGUUAGUAAUAUUUAUUCGACAGAGAUCUUCUACAUUAUCGCCCACAGGUUGGUUUGUUGAACUGUGUGCCCUGACGAGCACACAAUUCACAAAAAAAGACCGAUGGGCUGUCUAUAAUGAUCGCACACAAUUCUGAUUACUGACCUAUUUUGCCGGGUAUCACACACAUCUUGUUACGCCGAAUAGUUUGUGUUCAUCCCUCCCCGUUCAUUCAAUCAUCGCAAACGGUUCAUCGGUGUGAACUGUAUGCCGUAUAUCGCACACACCUUGAUCUAGCUGCCCGUUUCAGUUCUUCUGUCUCAUCAAAAACAGUUCGUACAGAUCAACCUUAUGCCCCUCAUCGCACACGCAACUAAAAUCUGAACCGUGUUUGAUGUAUUAUUCAUCGCAAACAUUUUGCAUCUUUUUUGACGGGUUUUUUACAUCACCGUUUGCGAUUAAUGCAUCACACAGUUUCGUCAAAGGGUCUCUGAUCGUAGUGUCACGUUAGCAGCAUCCUGUAGUAGUGAAUAUAGCUGUCACAUAAAAUAUUCUCUUCAUGAUCCACAUGCAUGCAAAGUUGACACUCCUCCUAAAUAGUGGAAUUAUCAUCAAAUAAAGUCAUGACCUCUCCAAGCCCACUUUUAUAAAAAAAAUCAUAAGAUUGAACACUCUCCCAAUAUGUGGGAUUAUUUUUAGCUAAAGUUGACACUCUUCCAAACUCAUUUUUAAUAUUAUCACAAGCAUAUUCAUCAUUAGGUUUAAAUAAAUUUUCAAGAUCAUAAGAAUCAUUAUCACCCCAAUCAUGAUCAUUGCAAUAAGCAGUGGACAUAACAAAACAAGCAUCCCCAAGCUUGGGGUUUUGCAUAUCGCUAACACAAUUUACAUAAAUAGAAUUUAUAAUAACAUCAUUGCAAUCAUGCUUUUCAUUCAAGGAGCUAUCAUGAAUCACUUUAUAAAUUUCUUCAUUUAACAUUUCAUCAAAAUUUUCCGAUUCAUGAAUGUCAAGCAAAACUUCAUAAAGAUAAUCUAGUGAACUCAAUUCACUAUCAAUUGGUUCAUCAUAAUUGGAUAUUUUGAAAAGAUUAGCAAGUGGAUGAUGAUCCAUGUUAAUAGAUUUUUAGGAAGCGAAGAUGCAAGCAAAUAGAAGACACAUGGUAACACAAGCAAAGAGGCAAACAAGAAAAAGCCAAACGAAAAAAAGCAAACAGAAAAUAUUUUUGUAUUUUUGCAAAAAGUUUUUAGAAGUGGGGGAGAUGAAAAUGAGAGGCAAAUGGCAAAUAAAGUAAUUUCAAGGAGCUGAGAGUUUGUGCGUAGGAACCUGAUAGAUGUUGAUCAUGUCUCCCCGGCAACGACGCCAUUCCUUUUGAUGCGGCUUGAAACUACGUCGGUAUUUCCCCAAAGAGGAAGGGAUGAUACAGUACAACUACGGUAGGUAUUUCCCUUAGUUAUGAAACCAAGGUAUCAAUCUAGUAGGAGAACCAAGCAACACUAUGUAAAUGGCACCUACACACAAAGAACAAAUCCUUGCAACCCAACGCGUAAGAGGGGUUGUCAAUCCCUCCUCGGUAAAAAGAUAGAUUAAAUUGUAUGUGUUUGGAUAAAUAGAUCUGGAUAAAACACGAAAUAAAAUAAGUAAAGAAAAAAUGCAGCAAGGUAUUUUUGGGUUUUUAUAAUAAUAGAUCAGAAAACAAAUACGUCAAAAAAUAGAUCUGAAAGCAAUAUGAUAAAAGAUAGACCCGGGGGCCAUAUUUCACUAGUGGCUUCUCUCGAGAAAAUGGCACAUGGUGGGUAAACAAAUAACUGUUGGGGAAUUGAUAGAAGAAUAAAUAAUUAUGACAAUAUCCAAGGCAAUGAUCAAUAUAUAGGCAUCACAUCCAAGAUUAGUAGACCGAAACAAUUCUGCAUCUAAUACUAUUACUCCACACAUCGACUGCUAUCCAGCAUGCAUCUAGUGUAUUAAGUUCAUGGAGAAACGGAGUAAUGCAAUAAGAACAAUGGGAUGAUGUAGAAGAUCUAUUCAUGUAGGAAUAGACCCCAUCUUGUUAUCCUUAAUAGGAACGAUACAUACGUGCCUCGCUACCCCUUCUGUCAUUGGGUGAGGACACCGUAAGAUCGAACCCGUCACAAAGCACCUCUUCCCAUUGCAAGAAAAAUUGAUCUAGUUGGCCUAACUAAACCCAAGAUUCGAAGAAUAAAUAGGAGGCUAUGAAUAAUCAUGUAUAUAAGAGAUCUAAGAAGACUCGAAUAAUAUUCAUGGAUAUAGAUUUGAUCAUAAACUCGAACUUCAUAGGAUCCCAGCAAACACACCGCAAAAGGUCAUUACAUCAAAUAGAUCUCUAAGAGACCAUUGUAUUGAGAAUCAAAAAGAGAGAAGAAGCCAUCUAGCUACUACCUACGAACCCGUAGGUCUAUGGUGAACUACUCAUGCAUCAUCGGAGAGGCACCAAUGAGGAUGAUGAUCCCCUCCGUGAUCGUGUUAGAUUGCAUCUCGUGGUUCUGGAACUUGCGGCGGCUGGAAUUGUGUUUCAUCGACUCCCCUAGGGUUUCUGGAAUAUUUGGGUAUUUAUAGAGCGAAGAGGCUAUGCAGGAGACCCCCGUGGGCCCCACAACCCAUCAUGGCCCUUCCUUGGCUUCCAAAUUGUCUUCUGGCCCAAAAUAAAUCUCCCAAAAGUUUCGCUACAUUUGGACUCCGUUUGAUAGGGAAAUUUUGCGAAGUAAAAAACAAGCAAAAAACUGCAACUAGCACUAGGCCGUAUGUCAAUAGGUUAGUCCCAAAAAAUGAUAUAAAGUUGUUAUAAAAUGAUUGUAAUGUUGGGGAACGUAGUAAUUUCAAAAAAAAAUCCUACGCACACACAAGAUCAUGGUGAUGCAUAGCAACGAGAGGGGAGAGUGUGUCCACGUACCCUCGUAGACCGAAAGUGGAAGCGUUAGCACAACGCGGUUGAUGUAGUUGUGGGUCUUCACGAUCCGACCGAUCAAGUACCGAACGUACGGCACCUCCGAGCUCAGCACACGUUCAGCUCGAUGACGUCCCUUGAAUUCUGAUACAUCCGAGCUUUGAGGGAGAGUUCCGUCAGCACGACGGCGUGGUGACGAUGAUGAUGUUCUACCAACGCAGGGCUUCGCCUAAGCACCGCUAUGAUAUUAUCGAGGUGGAUUAUGGUGGAGGGGGGCACCGCACAUGGCUAAGAGAUCAAGAGAUCAAUUGGUGUGUCUAGAGGUGCCCCUGCCCCCGUAUAUAAAGGAGCAAGGGGGAGAGGCGGCCGGCCAGGAGGAGGUGCGCCAGGGAGGAGUCCUACUCCCACCGGGAGUAGGACUCCCUCCUUUCCUAGUUGGAGUAGGAGAAGGGGGGAGGAGGAGAGAGGGGAAGGAAGGGGGCGCCGCCCCCCCUCCUUGUCCAAUUCGGACUAGAGGGGGAGGGGGCGCGCAGCCUGCCCUGGCCGCCCCUCCUCUUCUCCACUAAGGCCCAUCUUGGCCCAUUAAACCCCCGGGGGGGUUCCGAUAACCCCUGGUACUCCGGUAAAAUCCCGAUUUCACCCGGAACACUUCCGAUAUCCAAAUAUAGGCUUCCAACAUAUCAACCUUUAUGUCUCGACCAUUUCGAGACUCCUCGUCAUGUCCGUGAUCACAUCCGGGACUCCGAACUACCUUCGGUACAUCAAAACACAUAAACUCAUAAUAUAACCGUCAUCGAACUUUAAGCGUGCGGACCCUACGGGUUCGAGAACUAUGUAGACAUGACCGAGACAUGUCUCCGGCCAAUAAACAAUAGCGGAACCUGGAUGCUCAUAUUGGCUCCCACAUAUUCUACGAUGAUCUUUAUCGGUCAAACCGCAUAACAACAUACGUUGUUCCCUUUGUCAUCGGUAUGUUACUUGCCUGAGAUUCGAUGGUCGGUAUCUCAAUACCUAGUUCAAUCUAGUUACCAGCAAGUCUCUUUACUCAUUCCGUAAUACAUCAUCCUGCAACUAACUCAUUAGUCACAUUGCUUGCAAGGCUUAUAGUGAUGUGCAUUACCGAGAGGGCCCAAAGAUACCUCUCCGACAAUCGGAGUGACAAAUCCUAAUCUCGAAAUACGCCAACCCAACAAGUACCUUUGGAGACACCUGUAGAGCACCUUUAUAAUCACCCAGUUACGUUGUGAUGUUUGGUAGCACACAAAGUGUUCCUCCGGUAAACGGGAGUUGCAUAAUCUCAUAGUCAAAGGAACAUGUAUAAGUCAUGAAGAAAGCAAUAGCAGAAUACUAAACGAUCAAGUGCUAAGCUAACGGAAUGGGUCAAGUCAAUCACAUCAUUCUCCUAAUGAUGUGAUCCCGUUAAUCAAAUGACAACUCAUGUCUAUGGCUAGGAAACAUAACCAUCUUUGAUCAACGAGCUAGUCAAGUAGAGGCAUACUAGUGACACUCUGUUUGUCUAUGUAUUCACACAAGUAUUACAUUUCCGGUUAAUACAAUUCUAGCAUGAAUAAUAAACAUUUAUCAUGAUAUAAGGAAAUAAAUAAUAAGUUUAUUAUUGCCUCUAGGGCAUAUUUCCUUCAGUCUCCCACUUGCACUAGAGUCAAUAAUUUAGAUUACACAGUAAUGAUUCUAACACCCAUGGAGCCUUGGUGCUGAUCAUGUUUUGAUCGUGGAAGAGGCUUAGUCAACGGGUCUGCAACAUUCAGAUCCGUAUGUAUCUUGCAAAUUUCUAUGUCUCCCACCUGGACUUGAUCCCGGAUGGAGUUUAAGUGUCCCCUGAUGUGCUUGGUUCUCUUGUGAAAUCUGGAUUCCUUUGCCAAGGCAAUUGCAUCAGUAUUGUCACAAAAGAUUUUCAUUGGACCCGAUGCACUAGGUAUGACACCUAGAUCGGAUAUGAACUCCUUCAUCCAGACAACUUCAUUUGCUGCUUCCGAAGCAGCUAUGUACUCCGCUUCACACGUAGAUCCCGCCACAACGCUUUGUUUAGAACUGCACCAACUGACAGCUCCACCGUUCAAUGUAAACACGUAUCCGAUUUAGAACUCCAUCGUCCGGAUCAGUGUCAAAGCUUGCAUCGAUGUAACCAUUUACGAUUAGUUCUUUGUCACCUCCAUAAACGAGAAACAUAUCCUUAGUCCUUUUCAGGUAUUUCAGGAUGUUCUUGACCAUUGUCCAGUGAUCCACUUCUGGAUUACUUUGGUACCUCCCUGCUAAACUUAUAGCAAGGCACACAUCAGGUCUGGUACACAGCAUUGCAUACAUGAUAGAGCCUACGGCUGAAGCAUAGGGAACAUCUUUCAUCUUCUCUCUAUCUUCUGCAGUGGUCGGGCAUUGAGUCUUACUCAACUUCACACCUUGUAACACAGGCAAGAACCCUUUCUUUGCUUGAUCCAUUUUGAACUUCUUCAAAACUUUCUCAAGGUAUGUGCUUUGUGAACGUCCAAUUAAACGUCUUGAUCUAUCUCUAUAGAUCUUGAUGCCCAAUAUAUAAGUAGCUUCACCGAGGUCUUUCAUUGAAAAACUCUUAUUCAAGUAUCCUUUUAUGCUAUCCAGAAAUUCUAUAUCAUUUCCAAUCAACAAUAUGUCAUCCACAUAUAAUAUCAGAAAUGCUACUGAGCUCCCACUCACUUUCUUGUAAAUACAGGCUUCUCCAAAAGUCUGUAUAAAACCAUAUGCUUUGAUCACACUAUCAAAGUGUUUAUUCCAACUCCGAGAGGCUUGCACCAGUCCAUAAAUGGAUCGCUGGAGCUUGCACACUUUGUUAGCUCCCUUUGGAUCGACAAAACCUUCCGGUUGCAUCAUAUAAAACUCUUCUUCCAGAAAUCCAUUCAGGAUUGCAGUUUUGACAUCCAUUUGCCAAAUUUCAUAAUCAUAAAAUGCGGCAAUUGCUAACAUGAUUUGGACAGACUUAAGCAUCGCUACGGGUGAGAAAUUCUUAUCGUAGUCAAUCCCUUGAACUUGUCGAAAACCUUUUGCAACAAGUCGAGCUUUAUAGACAGUAACAUUACCGUCAGCGUCAGUCUUCUUCUUGAAGAUCCAUUUAUUCUCAAUGGCUUGCCGAUCAUCGGGCAAGUCAACCGAAGUCCACACUUUGUUCUCAUCCAUGGAUCCCAUCUCAGAUUUCAUGGCCUCAAGCCAUUUUGCGGAAUCUGGGCUCACCAUCGCUUCUUCAUAGUUCGUAGGUUCGUCAUGGUCUAGUAACAUAACCUACAGAACAGGAUUACCGUACCACUCUGGUGCGGAUCUUAAUCUGGUUGACCUACGAGGUUCAGUAACAACUUGAUCUGAAGUUUCAUGAUCAUCAUCAUUAACUUCCUCACUAAUUGGUGUAGGUGUCACAGGAACCGGUUUCUGUGAUGAACUACUUUCCAAUAAGGGAGCAGGUACAGUUACAUCAUCAAGUUCUACUUUCCUCCCACUCACUUCUUUCGAGAGAAACUCCUUCUCUAGAAAGGAUCCAAAUUUAGCAACAAAAGCCUUGCCUUCAGAUCUGUGAUAGAAGUACCCAACAGUUUCCUUUGGGUAUCCUAUGAAGACACAUUUCUCCGAUUUGGGUUCGAGCUUAUCAAGUUGAAGCUUUUCACAUAAGCAUCGCAGCCCCAAACUUUAGAAACGACAACUUUGGUUUCUUGCCAAACCACAGUUCAUAAGGUGUCGUCUCAACGGAUUUUGAUGGUGCCCUAUUUAACGUGAAUGCAGUCGUUUGUAAAGCAUAACCCCAAAAUGAUAGCGGUAAAUCAGUAAGAGACAUCAUAGAUCGCAGCAUAUCUAGUAAAGUACGAUUACGACGUUCGGAUACACCAUUACGCUGUGGUGUUCUGGGUGGCGUGAGUUGCGAAACUAUUCCGCAUUGUUUCAAAUGAAGACCAAACUCGUAACUCAAAUAUUCUCCUCCACGAUCAGAUCGUAGAAACUUUAUUUUCUUGUUACGAUGAUUUUCAGCUUCACUCUAAAAUUCUUUGAACUUUUCAAAUGUUUCAGACUUAUGUUUCAUUAAGUAGAUAUACCCAUAUCUGCUUAAAUCAUCUGUGAAGGUGAGAAAAUAAUGAUACCCGUCGCGAGCCUCAACAUUCGUCAGACCACAUACAUUUGUAUGUAUGAUUUCCAACAAAUCUGUUCCUCGCUCCAUAGUUCAGGAGAACGACGUUUUAGUCAUCUUGCCCAUGAGGCACGGUUCGCAAGUACCAAGUGAUUCAUAAUCAAGUGGUUCCAAAAGUCCAUCAGUAUGGAGUUUCUUCAUGCGCUUUACACCAAUAUGACCUAAACGGCAGUGCCACAAAUAAGUUGCACUAUCAUUAUCAACUCUGCAUCUUUUGGCCUCAAUAUUAUGAAUAUGUGUAUCACUACUAUCGAGAUUUAAUAUAAAUAGACCACUCCUCAAGGGUGCAUGACCAUAAAAGAUAUUACUCAUAUAAAUAGAACAACCAUUAUUCUCUGAUUUCAAUGAAUAACCGUCUCGCAUCAAACAAGAUCCAGAUAUAAUGUUCAUGCUCAACGCUGGCACCAAAUAACAAUUAUUCAUGUCUAAAACUAAUCCCGAAGGUAGAUGUAGAGGUAGCGUGCCGACCGCGAUCACAUCAACUUUGGAACCAUUUCCCACGCGCAUCGUCACCUCGUCCUUAGCCAAUCUUUGCUUAAUCCGUAGUCCCUAUUUCGAGUUGCAAAUACUAGCAACAGAACCAGUAUCAAAUACCCAGGUGCUACUGCGAGCAUUAGUAAGGUACACAUCAAUAACAUGUAUAUCACAUAUACCUUUGUUCACCUUGCCAUCCUUCUUAUCCGCCAAAUACUUGGAGCAGUUCCGCUUCCAGUGACCAGUCUGUUUGUAGUAGAAGCACUCAGUCUAAGGCUUAGGUCCAGACUUGGGUUUCUUCUCCUGAGCAGCAACUUGUUUGAUGUUCUUCUUGAAGUUCCCCUUCUUCUUCCCUUUGCCCUUUUUCUUGAAACUGGUGGUCUUGUUGACCAUCAACACUUGAUGCUCCUUCUUGAUUUCUACCUCCGCAGCCUUUAGCAUUGCGAAGAGCUCGGGAAUCGUCUUAUCCAUCCCUUGCAUGUUAUAGUUCAUCAUGAAGCUCUUGUAGCUUGGUGGCAGUGAUUGAAGAAUUCUUUCAAUGACGCUAUCAUCUGGAAGAUUAACUCCCAGUUGAAUCAAGUGAUUGUUAUACCCAGACAUUCUGAGUAUAUGCUCACUGACAGAACUAUUCUCCUCCAUCUUAUAGUUGUAGAACUUAUUGGAGACUUCAUAUCUCUCAACCCGGGCAUUUGCUUGAAAUAUUAACUUCAACUCCUGGAACAUCUCAUAUGCUCCAUGACGUUCAAAACGUCGUUGAAGUCCCGGUUCUAAGCCGUAAAGCAUGGCACACUGCCAGACAUUCAUAACAUCUGGGAGAACACUUAUACCUUGAAAUUUAGUGAGAGAUCAUCUUAUAAUGCUACCGUCAAUCAAAGCAAGAUAAGAUGCAUAAAAGAUAAACAUCACAUGCAAUCAAUAUAAGUGAUAUGAUAUGGCCAUCAUCAUCUCGUGCUUGUGAUCUCCAUCUCCGAAGCACCAUCAUGAUCACCAUCGUCACCGGCGCGACACCUUGAUCUCCAUCGUAGCAUCGUUGUCGUCUCGCCAAUUUAUGCUUCUACGACUAUCGCUACCGCUUAGUGAUAAAGUAAAGCAUUACAGGGCGAUUGCAUUGCAUACAAUAAAGCGACAACCAUAUGGCUCCUGCCAGUUGUCAAUAACUCGGUUACAAAACAUGAUCAUCUCAUACAAUAAAAUAUAGCAUCAUGCCUUGACCAUAUCACAUCACAACAUGCCCUGCAAAAACAAGUUAGACGUCCUCUACUUUGUUGUUGCAAGUUUUACGUGGCUGCUACGGGUUGAGCAAGAACCGUUCUUACCUACGAAUCAAAAACCACAAUGAUAGUUCGUCAAGUUAGUGGUGUUUUAACCUUCUCAAGGACCGGGCGUAGCCACACUCGGUUCAACUAAAGUUGGAGAAACUGACACCCGCCAGCCACCUGUGUGCAAAGCACAUCGGUAGAACCAGUCUCGCGUAAGCAUACGCGUAAUGUCUGUCCGGGCCACUUCAUCCAACAAUACCGCCGAACCAAAGUGUGACAUCCUGGUAAGCAGUAUGACUUGUAUCGCCCACAACUCACUUGUGUUCUAGUCGUGCAUAUAACAUCAACGCAUAAAACCUGGCGAGGAUGCCACUGUUGAGGAACGUAGUAAUUUCAAAAAAAUUCCUACGCACACGCAAGAUCAUGGUGAUGCAUAGCAACGGGAGGGGAGAGUGUGUCCACGUACCCUCAUAGACCGAAAGCGGAAGCGUUAGCACAACGCGGUUGAUGUAGUCGUACGUCUUCACGAUCCGACUGAUCAAGUACCGAACAUAUGGCACCUCCGAGUUCAGCACACGUUCAGCUCGAUGACGUCCCUCGAACUCCGAUCCAGCCGAGCUUUGAGGGAGAGUUCCGUCAGCACGACGGCGUGGUGACGAUGAUGAUGUUCUACCGACGCAGGGCAUCGCCUAAGCACCGCUACGAUAUUAUCAAGGUGGAUUAUGGUGGAGGGGCACACGGCUAAGAGAUCAAGAGAUUAAUUGUUGUGUCUAGAGGUGCCCCCCUGCCCCCGUAUAUAAAGGAGCAAGGGGGAGAGGCGGCCGGCCAGGAGGAGGCGCGCCAGGGAGGAGUCCUACUCCCAUCGGGAGUAGGACUCCCUCCUUUCCUAGUUGGAGUAGGAGAAGGGGGAAGGAGGAGAGAGAGGGGAAGGAAAGGGGGCGCCGCCCCCCGCCCCUCCUUGUCCAAUUCGGACUAGAGGGGGAGGGGGCGCGCGGCCUGCCCUGGCCGCCCCUCCUCUUCUCCACUAAGGCCCAUCUUGGCCCAUUAAACCCCCGGAGGGGUUCCGGUAACCCCCGAUACUCCGGUAAAAUCCCGAUUUCACCCGGAACACUUCCGAUAUCCAAAUAUAGGCUUCCAAUAUAUCAAUCUUUAUGUCUCAACCAUUUCGAGACUCCUCGUCAUGUCCGUGAUCACAUCCGGGACUCCGAACUAUCUUCGGUACAUCAAAACACAUAAACUCAUAAUAUAAUCGUCAUCGAACUUUAAGCGUGCGGACCCUACGGGUUCGAGAACUAUGUAGACAUGACCGAGACAUGUCUCUGGCCAAUGACCAAUAGCGGAACCUGGAUGCUCAUAUUGGCUCCCACAUAUUCUACAAAGAUCUUUAUCGGUCAAACCGCAUAAAAACAUAUGUUGUUCCCUUUGUCAUCGGUAUGUUACUUGCCCGAGAUUCGAUCGUCGGUAUCUCAAUACCUAGUUCAAUCUCGUUACCGGCAAGUCCCUUUACUCGUUCUUUAAUACAUCAUCCAGCAACUAAAUCAUUAGUCACAUUGCUUGCAAGGCUUAUAGUGAUGUGCAUUACCGAGAGGGCCCAGAGAUAGCUCUCCGACAAUCGGAGUGACAAAUCCUAAUCUCGAAAUACGCCAAUCCAACAAGUACCUUUGGAGACACCUGUAGAGCACCUUUAUAAUCACCCAGUUACGUUGUGAUGUUUGGUAGCACACAAAGUGUUCCUCCGGUAAACGGGAGUUGCAUAAUCUCAUAGUCAUAGGAACAUGUAUAAGUCAUGAAGAAAGCAAUAGCAGAAUCCUAAACGAUCAAGUGCUAAGCUAACGGAAUGGGUCAAGUCAAUCACAUCAUUCUCCUAAUGAUGUGAUCCCGUUAAUCAAAUGACAACUCAUGUCUAUGGCUAGGAAACAUAACCAUCUUUGAUCAACGAGCUAGUCAAGUAGAGGCAUACUAGUGACACUUUGUUUGUCUAUGUAUUCACACAAGUAUUACGUUUCCGGUUAAUACAAUUCUAGCAUGAAUAAUAAACAUUUAUCAUGAUAUAAGGAAACAAAUAAUAAUUUUAUUAUUGCCUCUAGGGCAUAUUUCCUUCAUGUAAAACAUCCAAGAAUGAUAAUAUAACAACAUGGAACAAUAAAAAAUUAUAGAUACGUUGGAGACGUAUCAUGGGGUCACAUGAUCGUGAGUCUCUGCUCGUCACCACGCGCUCCCAAGACACUAACGAGAUUGGGUAUUUGAUCUGAGUUGGCCACUGGCCUGUACGCACUAACCAUCACACGGGAACAGUUAUGGGCACUCGGCGUUGUAUGUAUCAGCCGAAGCUCUUACGACGUUAGCGACUGAGCAGCGCGCCGGGUUUGACAGGUUACGCCUACGCUUGUAUAAGGGGGCUAGGUCCGCUCACCGGUGGCUUUUGCAACGUGCAGGAGUGCAAAGAGCGACGGGCCCAAGACCCAUGCGCGCUUAGGAUGUAGACCGGCGUGCUGGCCUCUCUGUUGAGCCUAGGUAGGGCUACGACGUGUUGAUCUUCCGAGGCCAGGCAUGACCCAAGAAAGUGUGUCUGGCCAGAGUGAUUGAGCGUGUUGGGUAAUGUGGUGCACCCUUGCAGGGAAGUUUAUCUAUUCGAAUAGCCAUGUCCACGGUAACAGGACGACUUGGAGUUGUAUCCCGAUCUAUUCAACUAGAACUGGAUACUGAGAUGUGAUUUGGAUAUGAUGGCUCCGGGAUUGCUUUCUCGCAGGGAGCCGAGAAAGGAUCUCUGUGCGUUAAUGUUAUAACAUACUUGUUAAAUAUAAUAUGCUGCUCUUACCUCUUCUGAUGCUGCAAGAUGCUUGAAGAUGCUAGUCCUCGAUAGGCUAGGCUUUCCCUUCUCUUCUGGCAUUCUGCAGUUCAGUCCACGGAUACGGCCCAUCCCUUUGAUACUGAUGCAUACUUAGUUUAGAUCUGAUGUAUGUCUUGCGAGUACUUUGGAUGAGUACUCAUGGUUGCUUUGCUACCUCUUUUUCCCCUAUACCCAAUUGGUGCGAUCAGAUGUCGGAGCCCAAGAGCCAGAUGCCACCGUCGAUGACUUCUACUACCCCGGGCCUACUACGUGGAAGCCGCCGACAACUAGGAGUAGUUAGGAGGCUCCCAGGCAGGAGGCCUUGCCUUUUUGAUCGUUGUUGCUUUUGUGCUAGCCUUCUUAAGGCAAACUUGUUUAACUUACUAUACUCAGAUAUUGUUGCUUCCGCUGACUUGUUUGUAUUCGAGCCCUCGGGACCCCUGGCUUGUAAUAUAAAGCUUGUAUGACUUUAAUUUGUGUCUAGAGUUGUGUUGUGAUAUCUUCCCAUGAGUCCCUAAUCUUGAUCAUACACAUUUGCGUGUAUGAUUAGUGUACAGUCGAAUCGGGGGCAUCACAAGUUGGUAUUAGAGCCUACUUCAUGUAGGAAUCCCCCUUUCCAACUCCUUGGCCGAAUUUGAGUCUAGUCUUUGAAAACCUUUUACUAACAUUGUUGUGUGUCUUACGGGCCCAAAUCACAAAUGGGUGGUAUUAGGAUCUUUUAUUCCUCGUCUUUACUCUGGGAUUCUGAUCUCUCUUCUAUUAGGGUUAAAGAUUUUGCUAACUCUAACUUUAGGUUCUCAUAACUACUUCCUCCUGGAGAGCCCCUUCGUUUCAGAUGAUCGCCUGCUUCAACAGAAGACUUCGAAGAUACUCUCCGAUGUUCUCCCGAGAACAUGUGCUCAUCGCUUUUGCAAUUCCCUUCCACCGCCAACCCCUAUGGAUAACUACAUGCACCUGGAGUUCAUACUUUCAUUCCCAGUUACUCUUGUUAUUACAAGAUGCCCUGAAAUACUAUCCGUUGUCUCGGGAAUCCUUUGAGCUUACUGCCUUGCAGUUCUUUGCCACGUGAUUACCCCUACAAAUAAUUCCUCACACUUAUCGAGGAUUUGUUCAACCCUAGUUGUUCAUGUGAUUCAAAAGAUACUUUGAAAUACUAUUUAAUCUUUCGAUAAUCCUCUGCCAAAUAUUGCUCAGCAAUUACUUGUCUGCUUGCAUAAUGGUUACUUCCCGUAUGAGUGGCAAUAUUCUUUAGUAUCCUUUGUCAUCGUCAUUUUGAGCCUUUGAUUCGAUAUGUUUGUGAAUGGUCGCAAUCAUCAGUCGAAACUAGAAUUCAUCCCUUCGUCUCAGACGUUACUCGAGACAUGAGCUGGUUCCCAGCAAAUCAAACCUUUUGACCAGAGCAUAUGCUUCACUUGAGACAUGAACUCAAAUAAUUAAUUCUAUUCAACUUACAUAUCUUUUGACCAGAGCAUCUGCUUCUGAUCCCCCGAUUUGAAAAUCUUAGCUCCUUUGUAUUUAAGCAUCGAAUUAUUCAGAUGUUUCGAUUAACCGAUGCCUUUGCAUUCUCUCUUCUUCUGGUUGAGUACCGAUACUCACAUCAGAUCCUUUGUAGACCGCCAGAUCCUUUGGUGGAUUAGUGAGCCUCUUGUUCUUAUCUUCUUUUUGAAAGAAAAAUAUUCUUACUUUAGAUAGAUACUUGUCUAAUUUUCUUACUAUUUUAUUCCUUCUUAUUACAUAGUGCGAUGGUUUUGGUAUCCGCCCCUGUCGGCCCUCGUCCUGUCUAUGAUUCGGAUCUGGUAUAUAUUAUCUUUUAUAACUAUUUGAUUCAUUUAUUGUUUAUGACAAAUAUACCGACCAGCGUGACAUAGAUUUUAUUUAUCUAGGAGGUGGUUGAACCGGAAAUUCUAACCGACCCUAUUGUCGAGAGGUUAAAUUUAGUUGAAGAAGAAAACAAUUACUUGAAGGGAAAAAUAAAAAAAUUAAGGAGGAGAAGAUGAUAUUGGAGUUGCAUGUUGCGGAUGUCGUCGAUGAUCACAAGAUCAAGAUGGAUGCAAUGCGCUUGAAGAUUAGAAAGAUUAGAAAAUAUGCCAUUCAUACCGAGGCUUGGUAUCAUUAAGCCGUUGGAUCAAUUGUUACCUUGGUUGUGAUUAUGAUCGGAUUUGUUUUCGCAUUGAAAUGUUUUACAUAGUUUCAAUGUAUGGUUUAAUUAAUUAGAUGCUCUGGAGAGCUAUAUAUAUGUUGUUAGAUGAGAACUAUGUAUGUACUUUGGUUCUAAUGUGAUGAUGAACUUCUAUUAAUUUGGUCACUUAAUUAUCUAUUCAUGAUGUUCUGUAAUGGUUUUUGACACACUUAAUUAUAUAUAAUGCACGCAGAUGAACCGGCAAUGGAUGUACGGUGACAGACACACCUCCGAGUACAUUAAGGGCGUGCAUGAUUUUCUCGAAGUGGCUGAGGCAAACAAGCAGAAUGGUUUUAUGUGUUGUCCAUGCCCUAUAUGUGGGAAUACGAAGUCUUACUCUGACCGGAAAAUCCUUCACGCCCACCUGCUUUACAAGGGUUUCAUGCCACACUAUAAUGUUUGGACGAGGCACGGAGAAAUGGGGGUUAUGAUGGAAGACGGCGAAGAAGAAGAGGACGAUGACAACUAUGUGCCCCCUGAAUACGGUGAUGCUGCAACGGGGGAAGCUGCUGAAGAUCAAGAGGAACCUGACGAUGUGCCCAAUGAUGCUACAAGGGGGGAAGCUGCUGAAGAUCAAGAGGAACCAGUGCCCGAUGAUGAUGAUCUCCGCCGGGUCAUAGUCGAUGCAAGGACGCAAUGCGAAGUCAAAAGGAGAAGCGGAAGUUCGAUCGCAUGUUAGAGGAUCACAAAAAAGGGUUGUACCCCAAUUGCAAAGAUGGCAACACAAAGCUCGGUACCGUACUGGAAUUGCUGCAGUGGAAGGCAAAGAAUGCUGUGCCUGACAAAGGAUUUGAGAAGCUAUUGAAAAUAUUGAAGAAGAAGCUUCCAAAGGAUAACGAAUUGCCCGACAGUACAUACGCAGCAAAGAAGGUCGUAUGCCCUCUAGGAUUGGAGGUGCAGAAGAUACAUGCAUGCCCUAAUGACUGCAUCCUCUACCGCGGUGCGUACAAGGAUCUGAACGCAUGCCCGGUAUGCGGUGCAUUGCGGUAUAAGAUCAGACGAGAUGACCCUGGUGAUGUUCACGGCGAGCCCCCCAGGAAGAGGGUUCCUGCGAAGGUGAUGUGGUAUGCUCCUAUAAUACCACGGUUGAAACGUCUGUUCAGAAACGAAGAGCAUGCCAAGUUGAUGCGAUGGCACAGUGAGGACCAUAAGAAAGACGGGAAGUUGAGAGCACCCGCUGACGGGUCGCAGUGGAGAAAAAUCGAGAGAAAGUACUGGGCUGAGUUUGCAGCUGACCCAAGGAACGUAUGGUUUGGUUUAAGCGCGGAUGGCAUUAAUCCUUUCGGGGAGCAGAGUAGCAAUCACAGCACCUGGCCCGUGACUCUAUGUAUGUAUAACCUUCCUCCUUGGAUGUGCAUGAAGCGAAAGUUCAUUAUGAUGCCAGUUCUCAUCCAAGGCCCUAAGCAACCCGGCAACGACAUUGAUGUGUACCUAAGGCCAUUAGUUGAAGAACUUUUACAGCUGUGGAAUGGAAACGGUGUACGUACGUGGGAUGAGCACAAACAGGAGGAAUUUAACCUGCACACGUUGCUGUUUGUAACCAUCAACGAUUGGCCCGCUCUCAGUAACCUUUCAGGACAGACAAACAAGGGAUACCACGCAUGCACGCACUGUUUAGAUGACACUGAAAGUAUAUACCUGGACAAAAGCAGGAAGAAUGUGUACCUGGGCCAUCGUCGAUUUCUUCCGACCAACCAUCAAUGUCGAAAGAAAGGCAAGCAUUUCAAAGGCGAGGCAGAUCACCGGAAGAAGCCCGCCAUGCGUACCGGUGAUCACGUACUUGCUAUGGUCAAUGAUUUACACGUAAUCUUUGGAAAAGGUCCCGGCGGACUAGCUGUUCCGAAUGAUGCUGAGGGACACGCACCCAUGUGGAAGAAGAAAUCUAUAUUUUGGGACCUACCCUACUGGAAAGAGCUAGAGGUCCGCUCUUCAAUCGACGUGAUGCACGUGACGAAGAACCUUUGCGUGAACCUGCUAGGCUUCUUGGGCGUGUAUGGGAAGACAAAAGAUACACCUGAGGCACGGGAGGACCUGCAACGUCUGCACGAAAAAGACGGCAUGCCUCUGAAGCAGUAUGAAGGUCCUGCCAGCUACGCUCUUACGAAAGAAGAGAAAGAAAUCUUCUUUGAAUGCCUGCUCAGUAUGAAGGUCCCGACUGGCUUCUCGUCGAAUAUAAAGGGAAUAAUAAAUAUGCCAGAGAAAAAGUUCCAGAACCUAAAGUCUCAUGACUGCCACGUGAUUAUGACGCAACUACUUCCGGUUGCAUUGAGGGGGCUUCUACCGGAAAACGUCCAAUUAGCCAUUGUGAAGCUAUGUGCAUUCCUCAAUGCAAUCUCUCAGAAGGUGAUCGAUCCAGAAAUCAUACCAAGGCUAAGGAGUGAUGUGGCGCAAUGUCUUGUCAGUUUCGAGUUGGUGUUCCCACCAUCCUUCUUCAAUAUCAUGACGCACGUCCUAGUUCAUCUAGUCGACGAGAUUUUCAUUCUGGGGCCCGUAUUUCUACACAAUAUGUUCCCCUUUGAGAGGUUCAUGGGAGUCCUAAAGAAAUAUCUCCGUAACCGCGCUAGGCCAGAAGGAAGCAUCUCCAUGGGCCAUCAAACAGAGGAUGUCAUUGGGUUUUGUGUUGACUUCAUUCCUGGCCUUAAGAAGAUAGGUCUCCCUAAAUCGCGGUAUGAGGGGAGACUGACUGGAAAAGGCACGCUUGGAGGGGGGGCUCAAUAAUAUGCAGGGACGGAUAUUCUUGGUCUGAAGCACACUACACAGUUCUACAGAACUCUAUCUUGGUGACCCCGUAUGUCGAUGAACACAAGAGCAGUGUGACGACUGGAUUACAUGUGAACACAUCAAGACUUUCAGCAGUUGGUUGGAAACACGUCUCAGAGGUGACACCACUGUUUGUGAUGAGUUGUACUCGUUGUCCAGGGGAUAUCUUCGACUGUAUUGACUUACAAAGGAUACGAGAUAAAUGGGAAUACAUUUUACACGAUCGCCCAAGAUCAAAAGAGCACCAACCAAAACAGCGGUGUCCGCUUUGAUGCAGCAACCGAGAGGGAAAGGACACAUAUUAUGGUUACAUAAUGGACAUAUGGGAACUUGACUACGGACAUGAUUUUAAGGUCCCUUUGUUUAAGUGCAAAUGGGUCAAUCUGUCAGGAGGCAGGGUACAGGUAGACCCACAGUACGGAAUGACAACAGUGGAUCUGAACAAUCUUGGGUACACUGACGAACUGUUCGUCCUAGCCAAUGAUGUGGCACAGGUUAUCUAUGUGAAGGACAUGUCUACCAGACCGAGGAAAAGAAAAGAUAAGGAAGCGAAUACAUCAUACGAUGAGCCAAAGCGGCACAUAGUUCUUUCAGGAAAAAGGACAUUGUGGGAGUGGAGGGCAAGAUGGACAUGUCUGAAGAUUAUGAAAAGUUUCAUGAAAUUCCUCCCUUCAAAGUCAAGGCUGACCCAAGCAUCAUGAUAAACGAUGAAGAUUAUCCAUGGUUACGGUGCAAUAAGCAAACGACACAAGCGAAGAAAAAGUGAAGACUUUCUCCCGCAACUAUUAUGAUGAUACCAUGCCAACUUUGUACUAGACGAGUAUGAUACCACUGUCCGUUUUGUACAAGAAGUGCAUCUAGUUUUUGCCGUAACCCUCUCAACUUUCUUGCACAUGCUAUGUGGAUGAAAUGAUGAUACCAUGACAACUUUCAACCUUUUCAGAGUUCAUUUGAAAUGCUUUUCAAUUUUAGGGUCUUAUAGCUCAAAAUAAUUAGUAAAUGCAUGAAAAAUAACAGGCCAAAAAUUAAAAAUUAUGCCACCUACUGGGCCACCACGGCCUGAAUACGAUUAGAAACCCAUCCAUGGGCCAGGAUUCAGGCCCGCAGAAGGCCCAGUAGGCCCACAGGCAUGUACAGAGAGGUUAGGCCCGUAAGCCUACUUUAGAGAGGAGCUCGACAGCUCAGGCGCACCGCACCUUAUAAACAGGUGCGACUCUCUCUUAGCUAGCGAGGUGGGACUAAACUCACCACCACGCCGCUGUGCAAGGCCAUUGGUCCCGGUUGGUGGCACGAACCGGGACCAAUUCCACCCUUUGGUCCCUGUUGGUGCCACGAACCGGUACUAAUGAGGCUGUGGCCCCACGAGCACCUUUAGUACCUGUUCGUGGCACGAACCGGUACUAGAGUUUCUUACUAGCUAAGUAGUUUUUUAGUCCCACCUCGCUAGCUGAGAGGCACUAGGAGCGGUUUAUAAGCCCUGAGUGCAGAGACGAUGAAGAAGAGGCGCAAUGCUCACGUUGCUUAGCUUCAAGCCUUGAGGAAUAAGGUAGACUGCAUCGAGCUAUGUGCAGUGCAGUCUACACUAUUCCGAAAGGCUUGAAGCAAAGCAACGCGCAUUGCGCCUCUUUUUUAUUUUUAAUCAUUAAAAGCAAAAAGAAUUUUCAUAAAGAACUUUUUUUGAUAGAAACUUUAAUAGCAGAAAGAAUUAUCAUAAAGUCAAAUAAAUAAGUAAUUAGAAACAAAAUAAAAUAAAAUAAAUAAGUUUUUUGUUGUAAGUAGAAACAAAACAAAAUAAAUAUAGCAAAAAAGAAAACAAAAAAACUAAAUACAGCAAAAAGAAUUUUCAUAAAGAACUAAUGGCACUAAUAGAAAGUUUAUAUUUUUUCUAAAACUAAUGGCACUAACAGACAGUUUAUAAUUUUGCUGACCUAAAAGCAAAAAGAAUUAAAAAAUAAAGCAAAAAACAAAAGAAAAUAAAUAAUGCAAAAAACAGAACCAAAAAACUGGAAAAAAAUUUAAAAAAACUGCCACCUAUUGGGCCACCACGGCGUGAAUACGACUAGAANNNNNNNNNNNNNNNNNNNNNNNNNNNNNNNNNNNNNNNNNNNNNNNNNNNNNNNNNNNNNNNNNNNNNNNNNNNNNNNNNNNNNNNNNNNNNNNNNNNNNNNNNNNNNNNNNNNNNNNNNNNNNNNNNNNNNNNNNNNNNNNNNNNNNNNNNNNNNNNNNNNNNNNNNNNNNNNNNNNNNNNNNNNNNNNNNNNNNNNNNNNNNNNNNNNNNNNNNNNNNNNNNNNNNNNNNNNNNNNNNNNNNNNNNNNNNNNNNNNNNNNNNNNNNNNNNNNNNNNNNNNNNNNNNNNNNNNNNNNNNNNNNNNNNNNNNNNNNNNNNNNNNNNNNNNNNNNNNNNNNNNNNNNNNNNNNNNNNNNNNNNNNNNNNNNNNNNNNNNNNNNNNNNNNNNNNNNNNNNNNNNNNNNNNNNNNNNNNNNNNNNNNNNNNNNNNNNNNNNNNNNNNNNNNNNNNNNNNNNNNNNNNNNNNNNNNNNNNNNNNNNNNNNNNNNNNNNNNNNNNNNNNNNNNNNNNNNNNNNNNNNNNNNNNNNNNNNNNNNNNNNNNNNNNNNNNNNNNNNNNNNNNNNNNNNNNNNNNNNNNNNNNNNNNNNNNNNNNNNNNNNNNNNNNNNNNNNNNNNNNNNNNNNNNNNNNNNNNNNNNNNNNNNNNNNNNNNNNNNNNNNNNNNNNNNNNNNNNNNNNNNNNNNNNNNNNNNNNNNNNNNNNNNNNNNNNNNNNNNNNNNNNNNNNNNNNNNNNNNNNNNNNNNNNNNNNNNNNNNNNNNNNNNNNNNNNNNNNNNNNNNNNNNNNNNNNNNNNNNNNNNNNNNNNNNNNNNNNNNNNNNNNNNNNNNNNNNNNNNNNNNNNNNNNNNNNNNNNNNNNNNNNNNNNNNNNNNNNNNNNNNNNNNNNNNNNNNNNNNNNNNNNNNNNNNNNNNNNNNNNNNNNNNNNNNNNNNNNNNNNNNNNNNNNNNNNNNNNNNNNNNNNNNNNNNNNNNNNNNNNNNNNNNNNNNNNNNNNNNNNNNNNNNNNNNNNNNNNNNNNNNNNNNNNNNNNNNNNNNNNNNNNNNNNNNNNNNNNNNNNNNNNNNNNNNNNNNNNNNNNNNNNNNNNNNNNNNNNNNNNNNNNNNNNNNNNNNNNNNNNNNNNNNNNNNNNNNNNNNNNNNNNNNNNNNNNNNNNNNNNNNNNNNNNNNNNNNNNNNNNNNNNNNNNNNNNNNNNNNNNNNNNNNNNNNNNNNNNNNNNNNNNNNNNNNNNNNNNNNNNNNNNNNNNNNNNNNNNNNNNNNNNNNNNNNNNNNNNNNNNNNNNNNNNNNNNNNNNNNNNNNNNNNNNNNNNNNNNNNNNNNNNNNNNNNNNNNNNNNNNNNNNNNNNNNNNNNNNNNNNNNNNNNNNNNNNNNNNNNNNNNNNNNNNNNNNNNNNNNNNNNNNNNNNNNNNNNNNNNNNNNNNNNNNNNNNNNNNNNNNNNNNNNNNNNNNNNNNNNNNNNNNNNNNNNNNNNNNNNNNNNNNNNNNNNNNNNNNNNNNNNNNNNNNNNNNNNNNNNNNNNNNNNNNNNNNNNNNNNNNNNNNNNNNNNNNNNNNNNNNNNNNNNNNNNNNNNNNNNNNNNNNNNNNNNNNNNNNNNNNNNNNNNNNNNNNNNNNNNNNNNNNNNNNNNNNNNNNNNNNNNNNNNNNNNNNNNNNNNNNNNNNNNNNNNNNNNNNNNNNNNNNNNNNNNNNNNNNNNNNNNNNNNNNNNNNNNNNNNNNNNNNNNNNNNNNNNNNNNNNNNNNNNNNNNNNNNNNNNNNNNNNNNNNNNNNNNNNNNNNNNNNNNNNNNNNNNNNNNNNNNNNNNNNNNNNNNNNNNNNNNNNNNNNNNNNNNNNNNNNNNNNNNNNNNNNNNNNNNNNNNNNNNNNNNNNNNNNNNNNNNNNNNNNNNNNNNNNNNNNNNNNNNNNNNNNNNNNNNNNNNNNNNNNNNNNNNNNNNNNNNNNNNNNNNNNNNNNNNNNNNNNNNNNNNNNNNNNNNNNNNNNNNNNNNNNNNNNNGUUCAUAUGUGGCUAUAUGUUUUUUUAUUUUUAUUAGUUUAAUUUUUUUGUUCAUAUGUGAUGUAUAUGUGUAUGUGGAAUAUGUUAAAUAUAUAUGUCAAAAAUGUUUUUUGUUCAUAGAAAGUUUUUUGUUCAUAUAUAGAGAAGUUUUAUAUAUGCAAAAGUUACAAUUUUAGAAAAGUUUUAUAUAUCUAGCUAGGAAGGGAAGAAGAAGAAAAAGAAGGAUAGGAAAGAAGAAAAUAAGAAGAAAGAAAGAAGAAGAGGAGAAGAAGAAAAAAUAGAAUAUAUUCCUUUCUUCUUCUCCUCUAUUCCUUUCUUCUUCUCCUCUUUUUCUUCUUCUUUUUUUUCUUCAAUCUUCUCCUCUAUUCCUUUCUUAUUCUCCUCUUUUUAUUUCUUCUUCAUUUUCUUAUGUUUUAUCGGGUAUGUCAUCGUCGAUAUACCCUCCCGAUAACUUCAACACGAGGAGGGGGGUCGAUAUACCCCCUCCCCGAUAAUAUUAUNNNNNNNNNNNNNNNNNNNNNNNNNNNNNNNNNNNNNNNNNNNNNNNNNNNNNNNNNNNNNNNNNNNNNNNNNNNNNNNNNNNNNNNNNNNNNNNNNNNNNNNNNNNNNNNNNNNNNNNNNNNNNNNNNNNNNNNNNNNNNNNNNNNNNNNNNNNNNNNNNNNNNNNNNNNNNNNNNNNNNNNNNNNNNNNNNNNNNNNNNNNNCCGUGUAUGUAUGUUGUCGUUGUCGAUAUUACCCCCUUCCGAUAACUUCAACACGAGGGGGGAUAACUUCAACACGAGGGGGGGUCGAUAUACCCCCUCCUCGAUAACAUUAUUUUCCCGUGUAUGUAUGUCGUCGUUGUCGAUAUAAAACCCCCUCCCGAUAACUUCAACACGUGGGGGGGUCGAUAUACCCCCUCCCCGGUAACAUUAUUUUCCCGUGUAUGUAUGUCGUCGUUGUCGAUAUAUAUAACUCCCUCCCAGAUAACUUCGACAUGAUGGACGGUCGAUAUGUAUACCCCCUCUCGACCGUGAUAACUUAUACCACGGGAGCACCCCCCGGCCCUCUCGCUCGACCAAAACUCUCGAGGACACCCAAACCCUAGAAAAAAAGAUGUCGGUCUCCUACCCCCUCCCGCCGCGCCCCUACCCUUGAAGCGUUGCCUAGGCCACCCCAAACCCGGAAUAAGCUAGGUCUACGUUUGCACUAAUAUAUCCACCUGCUGUCAUGUUUGUGUAAUAAUUGCCAUGUUGUAAUAUUUGCAGAAACAAUGGAGCACGGACGAGAUGAGCAAGCAGAAGAGGUGUUGGGGGACAUAAUCUUAGCCGUAGGUGAUAUCUUGUCGUAUCUUAACGACAAUGAUGGUCUGGAAGAACAGGGUGAAGAAGCAGGCUACGAUGAUCGAAGAGUGGAGGAGGAAAGACAUGACGGUGACCCAAUGCUAGUGCAAGAAGGAGCCGGUGGUGACGGCUCCGGUGACCGAACAGAGUCCGGCCAGGUAAAUCUAUUAGUUAAGCCUGUGCUGACUAGCUAAUUGAUGCAUUCAUUGUUUUGGUAUGUACACAUAUUAAUUAACACUCGUCUUUCUUCUUUUUUCUAGCCCUCCGGAUCGAGCACAACUGCGGUAAAGAGACGAGGCCCGAAGAGAAAGUUGCGCUCGGAUGAAAGGUUUGAGAUCACAGCAAUCGCGCGCAACGGCCAACCGAUUGAACCCCUCCAGACAAAGGAUGCUUUUGCUGCUCAGUGCGGGGUUCUAGUCAGGGACAAGAUCCCGAUCAGCAUCCACCAAUGGUAUAAGCCUAAGAAGGAAGACCCUGAGGUGUCUUAUGUCAAUGAUAUGCAGAAAGAUGAUCUUUGGACUGAGCUGAAGGCAAAUUUCACCCUACCGCCAGAGGAGGAUCUGGAGAAGCCAGUUAUAGAGCAAUUAAUCAAGUCUCAUGCUCUUAAGAAGAUGGCAGACCUAUUCAGGAGGUGGAAGAAUGAGCUGAAAACAUUUGUCGACAAAGAAGAGACACCAAAAUUCAUCGGCCGGUAUGAGAAGAUCAGAGAUCACUGGCCCGCAUUUGUGGCCCACAAGACAUCGGAAAAGAGUAAGAAGAUGUCAGCGACAAACAAGAAGAAUGCUGCGAAGAAGAAGCUUCACCAUCGCACGGGGUCAGGUGGCUACCUCAAAGCCCGGCCUAAGUGGGCCAAGUCUGAGAGGGAUCUGCUUGAUAAAGGGAUCGAACCAGAGACAAUGAACUGGCCAGACCGUUGCCGGACUUGGUUCUUCGGGGCUGGCGGAACCUUGGACCCUGUAUCAGGGAGGUGUCGUUGGACGGACGAGCAACUUGCAAUACCCGUCAAGAAGCUUAAGCACUAUAUCGAUGCAGCGCAGCAAGGGACGUUCGUUCCAGGCAGAGAGAAUGACGAGCUCACAAUGGCCCUCGGGAAUCCUGAGCACCCUGGACGGACAUGAGGCACGCCAGGCUCCGUUCCGUGGAAGGCUGGUUUUCUGAACGCGGGCGAUUACAAAACCCAGGAGAGGAGAAAAAAGUGGAGCAGAUCCAAAUUCAGAAGCUGCACGAAAGGGUUCAAGCGCUAGAGGAACGAGACGGCAAUCGAGAUGCCGAAACUGCCCCCCAAGCUACACAACCAUCUCAGUGGAGAAGCAGCGUGGCUUCCACCGAGCUGCCUCAGCUGGAGCAUGCGGCUCCUGCUAGCUACCCCGUGGAUGCUAUCACGGAGUCUCAACAUUGCCACCUUAUGGCGGAAUGGCAGAACUUGAAAGUCAAGGCGGCCGUUGGCUCUGUUUUACCUACUGAACCCGGCGCAACCUACCACUGCCGGCCGAUUCCAGAAGGAUAUGCUAGGGUGAUGGUGGAUGAAAUAACGGAGAGAUUUGAGGACCUCCAGCUUGACCACCCUACCGGUGAAGGGGAGACUCGGCUGGGUUUAGCUCUGAAGACUCCAUGCCUAUGGCGGAAGGAGCUCAUUAAGCUUCCGAACUGGACGGCUCCGGCGAGUAAGGGCACUCCGCCUCCUCCUCCGCCUCCUCCUCCGGCGAGUGAUCAGGGCACUCAGCCUCCUUCUCCGGCGCGUGGCGGCACUCCGCCUCGUCAGCAAGGGCGGAAGAGACCCGCCGCCGCUGCGGCUGCUCCGGCGCGUCGUAGUCCUUCUCCUCCGCCUCGUAAGCAAGGAAAGAAGACAGCCGCAGCCGCUCCGUCUGCUUCGCCGGCGUCUAGCAGUACAGCUGCCAGAGGCGGGAGGCAAUACAGAUUCGGUCCUUCUCUGAAGACUCCAGAGAAGUUACCAUAUGAGAGGAACGAGGAGGAGAACGCGAAGAUCGUGCGAGCCGAAGUGAAGAACUUCUUUGAAGGGGUGAAAGCAAAGAAACAUCCACCUCCGGAGGAGAAGGUAGAUCCGGUGAAAGCAAAGCGCACUCUGGCUGCCCUGACAAAACCACCAAAGUCUCCGCCGAGAGGCAACUAUCAGCACGUUCUUGCAAAGGCAUAUGCCGAAGCGGAGCGGUCGGGAAGUACUGUCAGUGAUAAAAGGAUGAAAGAACGAUGAGCUGGGAAAAAAAUUGCCCAGCUCGGCGAACAAGCGAACCAAUCGUGCCCCCCGCUCAAGGUGUCAAAAGACAUCGUCGCUAAUGAUCCGAGUAUGGUGCCCGGUUAUAGCAAUCUUGGAGAUUACCUGCCCGACGAUGUACAUUAUGAAAUCAUGGAGGUGGACGAACACAAAUACCAUUACGGGAUGCCUCUCGUCAAAGAUGUCAGAUCUCUAAGCACGAUGAUGCGAAGACUACAUGAUUGGUACAUGAAAACCUGCAGAGAGUUUGAUGGGAUGAGUACUUUGACACUGAGAGUUAAACCAGAGCAUGACCUCGUUGGAAUUGAACUGCUGAAUGUUCCAUUUGAGGAUUUGUUCCAGUUUUACAAUCAAAAGGCCCUCGAUAAAACAACGAUCACUUGCUACUGUCUGUAAGUAGUACUACUUCUGUCAUUAAGUCUCUCUAUAUAGGUCAGCUCUUUCAUUGCAUGUAUUUAUACUUAUCCUCACUAUAUUAUGCAGAUUGAAGAUCGCCGAAUUGAAGAAAAGACAAAUCGGUGAUAUUGGGUUCAUUAACACAAAUCUCAUAGAUGCAUAUACGGUUGAAAAACAUCCCAAAGAAGCCGAGGCCAACUUGCUACAAUCGUUGGUAUUAAAUCAAAACAAAGAUACAAUACUCUUUCCUUACAACUUCAAGUGAGUGUUACUGUCUUGUGCAUAUUCGGUUUUCCUUAUUAGUCCAGGUUAUGGUAAUGUAAUUGAUGACUUAUGCAUGCAUGCGCAGCUUCCACUAUAUUCUCCUAGAGAUUAAGCUUGAGCCGGGAGUAGUAACCGUCUUAGACUCGAGACGAAAAGAUCCCCAGGACUAUGCGAACAUGACUCAAAUGCUCCAGAAAUAAGUUAAAUCGAUCAUUAUCCACCAUAUCAGCAACUUUGUUCAUUUCCUGAUAUCAAGUAAUUGUUUUCUUUGUCUGGCAGGGUUUGGAGAAAAUUCACCUCAAAAGCUCCGGGAUUGUCGAAGAAGCUGCAAUUUAAUCACCCGAAAGUAAGUACUAUAGUAGCAUGUUCCGCGCAUCUCCUACUGAUUCAAGCGGUAGUUUCAUCAAUACCAUUUAGCAUGCCUGCUUAUCAGUUUGAUUGCCUCUAUUUCUUGUAAAGUGGUUGUGGCAGGAACCCGGGAAUAAUUACUGUGGAUACUACGUUUGCGAGUCCAUCCGCUACCAUACCUGUGAGCGGGGCUACACUGAAGAACAAUAUGAAGUGCGUAAGCAAUAAUAUUCACAAUUUUAUUUUAUUACCAUCAUUUGUGUUGAGUUUCAUUUAUUCAUAUAUAUAUAUGUAUUGACCCCCUUCUUCAAAUUAGAUCUUUCAGAUGCGUGAUGAACUCCUAGCACCAGAUCGUAUGCGAAGAAUUCAAGAGGAAUUGGCGGCAUUCUUCCUUGACCAGGUGAUCGCUGAAAACGGAGAAUACUAUGUGGACCCUGUGUUCCUACAAUAUAAUUAGGAGAUUGUAUUGUAAGAGAUAAUUAUUGUAUAUCUGUAGCCGGUAGUGUCGGAUAGAUAUACGAGAACUUGUUGUUCGACCAAUAUCUCGGAGAAGGAGAGGUGGUCGAUAUCACUUCUCUCUGUAUGCAUAUGUUCAUGACGAUCUUCUGUUUCCUUCAUUUGAUUACUAGCUAGCGUGUCUACUCCUCUCCAUACGUAUAUAGUACGUAACAUCGAUCAAGCACGGAGAUAAGAGAGGACACUUCUCUCUAUUAAUUAGCUAGCUAACACAAUAUAUGAAACACCUAAAUUAACCCUCCAAAACCCCUAAACCACCCCCUUUCAAAAAAAAACCUCACCUCCUACCUUGUGCUGACGCGUGGAUGCCUAUUGGUCCCGGUUGGUGGCACCAACCGGGACCAAAGGCCCUCCUGCCUGGGCUCCCCGCACCGGCCACGUGGACGGCCUUUAGUCCCGGUUCGUGUAAGAACCGGAACUAAAGGGCUAGGGCAUUAGUAACGACCCUUUAGUCCCGGUUUCAGGGUAAAAGUCCCUUUUCCUACUAGUGAUUGCAUCUGCAAGCUAAGGUGGCGCACACCUGGGCCAUGGCCGCCACCCACGUGCGCAGCGGAGGUUUGUUGCACGAACGGCACGGCUCGCGGCGCGCCAGCCGACCAGGACUGCUUGGAUUGUGAGCUAGUGUUGCGUCUAAUUCCCGUCAAGUUGGACCUGAGCGGAUGGUGCAGACAGCAUGGAGAUCGAAGUUCACUUUGGCCACUUGAUCCACAUCGACAGAGACGGGGCACGUAUAAUCUAUCCGCCAUGCCGAUUGCUCAAGAGAAAGUAAGAACUAGCCUCUAAGGAUUUGCGCUCUGCUGCGCAGAGGUAGUGUGCAUGUAUUAAUAUUUUUUUGAGACUAGUGUGCAUGUACUAAUUAACUCCGUAUUUGACGUUUGCUAGUGUUAUAAUAUAUUUUUGGAUGCAUGAAAUAAUAUACGAACAAAACAGGAUGAAACAAGAAAUCUCACCCACAUUUAUUUCUGAUUGAUACAAACAAAAAAGACACAACCGACCGAUCAACGUUCUCAUACGUAGAAAAACAGAACACACUCACAUGACACACACACAAACAAAUAAAAGCAAGAAGGAGCAGGUGAACAUCCACCGCUUGAAACCAACAUGCAAGAAACACACAUAUCCAACGAACUAGAGGUCUUGCAUGCACGAAGAGACCUCCCACGCGCUCAUUAGCAGGCCUUUUGCUUGACGCAUUCCACCUGGGCACUUUUGCUUUGAGCCGGAGCCUUCCACGCCUUCUUCAUCUUGCAGAGGCAUGAGUGGCCUCCAAAGGCGACGCAGCAGUCCACUUGAACCUGACUGACUUUACCCGAAAUAAUCCUGUCGGCAGUGGCAUCUUUGUUACCUUCUCCGAAGCUCUUGAAGCACGCAUUCACGACGUUCUGAUCGACACCGUCGCACACCGGCGCACCGCCUAUGGCAGGUACCUUCUGGGCCACAGCGACGGCGCACAUCAGGGCGACCAGCGCCGCCAUGGCAGCGAGCCUCGGGAACAUUGCUGCUGCCAUGAUCAGAUCGACCUAGGAUAUAGCUGAUGGAAGGUCGAUGCACUCACUCACCGCUUAUGCCUGGUGUGGGUUGUUUUUGUGUAGAGGUCUGCCGGGGCUUUUAUAGAGCUAGCUAGAUAGGUGUGGGCAUUUGGGGUCCUAG